AGGAUCAAAGCUUGGUGUCCAUGACUACAGCAAGGGGGACCAUGGGCUACAUUGCACCUGAAGUGUUCUCCAGGAAUUUCGGAAAUGUGUCGUACAAGGCAGAUGUUUAUAGCUUUGGAAUGCUACUGCUUGAGAUGGUAGGAGGAAGGAAGAAUAUUGGUUCAAUUACGGAUAACACUACAAAUGAAAUUUACUAUCCACAGUGGAUUUAUAAUCUUCUAGAGGAAGGGGAUGACCUACGAAUCCACAUUGGGGAAGAAGGAGAUGGUAAAAUUCCAAAGAAACUUGCAAUUAUAGGGCUAUGGUGUAUCCAGUGGCACCCGUCGGAUCGUCCUUCCAUGAAAAUAGUGGUUCAGAUGUUAGAAGGAGGAGGAGAAAGCUUGAGUAUGCCGCCUAAUCCCUUUGUGCCUACUGGUUCUACAACUAGGAAUGCAAGACACCUAGAGCUAGAAGCUAUUGCUGAAUUAGAGUAAAAUGUAUAUGCAGAUAUGUAGACGUAUAGAUAUAGUAAUAUUUAUAUUGAAUAAGAGGCCGUUUGAUAACCAUUUCGUUUUCAGCUUUUAAUUUUUAUUUUUCACUUUUUUGAAAACUAAAAACUAAAAUCUUGUUUGGUAAAUACUUUUAGUUAAAAAAAAAUGAAGACUGAGAACUAAAAUGUGAAAGCUCAAAGGAAGUAGAUUAAAAGUAGUUACCAAACAAACCGGAAUCUCAAUAAAUAAAAAAGAUUGAAUUGCACAAUGCAAUCCAAACCAAUCAAAACAUUUAAAAUAGCAAAAAAAAAUUAAAAUUCUAGUUGAUUAGAUUCUAAACAUAGUAAAAAUGAACAGAUCCGAUGAAAAAAACAAAAAAUUCUCAGAUAAAAAUAGGGAUAAAGUAAAAUAUUUAUAAAUAGCUCUUUGUCUCUUAUGCCAUCAAUUAUUUCUAUAGUAUAUACACGUUUUUGGAAAAAUUAGGUUCCCAUCCCUUAUUUUCAUAUUACAUUGAUUGAAAUCUUAUUAUUUUUCUAUUUUAGAUCAAGGUCCCUUGACUUAUUCUAUGUCAUCAUUUUAGUAUUUAAAAUAUUACACGUUAUCAUAAACGAAAUCUCAUCCCUUUCUGCAUUUAAGGCAAAAUAAACUAUAUGAGUAAGUUUAAAACAAGGAAAAUCCAUUUGAACUCCUCCAUUCUUCUUCUUCUCUUAUAAACAUCUGGAAUCUACAACACCCCAAACCCAAUUUUCUCCAUUUUUUCUCCUUUCCUGAAUUGAUCCAAUGCAUAUAUGUUGAAUAAACCUAUUGUGAUUAAAAUACAAAUUAGCAUCAAUGGUUUUAUUGGCUUGUGAGAUUUGUGUGGCAUAGGCAAGGCAAUGCAGGCAUCGUUUUCUCAAGGAAUCUGGUUGAUUCAAACAUGCAGAGACUGUAGAGUGAGUGGGCUAUGUGAAAACUGUACCAUUCUGAAGUCAUUUUCUUUUGUUCUUUAUAUUUUUUUUUCUUUUUCUUUUAUUAUUAUAUAUUAGUCUUGGUUAUUCAAUGCCUGGUUGGCUACACUUAUAUCCAUGGGUACAUUUUUAAUCUACAUGUUUCGUUCUAAUAUAUCUAUUGCUAUAAUAUGUUUUGGUUGGUUCAAAUUUGUUUUACAUAAAUAUAUGGGUACAAAGUUUUUGGAGAAUAUUAUGUAAAUGGUUUUUAAGGUUGCUGCAUUUUACGUACCCACAUAUGCAUGUCUAUAAAACAAUGUGGUAUGAUGUACAUUCUUUUCUUUGAGUUUUUAAAUGUACCCAUGAGUUUUUUUGUAAAUUCGGUAUGUACCCAUAUGCUAUUUAUGUUAUGGGUACAUACAUUAUUUUUGGUCUAAGUUCAGGGUACAUUGCUUUUGUAUGUAUGAAUUCAAGGGGUACAUUAUUUCCCUUAAUACUACUCAAUAAAAUUCACAAAAUAUGUGUAGUGUGCAUGAUUUUUUAUUGUAGAAAUUGUUUUUUUUUAAGUCUCAUAAUUCAUGAAAUUUGUACAUAUAUGAUCCCAUAAAUUUUUUAAUUUUAUUAAAUUUCUUUUAGACUUGAUCGAUUGAUUGAAUCUCAUCAUACUAGGAUUUUGAAUUACAUAAAUUCUUGGAUUUAAAUCCCUUAAAUGUUGGACUGCAAUCAAUAUUUUAAAUUAUAGUUUUUUAUUUAAGAUAUCAAAAAGAUGACAUGGAAAUAUAGUAAUACUAAAAUGCUGAGGUGUACAAAGUCAAAGGACUUUGAUCAAAAAAUAAAAAACAAUAAGAUUUCAAUCUAACAAUUAAAUUGACUAGGGACCGGAACCAAAAUGACCCUAGAUUUUUAUUGAGUUUAAUCUUAAUCAAAAAAAGACUUCUUGUAUCACAGAAAAUACAAGAACCAUUAUUUGAAUGAAAUAAAAGCUAUGGGAUGGAGAUAUAAAUGGAUCAUUUUAUUCACAAUCGGAUUAUAUUUAUUUGAUACACUAUUGUCAAUAUGAAUGUUGAGAAAAAGACUACAAAAGAAAAAACAAUUUAUAAAUAUAACUAACAAUUCCAAUUUCAAUCAAUUAGACAAUUAGAUAAUACAUCAGUAAACGCGGGGUGACUCAGUGGUUAGAAACGAAUUUUAGGCUCGUAUUCUAUACAAUACGUCUUGGGUUCGAUUCCUGACAAUGGUGAAUCACGCGACGGUAGAUAUAGGGGUGUUGUUGGAAGUUUUGAGACUCAAGUCCUUUAUAUAGAUUUAGUGCUUUAGUUUAGUAAUUAGAAUAUGGGUCAUUUGGAAAUGGAUUGAAGGUUUGGGCCUUAUGGUUGUGUGGAUUAGGCUUGUAUAAUAUAGCCUAAAUACAAUUAAUAUUAAUUAAUCAAGACAAGGGCCUUGGGCCUUACUUGGGGCCUUGGAAUUUAAAAUUAAUCUGAUUCAUUAAUUUUAAUUUUCGGAUUAAGUUUUUAAUUAAUUUAUUAUUAAUUAAAAACGUUUUGAUUAAAAGACACAGCUCUUAGAAAAGAGUUAUGAACCUUCAAAUACACUGAACUGGUAUUUGAAAGGGUGUGAAACAACCUAUAUAUCUGCAAUCCAUGGUAUCCAAAUAAAUCAUCUUUUCUUCUUCCUUUUCUUCCGUACAAACUUUCCAGAGAGAGUAAACACACAAAGCAAUUCGCUAGAAUUCUAUAAUUUAGUGCGGGUUAUAGGAUUAGGUAGUUGUAUCCUGGUCGAGCAGACGUUAUAGAACCACAAGCACAAGAGUGGGACGGAAUUACUGUUCGAAUGACAUAGCUUUUACGUUAGCCUCUACCUUCUGUAAUCAAGUUAGUACCGUUGACAUUCUUAUAUUAAUUUCUGUAUUUAUUGUAUACUUUUCAUUUUGUAUAGCAAGUACCUUUUGUUAAAUAAAAAUUGUGAAUUUCAAGUUCUGUUUAUUUCUGUUAUUCUGUUUAUUUCUGAAUUGUUCUCCAACACCCCUAUAUCUACCGUCGCGUGAUUCACCAUUGUCAGGAAUCGAACCCAAGACGUGUUGUAUAGAAUACGAGCCUAAAAUUUAUUUCUAACCACUGAGUCACCCCGCGUUUGAUUAUAUUUCACUUAGACUUAUCUUGCGGUAUAGCAUGUCAUCCCCGCCCAAGUUUUUCUGUUGGCAUUGAGUUUGGGAUACCAAAACUUGCCAAACAAAGUAGAUUGAUUAGUAAGCGAAGCUAAUUAUUCGACUAAACAUUGUUUAGAAUUUUAAUUAAAAGAAACAAUAUGAAUCUGUUUAUUUUUUUUUUUGACAAACUAUAACGUUAAGGAGUUAAAUUGUUAGUUAUUAAGAGUACAAUGAUAGGUGAGGAUCGAACCUCCACCAGAGUGCAUAGACAUUAUUGGUUCUACAACUGCGGUAAAUCACAUAAAACAAAACGUAAUACUUUGAGGAUGGAAGACACUUCGUGGAUAGCGGGCAAUCAACACUAUCAGUUGCUAUCCAAAACUUGGAAUUAUGUUUAUUGUCCGAAGGAUUUUUCUUCCAUUAAAUUGCUAAGGAAGAUGAGGAUGGGUGGAGUGUCUAAAUGUCAAGGUUGACAAGAACGUGUAUGGUGUUCAGCUUGCGAUUGAGAUUUGUUAGAGUGGCACAACAAACCACAUAAAAUUUUCUAAAUGAUAAGCUUGAGUAUAAUUUUUUAUCACGUAUUUAUCUUUAAAAUCAUUAUAAUUAGAUUUUCUCUUAAUUAAUAUAGACCGUUAGAUUCAUCUAAUGACCCAAGUUUUUUUCCUCUUUUCUUUCCACUCUUUUCCAUUCACCGUGUAGCAGUCGUUCUUCCCCAACUACGUUUCUUAUUUUUCUUCACAAAAAAUUUGUAGAAAAUAUUAAGAAAAGAAAAGUCAUCAAUAUCAGACUCGACCAGGUAAUCGUUCCAACCUUCCCAGCAACUCUCAGUCUUAACUAGGCACCAAAUUUUCUCCGCCACCUAACUCGUCAUUCAUUCAUGGGUGUUUCAAGCUUGGUGAAAAUUGAUAGAGUUCCAUGUGUGUACACGGAUGUGAACAUAUUGGCCACUCUCUAAGAAUGAGUCAUUGGAAAAGUUGAAGGAAAGAUGUAACCGAUGAAAUUAAUGGAUUGGAAUUACAAUGAAGUCUGUGUUGGUUUAUCACAAAGAACCCAGAUACAAAAUUUUAAAAGCAAACAAUUUCAACUUCUCAAAUAUUAUCUAACAAACUUUCAAUGAAAUGUUGCUCAUAAUUGAAAAAAGGUUGACGAAGGACGGAGUUGGGGUUAUUUUAGAUGAGGAAGAGUUAAAAGAAGGAAGCACCAUUUAAUUAAUAAAAGUGAUUGGAGAAAUGGUAAUUCAAUGGUGGGCGUUUUUAAGGUGUGGACCUUGUAUCACACCCUGAUCCCAACAUACAUUGAGGAUCGACACGUGACAUGGGGACAUAGGGGACAAAAAUCUUACAUAAGAUACAGAAUGAAAUACUAUAUAAUAUCCCAAAAUGAAUAUGAUAGUGGGUUCACCCCUAUAAAAUACAUACGAGUUUGUACAUUCACAAAAAAAUAAAAAAAAUAAAAAUAAAUAAAAAUAAAAAACACACACACAACUCUCGCUAGGCCAAGACUUGCCCAUGGUGCUCAAAGGAAAGUCCCAAAAGAAAUAGUACAAUGAAGGAUAAAGGGGUAACCUAAACACUCCAAGUCUCUGAUCUCUGCACUGCUACCCCCACCGGCUCCUCGUAAUCUACUCAGACCUGUCACAUGUACAAACAGUGCCUACAUUGUGGGAAUGGUGCACCAGGCAAACAAAAACCCGGAUAAGCUGCAAAACUCGUGUGAGUGACAAUAAUGCAACGUAUGUGAUAAUCAAGAAAAACAGACCAUCGAUCACAGUUUAUAAAUCUCAAAUAUAACUUCAUACUUAUGAAAUCAUAAUCAAGUCACUGAAAACUUCGAAUGAGUCACCCAGACAUCUAACGACUUUUCUAAAUCAAAUCUCAGAGAUUCCCAAAACUAUCGUUCACAAAUACACUAAAAACUAGGGCUAGAGUGACACAGUUCAGCCAAAGCCUACAUAAGUAACCAAAUAAGAAGUGGCCCCCCAUAGCGGAUUAACCAAGCAGAGCCACUCCUGAGAAAGUAACCAAGUAGGUAGUGACCCCCAUCACGGAUUAACCAAGCAGAGUCACUCCUACGAAACUGUUAGGUAGUGAUCACCCAUUACGGAUUAACCAAGCAUGAUCACCCCUAAGCACGUAUGGCCAUACCUAAGAAAUAAGGAUCGCCCAUCGCGGAUUAACCAAGCACGAUCCAAAAAUAUUAUGGGUCCCCUAUCGCCGAUUAACCAAGCAUGACCAUCCAUGUACCACUGCUACAUGGUGUAAAUUCGGUGUCACCUAACCUCGUGACACUAGGGUAACGGUCCUCUAGUAGCCCUCACGUUUUUCAAACAUUUCAAAUAUAUAAUUUAAAACACAAUUCAUAAACAUUUCGAAUAGGGAAGUCACAUAGUGUUUAAUAAUGUAGGUCAAUGGCAAACUUUAAAAACAAUUAUUUAGCAUAAAACAUAUUUUAGAAAUCCAUGCUGUAUCCACAAAGUAUACUAGCACGGGAGAUUUUCAGGGUAAUAACUCUAUCACAUAUAUUAAAGUCACUCACCUGGAGUCCGCACUAACGCACCCUGGCACGAAUAUCAAGACGUCGCGUACUAUCAUCUGCAACAUCCCACAUCGACCAACGAAGAGGGGGUGAUGUGCCUUCUAUGUACAUGCCCACCUCCAUAGCAUGAGGCAUUUUGGGAGCUCACUGGCUUCAUAUUCCAUCGGAACUCCAAAGUUAAGCAAGUUUGGGCGAGAGUAGUCCCAGGAUAGGUGACCCAUUGGAAAGUUAUUGUGUGAGUCCUAGAAACAAAACCGUGAAGGCGUGGCCCGAGGGGGCCCAAAACGGACAAUAUUGUGCUACGACGGAAUCGAGACUGAGAUGUGACAGAAUGGUAUCAGAGCCACUCUGCCGUGUGGUGCGAGUGUGCCGACGAGGACGUCGGGCCCCUAAGGGGGGUGGAUUGUAACAUCCCACAUCGACCAACGAAGAAGAGGUGAUGUGCCUUAUAUGUACAUGCCCACCUCCAUUUAGCACGAGGUCUUUUGGGAGCUUAUUGGCUUCGGGUUCCAUCGGAAAUCUGAAGUUAAGCGAGUUCAAGCAAGAGCAUUCCCAGGAUGGGUAACCUACUGGGAAGUUCUCGUGUGAGUUCCCAGAAACAAAACUGUGAGAGCGUGGCCAGGGCCCAAAGUGGACAAUAUCGUGUUAUGGCGGAGCCGAGAUUGGGAUGUGACAUUGUCACCUAAGACAAAGUACAGAUCCACAUUUAGAGUUCUUCAAGUAUUCACAUAAUAAAAAAUUUCCAUACGCCCCCUACAACUAAUGAACAGAAAUCGAGACACGUUGACAAAAAGUCAACCGUCGAUCAACGGUAGGGUCCACAACCCUACAUAACUCGAUCCGCAAUAUCCAACCACUGUAUUUGUGAUUCAUAAGUUCAUAAGGUCUUCAAAUCCUACCUACAAUAACAUACUAAACUUUGGUGAUGAUCUAAUGGUCGAAUCAUCAUUUGCUAUAAUGUUCAAAUGACGCAAAUUCAUCAAUCAGAUGUCAAAUAUGGAAUCAGACAUCGAAUUUAGCUUAGGAAUGUCAAGUGGUGUCUCGAGCACGCACCGCCGUGCGCAACAGCUGGCAACCUAGAUUCGUCGGAAAAAUCACCUAAUUCCAAAAUGAAUGUUGUGAGACGUGGAGUAAAUUGUAUACCUGUGAAGAAGCCCAAUUUGGCCGGGAAGUGGCCUGAAAUCACUUUAGACCGUCGGAAACCCUAAAAUAGGUGAAUCUCGAUUCGUCAUCCCCGGUAUUCCACCGUUCUCAAACUUGUUUAGGGUUUGCUCAUGGUCUCAAAAGAAUGCUAAUGAUGGUGGUGAUUGAAAGAGAACGUUUCAGAAAUAGUGAAUCACCAAUGAGGGUUUCACGAAACCGACAUGGGUGUUCCUCGUGGAACCAAGACCAAAUCUCAACGGUUUUGGCUAGAAAUGGAUGCUGGGAUGUCAUGGUGAAGUUUGGUAGUGAUGGGAGGUUGAAGAAAGACAAAAAAAAUCGACAAAAAAAUCGUCGUCGGAGUCGCAAGAAACGAGUUAGAAAAAUGAGUCGUCGGGUCUGAAACGUCGAAGGCUUUUGAGACAACUACUUACUCUCUCUUCUCUGAUUAGUCACUCCACUCACUCUCUCAUUUGAUUGGUCCAGCCUUCCCACAUGGUGGGAGUUCCCUCAUAUAGUAACCCAAAAUUUACUAUUUAAAUCUGGUAUUGAACGUCCGUAACUUUUUCGUUAUGGUUUCGAUUCGCAAACGGUUUUCACCUAUGCGCUCGUAUGAUCGAAUUAUACUCAAAAACAUUAAUUAUGACCUCGAAAAGGUCUACGAGUUUUAAAAGAUUAAUUACAAAAAUUCACACCUUGUAACUAUACGAUUCAAAUCCUAAAAUUAACGGAAUUAAAAUAAACUAAAAAUAAUGUAAACACGAAAUACAGACUUUAAUAAUGAAAUACGUAAUUAAUAGUGGAAUUCCGGGGAUGGGAUUUCACAACUUGCGUCCGGACCUUCAAUGCGGAUCAAAAUCCAAAGGUCGUGAUCUGACGAGCUCAUGCAUAGAACAGAGUUGUUGUGACCCAAUGCAAUUCAAAACUUUUAUGUUUUUUUAUUUACUGGGUACGUUUUUUAUUUACUGGGUACAUUUUUGCAAGACGUUAAAGAAAGCGCUUCUUGGGAGGCAACCCAUGUAUUCAAAAAAGGAAGAUCUAUGAAUCGCUCUACAAUUAGUUUUGCGUUUCUAAAAACCUUCCCUUUUCUGCAUUUCUAUUUUGCCAUGAUUGUCAUUUUUUAUUUUUGUUGUUUAUUUAAUUAUUUUUGGGUGUGGGUUUAUUUUUGAAACAUUGACAGAUAUGCAAGAUAUUCUUACAUUCAUUUUCAUGAAAAAAAGAAAAGGGAACAUUAAGCAGGAAAUUACAAGAGGGAGCCUUCACAAAGGCUGCUUAGGAGAAGUCUCAGUAGUCGGCGGAGCCCCAGAAGAAGGAGGCAGCGGAGGUUGAUCAUUUGGAGCUUCAGUACGCGGUGCAGCCCCAGAAGACGAAUGCAAAUGUUGUUGGAACAAACCCACAAACCGCUGAUGAUCAAGUAAAAUCUGACAAUCAGAUUCCUGCAUCUGGUCAAUCUUCCUCUUCAUGUUUGUAGCAUAAUUAUGUGCGAGCCUGUGCAACUGUUUAUUCUCAUGCUUAAGCCCUCUAAUCUCCUGCUUAAGACUCAUCACUUCAGCCGCCAAUGAUUCAACUUGACGGGUUCGGGCAAAUAGGCGUUGGGCCAUAUUAGACACGGAACGUGCGCACUGCACACUGAGAGCUAGAGAAUCCUUUACAUCCAACUCAUCAGACCGUUUGGCAAGUAGUCUAUUAUCUUUGGGAGUGACAGGGUUCCUGACCACCACCGCAGCUGUCAUAUCAUUCUUCAUCACCGAAUCCCCAACGAUAAGGGGACCAGUAGGGGAUAUGAAGGAUGGGCGCCAUAUGUUGUCUGGAGAAGGCGGGACUGCCUCUUCACCAAGGUUCAAGUCAAAACGACGAUCGGAUGGGCCAAACAUUUUCACAGGUGUUAAAGAAAGAAGAGGUCGGACAAGUCAAGAUCGUAGAAGUGCAAGAUGAGAGUUUUUACAGGCAGAAAUUCAAGUGUGCUUUGAACGUCCUACGUACUUCUAUAAAAAUCAGCACUCGAUGGGAUUUCAGAGAUCGAAGAGGCAAGCUCAGAAAUCGAAGAGGCCAACUAAAAAAAUUAAAGAGGCGCUAGCUUUCUCAAAAGCUGAGCUUGCUCAGAAACCACGGCCAAUCUUCUUUUCCAGAUUUGUCCGCACUUGUCACAUGCAACUCGACGGGAUUUCAGAGAUCGAAGAGGCAAUUCCAGAUAUCGGAUAGGCAUCUGCUUUUGCAGACGUGUCAACAUCUGUCACAUGCAGAGUAAGCUUUGCGAAAAUCACGGGCAGUUUGUGAAGCGCCGAUUCCAACCAUCUGCUUUUGCAGACGUGUCAACAUCUGUCACAUGCAUAGUAAGCUUUGCGGAAAUCACGGGCAGUUUGUCGAAGCACCGAUUCCAACCAUCUGCUUUUCCCGACGUGUCAACAUCUGUCACUUGCAGAGUCAGCUUUACGAAAAUUACGGGCAAUCUGUCGAAGAUCUCUUGUGAAGUUUACUAUUAAAUCAUCCAACGGUUGCUGACAAGAGUGAAAGAAUAGUACCGACUAUUAAUUCCUAUAAAUGUCAUCCUUCACCCUCAAUUGCAAGGCAGACAUACAUAACCCCCUUCUUCUCAGAAAAUGCCUUUCCAACACACCCUCUCGAGUCACUCAGUGUUCCUAAUUCCUUGGGGUACCUCUGCAAACAACUCAUCCAAAGCAAAAGUAUUUCAUAUCAUGAAGGUUGAAAGCAAGAGUAUCUCAUAUCAUGCUUUCUCCCUGUCCUUCUCCUUGUCUUUGUUUUAGGACAAGGAGAAAGAGAGCAAUCAGCCAGCACUUGGUAUCAAUCUUCCGAUCUGGAACCGACUGCCUGGAACCCCUUCCUGAUUGCUUACCUAGCCUUGCUCUCGAGAACUCAUCUUCAUCAUCUUAUGCUUCCUCUUCGUCUACCACAUCUGCCUGGGGAACAGAUAAGGGAAGUGAAAAUGAUACCUCGAAGCAUGUGGAAACAAUUUACCAAUUCAUCCUUAGCUAGGGACAAGGAGAAAAAAAGCAAGAGGUGGGCACUUGGAAAGAUUGAAGAAAGAAACAGACCAACACCUCUACCUCAUGCCUGCCCGCCGUGCAGAAGAAUCAAGCAGAGAAGAAUACAGACUGCACAAUCAAAUCAGGGAACUCUCAUAUUUCUCGCUCAGAAUUCCAAACCAGUUCAAGAUCAACGCUGUGGAAAGUCAACAAGAUCAUCUAUCUCCAAAACCAGAUUUGCGUUCUUAAACUCUACUCUGUCUGGUUUUUACUUUGCUAUACUUGUCAUGUUUAUUCGUUGUUUGUUUGUUUGCUUGUUGUUGUGUGAGUUUAUGUUUAAAACAUUGAGGACAAUGUUUGAUUUAAGUGUGGAGGGAUAACCAUUGUUUUGCAUGAAAUUCGUAGGAGUUUAUCACCCAUUACUUCUAGUGUUGUUCCUUGCUGUUUUAAGUGUUUUAAGCUGUUUUGGAGUGUUUCAGUGUGUUUUGACAUAAAAAUCCGAAAAUCUCAUAAAAAUUUGAAAAAUUGUUUUGAAAAACCAAAAAAGAGUUGUUUUUGUAUGUUUAUUUGUGUUUUAGGGUACCUUCCAACACAAUGAUGAGGAUUUGGUUUUUAAUUACAUGACUGUUAAAGAGAAUUAUAAACAUGGAUGAAAAUUUGAUUUACUCUUUGGUGUAUGCUUGGUUGUGGUUAUAAUUUAUGAAUUCACAUGCAAUCAUAAAGGAAAAAUCAAUUUUGUAACAUGCUUGAAAGAAGGAACUCAAAUGUACGCUACAACCUUGUGAGACUUGAGCCUAGACGUUUAUUUGGAGAGUUAAUAAUGUGCAUUUUUGUUUUCUAAAGUCGUUGUAUGAUCUCAUUAUUCUUUGCUUGGUUGCUACCUAGAAUGCGUUCAUCAUUAUAGAUCCACAUACUAGAACUCAUGCCCGUUCCAUUCAAAGCAUGACAUUAAUUUGCAUAACACAUAUCCAAGAUGAAGUUGUUUAGUGAACCAAAGCCAAAAUAGCCGAACCCACCUUUGUCAUUUGUUUUGUAGGUUUAAACCCCGUUGAGCCUUGUUUAGCCUAUUUUCUUUGUUAAACCACAUCAUCUCUACCUAACCUAGAAUAGGACUAUCCAUACCCUUGUUCUUGAAGUAUAGUGGAGCAUAACUUAGAAAGAAUUCAUUUUGAAACUUAUUGGGGGAAUUUAGAUUUCAAAUUUUUUGUGUGCCAAAGAAAACGGCAAGAGAAAAAAUUCGUGAAAAAAAAGAAAAAAGAAAAGAAAAAUUUGCAAAUUUUCCUGUGUUUAAAAGUAGAUGCCUAAAUUAACCCUUACAUUAAUUUUCCUUGAAUAAUUUCUCAUUCCAUCUAAUUUAGAUCCAUCUUGCUCACUAUUCUUUUUAAAUUUGUGGAUUUUGAAAUUUCAAAUGAGAAUGAAAUUGGAUGAGUUCAAUUUUCGUUUAAUUCUUACAAUUAAUAAGAAAUUCCGUCGAAAACAUUUUGAGUAUUGUUUAAUUUUUCAAUAUUACCGUAUUGUGUCAUUGAAAUAAUUAUCAGAGGAAUUAGGGAAUUCUCUUAAGGAACAACUCAAAAUGUAGUACAUGAUUAAAUAAUUCCUUUGAAUGGUCAACUAUGAUCAACAUAUCUUGUAUCAGAUCUUAGUCAAAUACCUGUUAAGAGUGUAAAUUUCUUGUGUGAAAAUGAGUGUAUCUAGUAAUUUUGGCAUUAGGAUGUUACUACAUUCUCAAAAUGCUGUUUUUUGAUUAAAUGAGCUGUGAGGUACUAAUCAAAUAUGCUCGAGGGUAAGAAUGGCUUAAAUUAUGUGAGUGGUGAUCUGGUUCAUGUUUCAUUAAAAAUCCCUGAGGCAAAUGUUGGAAGAUUUAGGUUAUGUUUUGUUUGUUUCGUUUGUUUUGUUUUGCUCGAGGACUAGCAAAAGCUAAGUGUGGGGAAUUUGAAUUUGAUAGGAGCAUUAUUAUGCGACUGAGUUAGCUUGUUCUCAUGCAUUUAUGUUGUUAUUUCUUAGUUAAUUAUGUAUUUUAAGCUAUUUUCGUGUGUUUGUAGGUCCAUAGGCCUUAUAAAGCAAUAAGGUGCAUUUUGGAGCAGUUUUGGGCUUGGAAUGGAUAGCACAUGCAUGGAGUAAGGUGAUGGACGAAAUUGAAGACUAAAGAGGCUUGGAAUGUGUUAAAAAGAAAGAAUAAUUAAUGACAAAGAGCUCAGCAACCAAACAGGGAACAUGAGUCAAGAUUACCUUAUUUUGAUUUAAUCUUUCCUAAUCUUCAAUGUCCCUAAGUUCCAACAACAUUCCUUGUCUAUUUCAUUCACUCAUUGCCUAGCACCACCCUUGUUCCCUCCAUCAUUCCAAAUUUCUUGCAUCAAUCAUCACUCCACCUUAACCCUUGACUCAUUUCUACACCAUUCCACCUCCCUUUCCUUUCUCUACCAUGUGCACAAUCAUUCAUGUUCCCUACUUGCAUUCAUUGUUGCAACACCACUCCAUUUUACCCCUCAUGCUUUGCAUCAUUACUUCACUUUCACCUUUGAAUCAUUUCAACACCACUUCAUUUUACCCAUGGUUUGCAUCAUUACUUCACUUUCACUUUCACCUUUGCAUCAUUACUUCACUUUCACCUUUGAAUCAUUUCAACACCACUCCAUGUCCCCCUCCAUUGCCUUGCCCUUCCUCUAUAAAAGGAAGUGUGUGUAACAUAAAUUUAGUUCAUAUAUUUUUUUAGAUCAUUCACUCCCAUUUCAAUACAACCUUCAUCCAAACACAUUCAUUCAUCUUCACAUCCAUUCCUCCAUACAAACAAACCUUCAAACACUCACCAACACCUUGUGCCAUAGCAAAGGAAGGAAAGGAAAAUGCUUGGACGUGCGUGCUGUCAACUUGGAUCGUUGGAGCGUUUAGGUGUUUUCUUUCUUUUGUUUCCAAUGUUAAAUUCAUUUUCUGAUUUUGUUGCAAUUAUGAGUGGCUAAAACCCUAUUUAGUUAGGGGGAAGUUUGAAGCCAUGAACAUGCUUGAGAUAUGAAUUGAUUUCUUCCAAUUGUGAUUUGAUAAGUUGUGAUUGCAAUUCAAUUAUCUAUUUUAUUCAUAACUGAUUCUUGUAUGUUUAUUAAGGAUGCAUACUUAAUUUUCAUGCAUGAAUUAGAUGCUAGAAUAUAAAUGAGUUUCACCUAAUCGUUACAAGUUUAUAUUCAUGAGUAGUGAAGGUUGUUUAUCACAAUCUGACACACCCCGUCCCGAAGGAGGGCGUGCUGGCCGUCACGUGAGAGUGACGUAACCAUUUACACAGUUCGGAAGCUUUAAAAAAAAAUUCCAAUUACUAAUAUAACACACCCGAGGGUGAGUCCUACUUUUGUGAAUUCUGUCAGAACACCGUUGGAUUCCUCGUGGCCACCAAAGCUCUGCUAACUUGAACCUGGGGCGCAAAACAAAAGCUUGAACUUGAACCUUUCAGGCGCAAAACAAAAGUUUUUUCGAAAACUUUUCAUUUAAAACAUUUCUAACCCCUCACUGUAAAACCUGUAUACUUUCCCAGAAAAUAGUGUAUAUAUAAACAUAUAUAUAAGCAAAAAUCUCGAAUCUCAAACCUUUAACACUUUUCAGAAAUAUAUAUAUAUAUAUAUAUAUAUAUAUAUAACCAUUUGAAAUCUCAAGACUUGAAUCCCAAAUCUUUAACAUUUUUCAAGAAAAGCAUGCCAUGCCAUAAAUCAAAAAUAUAAAUCAGGUGAAAUAAGGAAUCAAUCGGAGACCCUGCAGUUGGUCCUAUACGAUUAAUUCAAUAGCUCAUUAUCUCACUAAGCCGGAGUCACCACAGUAACCUAUACGGCCCUACUCUGCACAUCACUCAGAACUACGUAAGGUAGUCUAUACGAUGAAAGGUGUAAAAAUACGCUCUAGUGCUUCUCUCAUCAUAUCAUCAGCGCGCAUAACUAAGAUCACCCACUAGUCGGAAUCACGCCUAGUGAUCUAUACGACUAGCAUGUCGGAACCCUCACAUGGUCUGUACGACAUCCACCUACUUGGAUCCAAGGCGAGCGUGCGGUGUGGUGAAUAAAAUAAGCACUAACACCUAGGGUGCAGGUUAUGAGCUUAAAACAUCUUAUCAACAAUCAAUUAAAUGAAUAAAUGAACUCACCUGACUUACCUGUGCCUCCACCGCACCAUGCAACAUGUAUGCAUCAAAUAUCAAUUCGUAUAACUCAUACGCAAUUCACAUUUUUCAAUUAAUUCUAUGCAUGGCAUUUUUAAAACAUAUUUUCAUAUAAAUUCAUUUUAUGGGAAAAAUCAAUAGUAUAAAGGUAAUACAAAAACAAAACUGCCCACUCACCUGGAGUUCGCCCAACAACUCCCUAGCACCACACAUCAAGGCGUCAUGAAGAUUAGUGCCUAGAACAAUAAUCAAACCCAACCUCAGAAAUCAUGCCGAUAGAAUACAUAACUUAUAUAAGACGCGUCCCUACGUAGUUCGAUCCGGAUGAUCUGCAACUCGGAUUUCAAAUCCGUAACUUCCAGAGGUCCACAAUAUACCUCUAGGACAACAUCCUAAAAUUUCAUUACCAUCCAACGGUCGGAUCUCCGUCAAUUUCCAAAACUAAGUGCCGGUUAACAUUCUAUUUUAUGAACUUACAACUCCAAUUCCGGAAGAUCCGUAAAUCGGAUUCCCAAUCCGUAAGUUCCUAUAAUCCUCAAAUAUUACGUAUUACAACGUAUCAACGUUUGGUGACGAUCCAACGGUCGGAUCGUCAAUUCACAUUUUCACCUAACUACGAAUCGUAACCAACUUAGGUUCAAUUACUCAAUUUACGUCCAUCAAUUAUCAAAACUGAACCUAGAGCCUUAAUCACAUGCUAAUAAUGACAUUGGCGGGCCAUUGGCCAUGCGCCGCCGCGCGGGCCGCCGCGGGUGGCGGUUGGCCGCCCCCGGCUCGCCGGAAAAUUCAACUAUUUCCAAAAAUUACCAAAAUUUGCAGAUUUGAAGAUAUCAAUGAGUAGAACAACUUUCAUACCUGUGGCCAAGGCCAAUUUGGCCUGGAAGUGCUUCAAUUUCACCAAAACCGUGAAGAACCCUAGAAUUAGGUGUUUCCAAUUCGACCUUCAAACUUGUUCCAACGCCUCAAUUACCUCUUAGUAUUUGUUCUAGGUCCUAAAGGAAUGCUAAUGGUGUUAGUAAUUGAAAGAAAACAUUUCAAAAUUUCAAGAAUUUAAACAAAAGGGUCGCGGCACCCGUGUGGGUGUUCUUCGCGAAAUCACCAUGAAAUUUAAUGAUUCUUGGGGUGAAACGUGAAGAGGGAAGGCCUAGAUGUUGAUUAGGAGUGGUACCUUGACUCAAUUCGUCGGAAAUUUGGACGAAAAUGGUGAGAACCCGCCGAUUGGAAGUCGCGGGUCGCACGGGUAUACGGGUUGGGAAAACCCAUUUCUUCCUUCUCUCCUCCGCUUCUCGCCCUCUCUCCUUUCCUCCUUUCCUUCCUCUGGUUGGUCAGCUUCUCCCUCUCUCUUCUUCUGAUUCGCCUCUCCUCCUUCUUCUCCGAUUGGGCAGUUUUUGCCCAAUCUCUCUUCUUCUUUCUGUUUUCUGGUUCUUCUCACGCGCACACACACACACAACUUCCUUUUUCUCAUCCCAGCCAUCUAUUUCAUUCAUCAUUAAAUCUGGGUCGUCCAUUUUCAUAAAAGAAUUUCUAUUUUACUAAAAUUAUAAUUCCUUAAAAUCCCAAAUUUCAAACGUUAAUAACUUCUUCGAUAUAACUCCAAAUCACGAACCGUCUACGCCCACGCGUCCGUAACGACGAGUACUACGAGGAUAUGUCAAGAAAACAAAUCUUAGAUGGCACGACACAACGAUUAACCUCGAAUGAUGUGCGUGCCUCAAAGGGCAUUUUUGUAAAAUCCUUUAUGAAAACUUUAAAAAUUCUUAAAAUUAGGGACGGGCUGUCACACAAUCGCGUUAAUUGAAUUCUUGGCAAUUGUAUCAUGCAUUCAUAGUUAUAAUUGUCUCGUCAACACUUAUGAUUUUCAUUGAACGUAAUGAUCUCUGAUUGUAUCUCUAUUAUGCAUUAAUAUAGGGGACUUUUAGAGGAUGAUUUGGGUUGUCGCAUGCAUUCAUCCAAUUCAAUGAGUAAAGGAAAAUCUGAGGGUUAAUUUGUGCAUCACGGUUAAUCUGGGUGUUGAGCAUAAUAGUUUAUUGAAAAGCAAUUGGAAAUCGAUUCAUGUACAAGUGUGUCAUGUGUGAAGAACGGACCUCUAACUAAUCCAUCCAUCAUUUUAUUUCUCAAAUUCAUUUUAUAAUCUGCCUAGUUUUAUAACUUGCUUGUUUAUUUCAAAUUCAUCCAAACCAAAAUCCCCUUUUUACUUUCUUGUUUCAAAGUGUUAAAUUUCUGUUUUGUUUGUGUUUUUGAGUGUUUUGAUUCAAGCCAAAACACUAAAUUCAUCCAAAGUUGAUUUAAAGUCCAAAUCUGACUAGUUUGUGUUUUUAGGCAGUUUUGAGUGUUUUUAAGUUGUUUUGAAUCUUUAGAAUCUGUUUUGAGUCCCUUGAGUCUAUUCAAACAUUUUUAAUUUUGUUUUUAUGUUUUUGAGUCAGUUUAAAGGUUUUAGCAAGCCCUCCUAAUCCCCGGUUUAGAACGAUCCCUACUUGCAUUUAUACUACAAUUUGACAACAAGAGGGUUUAAUUUGAGUGCUUAACUUUCAUCGCAUCAUGUGAGUUCCCAGAAACAAAACUGUGAGGGCGUGGCCAGGGCCCAAAGCGGACAAUAUCGUGUUAUGGCGGAGCCGAGAUUGGGAUGUGACAUUGUCACCUAAGACAAAGUACAUGUCCACAUUUAGAGUUCUUCAAGUAUUCACAUAAUAAAAAAUUUCCAUACGCCCCCUACAACGAAUGAAGAGAAAUCGAGACACGUUGACAAAAAAUCAACCGUCGAUCAACGGUAGGGUCCACAACCCUACAUAACUCGAUCCGCAAGAUCCAACCACUGUAUUUGUGAUUCAUAAGUUCCUAAGGUCCUCAAAUCUUACAUACAAUAACAUACUAAACUUUGGUGACGAUCUAAUGGUCGAAUCAUCAUUUGCUAUAAUGUUCAAAUUACGCAAAUUCGUCAAUCAGAUGUCAAAUAUGGAAUCAGACAUCAAAUUUAGCUUAGAAAGGUCAAGUGGUGUCUCGAGCACGCGCCGCCGUGCGCAACAGCUGGCAACCUAGAUUCGUCGGAAAAAUCACCUAAUUCCAAAUGAAUGUCGUGAGACGUGGAGUAAAUUGUAUACCUGUGAAGAAGCCCAAUUUGGCCGGGAAGUGGCCUGAAAUCACUUUAGACCGUCGGAAACCCUAAAAUAGGUGAAUCUCGAUUCGUCAUCUCCGGUAUUCCACCGUCCUCAAACUUGUUUAGGGUUUGCUCAUGGUCUCAAAAGAAUGCUAAUGAUGGUGGUGAUUGAAAGAGAACGUUUCAGAAAUAGUGAAUCGCCAAUGAGGGUUUCACGAAACCGACAUGGGUGUUCCUCGUGGAACCAAGACCAAAUCUCAAUGGUUUUGGCUAGAAAUGGAUGCUGGGAUGUCGUGGUGAAGUUUGGUAGUGAUGGGAGGUUGAAGAAAGACAAAAAAAUCGACAAAACAACCGUCGUCGGAGUCGCAGGAAACGGGUUAGAAAAAUGAGUCGCCAGGUCUGAAACGUCGAAGGCUUUUGGGACAGCUACUUACUCUCUCUUCUCUGAUUAGUCACUCCACUCACUCUCUCAUUUGAUUGGUCCAGCCUUCCCACAUGGUGGGAGUUCCCUCAUAUAGUAACCCAAAAUUUACUAUUUAAAUCUGGUAUUGAACGUCCGUAACUUUUUCGUUAUGGUUUCGAUUCGCAAACGGUUUUCACCUACGCGCUCAUAUGAUCGAAUUAUACUCGAAAACAUUAAUUAUGACCUCGAAAAGGUCUACGAGUUUUAAAAGAUUAAUUACAAAAAUUCACACCUUGUAACUAUACGAUUCAAAUUCUAAAAUUAACGGAAUUAAAAUAAACUAAAAAUAAUGUAAACACGAAAUACAGACUUUAAUAAUGAAAUACGUAAUUAAUAGUGGAAUUCCGGGGACGGGAUUUCACACCUUGCAUCCGGACCUUCAAUGCGGAUCAAAAUCCAAAGGUCGCGAUCUGACGAGCUCAUGCAUAGAACAGAGUUGUUGUGACCCAAUGCAAUUCAAAACUUUUAUGUUUUUUUAUUUACUGGGUACGUUUUUGUAGGAGGAAAAGGGGAAGUCGAGAGAUUCUUUGCGCAUUAAAGAGGGAAAGAGAGAAAGGGGGAGCUAAGAGGUUCUUCGCGCGUUAAAUUUUUGCUUCUGAUUUUGCAACCUAGAAAUAAAGUAUUUUCUUUAUGGUUUAUGGUUCAAGAAUAUAAUGGAUACAGCCUAAAAAUGUUUCUUUUUUUAUUUUUUACUUUUUUUUUCUUAUGUUGGCUUUUGGUUUAUUUUUAUAAUGCACUAUAUAUUAACUAAAUUUAUAAACAUUUUGUAUCUUUGUUGCAGUCAAAUUAAUCAUAUGGGUCGGCAUGACGAAGUUCGACUGAGACAUACAGAUGUUUUGCAAUCUUAAGUCUAACCUGACACACCCCGACCUCAAUAUCUAGUGGACACCAAAAUUGAGGUGUGAUGGCCAUCAUCCGGAUGGGUGAUGAAACCAUAAUAUGCAUGAAACAUAACUAAAUUAUCAACCAAUAAAAUCUAUUGAAAAAUUUGGCAGAACAUCCCUUAAAAUAGGGAUAUGCCCAAAUUAAAAACACUUGCACAUGAUCAAAAUUAUUCAACACUUCCCCGAAGGGCCACACUUAAUGGGACUUCGACCAUCUAUUACAUGCAUGAGAAUAUGUUCAGAGCAUAAUUACCCAAACACGUCUUAUUAAAAUAUUGAGUAAAUACCAUACAAGAUAGAAUACGUCAGAGCUGUUGCAAAAUACCUCAAUGUCCGAUGUAAUCACUGAUAGAAUUACUGAAUCAUGUAUAGAUGGAAAGCUGAUAAAUACAUGUAAUUUGAGUGGAUACUUACCAGCAGCAUGGAUACAAUAUCAUCCACCGGUCGUAACUAAUGACAAGCUGAGAGUAUAACUGUAGUACCUCUUAUUAGUGCAAUGCAUGAUAUGAAUUCCAUCUCACAUAUAUAUGCAAGCCAUAAUCAAACCAAUAAACAUCCAACAAAAGCCACAAUCCUUUUAACAUUCGACCACAAGAUCAAUUUUCAUAUUUCCCAAACCUAGGUUCCAAAGCAUUGUUUCGAAUUAUUAAUACAAGAAACCACCACCACCUCAAUCAACUCCUAUUCCCAAGUGUAAGCAAUUACUAAAUGCAUCACUUUCGACUCUAGUCUUAAUUAGAUUACUUGGGAUACUCAUUCACACCAUCAGAUCCAAGUACUAUUUUGAUAAACUUUAAAUAGCAUGGUUAAAAUAAAUGAAACACUUUUAGAAAAUAAGUGAAGAUGUUGUUUACAAAUAUAGAUGCAUCUGUAUAUAAAAGCUUUGGCGGUUGAUCCGUAUACACUUCCAAAGAUAUAAGCAAGUUCAUUGGAAUAUACAUGCAUAGUUAAUGUAUUACAGUAUAAUUAAUAAGAAAACAAUUGCAUCCCUUUAAGAAUAUAUAUAUAUAUAUAUAGACACACACACAUACAUACACACAGGCCCUUUAUGCAAAGGAAUUUCCAUUUUUUUUCAAAAAAUGGGGAUUAGUUGUGGGGCCCACGUUGCAUUGAACUUUAACGAUCCGAACAGUCUAUUUUGUAAGUCUCGAUUCAUAUAUCAUCCUUGUAAAAAUUCAAUUCAAUCCGAACCCAUUUGCCUAUUUAAUUAUCAAGAUAAAAUUUUAUUGUUUCUUAUAUAACAAAGUAUUCGUUAAUUUCUUUGAACUCAAUUAGAUAUCUUAAACAUUUCCGAUUUGGUUAAUAUUUUGUAAGGAUGAUCUAUGUGGUGCAACUUGAAAAAUAGACGAUUACGAUCGUUAAAGUUCGAUGUGGUGUAAACCCUACAAUUAAUCUUCAUUUUUAUAAAAGAAUGGGAACCCCUUCCCUUAAAGGUUUCCUAUGUAUAUAUUUGUUCUCCAGACAUAUGCAGAAGGUAAUGUAAAACUAAUGAGAACUUAAAUGGAUAUUCCAUACAUAGGACAAUUCCAUAUAUGCUUUUUCAACAUUUAUAUCGAAAAGCCAAAUUGUUUUGAGGAAAUUAAUUGUAGCAAUGAUCCCUUAACUUUUAUCUUAUUGGAACAAUGGUCUCUCAACUAAAAAUUCAUGACCAUUGGUUCCUUAACACCACACAACGUGUAGUUAUGGUCAUUUUCAUUAACUCCGUCAGAACUUUUGUUAAAACAAGUAAUGUUAGAAGAAUCAUUGCUACAAUUAGGUUAAAGUUGGGGACCAUUGCUCUAAUUAAAUUAAAAUUGAGGGAUCAUUUCUCCAAAUUGCUUAAAGUUCAAGGACCAUUUCUACAAUUUUCUCAUCUAGUUUCCCAUAUUUACCCCAUGAUUCAGCUUCACAUGCAUUGCACAUGACUCAUUUUGACAAAAAAUUUAACAAAAUUGACGAAAAUGACCAUAAAUGCACGUUUUGAAGAGUUAAGAGACCAAUGGUCGUGGAUUUUAGUUGAGGGAUCAUUGCUCCAAUUUGGUUAAAGUUGAGGGAUCAUUGCUACAGUUUUCUCAAAUGUUUCGUAUGCGAAAAUAGGCAUUUGUAAAGUUUGGCUUGUUUAUGGCAUUAUUACUUUAGUCUAAAGUAAGGCUGGGAAUGGCACUGUAGAAAUGAAUAGUGUUCCAAUCCGAAUUUCAGUUUAAUUACAACAAUGCCAUUGCUCUUUGUGUUGCCUUUAGGUGAGCAGCCCGGCUUGCAGUCAGGCCCAAAUGUAUUGGUUUUAGCUGAGAAGCCCGGCCCUUGGUCAGGCCCAAAAUUUUAAAUUACAGUUUUGCCCAUACAAAAUAACAAUCCGAUUGUAUCGGGAAGGACAAUUUUGUCCUUUCAGUUUUGGGUGAGAUAAGGGGUAACAGGGUAAGUUUCAUUUGCUGUCGUUUAAUGAGGGUUUCGGGGAUGAGGGCUCUGUGUGUGUGUGGAUGAGAGAGAGAGAGAGAGAGAGAGAGAGGGAGAUGGCGAUGGAAGGAGAGCGAGGGGGAAGGGAAGGGUUCUCGGCACUGUUGCUGCAUGUGGAUUUCACAUGUGGGAGAGUGGGUAUGGUCAGAGAAAACCAUAUAGGUCAUUGGGAUUUCAGGGAAACGGGGUAGGGGUCAUGAAUGAACUCUGCUGAGAGUGUGGGUACCGGAUCUUGCGCUGCAUGCCUCAAAUCAAAGAUAAGUUCGUUUUUUUAUUGUAUUUUUUGUGGUAGCUUAGCUUUUGGAAUUGUUUAGUAUGUUAGGUCCGAUUUUGGGGGAUUUAUCUUUUUAGAGAGAGAGAUGGACAGGGAGAUAGAGAGAGAGAGAGAGAGAGAGAGGAGGAGGAAGCAUGACUGUGUGCAAUUUUUGGUGUUAAUUAAUGGGUUGGUGCGUAGGGUGAGUGACAGAGUGACAGAGUGAAGGAGGGACGUGUGGGAGGGUAUGAGUUUUCAGUUCUUUCUUUUGAUUCAACAGGUUAUACAUUGUUUGAAAAACCUUUUUUUAUUAUUUUUUUCUCGUUUGCUUUGUUAAAACCAUCAUUUGAAUUUUUGGGUUUCACUGUGUUCAUUUCUCUGCUUCUUCAUAAUUUGCUGGUGUUUGCUUUUCAUCCCUCUAUUGGUAGAUCUUUUUCUCAUUUCUUGGUUCCUUAUGUAUUCUUUGGUACAAAUCUAUUUACUUUUUGGCUGUGUGAUAAUCUUAGCAGGUGAACUAUAUGAACGUUUUUUUUGAAACGAGUUAAGAAGAUCCAGCUGAAAAGAGCAUGCAAGAUAGAGAACUGGUAUGCUGCUCGCCAGGGAAAGGCUGCUGGAGAGGCUGAGACGGAUGCCUCCUUCAAAAACCAGGUCAGUUUCCUGCUACUCGGCGUCUUAAUGUAUCCAAAUUGUUUAUCUUUUGAUGAAAUUAGCUGGCUUUAUUUUCUAUUUUAUUUAUCUGCAUAUUAUUUUGGUUUGUUGAAAUUUUGACUAUAGUCAUUGUGUCACAUGGGCGCCCAGCCCAACCCAAAUUAGUUGAGGAUAUUUAAAUCUUCACCAUGGUAUUAUAGUACUCACUCACAGUUGUGAAUACUAAGGUGCAGGCAUGGCAUGAAGAAGUGGACCGUGCACGCCAAGGUCAGAGGGAUGCAGAGGGCAAACUUUUUUCUUUGGAGGUAAGUAUCCUUUGUUUAUUGCCCAACAGUGUUGUUAUUAUCAAUUUGUAGCUUUGCGUUCUGAAUUUUUUGCUUUGUCAAACAACCUUUUUGAAAUGCUCGAUUUCAAGCCGAAGUCCAAAAAAUGAGAGUUGAGAUGGCUUCCAUGAAGAGGGAUGUAGAGCAUUACUCGCGCCAGGUGAAAUCUGCUUCCUCUCUUUUCGUAUAUCUUCAUAUGAAGAGUUUUACUAAGUUAUAUUGAGAACUAUGUUAUUUAUAGGUUAUAUUUUCCAUUUUGCAAGAACACAUGGAGCUAAGGAAGAGCUAUCGUGAACUCACUGAUCUACUGGUAAUGUCACUCAAACUGCUUUAUUUGUGCAUGCUGCUACUAUGCGCUUGAAUGCAUUUUAUUACUGGCGGGAUGCGAAGAAUGCUAGAUAUAUGUGCUGGAUCGCUUGAUUAGUGUUAGGGUUUUAACAACUAAUUGUUAGCAGCUAGAAGCUCUGGUUAGAUGAAUGCUAAUUUGAUUUUCCUUACAGUACUUGAGUGCCAGUUUCAUAUUGUUUGUUCCCUGCUGGAUACAUGCUGUACAGUUUCAUUUCUGUUUCUUCAUAACUUUCUUGGCCCUGCGAUAUAUGCAUAUUGAGUACAAUGAAUAUCCAUUGUUCUCUAACUGUUGGGCUUUACUAUCUUUGUAGCAGCCUGCCUAACAUUUUUUAGGCUCUACACUCUACCAUCCAAUUUAUGAAAAAUUCAAAGAUUGGACGGUAUUGAUUGCAUAAAUGAAAAAAAUACUAUGAUAUUAGAAAGGUGAAUGUAAUUGUGUUAGAAGAAGCGUCUAGCAUGAUGGGUAAUAUUUUAAGUUUGUAUUUCUAAAAUUUUUUCGUUCUGGAGUAUGAUUUACCUCAAUUGUUUUGUACUUUAAUCUUUACUAAUUUUCAUUGUGGAGUAUGAUUUGCCUCAACUAACAACUUUUCAUUGUUUAACUUUUUCCUCCCUUAGAUAGUUGCAUAUGUUUGAUUUGUUAAUCUGCUUCUUACACAUGUUGUUUCCUAAUGGUGUAGGUGGAUUGCCGGAUGCAUGUGCAGAUUACUUGAAUAGACGAAGCUAAGAAUGACUUAGUAUUAAGUGAGAAAGAAGCUUGGGUCAGUUGGAUUUUGACAUUUGAUUUAUUCAUGUUUUUUUGUUGCUUGCAAUGUUCUCUCAUUGUUUGUUCUGAGAUUCUGUGAUCUUAUUUUUCAUAGGAACUGACAUUGGUUUGCCAUAUAAUGUUUCAGGAACUAAUACAACAACUAAUCACCUUGCUUAGGUCUCAAGACACAUACUUAACAGGUUAACAAACGCUAACCUAUAAACUUAUCUACUAAGCUGGACCAUUAACCUCUGUUUAUAUCCCUGCCACUCAUCUUUUGGCACUUAUCAAUAGCAAAAUCUAGAGUUGUUGAAACCCCAAUUUUAAUGAAUAUUAUUUUUAGUUGAUAAUUAAAAUUAAUUGAUGAUUAAUCUAUUCCAUUGUGCAUUAUUUUAUCGCCAAAUACUUUGAAUAUUCAUUAGCAAAAGAUAUAGGGUUCACUAUUUAAUGAAUAGAAUUUUGAUGGUGGAUUGCAUUUCCUGAGUUAUAAAUGUGGUGAAUCCAUUAUUUACUAGCUGAAUAAUCAUAAUGUUUUGGCCACUUACCUUGAAUUUUGUUCAAAUUGAAGAAGUCACAUGUUUCUUUCUGUUGUUGAGGUAAUCUCUCUGUUGAAAGCUUCUAUUUCUUUUUUCUUUUUCUUUUUUUCAUUUGGGUAGAUUUUUUUUUUAUGGAUUUAUGUAUUUUUUUUCUUCAGAGAAUUCGAAAUGAAAUAAGAAUAGCGGAUUGAGCAUAAACAAAUUGAUGAAAUUUUUAUUUGAGUGUUUGUGUUGGUCCUUUUUUGAUUUGUUGAGGUUUGGAAUUAUUUGAGUUUUUUUGCUGUUAGUACUGUGAAGGAUGCUUGGCAAUCGCGAAAUGGGGGCUACCUCUUUGGAAAGAGAAGUCUCGCUAUCCAACCUCUCAUGAAUUACAAACAGGGUGCUUUCUUGCUGAAAAACCACUGAAUCAGUAGAACUUUCCUCGGUUCUUCAAUUCGAUUCGAAUAAUUUUUUUACCCAGAAAAGCCAGCGUUUCCUGGUGAGUUUUACAGCUUUCUCAAUGUUUUUUUUAUUUUGGAUUUGCAAAUUUGUUUUCUGUUCAAAUUUCCUUUUGUGAUUUUGGAGGUUUUGUUUAUCGAUUCUCUCACUCAUCUCUCAGCUCUCUCCCACUUUUGAGGUACAUGUCGUUGGAUUCCGUUUGCUGCUGUUGAUCUGCAGGUAAAGCUUCAAUUACCAUACAAAGUUUACAUUUUUCAUGAUUUCUUGAAUUUGGGUUUUAAACAAAGGAAAUAUUGCUAGAUUCUUAUCUUAUGUGCAAAUUACUGGCUAUUUGGAUUGGUGCUUGAGAUUUAGAGAAUGUCUCGCAGCUUUAAUUUCUUUUUCCUUCAUUAUUACUGUUUUCAAAAUUUUUAUUGCUGGGUAUUGAUAAUUUGUAGUAUGUGAGGGCUUCAAUAUGUUGGAAUUUUGAAUGGUUAUUGCUUCAUCGGAAUUUGGGUGGUCCAAAUUUUGAAUUAGAAGAAACCCAUUUGAUUAAUAUUUUUGGUGGAUUGGUUCUCUGUGUUUUCUUUGCUAUUUCUCCCCCAGUUGGAAAUUGGAAGCCCCAACUUUGAGCUCAGAGCUUGAAUUUCUCAAUCGUUCGUUUCUCUACACUCUCAUCAGUCACUCUUGAUCCUCUAUCUAAAGAACUGGGUAAUUUUCCAGCUCUAUCAAGUAAUACUCAAUUUAAUUGCUUAAUUGAGGUUUUUUGUUUCUCUUUUUCGCUCUUUCAUCAGUUCAUUGGCUUUGAUGUUGAGCUUAAGUAAAUGGGAGAUCAUUAAUUGGCAUUGUUCAAAAUAUAAUUAUGUGUUUUUGGAUUUGUGAAACGAUUUGCCUAAUGAUGAUAGUGGUUAAAAUAAAUUUUUCGUUAUGAAAGAGAACAUUGUUCUUCAUUUGCCUACGGUUUUAACUACAAAGUUAAACUACUAUGCUUUUGUUCAAUUGAUUGCAACUCAUGCCGCAGUUUGCUUCACAAACCUCUAUGGUUAGCUUCCAUACAGUAUGUUGCAAGUUUGAGGAUAUCUUUACAUCUUAAUUUUUGCUCUCUCUGGUUGCUUCAAGUUUGUAAUUUUACGUGUUACAUUGCUACUUGAUUUGAUUAUAAAAAUGCAAAAGAAAAUCCAUUUUGCUUUUAUUCAACUUAAAUGUAUCCUUUUGUUUGUUCAUAAUUGUGUUGAAUUUAUUCAACUUAAAUGUGUUUUAUUCAUCUGUUUACGCUUAAAACAACUGGUUCCCCUAGCAAUGCGCGGACCUAAUUUCUAGUACAUAUACUAAAAGCCAGCAGAAAAUUACUGUUCAUCAUGGGAGAUAGAGCACUGUUCAUUAACAGUGAAAGGGAAAAAAUGCCCUCGGUUUCUUCUUUACUUCACGUACUGUUUACGAAUUGCUACAGUAUAAAGUCCGUUUUGUCAUUCCUGUCCACGCAUCUUUCAUCGUCCGUUUCUCUUGCUUCGACCGCAUCUUUUUCGCUUUACCUUUCCUCUUCGUUUUUCGCCUUCGCUAGGCUGCAAUUUUCGGAGGUGGAUUGUUUGCCCUUCUAUUUCCAUGCUCUCCCCAUGCCCUCCAUUGAUGUGUGGUCACGGUUAAACUAUGUCAACAUUUUAUAUUAAUUUUUUUAUAGAAAUAAUAAAAUAAAAAGUAAUAGGUAUCCAGGAAAUUUUCGUCAAAAUAUCCAGGAAAUAGGUAUCCAGGAAAUUUGCUUUACCGAUAUUUUAAUAGGUAUCCAGGAAAUUUGCUUUACCGAUAUUUCGCCGAUAUUAUCGGUUUUUUGCUUUACCGAUAUUUUAAUAGGUAUCCAGGAAAUUUUCGUCAAAAUAUCGCGAUAUUAUCGAUAUUAUCGAUAAUAUCGCGAUAUUUUAGAUAAUAUCGAGACAUUUUGGUUUCUCGACAGUCAGUCACAAUCUCGCCGGAGAAUCAGAAUAACUCCGAGCAAGAACAAAACCUGCAACCAAACGGAACAAAAUCAUCACUAUCUUUCAACAAAAAUCACCACUUUAUACCAAAAUCAGUGACAAAAUUACACUAAUCCGAGAAGCAAGGGCUUGAAUUCGAGCAAGAUCUGGAAGAAAACAGUAGAAGCUGAGAAAUCGAGUACCUCACCGGCAGUUACAGUGCUAAAGAUCAUCAUCUUUGGAAGGCCGCGGAUCAGACGGAGCUGAGAGAUCAAUGAGUAAGCAUUUCAUAGAUCGUAUUCGAUGAGCAGCUGAAAGAGAGGAGAGAGAAAGCAGAGAGAGACGCGGACGAGGAGGAUCUCGCUGAUGGGGACGACGAAGGAGAGGUAGAGGUCGCGGCCCGCGGGACAUGGUGACGGGCUCGACGAGGAGGAAGGCGAAGGAGGAGCAGAGGAGAUGGGUGCGUGCGUGCUGCGGUGCAGAGAAGAGAGAUGAGGGAGAUAUGAGAGAGAGAGAGCCGAGAGGGAGACAGAAGAAAAAGAAAAGAAAACAGAAAGAAGAAGAAAAGAAGAAGGGAGUCGCGGGGGAACAAAGAGAGAAAAGAGAAAAGUGGAGGGGCUGCCACGUGGCCACUUCAGAAAGAAAGGGAUCCAAUGUUUUGGAUCCUGAUUGGGUAGUCAAAGAGGACCAAUUUGAUAUAUUAAAAUGUUUAGGGGAUAAUUACACAAAUAUAUCUUUAUAAAUGGGGGUGGGUGUUACAUAUUGCCCUAAAAAACUCCAAGUAAUUACAACAUCGUAUUAGAAUUGUAAUUGAUCCUUGUUAGAUUUGGUUUAGAAAUUCUAUGUAAUUUAGUGAUUGUUUCAUAUUAGAUUUAGAUUUGAAUUUUUUACUCCAUUCAGAUUUUAAAUGAUUAUAAUAGAUUUAAAAAUUUACGAACUUUGAUGAAGUUUAAUAAUUUUUAAAACUUUUAUGUAAAAUUUUAAGUGAAUUCCCUCAAAUUUUCAGGUAGCGAUUUGAGAAUGUUUAAAAUAUUAUGUGAAAUAUUUCUAAUUUUUUCGAGUUUCCCAGCUUUUUAAAAAUCUCUUUGAAUCAAUUUCUAAAUUAAUACAUUUGGAAUGUAUGAAUUUCUUAAAAAUCAUGAUCGAAUACCCCUUAAACUUUAAAGAAUCACUUAAAAUCCUAAUUAAAUGCCCUUAGAUUUUUAAGGAGAAUUAAAAUGUUUAUAAGCCCCAAUUGGAUGUACCGCUUAAUUUAACUAAUUGACACAACACAACAUAACCAGUUAAGAUUACAAAUUAACACAAAAGACGACUUGAUGCGAGGUCAUAUCUACAAAACUUGCCGCAAUAAGCCCCAAUUGGUGUGUUUAAACUUCUUUCAUUAAUUACUACAUAUUUUCUACACUCAUAAUGUUUGUCAGCUCGCUAUAUAAUCAACUUGAUAAUGUUAAAUCCAUCAUGCAAUGCAUUUCCUUCCAAUUUUUUGUGAUAAACUAAUAGAUAAUUGACUAAAUAAACAUCCUGCAAAGUUUCAAUAAAAAUUUUCAAGUUUUUUUUACAAUUUCCGUGAUUUUCAUGUAAUUUUUAUCGGUAUCGAUAUUAUGCCGAUAUUUUUAUCAAUAUUUCCGUGUUUUCGAGUACAUAUUUCCGAUAUUACCGAUUCAUCCGCGAUUUUCUCCCUUUUCGCCAGCCCCUCUUUUGCUCUCAAAUCCUUGCUCUUUCUUUUUCAAACUAGUCUCAGAAGAGAUCCUGGGUUUAUCUAAUCCUUUGUUGUUCGGCGUUUUGUUCUCAUCUUGCGAUCGUCGGGGCAGCAGCUUUAAGGUAAGUUUGUUUUUAAUGAUUUAUCCUCAAUUUACGAUGUCUGGGCUAACAAAUUUAAGAUCUUUAUUUUUCUUUUUGCUGUGGAUCUGCAGGUUUUGACAAGUUUUUUGUGAAAUUGGUGCUGUCAGUGGGUGUUAAUAUCAGGUACCCAUGUUCAGUUUUUCGUUUUGAUUUGAAGGAAUUUCUUGCGCAGAAGAGCUAGGUUUCUUGGUGAGUUCUUCGGGUUGUGCAUAUGGGUAAUUUUCUUUUAGGUAUAACCCUCUGCUUCUGCUGCUCUCUCUCUCUCUCAUCCCUGCCUGCUCCUCUCCAAUUGUUUGCUGUUCUUAAAUAUUGUGUUCAUUGCCUGAUACAAGGAGCUGCAGCAAUCUGUUUUAUCCUACACGGGACAACGAGGCAAUGGCGUGACAACAAGUGAGCUUGGAUAUCCAAAGAAAAAGAACAGUUGGUUCAUCUGCUGGAGUCUGAAGCUCAGAGAAGUGGAGGAAAAUUGCAGGUGUGCGAGAAAUUUUAUUUUGCUGAUAGGACUCCUUAUUUACCGAUGCAUUUUGAAUUAAUUGAAAAGUUGGAUUUGAGUUAACAGCUAUAAAAAUGUAGACAUGAUUGCUGAGAUUAUGCUAUGAAAGUGGAAUAAAAAAAUGGUAGUUUAUAAUAUUGCGUACCAAUUUUUUUCUCUCUUUUUUACCAAAUGAUAAGGGUGGUGGCUCAGGCCGCCCCCCUACGCGUCCCCACUCUUCGACAAGUUGAAAUCAUGGUGAUAGUUUAUGGGUUGCGGUCUUGGGAUUCUGCAAAUAGAAUAAAAAACAGACACUUAACUAUCUUGUUAUUAAGCAUUUCUGCAUCAUUCAGUUGCUCUUGAUUUUCGUCUUUUAAGCGCUCUUAUUUCUGCGAUCUGACUUGAGGAGGGGUUUUAGACCUAUGGUUGUGGGUGUUUUGUCUGACCCCAUUAAAUUGGUUUCCGAGAUUUGUAGACUUGCGAUCGGCGGUCAAACAUUUCGUGAUUCUUGCUUUUUUUCCGACUGGGAUUGACGAAUUUUGGCCGAAUCUGUUUCCUGUUUUCUUCUCUGUUUGAGCGGCCGCUGCCUUUCGGUCGUUGAGCGCCGGCAGUCUUUAGAUCUUUGGCAAAUCAAUUUAAUACAACCGAGGUAUGUUUUAUAACUGCUGUCUUUCAAUUUUUGUUCUGUAUUUUUGUUAAUUUGGAUGAAGCUCUAAUAAUUUUGUUUUGGAUCAGUUGUGGUCCUCUGUUAGGAUUUUCCUGGCUAAGAGGGUAUUUGCAUUUUUGUUGCUUGGUUGGUCGAUCCAGUGUAUUAAAAGCGUGAGGCGUGGGCGAGGCGUCCGAGGGAAGCUCGGCCUAGGCGUGAGGCGUGAGGCGAAGCCUCAUGGGACCUAAAUUUUUUAAUAUAUAUACAUUGAGCGUACACAUAUAUUAUAUUAAAAAUAAGAAGAUUAUUAAUCAAUAAUCACCUUGAGCACACACAUAUAUUAUAAAUAUAUACACACACACAUAUAUAUACAUAUAUUAUAUUAUAUAUGCAUAAAAUAGAGGAUGAAAAACACAAUGAGCACACAUAUAACAAUGCACGCAAACAACACACACAUCCAUUAUAUAAAAAUAAAAAUCAGAAAAAAGGCAUAGAGACAAAAGUGCAAGGAAGAUGUAUGAGACAGUUAAAAUCCUACCCAAAAUUUGGGUUUGGGAGUAAAGAAAAAAAAAAAAAAAAAAAAACUCACUGAGGCGCGCCUAGGCGGCUCCGGCGACGCCUAGGCGGCCUUUCGCCCACUCCAGCAAAACUGAGGCGUUAGCCAUGGAGCCAAGCCUCAAGGGCGCCCUAGGCGCGCCUCGAGGCGAGUUUUUUAAAACAUUGGGUCGAUCACAAAUUUACGAACAGCUGUGGUGGUCCUGUUAGAGCCAAGCCUCAAGGGCGCCCUAGGCGCGCCUCGAGGCGAGUUUUUUAAAACAUUGGGUCGAUCACAGAUUUACGAACAGCUGUGGUGGUCCUGUUAUUUUUUUGGUAUGUUUUUUCUCCUUUUUGGUUUUUUCCCGGUUUGAGCACCCAUUCAUGAAGAAUUAAAAUGUGUUUAUAGUUUUUCAGGAGAGAUUAGAAAAGUGAUUUCAAUUUGGGAAAAUUUAAUGUUGGUUAAAAUUUGUUUAUAAUUUUUGGGAAGGAAUGAGAGGACCCAUUGAAGUAUGUGUUGUGAUUAUUUUUUAUUCAUAUUUUUAACAAAUUGGGCAUGAAUUGGUAGGUUAACUGUGUGUGUUUAUUAUUUGAAUCGGCCAUGUUUGUCUUUCUAUGGUUCUAAAAAAUUUGUAAAGGCUGUUAACUUGGAAGAAAAUGGGAUCGAGGGUGAGGGGAAAACAGCAGAGAAAGCAUGGAAGAGAGAUUUGGGAUUAGGGGUAGGAAAACAGAUGAAAAGAAUAUGAUAGAGGAAUGGGUUCAGUUCAUUUUCACUAUUUUUUUUAACUGAUUUGGAUUUUGUUUGGGUUUGAGGCCAUCAUUGGCGUUAAGACGUUUAUUAUCAGAUCGUGUGUGUUUUUUGCUAACUUUUAUUGGUAAUUUUUAUGUUGUUCUUAUGAUUUUGUGUGGUAGGGUUUCUGAAUUUUAUCGUUGUUCAUUUGGUUUUUUCUGAAUUUUAUCUGAUUUUGUGUGGUGAGUUUACAAAAUAAUACUAAAUAAAUUUAUUUGUAAUUUCGGAUGAUUGUGAUUCAAUCCUACUACAAUUGAAAUUCACAGAAAGAAUGAAAAACCAGAACAAAACUGCAGCACCUAAAAAGUUGUCAUACAAAAAAACAUGGAAUGUAAAAAUAUGUUAAGAAAUCUAGUUCGUUAAUUUCCAGCUGGUAAGCGGCAUUAUGUAACUUUAGUAGUAUAACUAAUUAACUACUUAUCUAGUGGGUUGCACUUCUAUCCUUGAUCUCAGUUGUGGCUGCAAAGUGCAGGCCACCACCAAGUCUCAGUGUUUGUGUAUUAGCAAAACACUUAAAUAAAUUAAAUUCUGAAAUGUAAAUUAUAUUCCUAUAACUUUAAGAUGCACAUAUAGUAUUGUUGAAGUCGAACUGAAAGCACUGACAAUUCCAAGCAACAGAGCAGCAAUUAUUAAGAGCCAAAACUCAUUCCUAGUCUCCUCAUCCUGGUACUCUACUCCGUAAUCUUCGUUCAGCAUCAUUGACUGAAAUUAGGAGAGAAAAAGAAAAGGAAUUUCAGAAAUUGUCUAUGAAGCAAAGGAUACUGCAGUUACUUCAAGACAUGUAAAUUGCAUAUGUAUAAAGUAAUUUUCUACAUAAAGUAACGAGGCAUAACUCUCUCUCUCCUCUUCAAACCCUAAACAGAGCAAAGCCACAAACUUUACAGAGAUUAGAAUGAGAACUGGAAUUAAUAGAACAAUGACUGAAAAGUAACAUACUUGAGGAGUGAAUGAUUUAGUGUUUCCAUCAUCGGAAAGCCGGAGUAAGUCGCUAAGAGAGGUCGCAAACAGCCCAAAGGGACAAACCCAGACCCCCGGCCCCGAUCCAUACCCUUCCCCCUCAAAUCCCGACGGCCCCCAUACUUUUCUCUGACUGUACCCCCUCUCCCACUCAUGAAAUCGAGGAUCUGUAGCAAUGGUACUGAGAUCCCCACUCCUCCCCCUCCCUUUCUCUCUGUCACUCUGUCUCCCUCUCCCUCUGUCUGUCUAUCUUUAUCCCAGAGCGGCAUGGCCUCGCAUCCCUGAAACCCUCACCGAAAGGUGGCAAUUUUGUAAAUAACUUGAAAUCCACCAACAGCAGGGGCAGAGAAUUGAAACAGACAUUUAGGCUCGUUCGAUAACCAUUUAGGCCAAAACUGAGCACACCUAAACCAUUCCUACUCGUGCCAAAUGUUAGCGGGGAAGCAAGAUGAUGACUUUAUUGUUCAAAACCAAAAGAAAAAAAGAGAGAAAACAAAAUAACAAAUCUAAUGGUUGUAGUGUAAAAGCUGAGAACGUAAAUAAACAUGCAGGGAAAAAAAUUGAAGAUACAAAGUAGCUGCAUCAUGAAACACUUGCUCCAAUUAGACGCAAAAAGUGAUGGUGAUGAGAAGAGAGAGAAAAUGCAGUCGUUUUGAUUUUUCUGGCUUUUAAAGGGAGCAGCUUUCUUCGACCACCAAAAAAAGGAAGCUGCUUUUCGUGUGGUUGUGAUUUCCUGAGUGUAUGUGAGCGGGUCUAUGGCACUUGCACUUUUUGUGUCGGUUACGGUAACCGGGCGAGGUGGACACGGCGGCGUGGGACUGAAUUCGGAGAGGUGAGAAAAAUUAAAAACACAAAAAGAAGGUGUUCAUUUUGUCACAUUUUUAUUACUAAAAAUUCAAUAAAGUACAUUCAUUAGUAUGGUAACUUAACUAUUUAAUUCCAUCUCAUUAAACUAAAAAAAACAAUUACAUAAAAAUAAGGGAAACCUUGUCCAGAGAGACCUGAGAGAAAGUGACGACUUCUCCUCUCAUUCCACUCCAUACUUGAUCUCUAAAGUCCAUUUGGCAUGUAAUUGAUGUUCAAUUUCAAAUUUAGUGGUAGCAAUUAGCAAAGCUAAUGAAAGAAUAAAAUAAAAUGAAAGAAAAAGCAUCAUGAAAUAAAUCAAGAUGAAGAAUGAAAUUUUGGCAACUCGCCAUUCUCUUCUUUUAUACAAAAGAUACAUCCUAUUUGUAGUGAAAACAGGUCCCGACAAACCCAGUUAUCGUCAAGAAGUAUUUUGUAUGACUUUAAAAACAUAUUCCGAGAAAUUAUCUCUUGGCUGAGAACAACAACAAAUCUUCAUGCAUAGCUUGUAGAGAAAGACAUCAGGCAUACAAAAGAACACGCAAGCAUAAAAUAAACGACGCAGGGAAAACCAAAAAUACAAUUGGAUACGCUGUCAAAAGAACAUAAAUAAAUGAAAAUUACAAAACAAAGAAGUGAUGAGAAACCAAAGUACCCAUUUCAUAAUCUAAUUGCUUUUUAGUUUGCUUGCCAUUUUUAGUUCUUCAAUUUAGAGAGAAACCAUAAUUCAGCACAUGAAUAAAGUGAAAACAUAAAAGAUAUGUGGGAUAAGCUAACAGCCAUCCCUGAGUAAUGCAUUCACUUCUGAACCCCAAACACACCAAAACAAAAAUUCACACACAUGAACUACAGCUCUGCUAUGUAACAAGAAUUAAAAGCAUCUCAAAACAAAAUGGCAAACUAUAAGAGCAAUGUAAAAGUAAAAUUGCAAGAAAUCUAAUACUUGGAGGGCAAGUACUAAUCAGACGAAAAUGAAAGAUUGAACUACCUCGCGUGGAACUGUGCCUUGGUUUUUUCCCAUGCUUACAGGAAGCUUUGCACUGAGCUCUUAUAGCCCAAAUUUUCUCUGAAGGGAAAAAAACACAAUUUUGAAAUAAGAUUUUCAUAUUAUACCUUAAAGAGAAGAAUUAGACAACAAAAAAGAGAACAAUGAGUACUUUUCAUCAUAUAUUGUUAGAGUAUGUGGUCCUCUAGUCCAAUGGUCCUGCAGCCAUAUUUACUUUAUAACUCUUUCUUUAGUCUAAAAACAUCUUGGAUCUCAAAUUAAUAUGAAUACGGAUUCAUACGCAUGCAUUGCAUUACAAUCACAAUGCAACAUCUCAUUAGAAAUCCCCACACAAAAUUCUUUUAUUGCUACUUUGAUUUUAGUUUAUAUUUUUUCUGAAGCACGAGGGAGCUAAUUUUUUUUUAAAAAUUUUUUAUUCCAAUAAUGUUAUAGGGUUGAAAGGAUAUUAUCAAUUUAAUUGAUUGUAUUUGAUUGGUGGAACUUCUAUAUCUAUAUUUCAGGUUUUCAAAUUCAGCACUGGGAGAGUCAUUCAUAAAAUGUUUGACAGUGAGAUUACCUCCAUGGAUUAUGCUCACAAUGGACAGCUCAUUUUCCGCGGUGAUGGGACAAUAUAUUUCAGUCAUUCGCCAUUCAAUCAAUUCAAACCGAGGAACAAGCAACAUCAAGAAGAGGAUCUGCCAUGUCAGGAUCACUGUCGUCCAAUUAAUACAAAAAAUCUAGAUAAAAACGAUCAAUUUACAUAAAAGCCUUUCAUUUUCUCAGCAACCAAGCAAAAGAAAAUACCUAUCCGUUAAACACUCGAUUUGGGAGUAAACGUUGCUGAAACUGGACUUCAAUCCCCUCAACCGCAACAAUCGAAUCGAGGUGUGCAAGUCAUUGAAAAACUCACCCAAGAUUUCAAAAUCUGCAUAAAGAAAUAAAUAAGCACAUAAAUUAGCCAACCCUGUUAUGAUCCCACAUCGGGUACACAAGAAAUUGUGUAGUGGUACUUAAGUGCAAGGGGUCAUCCCACCUAUUGGACUAGUUUUUUGGAUUGGGCUCUUCCCUUGGGCUUGAGUACCUAACAUUGGUAUCAGAGCCUAGGUUCCCGACGCUGCGAGACUUGGCGAGUGGUGCCGCCUCAUGGUGCCGCCUUGGGAGUAUGGGCUCCCAAGGGUCUUGGAGACGGGCAAGGUAUGAAAUGUCGAUAUUAUCGCGAUAUUUCGCCGAUAAUAUCGGUUUUUUGAGUUACCGAUAUUUUAAUACUUAUCCACUGAGUUUUCGUCAAAAUAUCGCAAUAUUAUCGAUAAUAUCAACAAUAUCGCGAUAUUACCGAUAAUAUCGCGAUAUUUUGGAGAUGUGCGAAUCGGAGAAGAAGGCCGGAGCUUCUACAGCUCCUGCCGACUGUAAAAGAGCACCCUAGACUCCGAUCUAGGUAUCAAAAUGAAAUACAAGACGAGAGGAAUGUUUUUAUAACUUCCGUUUGCCGUGAAACGGUCGAAGGUGUUCGGAAAGUUCGUCGACACCCACGGCCUCGCCAGAGAUGGGUGUGCCUAUUCUCGAGCCGAUUUCGUCCCAAAAACCUUGCAAAAACACGAGAUAGAACUUAAAUUUCACAUCUAAGCUUCAAUCUAGAAUAGAAUGAGGUAAACCCGAAGCUUACCUAACCGGAGAAAUUCAAGAAACUCGCCAGAGGGUUCCUGCGUCGCCGAGUUGCAGAGACGAGAAAGAGAUGGAGAAAGACGAGGUUGCUGAUAACGAUGGGUGUCUUCCUCAAGCAGGUGCGAUGGUGUGCGUGUGUGUAUGUGGGUCUCGGUGCAGAGAGAAAGGAGAGAGAUGAGAGUUUCAAGAAAGAGACGGCGCCAACGAGAGCUAUUUGUUUUUUUUUAUCUUAAAAAGAGAGAGGUCUAAGAGAAAUGGGAAGAGAGGGCCGAGUGAAAUGAAAGGAGGUCCUUGAAUUAUUGAGAGAUAUCUCUGAGAGAGGCCUAGGAUUUCUAAAAGGUAAUUAGAAAUGGGAAAAAUGGGGCACAUCUUAGCCUUUAUUUUGGAAUCCUAAGAAGUUCACCACAUGGAUGCAUGACAUGUGUGCAUGCCAUGUCUGUUGAAUGGGAAAAGUCUGACAUGGAAAGACAAAGAGUCGUUUGGUCCUCUGGGCUCGAGGCAAGAUAGAAAGUGCUAGGGUUUUUUUUUCUGAAAUGAACAUAAGCUGCUAAAUUCGCAUAUAUUAUAGUUGUUGCUAAAGAUUGACACUAGUGCGGACUUGGACGUGUUGGUCAACAUGUCCUCACAAUCCCCAAGUUCUCCGGUUCGAACCCUUACGCCCAUCAAAUUUUUCUUUCUUUUCGAUGCGCUUUUUCCAUGGCUCUAGGUCUUGAUUUCGAAUCCAGGUGAGCCCUUUCCUUUUUCUUUUUUUUUUCUUUUUGUUUUAUUAUUUGUUUAUUUUAAUUUAUUUGUUUCUUUUAUGUUUUUCCUUUCUUUUAGUUUCUUUGUCUUAGGCGUUCGUGUUUAUUAAAGUAGGAUGUAAAAUCAAUUAUCUUAAAAUUAUGUGUUUUUAAAUUUUGGACUUGUUUGUUGGAUACUUUUUUUGCAUUUUAUCAUUAUUUUAUUAUGAAAAUAUGCUAAAAUAUGCUAAAAUAUCACUUAUGUUUUUGUGAAAAUAUGCUAAAAUAUUUAUAUAUAUGGUUUUGUUUUGAAUUCUUUUUGUACUAAUUCAUUAUAUAUAAAUGAUUAUGGUGUGUUUAAACUUCUUUAAUUAAUUACUACAUAUUUUCUAUACUCACAAUGUUUGCUAGCUCGCUAUAUAAUCAACUUAAAUCAGUAAAAUCCAUCAUGCAAUGCAUUUGCUUCCAAUUUUUUGUGAUAAACUAAUAGAUAAUUGAUUAAAUAAACAUCCUGCAAAGUUUCAAUAAAAAUUUCCAAGUUUUUCUUACAAUUUCUGUGGUUUCCAUAUUAUUUUUAUCAAUAUCGAUAAUAUCCCGAUAUUUCCAUCGAUAUUUCCGUGUUUUUGGACUACCGAUAUUUCCGAUAUCAUCGAUAUUUAUACCUUGGCGACGGGGGACUUGCCGACUGGUGCCGCCAUGGACGUUGGGUCUUUCGAAAGGUGGUGUAAUGUUAUGAUCCCACAUCGGCUACACAAGAAAUUGUGUAGUGGUACUUAAGUGCGAGGGGUCCUCCCACCUAUUGGACUAGUCUUUUGAGUUGGGCUCUUCCCUUAGGCUUGAGUACCUAACAAACCCAUAAAUCAAAGAAAUCAAAAUCCACCCAGAAUCAAAGAAAUCAAAAUCCAUCCAAAACCAAAGAAAUCAAAAUCACACACAGAUAUACAAGGUGUACAGUAUUGACAUGCCUUAAAUGAUAUUAUUCACAAGAUUUAUAAAGCUCAUGUUGUAAUACUUGUGCAGAAUCUAUCAUUCACGGCGUCACUUUUGUGCAAGUCGUAAAUAAAAUUAUUCACGAUUUAAACAUUGUGUGUCGUAUUUGACAAUUUAUACUACGCACUUUCUUUUUCUUUUAAAGCUUUGCGUUAUGUCGUAAAGUUGACUUUCUAUAUAUUUGGGUUGUACCUUUUAUGGCGCAAAUAACACGUCGUAAAUAAUGGCUUUUAGCACAGAAGUUUUGUGGUAAAGAAGCCCGCGCACUAAUUCAUUCUCGCGCCUUCUCUUUUUUAUUUAGCCGCUUCUUUUUUUGGUUUUUUUUUUUUUUAAAAUUCCCCUCAAAUCUUAAAAGGGUUUGUAUUUUCUUUGGUAAACUUGAAAGAGAAACAUUGCAAUUGCAUUUUCAUUUACCCAAUAUUAAUUGUCGAGAGCCCACCCCCUUCCCUUCUCUCUGACAUCGUAACUCUCUCCUCUCCAUCGAUCUCGCUCCAUCUGCUCGCCGUCGCUCUAUAUGCUCGUCAUCGCCGUCGAUUCGUCUGCUCGUCGUCACCGUCGCCCAUCUGCUUUCCGUCACCGUCGAAGUGCCCCGCCAUUCAAAAUCUGAAAUCCCCAAUACAGGGUGCUUUGCGGCAUUUCGUUCUCCAAAACUUUAGGUAUGCUCUCAAUCUGUAUCAACCCUAUCCUGUCACCUCUACUUCAAGGUGAACAAUUUAUAGUUUAUAAAUUUUACUUGUGUUAAUAUAUAUUUUUUGGUAAAUGUUAUGGAUAUUUUAUCAAAUCAGAGAGUAAAUUCGUAUUAAGUGAAGAUUGGCAAAGAACAUAUUGUUUUGAAAGGUUGAAUAAUGUUUGCAGAUCACAUAAAUCAGUAGUUGUCAAGUCCAUAAGAGAAGCAAGAAAUCGGAAAGCAAGGCUUCGACUAAAACCAAAUAAUGUCAAAUUAAUUCAAGAUUGGAAGACUUUCCUUGCAAAGUGUAAGCUCAUUUUCAUUUUCUUUCAUUUCUAAGAUUAGUUAUCUUCUUUUGAGUUCAAAAUUGGGUCAGAGAAAUCAAACUGAUAGUAGUUAAAAGUCUAUUUCAACACCAAGCCUUGUCUACACAAGAAUUUGGUGUUAGUUAAACAUGUGUAUGAUUCUAUCUUGAUUGCAUGUUAAUUUAGUUUGAAGAUAGAUUUGGUACAUGCUAGCUAAUUGAUACGUGAUAUGAAUCUUUGGUUUCCUUUUGAUAGGACAAAAGUGAAACAUUCAGAGAGAUGAAGUCUAAGCAACUCCGCACACAUGUAGUCGCAAGGGAUAUGGUAGGUUGGCCGAGGAUUUGGUAAUUACAUUUCAUUCUAGUGCCUUCUUUUCUACAGGACAAGAACAAUUUACUAAUUUUAUUCUGUGUUCUACUGUGUGUUUACUACAUAUAUGUUUCUAUUUUGUAGAAAAGAAAAAGUGUAGACCCUUCUCUAGUUUCUAGAGGUGAUGUUUGGAUUGCAGCACAUACUAAAAAGGGUGGUGGACCAUCCAAUUUGCUUGCUGCAGAGACUAUUGUAAGUAAUUUUUAACCAUUUAUUUCUUCUUGUUUGUUGAUAUGCAAUGACGGAUGAGGUCUUAACUUUGAUGUGCAACGUUAGGAAAAAAAUUAAGCAAUAUGGAAAUGGAUCAUCAUCUGGUUUUCGAGGUGACGUUCUUUCCAAAGUUUUUGGUGCUGAGCGACAUGGUCGUGCAAGAGGAGUUGGAGGUGGUGUUCCUCCUACAAAGCUUGGAAUAUUUUCACAACAAAAAUUGCGUAAUCACCAAAUGGAUGAAAAGGUGCACAAUUUAACUAAUCAGGUCAGAGCACUGACAGAAUUGGUGCAUCUUUUUAUGAAAAAUCAGGUUAGUGAUUUAAUAACAUUGGUAUCAUAUUGAAUAUUUGUGAAAUCAGUUGUAGUGACACAUCAAAUCACAGGGUAAUGAUCUACCAAGUGAGGCAUCUCCUGACACACAGGUUGCAGCUCCUGAGGCACAUGUUGAUACUGUCGCAAGAACUGAAACUCGUCUUUCCCAAUGCGCAACAAAUGAAUCGUGGUGGCGAGGUUGAUACACUUUUUCAAUGAGCCUUCUAACUAUUAAUGCUCAUUGACUCUGUUAAAAGCUCUGCCAUUUUCAAUCUAACUAGACACUAGAAAUGAUCAUUGACUCAGUUAAAAGUUUUGAUGCUUUGGUCCUUUUGCAUAGUUGCGCAUCUACUGAUUUCUAUUUUUUUUCAAAUCCUGCAGGUUAUUUCUGAAAACAUUGAAACAUCGUGGUGUGCCAGAUGGUUUGAUUAUAAGACACCUUCCUUUUGGUCCACCAACUUAUUUAUAACUGCUAAAUGGUACGUAGUGUGAUAAUUUUCAAAUAUUUUGAUAUUAAGACAGGUGUAGGACAACAUAGAAAUUCUUAGGGCCUUCAGCAACAAAAUUAUGAAAAAGUGAGUGAGAUACAAUUAAAAAAAUGAAAGAGAAGGAUCAUGAUUCAUGAUCUAAAGGUUUGAAUAGGGUAGAAAGGAUUUAGUUUCGUUGUUAAAAUCGAUUUGUGAGUCUAUUGUUAUUGUAUUGUCAAUUUGUUUAUUUACUUGAACUUCCUAGUAUCAAUUUGGUUCGAUAUAUCUAGCACCACCAUAGAUAUAUCUAGUAUCAAUUUGGUUAGAUAUUGUCAAUUUGUUAUUUUAUUGUCAACUAUAGAAUGUGCAUCAGUUGUAAAAGGAACAAAACAAUUCAGAUUUUUUGUUUAUGUCCAAACUUAGAAUUGUAUUGUAAUUGACAAUUUCUACUAAUUAAUCCAAGUAUUUGGAGUUUAAUAUGUUUAUGAUCAAUAUUGUUAUCCUUGUAUUGUAUCAGUUUAGAUGUUAUGAAGUGAGGUCUGUCUAAAAAUGAUAUGCUAAAUAUAGAUGUAAAUUACGGCAUCUAAAAUCAGCAAUAAUUGUUGAUGGUAGUCUUUUUUUUACGAUGUAUGCCGUAAUCACCUUCACAAUAUUACGACACUCAACAAAUGCUGUAUCAAAUAUAAAUUACUGCACACUAGUAUGUCGUAAUUGUUUUUCAGUAUUACGACACCCUAUUAACGCUGUAACUAAUACCAAUUAAGGCACGUAGGACAUGCCUUAAGAACAUUUAUGGCGUGUUUUACUUAAAUUAUUCACGACUAUUAGAGUACGUUGUAUUUGUCAAAACAUCUUUUACAACAGGGGCUUUUACUGCUUGGAGGCUCAAGCCGUGAAUUUCCAUUUAUGGCACCCUUUGUGCGCCGUAAAAGGCCAAUUCUAUUGUAGUGAUCCAUGGGUACAUUUUUAAUCUACAUGUUUCGUUUUAAUAUAUCUAUUGCUAUAAUAUGUUUUGGUUGGUUCAAAUUCGUUUUACAUAAAUAUAUGGGUACAAAGUUUUUGGAGAAUAUUAUGUAAAAUGGUUUUUAAGGUUGUUGCAUUUUAUGUACCCACAUAUGCAUGUCUAUAAAACAAUGUGGUAUGAUGUACAUUCUUUUCCUUGAGUUUUUAAAUGUACCCAUGAGUUUUCUUGUAAAUUCGGUAUGUAUCCAUAUGCUAUUUAUGUUAUGGGUACAUACAUUAUUUUUGGUCUAAGUUGGUGGGUACAUUGCUUUUGUAUGUAUGAAUUCAUUGGGUACAUUAUUUCCCUUAAUACUACUCAAUAAAAUUCACAAAAAUGUGCAGUGUGCAUGAAUUUUUAUUGUAGAAAUUGUUUUUUUUUAUUUUUAAUUUUUAAGUCUCAUAAUUCGUGAAUUUUGUACAUAUUGAUCCCAUAAAUUUUUGAAUUUUAUUAAAUUUUUUUUAGACUUGAUCGAUUGAUUGAAUCUCAUAAUAAUCCCUUAAAUGUUCCAAUCAAUAUUUUAAAAUACAGCUUUUUAUUUAAGAUUUCAAAAAGAUGACAUGAAAACAUAGUAAUACUAAAAUUUUGUUUUAAAUUACAUUUGUGUAACAAUCAAUGGUAUGUUAAAACUGGGCAAAAAAAAAAAUGGUAUAUUAAAAAAUUAUAAUUUAUUCUUUUUUUCAUAACUGUCUUCUGCUUAGAUUAAUUUUUUCCAACGUUUCUCUUCGGGAGAAUUAGUUCUUACCAAUAUAUAUGCACAUUAUCUGCUUUUUACCUGGUCUUAACACAUGAUUAAUUACUUUCCUACCUGCUAACGCGUUGACUUGCGCAUCCAAAGUAUUAUCAAAGUCACUGCCACCAAAAAGGUGCCCACUCCACAACCUUUGGUUGAACCAAAGAACAUCACAACAAUAAGGAAAUCGUUAAAUCUAUCUCCGCAACAUUUUUAUUAAUCAUUAGAUAGAUUAAACGAUCCCCCUAUUCAUAUUGUGUUCUUUUGUUGAACCAAACCAUGUCAACAAAAUAUAUCUAUGGUUAAAGCAUCUAGAUUCAAGCUUUUGGAUGUGCAACUUAAACCCCUCAAUGAAUAGCCAAGCAAUUUAUCAUGUGUUUACAGUAGGUCAAAAGAAGAAAGUGUUUGUCUAUAUAUUAAUAGGAACUAAUUCCUCUGAAGAGGAGAGAUGGAAGUGAUGAUAAUAAAAAAAAAAAAAGUCGUAUUCAGUGCACAAGGCUCCCGCUUUACGCAGGGUCUGAGAGAGGUGAAUGUCGGCUAGCCUUACCCCCAUUUUAUGGAGAGGCUGCUCCCAAGUCUCGAACCCGAGACCUACCGCUCAUGGGCGAAGACACUUGCCAUCGCACCAAGUGCGACCUCUAAGGGAUAAGAGAGUAAUCAUGAAAAUUUUGAAAGUGAAAGCAUUGCCUUGGAAUAUAUAUUCUCUUUAGGAAUUCUGUGCCCAACUAAAUUCUAGAUUCUCAAAAUAUGAAAUUAGCAACUUCACCAAACACUUGGACAUGUAACAGGUCACACGUAUGGUACCAACCUUACCAACCUUACCAACCAUCUAUAUACCUAUGUUUUCGAACAUCGUUAGAUAAUUAAAGUACAGUUCACACAGCAUUUCACAUAAAAAUGGCAUCAUACAACACAUGAGAAGUACUUCUUACAGUAGCAGUCUCGUAACAUGACUAUAGUUUUUGUUACUUCUUAAGAAAAAAGAGUUUAAAAUCCUAUUGAAAGAUAAUUGUAGAGACAGAAACCCAAACUAGUUAAUUAGGUUUCUUUACAUCUCAAUAAAAUUGAAGGGAAUGUAUCUAAUAUUAUCUACUAGAGCCUCUACAAUCAUCAUAGAAUCCACAACCCACAUUUUAAUUAAUCGAAAUUCCAUGAACACAAAUAAGCAAAAGUUGAGUGAAGCCUAAGCAAUAUGUGAUCAUUUAGAGAGUCAAACUCCAUCUUUUUAGAAUUAGGGACUUUUCAAUAUGAAAAGGUAACCUCCACAAUCCAAUAUCAUAUGAAAAGGAAAACCCAAGAAAAAUACAGUAUAAUUGUGUGCAAGAGCAACACAAAAAAAGUUGAAGAAUUAGAAAUCAUAAAGAGACUUGAGACGAUUGUUGCUCACUUAGCUAAAGAGCAUUUGCACUUGAGGUCUCGAGUUCGAUUGCCCCCUUUCUUUAGAUCGCUUGAGAGGAAAAACCUACCAUUCUCUAGUCUAAAGAUAUAUGCAUCUUUGACAUGAAUGACUAGAGGGGAAGAAAGUGCAGACAAAUCACACAUACCUUCAAAAAAUUUUAUGGGGUUGGUGAAUGGUGAUUAGGGAUACUGACUUUUAAUAGCCGUUGAUCAGUGUAUAUUGCACACGCCUUCAUCAAUGGCUAGCGUCGGUACAACUGUGAUUGGGAGGGCCUUUUUACGAUAAUAGAUGGGUAAAGGUUUCAUUAGAAGGGGAAUUUUGUUCUGGUUUGCCAUAAUAACUUGAAAUUAAUGGUUUUUUGUAAUCCUUAAGUUAUUGUCAUUUUAGGUUAACUUUGUACCUGGACUCUUUACUGGAGCUAUCAAUUGAAACCCCCAUUUUCUUACCAAAAUAUGAAAAACAAAGAGUCCCAUUUUUACAGCACAGUCCUACUCUAGUUGAAAUCCGAUCGACGGUCAAGAUUUUCUAGUCAUGUGAAAGUAUCACAUAUAUAAAAUUGACUGGAGAAGGCAUGCCACAUUGCCAUGCCCUUGACAGCUUUACUUUGUUUACAAACUUUCUAAAAGAAAGAAAGAAAAAAAUCUAAAAUGGAAGGUGAUAGCGAUUUUACCACUUGUAAAACAAAGGGUUAAACCAUAGAAAAUUCUUGCAAGAGAACAAGUGUUUGUAGUAUAGAAUGGCUCAAGCAAGGUCGAUCUCCUCAGGGACUGAUAUAAACAAUUUACGAGUUUUUAUGUAUUUAACUUAUUUAACUCUAAGAAUUACACUAAUUUAACGAAACUAAAUAUUAUUGGAUGUGACUUAAACAAAUAUCUAAAAUGGGAAUUGGUUUUAGGGAAUAAUGAUUCAACUUAAACAAAACAAGUAAAUGAGGAAAUUCAAGAUAAAAUAAAUGAUUAAGAAAAAUAGAUUGACAAUAUGCUAGAGUUCAACAUUUACCAACAACACUCUUACGUAGCUAUUCCAAUUGCUUAAAUAAUUGAAAACACAUAUGCUUUGAAUGUUGGAUUUUCCUUGUGUAUGUUUUACUUGUGACAUUCAAGCUAAAACGCAUACCACUACAUGCAACUUAUCCAUGACAUUUGAAUUAAAUAUAAACAUGAGUGAUUCAUUAAUCUUGGUGAAAAUCCUUUUGUUAAACCAUAUAAUCCCUAAGAGCAUGAUAUUUACCUUAGGAGAUUACAAUUCUCAAUCACAAGAAGCACAACCAAUUUUAACGUGACAUUCGUUCAAAAUUGCAUCCGAUAACUUUUCUAAGCAUCCUAAUGGUGAUCAAGCAUCAAGGUACAUAGAUAGUUUAAUUCAGUGAUUGAAAAUAUCAAAACAAGCAUGUAACAACACUUAAGCAAUUGAAAAAUAAAACUACGUAUUCAUGUUGCGGCUCAUGGCCUCACUCUAGCAUAAUACUUUAAAUAAUUAAAGCCCAAACAAUUUACCAAAUUUCAUCUCUGUACUCCGCAGAGACGCUAAACGAGACAUAUUUGGUCCAUCUCUGAACAUCUUUUCUUACUGUUCUUACAAUAGAAAGGGCACAAAAUUGACUUACACAGUCUUGCACAAUACUCACUUUGCUUCAACCCAUAUUUCACUUUGUCAAAUCAUACACGUUCCUGCAACAGGUGAACUCAUAUUUAUCUACCACUUCUUGCUAAUUUUAAUUUUUCCAUUCCCAUUUUUACUACAAGUUUUCACAUAAUUUUUUUAUUGCAUUUGUCAAUUCUUUAUACUUUUUAAUUGUAUUUUUUUUUUUGUCUUUUAUGUGUUUUCUAUGUUGGCACAAGGUUACAACAGUAUUAAACAAUUACAGGUCCUCCAGAGGUUUGCUUAUUGCCCUAUUUCAUCAAGCUCGGUAUAAAUAGAUCUUAAUUUUUUACUACAGUUAAAUACAUGGACAUGCCUCCACAAAUACAAAUUAGUUCUUGCUUAAAUACUUUGUGUGUUUACAUAGAAAAUGUUCCCAUCGUCUACCAAAAUCCUCCACACAUGAAAACAAAAAUUCUUACUCAAAAUACUUAUUACAAUACCACCAUAUCUGUUGUUUUUUAUUAAAUUAACACACUGUUUUCAAUUUUAUCUUCAACACAAAAGAAAAUGCUCUUACACAAUGUGUUUGCUUACAUUUUAUAACUUAUCUACCACAUGUUAAUCGCAGUUAUAUAAAUAGGAAAAUACGUGUUCAAUAGAAGUGUGAUGCAUGUCACUUCGUUAACAAUAGUGGAAACUAAACAAUUAAAUAAUUUGUUUCAAUUAGUUAGUACAUUUUAUAAAUUUCUCAAUUAGAACUGUUUCAGUAUAUUUAAUACAUUUUUAAACAACUUUCCAGUUAGUUGCCCAAACUAAUUAUUCCAGCUUAUUCACAGUAUAAUACCAACAAUUUAACAACCAAUGAUACUUCGUUUAACAUAAACUUCAUUUGGAAAAAACAAAAAAAAUCUUUUUCUCUGCUGAAAAAAUCAACAGAUUUAAUGAUGUAGAUCAGUUAUACCAACAAAUUACCAUAGUUUACCCAAUGCUAUACAGGUUUGACUUUUGUUUAUAUUCUUGGAUCUGUUGCUUGGUUGUAUAAUUUGGCUGUGUGUUUUGUUUCAGGACAAUUUGUUCUUCGUUUCUUGAGGCUUCUAUGUGUAGAUUUGAACCGUUUAGCUUUCAAACCGUUUAUACUCAAGGUAAAUAAUUUCGUUUGUUUCUUUUUAACCUUUUUUGUAAGAAUUUUUUAUUUAAUGUUGUGAGAGUUGUGUUUUCUAUAGUAUGGAAAUUGAAUCUUUGUGAUCUUAUAUCGUUAGAUACGUUGCUUGGUUAAUGUGAACACGGAAAAUUCCCGAAACGAAAAAGACAAGAACAACGUGCACAAACAAAUAUUUUGUAUUUGAUGAUUAUUUUGGGUUACAAUCUCUCUCUAAUUUGAUCCUCUGAUUCGAUCUCCGUAAGAUAUUGGUUUGUGGAUGUGCGAUUGAUCCAAGGGCCGUCGAGGCUUGAUCUUGGAUGAACGGUGAUGAACGGAUCUUCAAGGGCUUUUGGGCUUGAUCUUGAAGAAUAGUGAUGAACGGGUCUUCAAGGGCUUUUGGGCUUGAUCUUGAAGGAUGGUUGGAUGUGUGGAUUUGUCGACGUUGUUAAUCCAAAGGGCUGUUGGGGCUUGAUCUUAGGAUGAACGGAUGAUGAACGAAUAACACUUUCUUCAAGGGCCGUCGGGGCUUGAUUUUGAAUUGGUGAAAGUUCUUCAAGGGCCGUCGGGGCUUGAUCUUGAAGGUAGAUGAUUGUUGAUCCAAGGGCUGUCGGGGCUUGAUCUUGGAAGAACGAUGAACGAAGAACGAAGAAGGCUUUCUUGAUUCUUCGGGAACCUGGAUGCUUGAGAGCUUCGGAGUUUCAGAGCUUCAGAGCUUCAAGGUGUAAUAUGAAUUUGGUUCCCUUAAAUGAAUGAAAUUGGCUUCUAUUUAUAGAAUUUUCCAAGGCCUAAUUUUGAAUAUAAUAUUCCAGAUGAAAUAAGUCGUUUCUGCCAAGUGUUGACACGUGUCCUAUUUGAUGACUUUUCCGACUCAUUUCAAUUUUUCGUCGAGUCACACACUACGUGUAAAAUUUAUGUAAUACAUGAGCGUUGAAACUUUGAUUUAUCAGUCAACAUUUAUUUACCAAAAUUUCGAUGUCUACAAAUGCCCCCACUUCAAGGCGCGUCGUAUACAUGUGCUUGUCACGUGUAGGAGAUGCGUUUUGAAGUCCCCUUACUGUAGAUGUCGAUCCAAGGGCCGUCGAGGCUUGAUCUUGAACCGGGCUGGAGAUUUCUUCAAGGGCCGUUGAGGCUUGUUCUCGAACUUUGUUCGAAAUUUCUUCAAGGGCCGUUGAGGCUUGAUUUUGAAUUGGGCUGAAAGUUUCUUCAAGGGCCGUUGAGGCUUGAUCUUGAAUUGGGUUGAAAGUUUCUUCAAAGGCCGUUGAGGCUUGUUCUUGAACCUUGUUUGAAAUUUCUUCAAGGGCCGUCGAGGCUUGAUCUUGAAUUGGGCUGGAAGUUUCUUCAAGGGCCGUCGGGGCUUGAUUCUUGAAGGUGGAUGAUUGUUUAUUCAAGGGCCGUUGAGGCUUGUUCUUGAACCUUGUUUGAAAUUUCUUCAAGGGCCGUCGAGGCUUGAUCUUGAAUUGGGCUGGAAGUUUCUUUAAGGGCCGUCGGGGCUUGAUUCUUGAAGGUGGAUGAUUUUUUCUUCAAGGGCCGUUGAGGCUUGUUCUUGAACCUUGUUUGAAAUUUCUUCAAGGGUCGUCGAGGCUUGAUCUUGAAUUGGGCUGGAAGUUUCUUCAAGGGCCGUCGGGGCUUGAUUCUUGAAGGUGGACUCGAACACAUGGCAAGCAGGCACGAGGUGAAGGUGACGGUCUGUUUCUUUGCUCAAUCUUUCCAAGUGCCGACCGAUUGCUUUUCUUUCUCCUUGUCCCGCAGGCAAGAGCAAGGGUAAAAGAAAAGCAUGCCAUGAGAUAUCUUUGUUUUUGACUCUGAUGAUAUGAGGUACUUCUGCUUUUGAAGAAGUUGCGGAUGAAUCGACACGUGCUUUGUUGUGCUUGUCUCCACAUGCUCAGACUCUUGGCAGAAUGUGAAAGGUGGCAUUUUCUCGAGUUACUCAACUCAGACUCAUUCUGCUGAGUUGACUGUGCGGGCCGCAUUCUUCUCUGCUUGUUUCUUCUGGCAGCCUUGCUCUCGAGUACUCAUCUUUAACAUCUUAUGUUUCUUCUUUGUCUACCACACUGUGGAAGACGAGUACUCGAGAGUAAUACCAUGUAAGCAAUCAGAAAAGGGUUCCAAGCAGUCGGUUCCAGAUCGGAAGAUUGAUACCAAGUGUUGGCUGAUUGCUUUCCUUCUCAUUGUCCUACAGGUUAGAACAAAGACAAGGAAAAGGACACGGAGAAUGCAUGAUAUGAGAUACUCUUGCUUUCUCCCUUCAUGAUAUGAAAUACUUUUGCUUUUCAAGAUUUGUUUGCAGAGGUAUCCUAUGGGAUGAAGAACACUGAGUGAGUUGAGAGGGUUUGUUGGAAAGCCAUUUGUCGGAGAUGACGGAAUGUUAUGUAUGUCUGCCUUGCCAUGGAGCGUGAAGGUCGACAUUUGUAGGAAAUAAUAACUGGUACUGUUCUUUCACUCCUGUCGGCAACCGUUGGAUGAUUGAACAGUAAACUUCACGUGAUUUCCUCAAAGCUUUUUCUGCAUGCGACAAGUGCUGACGAGGCUGAGAGAGACAUGCGAUUGGAAUCGGCGCUUCGACAAACUUUUCCAUGAUUUUCGCAAAGCUGACGAGGCUGAGAAAGACAGAUGGUUUGGAAUCGGCGUUUCGAUAAACUGCCCGUGAUUUCCGCAACGCUGACGAGGCUGAGAAGGACAGAUGGUUUGGAAUCGGCGUUUCGACAAAUUGCCCGUGAUUUCUGCAACGCUGAGUUUGCGUGUGACAGGUGCUGACGAGGCUGAGAAAGCUGACACUUCUUCGAUUUUUGAGAUCAGUCCGUGAUCCUUGAGUAGGCCUAGCUUUGGAGAAAGCAGGCGCUUCAUCGAUCUCUGAACUCGCCUCUUCGAUCUCUGAAAGCCCAUCGCAUGCUGUUUUUUUAUAGAGGUACGCAAGACAUUCAAAGCACACUUGAAUUUCUACCUGUGAAAAAAAACUCCCCUUUUGCAUAUCUGAGAUCUUUAAUUUGCCCGACCUCUUCAUUUUGUUGAACACCUUCGGAAAUGUCUUUCCCAUCUGACCGUCGUCUUGACUUGAAUAUCGAAGAAGAUAUUGACAUGUCUUCUCCAGGCAACAUUUGGCAGCUGUCCUUCGUAUCCUCCAACGAACCUCUUACGGUUGGGGACACUGUGAUGAGGAAUGACGCAACGGCUGCAGUGGUUGCUAGAAAUCUUCUCACUCCUAGGGAUAGUAAGAUGCUUUCCAAGCGGUCCGACGAGAUGGCUGUUCAAGACUCUCUGGCCUUCAGCGUCCAAUGUGCGGGCUCAGUAUCAAACAUGGGCCAACGCCUUCUUGCUCGAUCUCGUCAGGUUGAGUCUUUGAUGGCCGAGGUGGCUAGUCUUCGGCAGGAGAUCAGAGGGCUUAGGCACGAGAAUAAAGAGUUGCAUAUGCUAGCAACUAGUUACUCAACGAGCAUGAAGAAGAAGCUAGACCAACUGCAGGAGUGUGAAGUUCGGGCUCGAAAUGAUCAUCAAAGGUUUAUGGCGUUACUCCCGAGGCAUCUUCUGCCUUCGUCAUCUGGCGCUUCACCAAAUGUUGAGGCUCCGGAAAAUCAAACUCUGGCGCUUCGUCUUUCUGGAGCUUUACCAAGUGUGGAGGCUUCAGUUGAUCCACCUCCGGUGCUUCGUCUUUCUGGAGCUCCGUCGAGUACUGAGGCACCACAUGAUCAUCCUUGAAGAUCCUUUCCUGUAAAUUUGAUUUGACUUUUUUUUUAAGGUAUGUAUAAUGUAAAAUUUCUAGAAAAAUAAAAUGGACUUUAUUUCUCUGAACAUGUUUUUUUUGUUUUUUUUUUUGGCUGUAUAUUUUCUCUUUAAUCAUGGUGCACCCAUUUUCCACAUGGUGCCAGACGGACCAAAGAUCAAACAUUUCCUUUUUUUAUUUUUUUAUUUUUUCUUUAAUCAUGGUGGCAGACGCAUAAACAAUUUCAUUUAUAUUUUUUUUUCUUUUUGCUGGCACAUGGUGCCAGAUGCACCAUUCAUUUAUAUAUAUUAUUAUAUAUGUUUUUUUUAUUUUUUUUUAUUUGCACAUGGUGCCUGAUGCACCACCUCUUUUUUUUUCACGUGGUGCCAGCAUCACUUUGCUCCACCAUCCAUUUUUUUUAUUUUUAUUUUCUGUAUAAAUUUGGGUGAUGGGUAGAGGAUUUUGCAGGCAGGGAGCAAGGAGGCCGAGAAGAUGGUGCUUCGAACUUCAUGACCGGCUAGUCGUUUGACGGCGGUCGUUGAAGUCGUUGGCAGUUGCGAGGCAAAAGACGGAGGAGAAGGUGGAGUAGGUGACCUUGAUGUCGGAUCCAGCUAGAACCCAGAGCACAGCGACUGAGCCCAAUCACCGAGCACAACCGCUGCACACCCGUUGUACUGCCACCGAGCACUGCCACUGCGCAUCUGUUGCACUGCCAAUUGCUGCAAAGGAUUAUGUUUAACGGCGGAGACGCUGCCCUAUUUGCCAUGCUAUGCCGACGUGCUUCACAUAAUUAACCAUCCAGAAUUGUUAAACAUUCCAUCUGGGUUUAUCGCAAAAACAGAAGAAGAAAAAAACCAAGAUCCAUCCAUGCCAAACACCAAUCUGCCAUCUUUUUGGGAUUUGUACGACAUCAUCAGCCAAAACCUGCUUGGUCCGCUCGCAAAUUGUGGGAGAGGAAGAGUUGGCGGAGCAGCUGUAACACUGGAAAAUGGAGGACGUUGACGAGUCCUCCAAGUUGUUCUUGACGUUGGUGCUGGAGAAACCUGCCUCUCUCAUGACUCUGCUGACACUUGGGUCGUCAAGGAUGGGGAUGAUGAGCUGCUCGAGCUCGACUUUGAUGGUUAAGAGCGGCUGCUGCUGCUGCUCGAUGCAGUCUCUUCUCUGAUGGGCUUGGGCUCUCUUGAGGGCGUUGGAGAGAGAGGGCUGCCCGUGGAGGAGAGGGCAUGGAGUUGUUGGGAGAAAUCAGGGCCGGAAUGGAAAAUAUUCCCGAGCUGCAUCAACGAGGAGAUAACACCGCUAAGUUAUUCAUCUGGUUUGCUUUAGUCAAAUGGAUCAAUCCGCGGGUCAUGCUCGCUUGCCAUCAUCAUCCCAGUGCACAGGCAUGUCGGGCACAUGACCUUUCCAGCACCAGAGCAAUUUGGGCACCUCUCAGUUGUGGGCACUCGCAAAGGUUGGUCUGAUGCACUAGAUGCUGAUAUAGGAUUGAUGUUCAAGCACACUCCACUUGCAGAACAUCUAGCACAGGCCAAGUACCCAGUUCCAUGGCAAUAUUUGCACCUUUUCUUCUCUUGCUGCUCAACAUUAUUAGCUUCAAUCAACAUCAAUGCUGAAAUGACACCCACUGCCCCACCGGAGAAGGAUGCCACAAUAGGAUCAACCUGACUUAAUUGUAAAGGCAGAUGCAUGCUACGAAUGAAAUCUUCAUACGAGGUACCUCCUAUACCUAAUUUUAGUUCCAACGAUGGCGCAAUGAGACCCCCAAAUACAAUUACACUAGAUAUCAUAGAUAAGCUUGUGAGGUAGAGCUGCUUCAACGUCUUUGGUGUCAUAUGAGGGAGAAAAGGGAUAGUGGAUGGAAUGUCAGGCAUCUCAUUUGACUCUUCCUCACAAGCCUCAUCCAUAUCUCUCGCCAUCUUUAUCCGUUGCUGCACCCGCAAUCUCCUUAGCUCUUCCAUGAGAAGAAAAAUCUUGUUGUGCCGGCUUCUUAUGUUGUCCUAAAUUUCCUGUAGUUGCAUCUGCACAAAGUCCUGCACCGUCUCCGGCUCUUCUAUGAUACAAAAAGUGCUUGGCGUGUUAUCGCCGGGGAAUGAUUCCUUGGAAGCAGAACAGGAAAUUUGGGGAUGCGGGGAGGUGAAUUUGGACAGAGAGAGACGUCUAGGGAUUCCAUGGGAGGGGGGUUGAGAGUGGUUUUUUGCCGGCGCCUCUAGGGUAGUCGUCGUUGGCUAUUGCUAUAGAGAGGUCAAUGACUUCACCGGAGAUGGCGUUGUUCUGGAGCCCGAGCGUGAGAAGCCGGGUGAGAUUGUCUGGAAAGGGUCCCCAGAGGUUGUUGUCGGCGAGGUCGAGAAGCUUGAGCUUGGUGCAAUUGACGAGAGGAGAAACGGUGUCGUUGAGGCGGUUGUUGUGGAGGUCGAAGAGUGAGCUGGGCGAGAUCAGAGAACCUUGACGAAUUCGGAGCGUUGAGGGUUAUCAACACGAUCCCAUCGACGAAGAAGAAGCAGAAUGGGCCUCUUGCGGGGCCUAUGGCAUCAACCGGUCUUUGGGCUUCUGGGCCAGUAAAUUGGAGAGAAGCCUGGGCUUUUGACUUGCAGAGAGAUUAGGCUCUGGGAGCCGCUUGUAGUAUUGUGGCUAAAGGGGUUGCUUCCUGUGGCCACUUAUAUAUAUAUAUUUUGUAAAUACAUAAAACAUUUAUCUCUUUUUUUUUCUUUUUUUUUUGUACAAAGAAAUUGUAAUAGCAUCAAAACUUUUAAUAAAAUCUUUAUUCCUUAUUUUGGUGUGACUGAACUCAAAUUUUGAAUAUUCGAGUUGCCUACGUACCUCUCCAAAGAAGAGAUCAAGUCGUAACGUAGUUCAAAUGAGUGAUGAAUUUAACAGUGAUUUUGAUGAUGAUUUUGUCGUACACAGUUUAUGCUCUUGCGGGCCAGGAGCUUUGGUUCGUGCAGUUUAGGCUCGUGCGAACAAGGAGUGUUGGUGUUGCCUUUUAUGCUCGUGCAGACCAGGAGCGUUGGUGUUGCCUUUUAUGCUCGUGUAGACCAGGAGCUUUGUGCCAUGCAGUUUAGACUCGUGCAGGCAAGGAGCGUUGGUGUUGCCUUUUAUGCUCGUGCAGACCAGGAGCGUUGGUGUUGCCUUUUAUGCUCGUGCAGACCAGGAGCUUUGUGCCAUGCAGUUUAGACUCGUGCAGGCAAGAAGUGUUGGUGUUGCCUUUUAUGCUCGUGCAGACUAGGAGCUUUGUUGUGCCAUGCAGUUUAGGCUCGUGCAGGCGAUGAGCUUUGGUUCAUGCAGUUUAGGCUCGUGCGAACAAUGAGCAUUGUGCCAUGCAGUUAGGCUCAUGCAGGCGAGGAGCGUUUAUUGGUUCGUCAAGCGAUCCAGGAGAGUCGUUCCUCGCAAUCUUCAUAGCAAGGAGCCUUGACUGAGUGAUUGAAGAAGUCUUUGGGGAAGAAAUCGCGCAUCGUGAUGGGGAUGGACGAUAUUUGUGUCGUCAUUUCAUCAUCUUCAACACUUUCACUUUUCUUUGAAGGUUGACAAGAGCUGCUUUGCCCCAUUUCCGAUUGGCGGACUUGUGGAUGAGACGUAUGCUUCUUCUGCAGUUUCUCUAGAGUGACAUGAGUCAUUCCUUCAACUUCGCUUGGCUCAACUGGCAUGGUUUUGGAGCAUGCCCCCAGCGAUUGAGGUGAAGAUUUUGAGUUGACAAAGCCGGAAGUGACGUCUUCUUCCAUGAUUUCAUCUUCUUUGUCUUCUUGGGCUUGUUGGCGUGAAGAUUGGCCGGCGUAGAUGAUGGUGCGCCUCUUUACCUUCAGUGGUCCUUUUGUGUCGACCUCCCAAGCUGUUUGGCGCUUUAUCCUUGAAUGAAUCAAGCUUCGAACGUCGUCUUUUCCUGCUAGACCGUCGAGCUUUUCUUCCUUUGGCGUUGUCUUCCUAUUUCUAGAAUGCUUCUUGGUUUCUUCAAGUUUUUCCAAAGCCGAUCGUUGGGGAGGAGAGCCAGCCUUGCUGCUUUGUUUCUUAGGUUUUGACAACCUUUCAAAAACAGAGCUUUGGGGUGUUGGCGUGUUAAGCCGUUUGAAGAUGGAAGUUCGGUCUUGCCCACCAAUGCGAUCAAGUGCCGACCUUCUGGGUUUUGAACGAUUCAGCCUAUCGAAGACUGACACUCGAAUAGGAGGUUGAGGCUCCUCUUGAUCUUGUUCAAUCCUCAAGCUGAUGUGUCGAGUGCUAGCAUUUUUUGCUUUACUUGAAAUCUUCACGGGUGCAUUUGGUGUGAAGCCAAGUCUAGCUCUGUUGUUGUCAACUCCGUAAUCAUGCUUUUCCAACUUCUUCUGAGUCUCGGUGAAGUCAUGAUCUUUGUCGUUGAUGGUGUUUGAAACCUUCUUCUCAAGAUUUGAAGAGGAAGCAAAGUCGUACCCAGCCUUUAACAUGAGUUCGUAGGCGUUUGGGUUGAGACCUUCUUCGGUCCUCUUAGUUGGAAUGAAGCUUGGGUUCGCUUUGACGCCAUGAUGCGCCUCCAGACGGUUGAUAAGUCCAACGGUUUGCAAGUUUUUCUCCUCCGCAGUCUUUAUCAGCCUUGCAAUUGUUUCCUUCAUCUGAACUAGUUGUUCUUCAAUAGAGGUAGCGCCGAUGGUCAUGACUUGUUCUUUGUUUGAAGCCAUGAAGUGUGCUUGAAUUUCUUGAACAGAGAAAGAGAUGAGAGGUAGAGAUUGUCCCACUGGGCGUGCCAAUUUGUGAACACGGAAAAUUCCCGAAACGAAAGAGACAAGAACAACGUGCACAAACAAAUAUUUUGUAUUUGAUGAUUAUUUUGGGUUACAAUCUCUCUCUAAUUUGAUCCUCUGAUUCGAUCUCCGUAAGGUAUUGGUUUGUGGAUGUGCGAUUGAUCCAAGGGCCGUCGAGGCUUGAUCUUGGAUGAACGGAUCUUCAAGGGCUUUUGGGCUUAAUCUUGAAGAAUAGUGAUGAACGGGUCUUCAAGGGCUUUUGGGCUUGAUCUUGAAGGAUGGUUGGAUGUGUGGAUUUGUCGACGUUGUUGAUCCAAAGGGCCGUUGGGGCUUGAUCUUAGGAUGAACGGAUGAUGAACGAAUAACACUUUCUUCAAGGGCCGUCGGGGCUUGAUCUUGAAUUGGUGAAAGUUCUUCAAGGGCCGUCGGGACUUGAUCUUGAAGGUAGAUGAUUGUUGAUCCAAGGGCCGUCGGGGCUUGAUCUUGGAAGAACGAUGAACGAAGAACGAAGAAGGCUUUCUUGGUUCUUCGGGAACCUGGAUGCUUGAGAGCUUCGGAGUUUCAGAGCUUCAGAGCUUCAAGGUGUAAUAUGAAUUUGGUUCCCCUAAAUGAAUGAAAUUGGCUUCUAUUUAUAGAAUUUUUCAAGGCCUAAUUUUGAAUAUAAUAUUCCAGAUGAAAUAAGUCGUUUCUGCCAAGUGUUGACACGUGUCUUAUUUGAUGACUUUUCCGACUCAUUUCAAUUUUUCGUCGAGUCACACACUACGUGUAAAAUUUAUGUAAUACAUGAGCGUUGAAACUUUGAUUUAUCAGUCAACAUUUAUUUACCAAAAUUUCGAUGUCUACAGUUAAAUGAUUUGGCUGUGUGCAUUGUUUCAGGACAAUUUGUUCUUCGUUUUUUGGGGCUUCUGUGCGUAGCUUUGAAGUCCUUUGUAGUCAACAUAAAUAAUUUUAUUUUUCUUUGUUUUUAGUCUUCUAUGUAAGAAUUUCUUAGUUAAUAUUCUGAGAAUUAUGUUUACUAUAGUAUGAAAAUUGAAUCUUUGUGAUCUUCGAAGUGUAACGUCAUUGCAACAUGGACGACUGCCAUUAUCGAACAUGAAAAACAUUUUGAUUUCUGUACUCCGUCUAGUAGAAAACUCUCGACUUCUUCAGAAACCACGAGAAACUUAAAACUGAGAAAGCUUCGCGGUCUCCCUUCCAUCUCUGCUACGCGGUCUCUGCUUUGCGAUCUCUGCUUCCUUCGUGAUUUCUUCCUUCCUGAACGACAUCUAUUCGAAUUGAAAACCUUCUGGAGCUCUCUUCCCCAAAUUUCAGCAGCAACUUUGCUCCAGAUCUUUCCAAUUGAAAUUCCUCUCCUUCACAUUUUGCAUAUUGAAUUUCGCAUCAUCAUCAUCUCCCUAGAACCUAGGAGUUCGGUUCGGUUUCGAGUUUUCCGACGGAAAUCCGGCGACAGCGGCCAUCGAGGUUGGUCUGAAACUAUUCCUCAUCACCACAGGUACUUUCUACACCUAUUACAUUUUAGAAAAAGUUUCAUGACUUUGUGGAAUCCAAUUUAACGAUUAGAAAAAUUUUCAUUAAUUUUCUGGGUUCGUGAGUUGGAGGGGGAUUAGAAAUUUUUUCAUUAUUUUUCUGGGUUUGUGGUUUUUUUUUUCCAAAACGUUUUUCCUUUCUACUAAUCCAAGUUCCUUCACAUCAAUCUCUCUGUUUUGUUCUUGAUCUUCCUCGAGUAGAAUACCUCUUCUUGCUCUGGAGCGCGUGGGCAGUCUCUCUAAGGCAGCCCAUGACGUCAUUUUCCGAUUCGACUCGGAGGAGGUUGGCUGCUCUUCUUGGCUGAGCUUCAUGGCUGGCCGAAUUCCCCUAUUCCCUUCCUCUUAUACUUUUUUAUAUUCGUUCACCAAAACAAUAGGAAAACGUCUCCGUCUGUUUGAUUGACGGCGAAAAAAAAAAAGACGGAGAAUAAAAGCCUGACGGAAGCUGAAAGCUUGGACUCUGUUUGUAUUUUUAAUGGAUUUUCAGAACACAGGUCAAGAAUAUUGCGAUUUGAGAAAAAAAGAAAGAACCACGUUGACAUAAUAUAUUCACAAUAGGUGUACAAGGUUCAUAAAGCUUUACUGUGGUUCCAUUUUUUGUUAAUGGAAUUAGCCUUUUGUUUUAGGAAGAACUUGGAACCCCCUCCGUCCAUUCUAUCCCCAAUGGAAUUAACACUUAGAUAGUACUAUGACAAUGUGUCAUUAUUUGAUGCAUACCUGUAUAAAUUUAGGCUAAGUGUUUUAUACACAAAUUGAUACAGAUUAACUAUACAAUGAUAACUAUAUACCGGAGAGCUAACUAUACAAUGAUACAUUCUUAUCUGUUAAUUAUCUUUGGUUACCAGCUAUCCAUGUUGCUGUCAUAUUAAACUACACAACAUCAGUUGUAAUUUAUGUCUUAUUAGUAUCAUCAUUUUUGUUCAUUAUUUCAAUGUCUAACAUAACUCCGCCUAUGUCUUACAUGGCCGGUCCCAAGCCCGGAUAAAGGAGGAGGGGGAGGGCGUCAGGUAGUCGACAGCCGGCACUCCAUGAUCACGUCGAAUCCUUAUGAAAAUGAAUCCAGAACAAAACCCCACUUAGUGGGAAAAGGCUUUGUUGUUGUUGUAUUUCAAUGUCUAACAUGAUGAUCUGGUUUCAAUUUGCUACAGGCAUUAUUUCCAGACAAUAGCUAUGGUUUUGAUUGUAGCGGUGACUGAAAAAUUAUUCCGAAACUAACAUUUGAGGAAUUCAAGGUUUGUUAGUUAAUUUGUACAUCAGAAUACCAUGACAAACUAUGAAGUUGUAAUUGUUGACCUUACAAUGUAUCUUUUUUGGUUUGGAGCAUUAGACUUAUAUGUGUUGCUUUCACCUCAUGAAGGCUAACUCUUUAUUUUAGGCCGUAAGAGUAUAAUUUCUUGGAGAAUCUACAUUGUUGAUAAUUUUUUGAACAAUAUUAUCCCCAAAAUUUCUCCGCAUGUUACCCUCAACGUAGACAUCAUAUAACCAUCAUUGAACUUCUGAACCAAAAAUUUGAGUUUUAUGAUUAUAACUAAACGUCUAUAAACACAUGAUACAGAUUGAGACGAAUGUCAAAUUUAAAAUGGCAUUAAUACAGCUGCAAACUCUGAUUUGCGGGAUUUGAAAUGGAGCAGUUACUUCUUGCUUCACUUCAGCAGCAUAGUCCAGCUUCUAAAUUCAGUUCUCAGGUAUGAGGUUUCUCAGUUACCUCUUUUUUGUAAUAAAACAUUUGAUCAGUACUUGCCAGGAUAUCCAAUUAAUUAGGUCAGUUUUUGUUAGCAGUAAUAAUUUGUUUUUGCAGCUUUAUAUGUGUCUCUGUCUCCAAAUAUGAUGAUCUCUUAAUUUGCUUCUAUAGCUUUUGUAAUAUAAUGAUCUCUUAAUUUUCUUUUGCAUAUCUUCUUUGCUUCCUCUGCUAGCUCUAUAUGAGAUUCCAUCUCCAAAUAAUUAUUCCUUAUUUCCUAUUUUUACCAGAAGCAAAUCAUUGAAUACACAUGGUAAAUUAAAAGGGUUUUAGUUUUUGGAGUAGUUUAAAUUUUUUGUUUGUUAUUGCUUGUAUUGCUGUUAAAUAUUUGAUGGGUAGUUUGAAAUGGGGAACUUGGUUGAUUGAGUAUUAACUUUUAUUAAAUUAAUAUUCUUAUUCAAUAUUGAAUUAAGACUCCUCUUAUUAAAUUAAGACUCUUAAGGCUCUAAUCUAAUGUUCAUGCUCAAUAUCUCCUCUAUCUUUCUACAAUUGGUAAAACUUUUGUAUUAUUAUUCCAAUUUUGGUUACUGGGUUGUGGAAUUUUCCAUUUUUUUUCUGGGUAAUCAAUACUAUAUAUAUGCAUGACAAGUAUAAACAAUAUUUUGGGGCAAAUUUAGUUGUUUAAUUUUUAAUUUUUAUGUGACAGUGAGAUUAUGGUAGGAUUUCGUUUAGAUUCUGCGGCCCAAUGGGAGUCUCUGCUUUGAUAAGAUUGGGGUUGAUGCCAAGAAAGCCAAUAAGCCUACUGUGGACGCCGUAGCCGCCUGGCGCUGUUUUCCAAAAUCCUCUCUCACUUGGUUAAGCAAUUAAGACUUUUUGGUUCAGUUUUUAUUAUGCCCAAUUUUGUAUUUAAACCUUAAAAAAAUUUAAACUGAUAUGGGGAUACUGAAAUAGGCUGCAGAGCUGCCAUCCCUGAAUCAGAAGAUGUUCAGAAGGAAGAAGAAGAACAAGAAGAAAGUCGUGGAAUAUCAAAAGCUUUUAGCUUUGUGAAGGUAUGCUUUUUCCCAACUCACCUCUUGCUUUUGUUGCACUGAAUUGGUAGAUUGGGUUCAAAAAUAUAUAUAUGUGAUUUUUCGUGUAACUAUUUCUUUACAUAAUUACCAAUUGGAGGUGAUUUGAGAUCAUGUAACAUUUCCUCGCUAGAACCGAAGAUUGCCGUCGCUCAGAGCUGCGUUUCAUGAAACAAGUUCAUCUCCUGCCAAUUUUGUGUACCCACCUUUUAUUCAUGAGGGUUGGUGCUUGCUUGCAACACAAUUUGGUGCUAUUAAGUUUUGCGGUUUUACAAUUUGUUCAUGCUUAAACCUCUUUCAAAUUUUCAUUUCUAUGUAAAUCUUGCAGGUAGGACGACACACCUAUCUUGGCAAUGUCGGGAUGUCUAGGCUUGGGUGGAGACGUGGUCUUAUGGAAGAGGUGAAGUAGCUUAGCUCGAUCUCAUUAGCUCUUAUCUGUUCUAUUAUGCUAAGAUCAAUAGUAAAAAGUUCUAUUGAUUUUAUAAUCAAAGAUACAUAUAUUAUAGAAACAGAGGGUAUAUAAUUAAUUUCUUGAUGUAAACAAUUAUAACUUGAGGAACCAUUUAAAGUAUUUUGGUAAUCAGCAUACUUAAACUUAAAUGUGAUAUAUCCGUUUAGUAUUUUUUUUAUACAGUGAUAAUACUUAAGUAUAAUUUACAUCAUAUAUCUUUUGAAGUACAUGAAACUAUGAAGAAAAUGAUAAACCAAAUCCCAUUCCAUCUCUGUUUGCUACUGCACAAUCACAAUCCAAUUCCAACAUGGAAUCCUCAGACGACAUGCCUACUGCAGAACAAGUUUCAUCCUGACUUAACUUAUAUUUAGUCCACGUCCUGUUUAGAUUGUAAUCCUAGUUCUACGUGUGUUUGUAUAGUACUCCUAUAAAUAUCAAUGAACAUCGCUCACUCUAAUUAAGAGUUGAGAUUCUGCAAAUCAUAUUUACUAUCUUUCAUGGUAUCACGAGCCAGCGUCUAACGACAACGGUUCCUAUUAUAAUUUUUUUCUCUUUUGCAGAUCCUAAACUAUGGCAUCUUCUUCCUCCUCCGCUGCUCCCUCCAUCACAAAUUUUCUUACGAUCAAGCUCGACCGCAACAACUACCCUCUUUGGCAUGCUCAGUUUCUUCCCUUGCUGCGCAGCCGCAACUUACUCUCUUAUGUUACUGGCGAAACUCAAUGCCCCUCUUUCUUCUUGAUGACAAUGGUAAAUUCACCGAUAAAGUCAAUCCAUUAUAUAAUGAAUGGAUCCAGACUGACCAGAUGAUCCUAUCUUGGAUUACGAGUUCUCUUACUCCCAAGGUUCUUGCUACGAUCGUCAACAAAAUUGAUUCGGCCUCUGCUUGGUCGUCAAACUCGAAUUAAUCUGAUUGUGAGGGUUUUGUUUUAUAUCAAUAUAUUGCAACAGAAGUCACACUUUGAAGAGUUCAUGCUGCACAGAAAGAUGAUGAAAUGCUACCCGUUGAGUCUAUCAUUGCUCCAUUGGAGACAGAGCUGAAGCUUACUGCAGGAGUUAUACAUUUGUUAUGCAAUAUGACCCCUUUAAUUUUAUUUUAAAACUGAUACAAAAAUACUACAAAAAUUUAUGUAGUAUUUUUGUAUCAGUUUUGAGUGUCUAUUUUGGCUUCCAUAUAUCGUCUGUACAUGUGAGAGGUAUAGUGUUCAAUAUGUAUUUGGUUUCUAUAUUGUUAAUGGAUCCUUUUUUUUUUUUUAAUUUUAAUAUAAUUUUAUUAAGGUAACCAAGUUGCAGGAUGACAUCAGAACACUUGAUCUGCAGGUAAACCUUCAAUUUCCAUAUGAAGUUUGCAUGUUCGUUGUUUCUGGAAUUUGAGUUUUUAUUAUUUCUCAAUUCUAUCACAUAGAUUACGAUUUCACAUAUGUGAUUAUUAAUGGCAAUUAUAUGAUAGAAGAAUUGGGAUUGGAAGAAGAUAUUGAGUUGUUUAUUUAUGGGGAUUAGAAAAUGAUUAUCAUACAAGUGAUAUUUAUUUUUGUGUGGAUUGUUAAUAUAUAAAACUAUAAGCUUUUGAGAUUGGGAGAUAAAACCCACAAAUUCAAAUCAGACAAAAUAAAUAAAAAAUUUAACUGACUUAAAGAUCAAACUCCAAAAGGGUAUUAAAAACAAGGCUUAUUUGAUCCAUUGAGUGUGAAAGUUUUGAGCUUUGAAGAAGCAUAGGAGGAGAGUUGUUAACCAAGCUGCAUUAUCCAUGUAUUAGGAUGUUGAGGGUAGGCAGGAAAAAUACUUUUUGACGCCAUAUCCAGAGGAGCAUAACGACAGGCCUGCAUUUUUGCAGCAAGGACCAAAACAAGUAGAAGUGAAGGCUUGACUGUUUGGGUAUUAAUCCUAAACCUAAUUAUUCUUAUUUAGGUUUAGGAUAAAUGAUUGAGUGUGUCUCGAUGAUUGUAUUACCAUGUUUGAUGAAUGACUUGAGGAGUUGGAAAUGGUUUAUUGCUUAUGUUUUUCUUAGGUGUGUACUUUGGUUAUUUCCGAGCUUUUCACGACUCUUGAUACCUAAUAGAGAAAAUGGAAACCCCAACUUUAAUUUUAUGAAUUGGUUUUGGUGCCUAAAAUGAAAUCUAGCAUAGUGAAAUCUUGCAUAAUGAAAUUAUGACAAAUUUCCCUUCAUCUUUAGAUUUUCAUUUAGUUCAAUUUGUAUGCAAUUUAGGGUUAUUCAAUUCAUGAGUGAUCAAAUUAUGUUUUUAAUUCCUUCUUCUUUUGAUUUACAGUUCAACAUUGUCGUACAAAAUGAAAAAGGUGCCAGUAACAUAGUUAUGGAUUUGGAUGCCUUUAGCGGAAUAAAACUGAAUUUUUUAACUUUGUAUAGUUGUAAACAUAAAAUACUCCAUCAGAUAGACUCAUAGCAUUUGAAAACAAUCCUUGAGGAUGGCAUAACAACAUCUCCAACUUUUGUCAUGUAAUGUAUGAAUGUAAAUAGCACUUUGUAAACAUAUGGAUGUAAUAUAUGUAUAUAAACAGUCUUUAGCAUGUAUAUUUUUCAAAACUUUCUACAUCUUCAACAAUGUUUCAAUGAUUUCUUGAUGUAAACAAUGAUAAUUUGAAGAACCAUUUAAAGUUUUCGGUAAUCAGCAUACUUAAGCUUAAAUGUGAUAUAUCCGUUUAGUAUUUUUUAUACAGUGAUAAUACUCAAGUAUAAUUUACAUCAUAUAUCUUUUGAAGUACAUGAAACUAUGAAGAAAAAACCCUAAUUAAUCUGAUUAUGGGGGUUUUGUUUUAUAUCAAAAUAUUGCAGCAGAAGUCACACUUUGAAGAGUUCACGCUGCACAGAAAGACGAUGAAAUGCUAUCUGUUGAGUCCAUCAUUGCUCCAUUGGAGACAGAGCUGAAGCUUGCUGCAGGUGGUAUACUUUUGUUCUGCAAUAUGACCCCUUUAAUUUUAUUUUAAGACAGAUAGGGUUGAAAAGAAUUUAUGUAGUAUUUUUGUAUCAGUUUUGAAUGUCUAUUUUGACUUCCAUAUUUGGUCUGUACAUGUGAGGUAUAGAGUGUUCAAUAUGUAUUUGGUUUCUAUAUUGUUAAUGGAUCUUUUUUUUUUGUUUUUUAGGUAACCAAGUUGCAGGAUGAAAACAAAACACUUGAUCAGCAGGUAAACCUUCAAUUUCCAUAUGAAGUUUGCAUUUUUGUUGUUUCUGGAAUUUGAGUUUUUUGCAGGAUGAAAACAGAACACUUAAUCUGCAGGUAAACACUUGAUUUGUUAUUUCCAAGCUUUUCACGACUUUCGAUACCCAAUAGAGAAUAUGGAAACCCCAACUUUAAUUUUAUGAAUUUGUUUUGGUGCCUAAAAUGAAAUCUAGCAUAGUGAAAUCUUGCAUAAUGAAAUUAUGACAAAUUUCCCUUCAUCUUUACAUUUUCAUUUAGUUCAAAUCGUAUGGUUUAGGGUUAUUCAAUUCAUGAGUGAUCAAAUUAGGUUUUUAAUUCCUUCUUCUUUUGAUUUUCAGUUCAGCAUUGUCGUAUUUUGGAUGCCUUUAGUGGAAUAAAACUGAAUUUUUUUAACUUUGUAUAGUUGUAAACAUAAAAUACUCCAUGAGAUAGACUCAUAACUUUUGAAAACAAUCUUUGAGGAGGGCAUAACAACAUCUCCAACUUUUGUCAUGUAAUGUAUGAAUGUAAAUAGCACUUUGUAAACAUAUGUAUGUAAUAUAUGUAUAUAAACACCACUCUUUAGCAUAUAUAUUUUUCAAAACUUUCUACAUCUUCAACAAUGUUUCAAGCCCCGCGGCAACGGGCGGGUACACUUGCUAGUAUACAUCUAAAAUUAUAAGACUAAAUCCUUUAGUUCUUGGAUUCAUCUAAGAACUACUUAUUCCAGCAGAUGCUAUGCUUGCACUACUAGAAUUUAUGGCUUGCCCUGUCAACUAUUGCGCGACAGAAGAUUUCGUCGGUUUCACCUUUUUUAACCGACAGAAUAUAAGUUUAGUAGGGCAAAAUCAGUCAACAAACUGGGUUGAUUGAAUAAAUUUACAGGAUGGCUAGAGUUCGUAGGUUAAGACAUCGGUCGUUGGGCAAACAUUUGGAGCGAAGAUGUGAGUGUUUUAACUGACGAAUAAGCUGGUCGUCAUGUAGAUCUUCUUUCCCGACGGACGGUUCAACAGGUAGCUCUUUGGAUAAUAAUUCAUCUUCAAGGGGAACAGGUUGCCCCUCAGAUGAAUGGUUAGAGGCAAUUGUGAGACUAUAAUUUUCUAGGGCCGGAAUAAAAAAUACAUAAACCCUCACCUAUUCUGUCUCUGUAACCAUCCACCAAAUACCCAUUUUUCCCUUUCUAUUUCUCUCCUAGUAAUUUCCCCUGACCGAAUCACACAAUCCAACCAACUCUCUUUAAGCCUCCCUCACUGAUUCCAUGGAUUUCAUGGACUUAUCCCACCCUCUCUCCUUCCUUCUAUAUAUAGCAAGUCCCCUUGCCUCAGUGUCCCUGGCAACAGAAUUUAUGGCGUUUCUUCGUUCUUUCAAUUAUUUGAAAGCUUCCCUGCCCUGCAAUCUUGUAUAAAGGCGUAUGGUGUUUCAUCAGUUCCAUUUGGUGGUCGGGUGGGAAAUGAAAUUAAAACACUGCAUUUCAAAUGCAUUUCAAAUGGUCUAAACCAAAUUGAAUCAAAUGUGAAGCAAAGGGCAAGAGGUGUAGAUUGAAGAACAAUGGCACCAAGAGCGAAAUUGAACUUGUUGACAGGAGGAAACCAAGUAAGGAUAACACGUCUAAAUCUUAUUUUGAAUCCAUUCAGCUCAUGAUGUUUUGAAUGAUGAUGAUCGGUAUACUCUGCUACAUGCUGUGAUUUUUCCGCUUUCAUGUAAUUAACGGCUUAUAUUUGUGGUAACCAUAUUGAUUAAAAAAGGUCGUACCCAGUGCACAAGGCUCCCGCUUUACGCAGGGUCUGAAAGGUGAAUGUCGGCUAGCCUUACCCCCAUUUUAUGGAGAGGCUGCUCCAAAGUCUCAAACCCAAGACCUACCGCUCAUGGGCGAAGACACUUGCCAUCGCACCAAGUGCGAUAUUGAUUAAUUUCGAGAAAUGACAGUCUAAUUUUUGCAACUGUCUUUUGCAGGCAAAACAAAGACGUUUGCAAGGGUGAGUUGUGUAGGAGCUUUGUUUCAUGUCCAAAGGACACUUGAGAAUAAAUGUUUACACUCAUGGAUAAUAUCUAUCUAUUUGCAGGAGUAACCCUGGGUUCAUUUGUUCUGUAACUGCUGGUCAUUGCGGCAUAUCACGCCUAUAGCACUGACAAAAGUAAAAAGAGAAUCGAAUGAAAUUUGAUAAGUUUUCAGCGGACUACAAAGAUCUUAAGCCAAGCAUAUAUUCCCAUGCAGAUAUUAAGAGGUUUACAAAUCAAUUCAAGUACAAGUUGGGCCAAGGAGCAUACGGAACUAUUUUUAAAGGAAUGCUUUUUUCUGAAUGCUUUGUUGCCAUGAAGUACUUAACAAUGGGCCAUAUUCACCAUGUCAAUGUGGUUCACUUGGUUGGUUUUUGUGCUGAUGGAUUUAGAUGAGCUCUGGUUUAUGAGUUCUUUUCCUUUGGUUCACUCCAGGAUUAUAUUUCAUCAGUAGAUAGAUUUCUUUCCUUGGUUGGCAUAAGUUACAAGAUAUUGCUAUCAGCAUAGCCAAAGGAACCAAGGAUGUGAUCUACAAAUCCUCCAUUUCGAUAUCAAACCCCAUAAUGUUUUGCUCAACCAAAAAAUCACGCCAAAAAUCUCUGAUUUUGGUCUGGCCAAGUUAUGUUCCAAGGAUCAAUCGGCGUGACUAAAGCAAGGGGGACUAUGUGACUAAAGCACCCGAAGUGUUUUCCAGGAAUUUCGGAAAUGUGUCUUACAAGGCAGAUGUCUUGAAUGCUGCUGCUUGAGAUGGUAGGAGAAAAGAAGAAUAUUGGUUCAACCAGAGGACACGACAAAUGAAAUCUACUAUCCAAAAUGGAUUUAUAAUCUUCUAGAGGAAGGAAAUGACCAACAGAUCCCUAUUGAGGAAGAAUGUUAUGGUAAGAUUCCAAAGCAACUUGCAAGUUUAGGGCUCUGGUGCAGCCAGUGACACUCAGUGGAUCGGCGGUCCAUGAAAACGGUGGUUCGGAUGUUAGGAGGAGGAGAAAACUUGAUGAUGCAAGCAACCCUAAAAGCCUCAUACAGUUAGAAGCAAUUGCUGAAUUAGAGUAACAUACGUAUAUGUAUACGCACCAACACAAGUCGUUCUUAGAUGAAUCCAAGCCAAACAAUUACAGACAAUAGUUAUUCACUAAAUCACUUUAAGGCAAGAAUUUAAUUAAUAAUACAUUACUGCACUUUCUUAACCAUUUGACUAUCACCUAGCUGACAAUGAACACGUUAGCUCCGCGUUAGAACAUCUUGGGUUCAAUUCAUUGUCUUGAAUAUCACCCACUGUCACAGGCGUCUUUUGGGGGCAUAGAGAAGGCCUGAGAGGCAUUUGCAGACAUUCAACAUCUCCUCCAAGCAUUUUGACAACUUUGGACAUCGAAGGGCGAUCACUUGGUUUCAUUUGAAUACACCACAAGGCGGUUAUAACCAUCUUUCUUAUUACUUUCUUUUCCUCCUCUGUAACAUUGUCCAUUUCCAAGUCAUUUCCUACAAUAUACUGAUCGUAUACCCACAUUGGGAAGUAGAUUUGGCUUGAAUGCUCUACCGUUGGAUUCAAAUUCCUCCUUCUGCUUGCCAUUUCCAUCAACAACAUUCCAAAACUAUAGACAUCUGACUUAUAUGAGACGCCUCCAAUAUUUUUGUAGAACAACUCAGGAGCAAUAUAUCCCAGUGUACCCCGUGCUGCUGUCAAAGAGACAAUGCUAUUAUCUACAUGAUACAAUUUUGCAAGCCCAAAGUCAGAAACCUUUGCUUUAAAGUUCUCAUCAAGAAGGAUGUUAUGAGGCUUGAUGUCGAAAUGUAGAAUUUGCAUUUCGCAACCUUGGUGUAGAUAUUCGAUCCCUUGAGCCACUCCAAGAGAAAUCUCGUACAUGUUCUUGAUAGUUAAGGGGACACUUCCUUCUUUGGAAUAAAUGUAUUUAUCAAGAGAACCAUUAGGCAUGAAGUCAUAGACUAGAGCGCGUUUUGAUCCCUCAACAUAGUAUCCAACAAGUUGCACCACAUUGGCAUGGUGAAUCCUUCCGAUUGUAGCUAAUUCGCUAAUGAAAUCUUGGCCAUCAGCUUUGGGCUUGGCCAAAACUUUAACUGCUACAAAUCGACCACUGCGUAGCUUUCCCUUAAAUACAGAGCCAAAGCCACCUUUGCCCAACUUGUCCUUAAACUUGCGAGUCAUUUUCUUGACGUCCGAGUAAGAGUACCUUAUAGGCAUGAAGUUGUUAUUGCAUUGCAGAAAAUCUUCUAUUGUGCUAUACAUUGAUAAAUGUCUUCUGCGCCAUGUGUAGAUUAGAAAUGCAGUCACAAUUGGAACUCCAAAAACAAAUCUGGCUAGGAAAAAUAACCCUACAUGCAUUGACAUUAAUAUGUUAGAUCCACUGCGUACUACUUUUUCUUCCCUUUCUUUCCAAAUUACUUUGUCUUUGAUGUAAUUAAAGAGAGAAUGGGAAAUGUACAUAUGUUGAUAAUACAAUCUCGUCUUAGUCCUUACCGAUGCAUAUGAGUAUAAACCAUACACGUACUGCAACAAAAUCAAUCGACUAUGAGUUUGAAAAGUGCAUAAAGUGAAAAAAAAAUAAAAAAAAUCAAAGGGUGCCUUUAUUGACAUCCAAAUUUUAGUUAGUUUUACUCAACUAAAAAAUUUUUGUCAUCAAACUUUUUAAUUUGCCGUCGAAAUUGAGUUCACCCAACCCACAAAGCAGCAACUACCACUCACCAAAAAAACCAACAACACACAGCCACCAGUACCAUUCACCAAUAGAAAGAGAAGGAACACACAGACCCACCAAGGAGCCGGCAUCGACGCGUCUACGAGGGAGGGACCGGAGGGUGGUGUAGUUUUGUUGGGCGCGCGGUAGUGGUUUUGUCUGUUCAUUUUCUCUUUGUUUUGGUAGGUGGAGGCUGGUGUGGAUUUGGGCGAACUUAAAAAUGAGGGGAAACUAUGAAGUUUGACAAAAUGUUUUAGUUAGGUGAACUUCACUAAAAUUUGGGUGCCGAUAAAGAUACCCAAAAUCAAAAGACUAGAUGGACUAAUUAAAUGAAGCUCUUACCCAUAUAUAACGAUGGACGCAACUUGCCAGCUGCUGCAGUACAUACCACGGAAAAGUGAGCAAAGACAUACAGUUACUAGGUUUAAGAAGUACAGAUAGAGCACACAAAAAAUAAAAGAAGCUUUUGGGAAGAAACUUCUUACGCAAAUAGAUUUUUUUCAUGACCUACAGUAAAAAAAUGUCAAGAAGAAUACACAACAUUAGCAAUAGCUCACCCAGUCUUCAAAAUUUAAAAAAUCAAGUUUGUCGAUCGAAAACUUGUAAAUAAAACAAAAAGAGGACCCCUUACCGAUUUGUUGCCAUAGAUAUUGAAAGAAACCUACAAGAACAAAGAAAGAACAAGACCACAUGCAUUAGAAUAACAAGUGUGAGGUGUAUAAGCCGUUAGAAAAUAAAUUUAAAAUUCUAGUGCUGUCAAUACAUUGAUAAUAUAUAUAUAUAUAUAUAUAUAUAUAUAUAUAUGUAUGUAUGUAUUAUUUUUUCUGAAAAUUUAACUUUUCCCGUCCAAACUCAUUUUUCUAGUCUCUAGCCCAACAUAUAAUAUUUAUCUGAAUAAAACCAAAUGAUUAGGAUCCAACUAAGAAACUUACCAAAUUAAGUUUGUGUGUCCAUUUUUAUAUUUUUUGGAUCCCUAAUAUACCCCAUCUAAGCCAGUAUGGAAAGGUCUUGUAAUUUUGCUUUAAGUGAUUACGUGCAUUGAAUUUGGCAAGGUCUUAUAGCCAUGAAAUAUGGUUCUAGAUGGAGGAAUUAAUUUGGAAUUUUUUUUAAUUUCGACAACAAAUUUCAAUUUGAAUAUACCUAAUUUAGUGUUUAUUUUCAACAAUAAAUGUGCCUACUUUUUAAAUUUGUAACAAAAUUAAUUUACCUACUUUUUAUGGUAUUAGUGACACACCCUGUCCCGAAGGAGGGCAUGCUGGCCGUCACGAGAGAGUGACGUAACCAUUUGCACAGUACGGAAGCUUUAAGAUACAAUUUAUAAGUUGAUACACCCGAAGGUGAGUCCUAAUUUUUGUCCAAUCUGUCAGAACACCGUCAAAUUCCUCGUAGUCACCACACCUUUGUGAUUCCUGAACCUGGAGGGGCGCAAAACCAAAAUUGAGUGGGUCAGUAAAACAAUUCUUUUCCAAAUCCAAACAUUUCUCAAAACGUUGUAACCCUCUCCGUAAAACUUGUAUACUUUCCCAGAAAUGUAAAAUAUAAAUAUACAUAUAUAUUCUCAAACUUCAUUUUUACUAUCUCAACAUUUUUCUUUAUCAAACAUGCCAUGCCAUGUCUAAUUCAACAGUUAAGUAUGGAUGCAUCAACAAUAAUCAUAUCAGGUGCAAGAAAGUAAUCAACCGGAGGCCCUCUAAUAGCCCUGUACGGUUGAACCUAGAGCUCAAAAUCUAUCACUCUCACUCUGCCGGGAGUCACCUCUGUGACCUGUCCGGCCUUCUGCACACAAGUUACGCUCUAGUGCUUUCUCAUCAAUCAUCUGUGCACAUAAUCUAAGGUCACCCACCAGUCGAAAUCUCACUAACACUCUUCGACUGGCCCGUCGCACCCACUCCGCGUGGACUGUGCGACCAGCAUCUACUUGGAUCCAAGGCGAGCGUGCGAUGCGGUGAAUACUAUAAGCACUAAACCAUGGUGCAGGAUUUGAGCUCAAUAUAUAUCAACAUCAUCAUAACAGUACUUAAAUACUCACCUGAUACUCACCUGUGCGUCCGCCGCACCAAUUCAUACAUAUGCAUCAUAUUUCAAUUCAUAUCAUUUCAUGCAUGGCAAUUCGAUUCACAUUUCUAUAUACAUUUCAUAUACUUCUAUGCAUGACCUUUCAAUUCACGUUUUCAUAUAAUUCUAUAUACCUUUCAUUUAAAACAUAAUUUCAUUCUAAUUCAAUUUCUGGGAAAACGUCAAGUAUAUAUAUACGGAAAACAAAACUGCCCACUCACCUGGAGUUCGUCCAACAACUCCCUAGCACCACACAUCAAGGCGUCAUGACGAUCGCCGUCUAGAACAGUAAUCAAAUCCAGCCUCAGAAUUCAUAUCGAUAGAACAUAUAACUUAUAUAAAAUAUGUCACUACGUAGAUCGAUCCGGAAGAUCUGCCACUCAGAUUUUAAAUCCAUAACUUCCAGAGGUCCACAAUAUAUCUCUAGGAUAACAUCCUAAAAUUUCAUUACCAUCCAACGGUCGGAUCUCCGUCAAUUUCCAAAACUAAGUGACGGUUAACAUUUUAUUUUAUGAACUUACAAUUCUAAUUCCGGAAGAUCCGUAACUCGGAUUCCCAAUCCGUAAGUUCCAAUAAUCCUCAAAUAUUACGUAUUACAACGUAUCAAAGUUUGGUAACGAUCCAACGGUCGGAUCAUCAAUUCACAUUUUCACCUAAUGCGAAAACUAUAAAACGUUAUUCGAACACCUAACCAACAAUCCUUAAUAACUUUCUCAUACGGUGUUCAAUUUGGGUAUAUGAAUAUACCACAGUGAUCUACUCAUUAAAAUAAUUUUUUACUGUAGCACGCGCCCCCACGCGCCAAGGAAGGCACGGACCUACGCGCCCCCACGCGCACCUUCUUCUUCCUUGGGUCGCCGGACUGGUUUUUCCGGCGGCCGUUUUUCAAAUUGCCAUAACUUUGUCAUUUCUCAACGAAAUCAAGUGAUUCAAAAACGAAAGUUGUAGCCCUUGAAGAGACAAAGAGAAUGGUACCUUGCACAACACCUAGUUCGCCGUGGUUUGGCCGGAAACUGCUUCGAAAGCCUCGGAGGUCGCCAGAAACUGGGUAUUUUUCAAAUCAGUAUAACUUCUUCAAUACUCAACGAAAUUGAGUGAAACAAAAAGGAAAGUUGUAGUACUUGACGAGACGAAGAGAUUGAUACCUACCUCGACUCCUAACUCACCGGAUAUUCGCCGGAAAAUGCCUCGAAAGCUCCGGCCAAACUUUGAACUUGUCGAUCUCCGUGUUCUUACAUCCAAAAACUUCCAACGAAGCACUCCGAGCUUCCUUGGGACCUCACUAAGCUCGCUAUGAUCUUGUUUUAGCCUAAAACGUAGUCAUUUAGAAGAUCAUGAACAAUACCAUUUCACGGGAACUUUGAAACUAGGGUUUUCCGAAGCAAAACUUACCUGAAAUGGAUACCAUCGUGAUCGUGGAGGUUCCAGGAGUUUGAUGGUGGUCUUAACUCUGUCGUUGGUGGAAGUUUAAGGUUGUUUUGUGGUUGGUUUGUUCGAACGGAGAAGAAGAGUGACAGAGAGAGUGAGAGAGUCGUGAGGGAAGAGAGAGAGAGACAGCAUGCAGAAAAUAGGGAGAGGAUUGAGGGGUGUGGGGAUCCCACGUGGUCCUUUUCCAAUCCCCAACUCCAAACCAUAAAAUUUUAACCUAAAAAUCUAAGUUCAAUCCUUAAUAAAUUCCAUUUUAUUUUCAAAACUUAGGAACCUAGAUAAUUAUCAACUUGAGCUUCACAUACUUAGUAUUUCUUAAGGGCAAUUUCGUUCAUUCACAGCCACGAAUGUAAUAUUUUGGAACGGGCUGUGACAAUUAGUAUACAUAAAUGUAGAAUAUAUGUCCGUAUAUAUUUGAUCCAAUUAGUAUUAGGGAGAAUGACAAGUCAUCCAAGUCUGCUACUGUUAAUAAUUCUGUUACUGUAAAUUAACUGAUUGUAUUAGUUGUGAUUAGUUAAGAUAGUUAUAAAGUAGUUAGGGGUAUCUAUGUAAAUAGCCAAAGGCUAUAUAUAUUCCUACACAAUGUGUAAAGUUCUCAGUCAAGUAAAUACAAUCAAGAAAACUUACUGUUGAAGUUUUCUGUUUCUACAUGGUAUCACGCCAUUCCGCUUCACAGCUUCGAUCUUUCUCUUCGCUUGCUGCAUCGAUCGACUCUUGAUCGAUUUUUCUUCUCUGAUCUUCUCUUCGCUUGCUGCAUCGAUCGACUCAUGAUCGAUUUUUCUUCUCUGAUCGUCACUUCUUCCCUUCCGAUCUUGUAGUAUUUUCUUGAUUUCUGUCAGUAAUGGCGGCUCAAUCGACUGGUUCAUCUUCUCCGGUCAUCUCCCCCUCGAGCCCAAACCCUAAUUUUCUCUGGAAACCCUAAUUCCUCUGGAAAUCCGAGUCCUCUGACUUCCUACACUUCUCUCUCACAAUUCAUAACAUCGGCAGCAUGGUGCCGAUCAAGCUCAAAAGAUCCAAUUACCUACCAUGGCGCGCCCUGUUUGGCCCGAUUUUCCGGCGAUACAAGCUUCUUGGAGUAAUCGAUGGUACUGACGUCUGUCCAUCGCCAUUUCUGCCUGAUCGUAGCAUCAAUCCUGCUUUUGAGGACUGGUAUGAGAAAGAUCAAAAUCUUUUUGAUCUGGUUGAAUUCCACACUUUCUGAGGAAAUCAUCCCGUUCACGGUUGGGGUUUCAUCCUCUCGAGAACUUUGGGUAAAGCUUGAACAGCGCUUUGGUGGAAUUUCAGAGGCUCAUAUCCAUCAGUUGCGAUCGCGCCUUCAAUCUGUUCAGAAAGGAUCGCGUUCUAUCUCUGACUAUCUUCAAGAACUCAAGGAAAUUUCAGAUUCUCUGCAAGCUGCUGGUGCUUCUGUCUCUGAUCGAGAUCUUAUCGCCGCCACACUACAUGGCUUGCCUGAUGAAUUUGAGUCUUUCAUCGACUGUAUCAUGCUCCGAUUGUCCUCUACCUCUCUGAUGAACUUCAUGGCCUCCUUCUCACAAAGGAAUUGUCUAUGGCCAGACGCAAAACUGUCAGUUCAUCUCCUGUCCCUGAAUCUUUUCAGGCUUUCUCGGUGCAGUCUCAGCCUCAUCUCCUUCCUACUCCAUCUGCUUUUGCUGCUCAGAAUCUCCCUCUUCAAUCUGCAUCUCGGUUCAACUCUAAUCGUGGCAGGAACACUAAGGGCCAGUUCUUUUCCAAUCGAGGUCAUCGAGGUAAUCGUGGUAAUUUUCCUAAUAAACCGUGGCAAUCGAGGUUAUCAAGGAUUUCGCAGCAAUCAAGGCUCUUCUCACUUCAAAGUGCUUUGUCAAAUCUGUGGUUCUACCAGUCAUGAGGCUAUUGACUGCUUUGAUCGUAUGAAUCCUGACAUCUUGUGGUCGUAUUCCUCCAGCUAAGCUUGCUGCCAUGUGUGCCACAACAUUCUGCUAAACCAUCUCAGCCUUGGUUAAUUGAUUCAGGGGCAACCUCUCAUAUCACUAAUGAUGUUGCUAACCUCACCUCUCCUACUCCCUACACUGGCGAGGAUUAAAGUGUAUAUUGGAGAUGGUAAAGGUUUAUCCAUCCUCAAUGUUGGUUCAUCUACUCUGCACACCUCUCAUAAUUCUUUUCAAUUGCGAAAUGUUUUACAUGUUCCCCACAUAACCCAUAAUCUUAUCUGCUUAUCAGUUUUGUUAAUGAUAAUAAUUGUUCAUUGACACUUGACCCUUAUGGAUCCUAUGUCAAGGAUCGUAUUUCGGGGAAGAUGCUUUUACGGGGACCGGUUAGAGAUGGCUUCUAUCCUCUUCAAAGUUCCAGCAAUCUUCAUCCUCUUUCACAUACCGCUUUACUUAGUAUUAAAGCUCCAGUUACAAUUUGGCACAAGCGUUUGGGUCACCCUUCCUCCUCCAUUUUUAGAAGGCUCCUUUCAUCCAAUAAUCUUGCUUUACAAGGCAAGUCUACUGUGGACUUUUUCUGUUCGGAUUGUGCUCUUGCCAAGAAUCAUAAGCUUCCAUUUAAAGCUGCUACUUCAUCAUCAACUCACAGCCUUCAACUACUGCACUGUGAUCUGUGGGGACCUGCCUCAAUCACAUCAAGUAGUGGUUUUCAAUAUUAUUUGCUCAUUGUUGAUGACUAUAGCAAAUAUAGUUGGUUCUUUCCUUUGAAAUCUAAGUCAGAUGUAUUUUCUACAUUUGUUGUCUUCAAAUCAUAUGUAGAAAAUUCACUUGGAAAUAAAAUAAAGGUUCUGCGUUCAGAUUCAGGGGGUGAAUUUACUAGUCACUCUUUUGCAUCAUAUCUCAGCAAACAUGGCAUUCUUCAUCAGUUCAGUUGUCCCCACACCCCUGAGCAAAAUGGUUGUGCAGAAAGAAAGCACAGGCACCUUGUUGAAAACAGCUCGCACUUUGCUUCUUGCAUUCUCAUGUCCCUCAUAUUUUCUGGGUUGAAGCAUUCUCCACUGCUAUCUAUCUUAUUAAUCGCCUUCCUAUUUCUGGCAUUUCACAGUCCCCUUGGCAGUUGCUAUUUCACAACCAUCCAGACUACUCUAAGCUCAAAGUAUUUGGUUGCCAAUGCUUUCCUUGGCUCAAACCUUACUUUCAUAGCAAAUUGGAUCCCAAGAGCAAAAAGUGUGUUUUCUUGGGGUAUAGUCUUCAACACAAAGGCUAUAGGUGCCUUGAUCCUAUCACCAAUCGCAUCUACAUCUCUCGUCAUGUCUGUAUUCGAUGAAAGUACUUAUCCAUUUCAGUUGUCCCACAUUCAACACUCUUUUCCUGUUCCAAGUCCUCCAUCUUCCUCACCAACAAUUUCUUCCUCUCUGGAUCUUCAUUUUUUAGCAAACACAUUCCUCCUGUUUUCAGUCAGCCAUCUACAUCACCAUUAUGUGCUUCUGUGCCUGUUCCUAUUUCUUCAUCUUCAUCUUCCCCUGCACCUGUCUCAGUUGGCUCUUCUUUCCAGUUUUGUUCCUCCUUCAGCACAUUCAUCUUUCUCCCAAAAUCAACAGAGUCAUCCUCCUGCCCCUGUUAAUUCUCAUCCAAUGAUUACUAGAUCCAAGGCUGGUAUACUCACGUCGAGAGCCUGUGCAGCAACUAAGCACCCACUUCCGGUUGAUAUGGAUUAUGUUCCUACAACAUACUUGCAAGCUUCUAAGCAUGCUCAUUGGAGGCAAGCUAUGCAAGAUGAAUUUAAUGCCUUGCUAACCACUGGUUACUUUGGUCUCUUGUUCCUUCUCACCAUUCUCAAAACUUAGUGGGCUGCAAGUGGGUUUUCCGGAUUAAGAAGAAGCCCGAUGGCACUGUUGACAGAUAUAAAGCCCGGCUUGUGGCCAAGGGUUUUCAUCAACAAGAAGGUAUUGACUUUUCAAGAAAACCUUCAGUCCAGUUGCCAAACCGGUUACAAUUCGGAUCCUUCUUACCCUUUGCUGUGCAAUAUAAUUGGUUUCUCAAUCAAUUGGACAUUAGUAAUGCCUUUCUUCAUGGAGACUUAAAGAGAGGAUGUCUACAUGCAACAACCCCCUGGUUUUGUUGAUCCCUUUACCCUACAUUUUGUAAGUUGAGGAAAUCGUUGUAUGGUCUCAAACAAGCUCCUCGAGCUUGGUUUGAUAAACUGUUCCAAGCUCUUCCUCUCUUGGAUUCACCCAAUCAUCCUCAGAUGCUUCUUUAUUUGUUCUCAAUGGUCCUCAGUUUAGUCAUUGUCCUUGUCUAUGUUGAUGACAUUCUUGUCACCGGACCCUAUCCUUACCUCUGUCAACACUUCAUUCAGCAACUUGGGGCUCAAUUUCCAGUAAAAGACCUUGGUCCUCUUCAUUAUUUCUUGGGAUUAGAAGUACAUCGAUCUUCCCAGGGUAUAUUUCUCCAUCAAACAAAGUACUUAUUGGAUCUUCUCAAGAAAACAAAUAUGGAGGGUGCAAAACCUUGUUGUACUCCCCUUGGCUCUAAGAAAUUAGAUCACAGUGGCCCUCUUCUGUCCAAUCCUACUGAAUAUCGCUCCAUUGUUGGUGGUUUACAAUAUCUUACUUGGACUAGACCCGACCUUGCUUUUGCUGUGAACCAAAUCUGCCAAUUCAUGCAUGCUCCCAGGGAACAACAUCUCCAGGCAGCAAAAAGGGUUCUCAGAUUUCUCAAAGGCUCUAUCUCACAUGGUGUGUGGUUCACUAAAGGCCCUGUCCAUCUUUCUGCCUACUCGGAUGCCGACUGGGCUGGUUGCACAAUUGACAGGAGAUCAACCACUGGUUAUUGUGUAUUUUUGGGUUCCAAUCUUAUCAGCUGGAGUGCCAAGAAGCAAAGUACUGUUGCCAAGGUCCUCUACAGAGGCUGAAUAUCGCUCCUUAGCUCACACAGCUGCUGAGAUAACUUGGGUUUGCAGAUUCUCAAAGAUCUGCACUAUCCUCUCUCUUACAUUCCCUACUUUUGGUGUGACAACAUAUCAGCAAUAUCUUUAGCAUCUAAUCCUGUCUUUCAUGCUCGAACAAAGCAUGUUGAGAUCGAUUAUCNGAAGUUUUCUGUUUUCUACAUGGUAUCACGCCAUUCCGCUUCACAGCUUCGAUCUUUCUCUUCGCUUGCUGCAUCGAUCGACUCUUGAUCGAUUUUUCUUCUCUGAUCUUCUCUUCGCUUGCUGCAUCGAUCGACUCAUGAUCGAUUUUUCUUCUCUGAUCGUCACUUCUUCCCUUCCGAUCUUGUAGUAUUUCUUGAUUUCUGUCAGUAAUGGCGGCUCAAUCGACUGGUUCAUCUUCUCCGGUCAUCUCCCCCUCGAGCCCAAACCCUAAUUUCUCUGGAAACCCUAAUUCCUCUGGAAAUCCGAGUCCUCUGGACUUCCUACACUUCUCUCACAAUUCAUAACAUCGGCAGCAUGGUGCCGAUCAAGCUCAAAAGAUCCAAUUACCUACCAUGGCGCGGCCCUGUUUGGCCCGAUUUUCCGGCGAUACAAGCUUCUUGGAGUAAUCGAUGGUACUGACGUCUGUCCAUCGCCAUUUCUGCCUGAUCGUAGCAUCAAUCCUGCUUUUGAGGACUGGUAUGAGAAAGAUCAAAAUCUUUUGAUCUGGUUGAAUUCCACACUUUCUGAGGAAAUCAUCCCGUUCACGGUUGGGGUUUCAUCCUCUCGAGAACUUUGGGUAAAGCUUGAACACAGCGCUUUGGUGGAAUUUCAGAGGCUCAUAUCCAUCAGUUGCGAUCGCGCCUUCAAUCUGUUCAGAAAGGAUCGCGUUCUAUCUCUGACUAUCUUCAAGAACUCAAGGAAAUUUCAGAUUCUCUGCAAGCUGCUGGUGCUUCUGUCUCUGAUCGAGAUCUUAUCGCCGCCACACUACAUGGCUUGCCUGAUGAAUUUGAGUCUUUCAUCGACUGUAUCAUGCUCCGAUUGUCCUCUACCUCUCUUGAUGAACUUCAUGGCCUCCUUCUCACAAAGGAAUUGUCUAUGGCCAGACGCAAAAACUGUCAGUUCAUCUUCCUGUCCCUGAAUCUUUUCAGGCUUUCUCGGUGCAGUCUCAGCCUCAUCUCCUUCCUACUCCAUCUGCUUUUGCUGCUCAGAAUCUCCCUCUUCAAUCUGCAUCUCGGUUCAACUCUAAUCGUGGCAGGAACACUAAGGGCCAGUUCUUUUCCAAUCGAGGUCAUCGAGGUAAUCGUGGUAAUUUUCCUAAUAACCGUGGCAAUCGAGGUUAUCAAGGAUUUCGCAGCAAUCAAGGCUCUUCUCACUUCAAAGUGCUUUGUCAAAUCUGUGGUUCUACCAGUCAUGAGGCUAUUGACUGCUUUGAUCGUAUGAAUCCUGACAUCUGUGGUCGUAUUCCUCCAGCUAAGCUUGCUGCCAUGUGUGCACAACAUUCUGCUAAACCAUCUCAGCCUUGGUUAAUUGAUUCAGGGGCAACCUCUCAUAUCACUAAUGAUGUUGCUAACCUCACCUCUCCUACUCCCUACACUGGCGAGGAUAAAGUGUAUAUUGGAGAUGGUAAAGGUUUAUCCAUCCUCAAUGUUGGUUCAUCUACUCUGCACACCUCUCAUAAUUCUUUUCAAUUGCGAAAUGUUUUACAUGUUCCCCACAUAACCCAUAAUCUCUUAUCUGCUUAUCAGUUUGUUAAUGAUAAUAAUUGUUCAUUGACACUUGACCCUUAUGGAUCCUAUGUCAAGGAUCGUAUUUCGGGGAAGAUGCUUUUACGGGGACCGGUUAGAGAUGGCUUCUAUCCUCUUCAAAGUUCCAGCAAUCUUCAUCCUCUUUCACAUACCGCUUUACUUAGUAUUAAAGCUCCAGUUACAAUUUGGCACAAGCGUUUGGGUCACCCUUCCUCCUCCAUUUUUAGAAGGCUCCUUUCAUCCAAUAAUCUUGCUUUACAAGGCAAGUCUACUGUGGACUUUUUCUGUUCGGAUUGUGCUCUUGCCAAGAAUCAUAAGCUUCCAUUUAAAGCUGCUACUUCAUCAUCAACUCACAGCCUUCAACUACUGCACUGUGAUCUGUGGGGACCUGCCUCAAUCACAUCAAGUAGUGGUUUUCAAUAUUUAUUUGCUCAUUGUUGAUGACUAUAGCAAAUAUAGUUGGUUCUUUCCUUUGAAAUCUAAGUCAGAUGUAUUUUCUACAUUUGUUGUCUUCAAAUCAUAUGUAGAAAAUUCACUUGGAAAUAAAAUAAAGGUUCUGCGUUCAGAUUCAGGGGGUGAAUUUACUAGUCACUCUUUUGCAUCAUAUCUCAGCAAACAUGGCAUUCUUCAUCAGUUCAGUUGUCCCCACACCCCUGAGCAAAAUGGUUGUGCAGAAAGAAAGCACAGGCACCUUGUUGAAACAGCUCGCACUUUGCUUCUUGCAUCUCAUGUCCCUCAUAUUUUCUGGGUUGAAGCAUUCUCCACUGCUAUCUAUCUUAUUAAUCGCCUUCCUAUUUCUGGCAUUUCACAGUCCCCUUGGCAGUUGCUAUUUCACAACCAUCCAGACUACUCUAAGCUCAAAGUAUUUGGUUGCCAAUGCUUUCCUUGGCUCAAACCUUACUUUCAUAGCAAAUUGGAUCCCAAGAGCAAAAAGUGUGUUUUCUUGGGGUAUAGUCUUCAACACAAAGGCUAUAGGUGCCUUGAUCCUAUCACCAAUCGCAUCUACAUCUCUCGUCAUGUUGUAUUCGAUGAAAGUACUUAUCCAUUUCAGUUGUCCCACAUUCAACACUCUUUUCCUGUUCCAAGUCCUCCAUCUUCCUCACCAACAAUUUCUUCCUCUCUGGAUCUUCAUUUUAGCAAACACAUUCCUCCUGUUUUCAGUCAGCCAUCUACAUCACCAUUAUGUGCUUCUGUGCCUGUUCCUAUUUCUUCAUCUUCAUCUUCCCCUGCACCUGUCUCAGUUGGCUCUUCUUCCAGUUUUGUUCCUCCUUCAGCACAUUCAUCUUUCUCCCAAAAUCAACAGAGUCAUCCUCCUGCCCCUGUUAAUUCUCAUCCAAUGAUUACUAGAUCCAAGGCUGGUAUACUCACGUCGAGAGCCUGUGCAGCAACUAAGCACCCACUUCCGGUUGAUAUGGAUUAUGUUCCUACAACAUACUUUGCAAGCUUCUAAAGCAUGCUCAUUGGAGGCAAGCUAUGCAAGAUGAAUUUAAUGCCUUGCUAACCACUGGUUACUUGGUCUCUUGUUCCUUCUCACCAUUCUCAAAACUUAGUGGGCUGCAAGUGGGUUUUCCGGAUUAAGAAGAAGCCCGAUGGCACUGUUGACAGAUAUAAAGCCCGGCUUGUGGCCAAGGGUUUUCAUCAACAAGAAGGUAUUGACUUUCAAGAAAACCUUCAGUCCAGUUGCCAAACCGGUUACAAUUCGGAUCCUUCUUACCCUUGCUGUGCAAUAUAAUUGGUUUCUCAAUCAAUUGGACAUUAGUAAUGCCUUUCUUCAUGGAGACUUAAAGGAGGAUGUCUACAUGCAACAACCCCCUGGUUUUGUUGAUCCCUUACACCCUACAUCUGUUUGUAAGUUGAGGAAAUCGUUGUAUGGUCUCAAACAAGCUCCUCGAGCUUGGUUUGAUAAACUGUUCCAAGCUCUUCACUCUCUUGGAUUCACCCAAUCAUCCUCAGAUGCUUCUUUAUUUGUUCUCAAUGGUCCUCAGUUUAGUCAUUGUCCUUGUCUAUGUUGAUGACAUUCUUGUCACCGGACCCUAUCCUUACCUCUGUCAACACUUCAUUCAGCAACUUGGGGCUCAAUUUCCAGUAAAAGACCUUGGUCCUCUUCAUUAUUUCUUGGGAUUAGAAGUACAUCGAUCUUCCCAGGGUAUAUUUCUCCAUCAAACAAAGUACUUAUUGGAUCUUCUCAAGAAAACAAAUAUGGAGGGUGCAAAACCUUGUUGUACUCCCCUUGGCUCUAAGAAAUUAGAUCACAGUGGCCCUCUUCUGUCCAAUCCUACUGAAUAUCGCUCCAUUGUUGGUGGUUUACAAUAUCUUACUUGGACUAGACCCGACCUUUGCUUUUGCUGUGAACCAAAUCUGCCAAUUCAUGCAUGCUCCCAGGGAACAACAUCUCCAGGCAGCAAAAAGGGUUCUCAGAUUUCUCAAAGGCUCUAUCUCACAUGGUGUGUGGUUCACUAAAGGCCCUGUCCAUCUUUCUGCCUACUCGGAUGCCGACUGGGCUGGUUGCACAAUUGACAGGAGAUCAACCACUGGUUAUUGUGUAUUUUUGGGUUCCAAUCUUAUCAGCUGGAGUGCCAAGAAGCAAAGUACUGUUGCAAGGUCCUCUACAGAGGCUGAAUAUCGCUCCUUAGCUCACACAGCUGCUGAGAUAACUUGGGUUUGCAAGAUUCUCAAAGAUCUGCACUAUCCUCUCUCUACAUUCCCUACUCUUUGGUGUGACAACAUAUCAGCAAUAUCUUUAGCAUCUAAUCCUGUCUUUCAUGCUCGAACAAAGCAUGUUGAGAUCGAUUAUCACUAUAUUAGAGAAUUGGUUUUGGCUCAACUUCUCAAAGUCAAGUUCAUCUGCAGUGAAGACCAAUUAGCUGAUCUUCACACCAAGUCUCUGUCUAAAACCAGAUUUAAUUAUCUGUGUUCCAAGCUUCCCAUUGGUCUCAUUUCUGAUCCCCCUUCUCGCUUGAGGGGGUGUAUUAGGGAGAAUGACAAGUCAUCCAAGUCUGCUACUGUUAAUAAUUCUGUUACUGUAAAUUAACUGAUUGUAUUAGUUGUGAUUAGUUAAGAUAGUUAUAAAGUAGUUAGGGGUAUCUAUGUAAAUAGCCAAAGGCUAUAUAUAUUCCUACACAAUGUGUAAAGUUCUCAGUCAAGUAAAUACAAUCAAGAAAACUUACUGUUGAAGUUUUCUGUUUCUACAGGUUUUGGAUUGGAGGAGUUGACACAAAAUUAUAAAUAUAUUAAACAAAUUUAUCUAUUCUAAAGUUGGAGGGAAAUUGGCCUGUACAUUGCUACAGUAAUUUUUUUUUACCCAAUUUCACGUUAUUUACAACAAAGCUAUCAGAUUUGGGUUGGGUUGGAGGGUAAUUUGUUAAAAGUUAGGAGGGUAAUUUUGUGCAUAGGGUUUAGGUGCCCUCCUAUACAUGACCCUUGAUUUUACUUUAUUUACACCACUGCCAUCAAAUAUGUGGCUGAAUUGGAGGGUAUUAUUAAAAGUUAGGAGGGUAGUUUGUUCAAGGGGUGAGGGCGACAUUCGCAGACAGAGAGCGAUGGGAGCCAUGGCCAUUGCACAGAGAGAAAGGGAGUGAUGGGGGAAAUUACAGACAGAAAAGGAAGGGAUGGGGGGGAUUUGAUGGAUGGUCACAGAGAGAGAUUGGGUGAGGGAUGUGAGAGGAGAUUACAGAGAGAUAAAUAAAAGGGAGGGAUCGGGGGAUGUGAGGGAUGGUCAGGGAGAGAAAUAGUGAGGGAGGGAGGGAUGGGGGGGCUGAUUUUCGGUUCCUCCUUCCAGAUUUGUUCCGUAAAAACCUGUUGGGUAGAAUUCAAUUUCCUCCCCCUUUCCCCUGAACGAAAAAUUCGAAACCUACAACUCAAAACUCACUCAUUUGUCGUCCCUCCUUGGCUUUCCGCUUUACUCAUCUCCCGGUGGUUCUCUCUCCAUACGAUUCCAUUUCGGUGAGUUCUUCGUUGCCCUCAUGAUUUCCCACUUUUAUUUUUGGGGCGUCCUUAGUCGUCGUUUUUAUCUGGGUUUACUGCAUUGUUGCUUUUAGUUUCUGGAUUUUUAUUUUUUUGGCACUUGGAUGAAUCGUGGUUAAUAAUUUCACAUCAUGGGAUUUUCGCACUUCUGAUGGAAUUGAGCGCGGGGAUUCGGGGUGGGGUUUUACUGAUAAUUUGUCUUCAUUCAAACGAAGGGUUAAAAUUUAUGAGUAUUAACAAAUUUUGUAAAUUAUUCUUAUACAUUUUAUUGAGGGAUCUAAUCGAUUUCUUUCUGUAGUGGGAUUGAAAUUGGGGCUUUGUGGUACUCUCUCUCGCUCACUCUCUCUCCUAUGUGUAUGAAUUGAGUUCUGCAGUGAGUUUGCAGGUGGGCGCGUUCACUAACUAAGCUUUCAAGGGAACCGAUCAACGGUUUGCUUGCUGGGGGAAUUCGGAGACUACCAGUGUAUGAUUUAGUUAUCAUUAAUUUUUUUACUUAAUUUUAUCCAUAUAUAAUAUGUGGGUAAAUUUAGAGGUCGCACUUGGUGCGAUGGCAAGUUCCUUCGCCCAUGAGCGGUAGGUCUCGGGUUCGAGACUUGGGAGCAGCCUCUCCAUAAAUGGGGGUAAGGCUAGCCGACAUUUACCUCUCCCAGACCCUGCGUAAAGCGGGAGCCUUGUGCACUGGGUACGAUCUUUUAUAAUAUGUGGGUAAAUUUAUACUAAACAAUUGUGAUAAGCCAAUAUGCUAUACGACUUUGAAAGCAUUGAUUUUGUGUUUAGUUUGCAUUUUUGCAUUGUGAAUGUUGAAUUUUGUGUUUAAUUUGGAUUUUUGUGUUUGAAUUUGUAGCAUGAUCUUCCGCUGCAGCAUCCAAAUUUUGCAUUUGUAAAUUGUCAAAGAAAAACGAAGUAUGAGGAAAUUAUAGGAGAUUGUGUCGGCUUUGGCCAUGAAGGGUAUCAGCAGCUUGUUCCCCCAUACAGGUGAUUAAUCGCAGUCUGUUCUAUUUGGAUGAGAAAGUGAUUGAAAAAUAUGAUUUUUUAUUUGUUGGUUGAUUUUGUAUAACUCCGCCGUGUAAGUUUAUCUUACAUUGCCGGUCCCAAGCCCGGAUAAAGGAGGAGGGGGAGGGCGUCAGGUAGUCGACAGCUGGCACUCCAUGAUCACGUCGAAUCCUUAUGAAAAUGAAUCCAGAACGAAAUCGCGCUAAAGCUAGGGCGUCACCCAUAAGUGGCGCGCUGUGUGGCCCGAGCACAGUGAUAAGUGAGCAAGGGUCGUUGUAUCUCCAUCGGCACCCGGAUGCAGUGUUAAAUGAGCAAGGGGCUAUAGAAACUUCUUUUCGAACGACUCCACUCAAAGUUGUUUGGGAGCAUAUGCUCCUAUCAACUUUACACGGGACACACAAAAGAAGUACUUUGAUCCUAUUAGACGGGGAAGGGUGAAGAAGCUAGGACAGAAGGGUAGAGUUCAAGAGAGCAAAAUGCGUUUAGGAACGUGGAAUAUAGGAACCUUGAACGGGAAAAUCUAUGGAAGUAGUAGAAGUUAUGGUGAGGAGAAGGAUAAAUAUUAUGUGCCUACAAGAAACUAAGUGGGUUGGUCGUAAGGCAAAGGAUCUAGAAAACUCAGGGUUUAAACUAUGGUAUUCGGGCACAAAUAGAACGAGAAACGGUGUUGGCAUCAUCGUGGACAAGACCUUGACACAAGAUGUUGUAGAUGUCAAGAGGGUAGGAGAUAGAAUCAUGGCAAUCAAGAUUGUAAUAGGACAAGAACUUAUCAAUGUGAUUAGUGCGUACGCACCUCAAGUAGGGUUGGAUACGAGUUCGAAGGAGAAAUUUUGGGAAGACCUUGGAGACUUGGUGCAAGGAAUUGCUCAGACGGAGAAGUUAUUUAUAGGAGGAGAUUUAAAUGGACACGUGGGCAGGGAGACAGGCAACUAUGGAGGUUUUCAUGGUGGCCAUGGUUUUGGGGAGAGAAACGAGGAUGGGGAAGCUAUCUUGGAUUUUGCAAUGGCAUAUGAUCUCUUCUUAGCCAACACCUUCUUUAAGAAGAGAGAAGAACAUGUGAUCACCUACAAGAGUGGGUCGUCAAAAACACAAAUAGAUUUUCUUCUAAUGAGGAAAGGGGAUCGUAUAACUUGUAAGGAUUGCAAAGUUAUACCAGGAGAGAGCGUGGCUAAUCAACAUCGCUUGUUGGUGAUGGAUGUACAUAUCAAAAGAGUGAGAAAAAAGAACAAGACUUGGAAGUGCCCAAGGACUAGAUGGUGGAAUCUAAAAGAAGAAAAACAAGCCAUUUUCAAAGAGAAAGUAAUCACCCAGUGUGUGUGGGAUAGAGAGGGGGAAGCUAACCAAAUGUGGGAUUCCAUGGCUAGUUGUAUCCGAAAAGUAGCAAAAGAGGUAUUAGGAGAGUCCAAGGGCUUUGCCCCACACCAAAAGGAAUCUUGGUGGUGGAAUGAGGAGGUACAAACAAAGGUGAAGGCUAAGAAGGAAUGUUGUAAAGCCUUAUACAAGGAUAGGACCGAUGAAAAUGGUGAAAGGUAUAGAAAAGCGAAGCAAGAGGCGAAGAAAGCUGUGAGAGAAGCUAAGUUAGCGGCUUAUGACGAUAUGUAUAAGCGACUAGAUACCAAAGAAGGAGAGUUGGAUAUCUAUAAACUAGCUAGAGCAAGGGAAAAGAAGACAAGGGACCUAAACCAAGUGAGGUGCAUCAAGGAUGAGGAUGGAAAGGUUCUUGCUACAGAGAACGCGGUUAAAGACAGAUGGAAAGGUUAUUUUCAUAAUCUUUUCAAUGAAGGACAUGAAAGGAGUGCUUCUUUAGGGGAGUUGAGUAACUCAGAAGAGUGUAGAAACUACUCUUUUUAUCGUAGAAUCCGGAAGGAAGAAGUGGUUGUAGCUUUGAAGAAGAUGAAGCAUAGAAAAGCAGUAGGCCCAGACGAUAUACCAAUCGAAGUGUGGAAAGUUUUGGGAGAGACAGGUAUAACAUGGCUCACUGACCUUUUCAAUAGGAUUUUGAAAACGAAGAAGAUGCCAAAUGAGUGGCGAACGAGCACUUUGGUGCCUAUCUACAAGAAUAAGGGCGAUGUACAAAAUUGCAUGAACUAUAGGGGUAUUAAGCUAAUGAGUCAUACAAUGAAGCUCUGGGAGAGAGUCAUUGAGCAUAGAUUGAGGCAAGAGACACGGGUUUCGGACAACCAAUUCGGGUUCAUGCCAGGGCGCUCAACCAUGGAGGCAAUCUAUCUCUUACGAAGAUUGAUGGAAAGAUAUAGAGAUGGGAAAAAGGAUUUACACAUGGUCUUUAUAGAUUUGGAAAAAGCGUAUGAUAGGGUCCCAAGAGACAUUCUUUGGAGGAUUUUAGAGAAGAAAGGAGUACGAGUAGCAUAUAUCCAAGCUAUACAGGAUAUGUAUGAAGGAGCAAAGACUGCCGUAAGAACUCAUGAAGGACAAACCGAAAGCUUUCCCAUAACUGUAGGAUUACAUCAAGGCUCAUCCUUAAGUCCUUACCUUUUUGCGUUGGUAAUGGAUGAGUUAACAGGACAUAUUCAAGAUGAUAUUCCUUGGUGUAUGCUUUUCGCAGACGAUAUAGUGUUGAUAGAUGAAACUCAGGAAGGGGUAAAUGCAAAGCUUAACCUUUGGAGAGAAGUGUUGGAAUCUAAAGGUCUUCGCCUAAGCCGAUCAAAGACAGAAUAUAUGGAGUGCAAGUUCAGUGCAAAUGGAGGCCAAAACGAGUUAGGGGUGAGGAUCGGAGAUCAAGAAAAUACCAAAGAGCGACCGUUUUCGUUACCUAGGAUCUAUCUUGCAAAAGAACGGAGAAUUAGAUGGAGAUCUCAACCAUAGAAUACAAGCUGGAUGGAUGAAGUGGAAGAGUGCAUCCGGCGUGUUGUGUGACCGCCGUAUGCCACUGAAGCUCAAGGGAAAAUUUUAUAGGACGGCAAUAAGGCCGGCGAUGCUGUAUGGCACAGAAUGUUGGGCGGUGAAGCAUCAACACGUACACAAAAUGGGUGUAGCGGAGAUGAGGAUGCUUCGUUGGAUGUGUGGGCACACGAGAAAGGAUAAGAUUAGGAAUGAGGAUAUCCGGGGUAAAGUAGGAGUAGCCGAAAUUGAAGGAAAGAUGAGAGAAAAUCGGUUACGGUGGUUUGGACAUGUGCAAAGAAGGCCUACUGACGCUCCGAUUAGAAGAUGCGACUAUGGGACAGAGGUUCAGGGCCGAAGGGGUAGAGGAAGACCUAGGAAAACUUUGGAAGAGACCCUAAGAAAAGACUUAGAGUACUUGGAUCUAACGGAGGACAUGACACAGGACAGAACACAAUGGCGUUCUAAGAUUCAUAUAGCCGAUCCCACUCAGUGACUUGGAUUUUCCAAGUCUCCAACCGAGAAGUUUUCCUCACUCGGGAAAUUAAGGGAACACUACCUCAACCUACAUGCUCCACUCACAAAGCUUCAACAUACAAGCUUCAACAAAAGAAAAUUCAAAGAACUUAGCGAAGAAGGCUUUGGUGUAUUUAACACAAUACGUUGAAAUGAAGGAAAGCUUAUUUAUUGAUAUCCCCGAUAAGUUACAAAUAUGUACAUAUACUUGAGUCAAAAUAAACAAACAAGAGGGAGCCUUCACAAAGGUUGCUUAGGAGAAGUCUCAGCAGUCGGUAGAGCCCCAGAAAGAGAAGGCACCGGAGGGGGAUCAUUCGGAGCCUCAGUACUGGACAGAACCCUAGAAGGAGGAGGCAUCAGAGGUUGAUCAUUUGGAGCUUCAUUACGCGGUACAGCCCCAGAAGACGAAGGCAAUAAAUGCCUUUGGAACAAACCCACAAAUCUCUGAUGAUCAAGUAAAACCUGACCAUCAGAUUCCUUCAUCUGGUCAAGCUUCCUCUUCAUGUUUGUAGCAUAGUCAUGUGCGAGCCGGUGCAACUGUUUAUUCUCAUGCUUGAGCCCUCUAAUCUCCUGUUUGAGACUCAUCACUUCAGCCGCCAAUGAUUCAACUUGGCGGGUUCGAGCAAAUAGGCGUUGGGCCAUAUUAGACACAGAACCUGCACACUGAACACUGAGAGCCAGAGAAUCCUUAACAGCCAACUCAUCAGACCGUUUGGAAAGUAGUCUGUUAUCUUUGGGAGUGAGAAGGUUCCUGGCCACUACCGCAGCGGUCAUAUCAUUCUUCAUCACGGAAUCCCCAACGGUAAGAGGACCAGUAGGGGAGACGAAGGAUGGGCGCCAUAUGUUGUCUGGAGAAGGCGGGGCUGCCUCUUCAACAAGGUUCAAGUCAAAACGACGGUCGGAGGGGCCAGACAUUUUCAAAGGUGUUGAAGAGAGAAGAGGUCGGACAAAUCAAGAUCUUAGAAGUGCAAGAAUGGAGCUUCUACUGGUGGAUAUUCAAGUGUGCUUUGGAACUUAAUGUCAGCCCCUAUAAAAAUCUGCACUCGACGAAGCUUCAGAAAUCGAAGAGGCGCCUGCUCAGAAAUCGAAGAGGCGUUUGCUUUCUCAAAAGCUGGGCUGCUCAGAGACCACGAGGGUCGAUCUCAGAAAUCGAAGAGGCGUUUGCUUUCUCAAAAGCUGGGCUGCUCAAAGACCACGAAGGCCGAUCUCAGAAAUCGAAGAGGCUUGCUUUCUCAAAAGCUGGGCUGCUCAGAGACCACGAGGGCCGAUCUCAGAAAUCGAAGAGGCACCUACUUUUCCAGCCUUGUCAGCACCUGUCACACGCACACUCAGCUUUGCGGAAAUUAUGGGCAUUCUGUCGAAGAUUUCUGGCGAAGUAGAAAGCACAUGAAUCGUACUGUUCAAUCACCCACUUCCCACACGCAACAGUAGCUCAUGGGUACCACAGAUAACUUUGCCAAAGUUCUCUGACAAAGUUGAGACACGUGAAGCUUGCAGCUCCCACUACAUCGCUCUGACCAAGAAGGGUAAAAGAAUUAGCAAAGAAACAACACUAACAAAGUUUAGACACAUAAAUUUUGAAGGUCUAGCUACCAUAUUAUUACCCACAAGGGUAAAGGAACAGUACCACUGCUGGAUAAUUGGAAAGUCCCGGUGUGUCAACCUCUGUGCUUCGUGGCAAGGUAGACUAGCAAACAUGCCCAACCUUUACUCACAUUCGAGAAAACACUCCCAACAAGAUUGCUUGCUCCAAAAUCGAAGAGGCACCGCCCUCCGAAUCUCGAGAGCCAGACUCCCAACAUGAUUACUUUCUCAAAAAUCGAAGAGAGGGUAAAGGAACAGUACCACUGCUGGAUAAUUGGAAAGUCCCUGUGUGUCAACCUCUGUGCUUCGUGGCAAGGUAGACUAGCAAACAUGCCCAACCUUUACUCACAUUCGAGAAAACACUCCCAACAAGAUUGCUUGCUCCAAAAUCGAAGAGGCACCGCCCCUCCGAAUCUCGAGAGCCAGACUCCCAACAUGAUUACUUUCUCAAAAAUCGAAGAGAGGGUAAAGGAACAGUACCACUGCUGGAUAAUUGGAAAGUCCCUGUGUGUCAACCUCUGUGCUUCGUGGCAAGGUAGACUAGCAAACAUGCCCAACCUUUACUCACAUUCGAGAAAACACUCCCAACAAGAUUGCUUGCUCCAAAAUCGAAGAGGCACCGCCCUCCGAAUCUCGAGAGCCAGACUCCCAACAUGAUUACUUUCUCAAAAAAUCGAAGAGACACCGCUCUCCGAAUCUCGAGAGCCAGACCCCCAGCAGGAUUGCUUUCUCAAAAAUCGAAGAGGCAUCGUUCUCCGAAUCUCGAGAGCCAGAUCCCCGACAGGAUUGCUUGUUCGAAAACCGAAGAGGCACCACUUUCCCAACUUCAAGAGCUGGAUCUCCUUGGAUAAAGCUUGUCUGUAAUCUUCACACGCAACAUCAGCUUUCCAGAUACCACAGACCACUUUUUCAAAGUGCUCUGACAGAGUUAAAACAUGUGAAGCUGGCAGCUCCCACUACCGUGCUAUGACCAAGCAGGGUAAAGGAAUAGCAUUAUUACUUGAUGUUAGGGAGACUCCUAUAUAUGUCGACCUCCAUCCCCAACGGACAGGCAGACCUGCAAAAAUGCUCAACCCUUCCUCUUAUCUGAGAGGGCACUCCCAACGAAGCCUUUCGAAAUAUUCAGCUUUCUUUCCCCCCGAUAAUACCUCUGUAAACAAGCUAUACUAGAGCAAGAAUAUCUCAUAUCAUCAGGGUUAAAAGCAAGAGUAUCCCAUAUCAUGCUUUUUCCCUGUCUUUUCCUUUGGCCUUGUUCUUACCUGCAAGACAAGGAGAAAGAGAGCAAUCAGUCAGCACUUGGAAUCAAGCUUCCAGCCAGGAACUGACUGCCUGGAACCCCUUACCUGAUUACUUACCUGGCAUUGCUCUCGAGUACUCAUCUUCAACAUCUUAUGCUUCCAGGGAAGAUACCGCAUCUGCCUGAGGAACAGAUAGGGCAAGUGAGAAGGAUACAAGGAAGCAUGUGGAGACAAGCGUAACAGCACACGUGCCGAUACAUCCAUUACUCUGUCAAAAGCAAAAGUAUCCCAUAUCAGCAGGGUCGAACGUACUCUAGAUUUGAUGGACUUGUUUUGACCCUCAAAUUCUUCAGUCGGCCUUAUACUCUGGAGGAAACCAGAAAACCCUCCAGCCCAGUUCAAGAAUAAGCCUGUGGAAAGUUACUUCUUCAAAAGCAAAAGUAUCCCAUAUCAUCUCUUCUCAUUUUUCUUCUCUUUAUCCUUCAUGCUGCCUGCAAGAUAGGGAGAAUGUGAACAAUCAGCCGGAGCUCUGAUUGCUUACCUUGUCUGUCACCUCUUUCAGCAGAUCCCCUAGCUCGGCGACUUGGGGGACUCCUACUACAUGGUUUGUAUCGCGCUUGACCAAGCCUGAAACUACAAGUAAGCUUCAAGUGACAAUUGAUACAUUACCUUGUGCAUCUCCACCAGUUACAGAUACCACCCCUGGAUGGAGGAAGAGUACUUCCAGAGAAGAUGCCACAUCUACCUAUGAGACAGAUAAGGAAAGUCAAGACGAUACCACACUCCGGUACUUAGAAGUUUCGUGGUUACGAGAUCAUUCUCCCACAAUAUUUCCUAAUGUCAUUUGUACUAAAUCAUUCACUUGUACUCACUAAAGGAGAGCUUGAACCUAUGUACUUGUGUAAACCCUUCACAAUUAAUGAGAACUCCUCUAUUCCGUGGACGUAGCCAAUCUGGGUGAACCACGUACAUCUUGUGUUUGCUUUCCUAUCUCUAUCCAUUUAUAUACUUAUCCACACACUAAUGACCGGAGCAAUCUAGCGAAGAUCACAAAAAAGUGACCGUUUUCGCUACCUAGGAUCUAUCUUGCAAGAGAACGGAGAAUUAGAUGGAGAUCUCAACCAUAGAAUACAAGCUGGAUGGAUGAAGUGUAAGAGUGCAUCCGGCGUGUUGUGUGACCGUCGUAGGCCACUGAAGCUCAAGGGAAAAUUUUAUAGGACGGCAAUAAGGCCAGCGAUGUUGUAUGGCACAGAAUGUUGGGCGGUGAAGCAUCAACACGUACACAAAAUGGGUGUAGCGGAGAUGAGGAUGCUUCGUGGGAUGUAUGGGCACACGAGAAAUGAUAAGAUUGGGAAUGAGGAUAUCCGAGGUAAAGUAGGAGUAGCCAAAAUUGAAGGAAAUAUGAGAGAAAAUCGGUUCUGGUGGUUUGGACAUAUGCAAAGAAGGCCUACUGACGCUCCGGUUCGAAAAUGUGACUACUGGACAGAGGUUCAGGACCGAAGGGGUAGAGGAAGACCUAGAAAAACUUUGGAAGAGACCCUAAGAAAAGACUUGAGUACUUGGAUCUAACGGAGGACAUGACACAAAACCGAGCGCAAUGGCGUUCUAGGAUUCAUAUAGCCGACCCCACUUAGUGGGAAAAGGCUUUGUUGUUGUUGUUGUUGGUUGAUUUUGUAUGGACGAUGUAUUAAUUUUUUUUUUUUUUUGGGAUUUUGUGUAUUGGGUAUUGUGUAGAACCAGCAAUGCAGGAUCUGAUCAGUCACGCCCGAAAAGGGGUUUGUUUCUCAAAUCACAUUAAUUAAUUAGAUUAUUAAUGUGCGUUGGAAGGCUCUUCAAUAUGAUUUCUAAUUUCUCCUUUCCAGCAUUCUCUUUUUGGUUUUUGGAGUAUGUAUGUGAUUUGUAUUUGAUUAUAGAAUAAAAAUUAAUAAAACACGAGAUGCAGCAAUUAAUUUGCAUCCUUAUGACAACACAUAUAUGAAAGUGCAUUCAAUUUCAAUGUGCGAAUGUGUGACAGGACAGGAUGUGCCUGCCUGCUGGUGGUGGUAUGCUUGCUGUUGUUUCUUGCGUUGUUAAUUUUUUGUGUGUUGAUUUGAUUAACAAUUCAAGCGUAUCUUAUUUUUUUUGUGUUGGUUAGCAGCCAGUUUUAUGGCCCCGAUCUAGUGAUGCUUCUCAGUGACUGGUAAUUGCAGUUCAUUGCCACCAGUUGGUCAGCUACCUGCUCUGAAAGAGCUCUACGUAGAAGGGAUGAAAGUUGUUAAGAGUGUUGGUGUUGAGUUGUACGGGGGAAAUCAACCAUUUCAAUGUUUAGAGAAGGUAAAGUUUCGGGAGAUGCCAGAGUGGGAGGAAUGGCAGCCUAGUCCAAGUGGAUGUGAAAGUCCAGACUUUCCUCAUCUUAAGGAGCUGAGGUUAUCCGAAUGUCCGAAGCUGAGAGGAAACUUGCCCACUCAUCUUCCCUCCUUGAAAACACUUUAUGUGAACAAGUGUGAGGUUCUACAUAAAAACAGGGCCAGUAAUACCCUGAACGUGGAAUCCUUACGAGGAUCUCUUGAAAAACUGACAAUAAAUGGAUGCCCGGGUCUCUCAUUGUUACUAGAGUCGAUGGAGACGCUGCCGUCGCUUCAGAAGCUUGAUAUUGAUAGUGUUGGUGGGAAAGAGUUGUUGGUGCAAAUGGUGCACAACAGCAAUCGUCUUCAAAGUUUUGACUUUAUAUAAAUGUUCCUCACCCUUGUCGUUCCCUACAAAUGGUCUGCCCACCACGCUGACGUCACCGAGCAUAACAGAUUGCAAGAAAUUAGAAUUCCUAUCACGUGAGAUGAUGGCCAAAUUGACUUCCCUUCAGUCUUUGCGUCUAUCCAACAGCUGUGAAUGCAAAGGCUUGAGUAAUUUUUGUGAGUCUGCUGUUUGGUUUUUUUUUCUUCAUUUUAGAGAUUUUUCUACUGUUUGGUUUUUGGGUUUUGUCUAAUUUUUGUGGUCUGCUUUAUAGAUUGUUCUCUUUGGAAGCUUCUUUCCAGCCUUGACCUUCUUCUUGCCUGGUGCCUUCUCAUUGAGUAUUGGAGGAGCAUUAAAACACAGGUGUGUGUGUUUUGUCGAUGUAAGAGAUGAACGACAUAAAAACAUCCGUCUUUGUAUUUUUUUGUGCUUUUUCUAACCCAUCAAUUUCUUUUGAGUCAACCAAAUAGUCCCAAAUUGCAACUUAUGUUGUGAGGUAUUAUUGUCUAAAAUUAAGUAUGCAUGUAUAUUUUAUGUUUGUGCGCGCGCACACCUCCGCAUGGUGUUAAUCUCUGUGGGUCAUCUAUGUAUAUGUAGACAUAUCUAUAUGUGUAUGUGUGGAAUGCAACAUAUCGGAUUUAGGUUAUACUGUGCAUAGUUUUAUUGCCUGUUAUUAUCUACGAUAUCACUAUGCCAUUUCUAUGCAGGCUCUGAAAGUUAUCCAUGAGCUUUAUAAGCACUUACCAUAAUUUAAGCAGUCUGUUUUGGGUUCUUUUUCAUUAGGUCAUUAGCUACAGAUUAAUGGAGAAACGAGGACCAUGCAACUGAUUUGGGUUCUUUUUCUAAUUUUCUGAUUUUGGGGUUUUGCAGGGAGUACUGAUGUACUGAUUUUCUGGGAUUUUUUUUGUCCUUGCAGGAUUUUUGGUCUUUGGAAUGGGUAUGUGUUGUUUUUAACGUUUCAGUUCUAGCUUGUUCCGUUCUUCGUUGCUUCGUGAUUCUCAUUUUUUAGUGUUGGGUGAUGGAAAUUUGUUCAAGUAGUUGGUAGUUUUUUUAGAAAGUUGGCAUUUUUAGUUAUAUUUUCUGUUUAAUCCUAAAUGUUAGACUGGAAAAUCAUUGAAAUGACGGUUUUUUAAAAACUCAUAAUUUUUUUGUUCUGGGAGUUAAAAGCAUCUUUUCCAGAUUGGUUAUAAGGGUUAUGUUCUCUUCAAUUGGUUCACCUAAUUUUGAUUAGUUUUAAGUUUUGUCCUUUUAAGUUUUGUCUUUUAAGUUUUGUUCUUUAAGUUGUCUUUUAAGUUUGUUCUCUAAGUUUUGUCUUUUAAGUUUUAUCUUCUGUGCUGUAAUGAGAGAUUUCUGUUGGCCUUUCGGAUUUUGGCAUGGGAAAGUUCACUUAUUUGUCUAAUUAGAUUGUGUAUGCCUUCGAUUCUUUAUUUAAUUGUUCUGUUUGUGUUCAGGUGUGAUGAUCUAAAUUUCAUAUGUUUGGAAUUAUUCACUUAACACCAAUUUGUUACAUUCAGAUCUCCACCCCACAUUUCACUAGUUCAAAUUCCAUAGAAGUCGGUUACUGCAGAUUGCGUCUACAAUUAGAUCAGAGAUCAACUGCUCUUUUGUUAUCCUGCAGAAGAUUGCUUUUGGGAAGGAUCUGAAGUAGUUUCUUUCUGUAAGUUUAUUCCCAUGUAGCUCUGUCUUUUCUAAUUGAUGGUGUUGAUAUUACACUGUAAUUCAUGAUGAUGAUUUAAUUGUUUAUUGAUUUGUAAUUGUUUGUGAAUAAUGUGGCAUAUAUGACUUGCAAUAUGUGUUUGUAUGAAAGGGAUGACAUAUUAUGUUGCUGACUUAAUUGUUUAUGUUUUUCAUAUUUGCGAAUGGUGUUAUGAUCAAUUAGGUGAUUGCUGACCUGUGACUUUGUUUGGAGCUCAAAUUUUGUGAGCAUUACAUUGGAUUGUUUUGAUGUUGUUUUGGUUGACAAUGCAGGGAUAGGAGAAACAAAGAGGAUGACACUUAUAACUGCCCUUCCCCAUCGGCCGUCUUCAAAUUUGGAUCACAAGAAGGGAGCAACAUAGGUGUUUUCCUUCUUCAUUUAGAUAUGGUUAGUGUAAAUAAUUGGACAAAAGAGCCAAACAAACCCUGUUCUCUCAAAUGGAGUCGAUGAUGUGGUCGAUGGCCACCAGCCCCAACUCAAGAGUUUGGCCUUCAUAUAAUUGGAUUGUAGUAUAAUUUUAUUUUGGUUCAUUUCUUUUUUCCUUUAUAUAAGUGCAGGUGUUGUGAUGUUUUGAAUAAAGGGUGAUGAAAGGUGGUUCACACACUUCCUCCUUACUUAAAGCAAGUGGAGAUGAUGGGUUGUAUAAAAAGAAAAACUUGCCAGGUACUUCGAUUUUCUAUUUUAUUAAUUAUUGUUUGGUUUUCCAAAUGUUGUAUUCACAAAGAGAGACCAAUGAUGUCUUUGAGAAACAAGUUUCUUUGUCUACAUUGCGAGAAUUUGCAGUUUGCAACUUUCAUUGGUUAUUAUAUUUGAUUGAGUUAAACUUGGAUUUCUGGAUUUUGACUUUUUCGUUUGUUUCUUUGUUGUAGAGUUGGCUUCAUUUCAUUCCAGUAACUCUAUUCCAGUAACUCUCUAAAAUAGGGCCAAGAACUCACUAAAUAGGUAGUCAAGAGGAAUUCAGUUUUGCCUUCAAUUUUUGCCUUCUGUUUACAUUCUUCCUGGAUGCACUCUCACCGCUUCUCUCGCUUACCACUUUUGUCUCACUCACCGCUUCAUCUCUUCUGUUGCUUACAAGGUCGUGUCAUAUAUUUUUUUAAUUUUUGUGUGUUUAAUUUAUUGAAUAUUUGAAAAAAGAGAUAAAAUUUUCAAUUUACAAUUACUGAUAUGAUGUUUGUUUUGAAAAUCAUUAAGGUGAAUGGAGAGAUUUACAACCAUGAAGAGCUGAGGAGCCGUUUGCCAAAUCAGAUUUAUAAGGUCUCAUCAAUUAUAAAUAAACGACUUUUCAUUCCCAAUGACCUUUAUCGUUUUUCUUAAUGGGUUAGCUGAACAUGAGGUAGAUGCUGACUUUAUAAAAUAUGAGAAUGUUUUAGGAUUUCAUUCUAAUUUUUUGGCUGUUUGAUUACUUUGCUUUUCGUAAUUUGUUUUGCUUAUCGUCAAUUGGAUGGGACAACAUAUUUUUGUAACCAGUUUGUACUUUUUUUUUUUGUGGAAACUAACCAGUAUGUACUUUUACCAUCUCGGUUUUGAUGGAAUUGGAGCUUUCAGUAAUGGGUUCUGAGGGAAUUGGAGUUUUGAGUAAUGGGUUUUUUAACAACUAUAGUAUCAUUUGUGAUUCUUUUAUUUAUAAGAUAUUAUAUAGGAAACUGUUAUUAGCACUCUAAUAAUCUUAUUCUACACUCGCGACAAGUGUAUUUUUCUUUCUAAUUAUGGAAAGUUUGGAGUGCAAAAUGAGAAUUUUGGAGUGCCAAUAACAAUUCCCUAUUAUAUAUAGCUCUACUAAGAAGGCGACUGUAUAUGUCUUCAUCCUGUUAAAUUGUAUAUGGCUCUUGAUGUCGGCUGAAUUAAAUCAAAAUGAAAACCAAGCUGCUGAUCUUACCAGCCCAUAUCACUUAUCACUUAUUUAAAUUAUUUGAAGAUGCAUACGUGGAUUGGUGAUUUUGUUGGAUUCACUUAGCUCAAAUAUAUGUUAUCUGAGUCGCUACAUUUGAGAAUGUGAUUCUGUUCCUACCACCAUUUUGCCCACUUUUUGUGGAAAUUAUUCAUUCCUGUUGUGAAUAAUAUCCCCGGCAGCGAAGUGCGGGCGCAUUUUCUAGUUUAAGUUAAAUCACACAAUGGGUCAUCAAUAAUGACAAACUCGUCAUUUAUGCGAGUCAAACAUGAGACCACCUACCUACUAGUUUAGUGGAAUACCACAAGUGACAUGUUGAUACCUUUAAAUCUCAUAUAAUGGAUUGCAGAAUUAGGAUAUACCUAGUCUAAUUUAGUCAGUGCGUGAACCCGAACAAUUAACCAGGGUUUUAUUCUUGCUUGAAUGUUUGUAAUAUGUUCCUAGUUUGACAAGGCAAUUAUAUUUCCGACUACAAAAGUUAUUAAUUUAGUCGAGAAUUGACGCACCUGAAAUGGUGUGAGGAAAACAUGUAGACACAUCAGACGCGGUCCAUCCUGAGCAUUGUGUAUUAAGGAUAAAGCUCAAAGCCAUACAUGAGGGCAUUGUGUAUGUCUUUAUAAGAGAAGUUGCUGUAGUCCUCAACGUGGCCGGCAGCCAAACUCAUCCACUCUACACUGCAACCCUCAUCCAAAUCCCAUGCUUCCAACCUGCCCCCGACAUAGUCAUCGACCAUGACAUAGCUAUACGUUUUUGGUUGACUCGAAGAAGAAGAAGAAGAAGAAGUAUUAUUCAAGCAUGGAGCAGUGUCCACGUACAGAGAAGAAUUCGAUGGAUUCGAACACUUCAAGUAAUAUAUAGAUAGAGAAUUGAUGUCAUAGGUGGGCCAAUAUAGAGAAUCGAUGUCCUCGAUGGGCGGAAUAUUUUGAGACAUGGAAGAGCAAUUGUUGUUGUCAAGCCCAGGAUCUAGAAGUCGGAUUGUUUUGUUAAUGUAGUUGAUUGCCUGGACAUAGUAUUUUCCGGAAGAAGGUAGGUCUAGUACUGUAAUGUUGCUCUCACAGGACAGAGUAAACCUUACGUCGCCACAGUACUUUGGAUCAUCGUUCAGUCGAAAAGGAUGGCUUAUGUUGUGGAUAUGGCCGCAGGAUGAAGUGCAGGACUUGGCACUACUGUUGUCAGCGUUACAAGUUUCACUGCAAAAGCAAAGAAGAAGAAAGGCUAAACUUAAGGUGAAGGACCUGGUUCCACUGAUUUCCAUUGCUCUGAGAGAGAGAGAGAGAGAGAGAGGGCACUAUAGCUUAAACACCAAGGAGUUAUAUAAUAUGGGAGGGGUUAAAGCACCUCGCUUAAAGUUGCAGUAAGCCCGUCAAAUAUCCUAGGGAAAAGUCGGUCAAUGCUGUCCUAUAGAGAAAAGUCGGCCUUGAUGUUUGACACGGUCACACUCUCUCUCUCUCUCUCUCUCUCUCUCAUUGACGAGGGACACUGUAAUUGAAAAAAAAAAUUGUUAUUCAGAGAUAGAUCUUGAAAUUCUUAUUUUAUAUAAAAAAAAGGGGUAUUUAGAUUUUAGGACCUAUAUAAGAUAAUUUUUAGAUUAUAAGGUUUCAAAAUCUUAUUUUAGUCCCUAAUUUAAUAUUCAUCGCCACAUCAUAUUAUAAGAUACCUCUAUUACCUACCAUAUUUACAAACUUUGCCAUUUAAAUUGUCAACCUAUUCUAUAAUUAAGGCUUAAAUAUAUUCCGUUAAUAAACCAUUCGUCAAUAAGAUAAAUCCAACUAUGGUAAAUUAUACUAAUUUAUACUUGCUGACAAACAAAUUAAGUCUAUAGUAAUUUUAGGUCAGUCACCUUAAGAAGUCGAAGAUGAAAAAAUCAAAUACAAAACAAUAGGUUAAAAAAAUUAAAUAAUAACCCUUAAUAUAUAUAUAUAUAUAUAUAUAUAUAUAUAUCACAAAAAAAAAGUAUAACAACUCCUUAUUGUCUAUAUAUAGGAAUUGCAUAAGUGUCGGUACAUAUGUGUAGGUACAUACAUGCACAUAGGUACGGAAGUAUCGGUAUGGAAGUGCCGGUACAUACGUACACAUAGGUACGAAAAUAUUGAUACGUUAGCAUCGGUACAAAAGUAUCGGUGCGGAAGUGUCGAUACUUAUGUACAUAUAUAUAGGUACGCAAAUAUUGAUACAUAAACAUCAAAAGAAAAAAUCGGUAGAUUCGAUGUAUGAGAAGGUAAAAAUAAAUCAUCAACACUAGAAAAAAAUGAUAAAAGUAAAUCAUGCACUAUUAGAUGCAUAAGAAGAAGAAAUAUUAGAUGUGGAUGGUGGCCCUAGCCCUCUCUUCUAACACGGUUGAAGAUAAUUUUUUGGGUUGGACAAAAAGUUUCAUUUUUAAGGAGAACCAUUUAUGUUAGCAAUAAAACUGAAAAGUUAUAAAUAAAAUAAAUAUAAGACAUUAUAAUUCACUCAAGGAUAAUAUAGGAAGAAAAAAAUUACAUAAAAGGAAUUAACUCUGACAUUAAAUAUAAAUGCUGACUUGGACAUAAGUCAAAGGACUAUAAUUAGUUUUUUAUCUUGGUUAAGGUUUUAGUCUAAAGAUAAUCUUUUUCAAGGAUUAAUAUCUAGUUUCCUAUAAAAAAAAACACCUAAUAUUAAUCAUUCAAAUGAAAUUGUUAAAAUUAAGUAUAAAUAAUACAUAAUGAAAACUGAACACAUACAAUCAACGGUCACGACCAUGAAAUCCUCCGGAUCCUCAGAAAAAAAUCCGACGAUGAUCUUUUUCUGUGUAAAAUAAUUUGAGGGUAUAAUACUGGAUGUGCGAUUAAACCGAAGAACCCACCCACCUCCAUCUUCUCUGACCAACUUGAACCCAGCCACUACUACAUGUCAUCCCGACAACCCACUCUCAGCUUCCCAAACCGCCAUUUUUCACCCAAUGGAACAUUUAAAGAAAAAAUCCAUCUGCAAAUCGAAAACCACCGAAAAAAAUUAAAUCAGAUACAUUGGAAAAAACGCAAAACUCAAUGGAACAACACUGGCGUGGAAGAGAAAAAAAGCAGAAGGUGAGAAUGGAGAGAAAGAAGCGAACGGAAAGAAAAAGCAAAGAAGAGGUUGGAAACGGAACAACAGAAGAACAAUAGAAGAACAGAAAUGGGUAUGGGAAACGGAACAACAGAACAAAAAGCAGGCGGUGUAUAGAGCAAGAAAAGCAAACCUCACGAUGACCAACACGUGCUAAGAGAGGCCCCGGUUCACUGUGUAUCACAUUUUUUAAUAUUUUUUUUGGUCUUCCCACCGGCUAUACAUGGGAUUCCAAAAUUAAGAAGGUAUAAAUUUUUAUUGUUUCUUGUGCCACAAACCAUGUGGCCCAGUCUUAAUCACAUUUUUUAAAUAUUUUUUUUGCUCUUCCCAUCAGCAGUACAUGGGUUAAAAAAAUUAGGAAAGUAUAAAUUUUUAUUGUUUGUUGUGUCACAAACCACGUUGCCCGGUUUUAAUCACAUUUUUUUAAUAUUUUUUUGUCUGCCCACCAGCUAGGUUUAAAGAAUUAAAAAAGGACUAAAAGAAAGACUCCACAGAUGGAGGAACAUGGGAAUAGAAAGGGCAAAUUUGGGAUUUUACUGUACAAAAAAGACAAAAAGUAACUGCUGAAGACUAACUUGAGGGGCAUUUUGGUCUGCACACUGCCCUAGAACAGUAACCAUCGGAUUGGGUUUUAGUAUAUAUAGAAUAUGUUUAGAUAAGGACAAUAAACUUAGAAUUUUGCCAAAAGUCAGAAUUUAUAAAUUGAUACAAUCAAUUCAUUUGUUUGGAUUCAUAAACAUAGAAAUUUAGACUUUCCGCGUGAGAAAAAACUUGGAAUUUGGGACCUUCAAUUCUCAUGUUUAAAUUUCAUGUAAAUAGGUGUCAUUUAUAAAUUUCAGUAAGUGAGAGUUUAAAAAUAACAAACAUGUAUUCAAAUUUCAUUCCUCCUUUGGUUAACCAAAAAAGAAAAUUUAUAAAUUCUAGAAAAUAAAAUUUCUUUAUUUUAAUUUCUGUUAUUUUAAAAUUCUUAGGGCUUGUUUGGUAUUCUACUUGAAUCCAACUUUUUAAACUAAAAAAUAAUUUUCAAGUUUUAGGCCUUAAAAACUUAUUUGGUAGAACUAUUUAAAAAAACUGAACUUAAGACUAACUAAAAAAUAUAAUAUAUUAUCUAAAAACACAAAAAAUGAGUUUUUAGAAUUUUUAAACUUAAAUUCACUCAUUUCUUUUCUCUCCCUCCUCCCCUCUCACUCCAAAUCUCUCUCUCUCUCUCUCUUUUCUUCUUUCUCUCUCCCCUUCUCUUUUUUUUAACCUUUUUUUGUCUCUCAUCUAAUCCGCUCUCUUCAUUUUCUCGGUUCUUUCUCUCACUCAUAUUCCUCUCUAUCUCCUCCAAUUCUCUCUCUUCAUUCUUUUUCAACCAAUAAUUUCUUACUUUUUUCCUCUUCUCUCCUCUUGAUUCUCUCUCUUCAUUCUUUUUCAACCAAUCAUUUUUUACUUUUUUUCCUUCUCUCCUCUUUCUCCCUCGACUUCCUCUUUUUGGAUCUCUUUGUUCAGUUUGAGCUGUAAGAUUUAAAAUUAUUUUAAAUCGUAUACCAAACAAGUUUUUGAGUCUUAAAGAAAAUUGUUUUUCAAAAAAUGUUCUUAAGAAAUGUUUUGAGAAAUGAUAAAAAAUUUCAAAUAAGAUACCAAACAAGCCCUUAAUAAUCUUAAAUUUUCCCAUCCAAACAAAAAAUUUUCUUGUCAUAGAACUUUCAAUUGGAAUCAAAGAAGACAAUCUUUUCACAACUAAUUAUUCUCACCAAAAGCAAUUUUUAUUUUAAAGCAAUCAAUACCAAACUGCAAAAGCAAAGUAGGAAGGCUAAAAUUAAGGUGAAGAACCUGCUUCCACUAAUUUCCUUAGGAGGGAGAGAGAGAGGGGGAGAGAGAACCAAGCGAGCGAGCAGAGAGAGAAAACACCAAGUAGUAUUCUAAUGUUGGUGGGGUUAAGUCACCUUCCGUGAAGUUGCAGUAAGGACUUCUAUCCCAGAGAAAAGUCAGUAAAUGAUGUUGACACAGUCAACGACAAAGACAGAAUUGUGUAACCAUAAUUCUCUCUCUAUCUCUUUUUCAUUAUCGGAUGACAGUGUAACACUACUACGUAUAUAUCUCUGCUCAAUUAUUGAAAAGAAAAAUCCAUGUGCAUUAUUUUUAUUAUUAUUAUCUCAGAAAUGCAGAAAUUGAUCAUCUCUUCCUUUUGCAUAUUGAUACUGGUUUUCUUCAAACUAGUUGAAGCAAGUCAAUAUGUGUGCGCGAAAUCCAACUGUAGCAAUGAUCAAAGCGGGGCUAUCCAUUUCCCAUUAAACAUCAGGCGCACACAUCAUUGUGGUAAUUCUGGGCUUGAAUGCAAUGGGAGAUAUGAACAGCAAAUACUAAUAAAAUUAUUUGUCAAAGACAUAGAUUACAAGCGUCAGGAAAUCCAAGUCUAUUCCCCAAGUAACUGCCUGCUGCUAAAGCAUGUUGAAAUCCCAAACAUGCCACCCUCUCCCUUCAACGUGUCAGUCGAUGACUACAUGAGUAACCUUACCUUAUUCAGUUGUCCUACUUCUUUUGCAAGACGAGAUACGGAUGUGUAUCAAGUCCCCUGCCUCGGCGACCGUGGCAAGAGAACUUAUGCCAUUUAUUCUGAUUAUGGUUUUAGAACUCUCUUCCGGAAUCUACAAUCUUGUACAAAAAUGUAUGAUGUUUUAUCAGUUCCAAUACCCUCUGAAUAUUAUGUUCUUCGUUUCAAAUGGUCUAUACCAAAUUGCAGAAAAUGUGGAGAGGGAAAGAGGUGUGAAUGGCAGAACAAUGAAAUUAAAUGUAUUCAAUGGAGGAAACCAAGUAAGGAUAACAUAUGUAUUCAUUGCUAGUUUUAAACAUCUUUACAUUUGUUUCUCAGUAAUUAUUGUUUAAAACAUGUCCAAUCCAUUUUUACUAUGAAUAUUAACUGACAGUCUCAUUUGAAUUUGCCUUUAUCUUUUACAGGCAACACAUGGAAAUUAGUGGUCACAGGGGGAAUCCUGGGUUCUUUGCUUCUUGUUCUACUGAUGAUUGCAGCAUAUCGGGUAUAUAGCGUUGAUAGAAAGAAAAAAGAGAUUCGAUUACGAAUUGAAAGAUUCUUGGAGGAUUACAAAGCACUCAAACCAAGCAGAUACUCGUACGCAGAUAUUAAGAGGAUUACAAAUCAAUUCAAGGACAAGUUGGGCAAAGGAGCCUAUGGAACUGUCUUCAAAGGAAUGCUCUCUUCUGAAUUCUUUAUUGCUGUCAAAGUCCUCAACAGUUCCAAGGGAGAUGGGGAAGAGUUCGUAAAUGAAGUGCGAACGAUGGGUCAUAUCCACCACGUAAACGUGGCUCGCUUGGUUGGAUUUUGUGCUGAUGGAUUUGUACAAGCUCUUGUUUACGAGUUCUUCCCCAUUGGUUCCCUGCAGGAUUUCAUUUCAUCUGCAGAUAGUAAGAAUUCAUUUCUUGGUUGGGAUAAGCUGCAAGAUAUUGCCCUAGGCAUAGCCAAAGGAAUUGAAUAUCUUCACCAGGGAUGCGAUCUACGAAUCCUGCAUUUCGACAUCAAACCCCAUAAUGUUUUGCUAGACCAAAACUUCACUCCAAAAAUUUCUGAUUUUGGUAUGGCCAAGUUAUGUUCCAAGGAUCAAAGCUUGGUGUCCAUGACUACAGCUAGGGGGACCAUGGGCUACAUUGCACCUGAAGUGUUCUCCAGGAAUUUCGGAAAUGUGUCUUACAAGGCAGAUGUCUAUAGCUUUGGAAUGCUGCUGCUUGAGAUGGUAGGAGGAAGGAAGAAUAUUGGUUCAAUCACGGAUAACACUACAAAUGAAAUUUACUAUCCACAGUGGAUUUAUAAUCUUCUAGGGGAAGGGGAUGACCUACGAAUCCACAUUGGGGAAGAAGGAGACGGUAAAAUUUCAAAGAAACUUGCAAUUAUAGGGCUAUGGUGUAUCCAGUGGCACCCGUCGGAUCGUCCUUCCAUGAAAAUAGCGGUUCAGAUGUUAGAAGGAGGAGGAGAAAGCUUGAGUAUGCCGCCUAAUCCCUUUGUGCCUACUGGUUCUACAACUAGGAAUGCAAGACGCCUAGAGCUAGAAGCUAUUGCUGAAUUAGAGUAAAAUGUAUAUGCAGAUAUAUAGACGUAUAGAUAUAGUAAUAUUUACAUUGAAUAAGAUACCGUUUGAUAACCAUUUCGUUUUCAGCUUUUAAUUUUUAUUUUUCACUUUUUUGAAAACUGAAAACUAAAAUCUUGUUUGGUAAAUACUUUUAGUUAAAAAAAAAUGAAGACUGAGAACUAAAAAGUGAAAGCUCAAAGGAAGUAGAUUAAAAGUAGUUACCAAACAAACCGGAAUCUCAAUAAUAAAAAAGAUUGAAUUGCACAAUGCAAUCCAAACCAAUCAAAACAUUAAAAUAGCAAAAAAAUUAAAAUUCUAGUUGAUUAGAUUCUGAACAUAGUAAAAAUGAACAGAUCCGAUGAAAAAACAAAAAAUUCUCAGAUAAAAAUAGGGAUAAAGUAGAAUAUUUAUAAAUAGCUCAUUGUCUCUUAUGUCAUCAAUUAUUUCUAUAGUAUAUACAGGUUUUUGGAAAAAUUAGGUUCCCAUCCCUUAUUUUCAUAUUACAUUGAUUGAAAUCUUAUUAUUUUUCUAUUUUAGAUCAAGGUCCCUUGACUUAUUCCAUGUCAUCAUUUUAGUAUUUAAAAUAUUACACGUCAUCAUAAACGAAAUCUCAUCCCUUUCUGCAUUUAAGGCAAAAUAAACUAUAUAAGUAAGUUUAAAACAAGGAAAAUCCAUUUGAACUCCUCCAUUCUUCUUCUUCCCUUAUGCACAUCUGGAAUCUACAACACCCCAAACCCAAUUUUCUCCAUUUUUCUUCAUUCCUGAAUUGAUCCAAUGCAUAUAUGUUGAAUAAACCUAUUGUGAUUAAAAUACAAAUUAGCAUCAAUGAUUUUAUCGGCUUGUGAGAUUUGUGUGGCAUAGGCAAGGCAAUGCAGGCAUCGCUUUAUCAAAGAAUCUGGUUGAUUCAAACAUGCAGAGACUGUAGAGUGAGCGGGCUAUGUAAAAACUGUACCAUUUUGAAGUCAUUUUCUUUUGUUCUUUACAUUUUUUUUUCUUUUAUUAUUAUAUAUUAGUCUUGAUUAUUCAAUGUCUGGUUGGCUACACUUAUAUCCAUGGGUACAUUUUUAAUCUACAUGUUUCGUUCUAAUAUAUCUAUUGCUAUAAUAUGUUUUGGUUGGUUCAAAUUUGUUUUACAUAAAUAUAUGGGUACAAAGUUUUUGUAGAAUAUUAUGUAAAAUGGUUUUUAAGGUUGCUGCAUUUUACGUACCCACAUAUGCAUGUCUAUAAAACAAUGUGGUAUGAUGUACAUUCUUUUCUUUGAGUUUUUAAAUGUACCCAUGAGUUUUCUUGUAAAUUCGGUAUGUACCCAUAUGCUAUUUAUGUUAUGGGUACAUACAUUAUUUUUGGUCUAAGUUCAUGGGUACAUUACUUUUGUAUGUAUGAAUUCAUGGAGUACAUUAUUUCCCUUAAUACUACUCAAUAAAAUUCACAAAAAUAUGUGUAGCGUGCAUGAUUUUUUAUUGUAGAAAUUGUUUGUUUUUUUUAAGUCUCAUAAUUCAUGAAAUUUGUACAUAUAUGAUCACAUAAAUUUUUUAAUUUUAUUAAAUUUCUUUUAGACUUGAUCGAUUGAUUGAAUCUCAUAAUACUAGGAUUUUGAAUUACAUAAAUUCUUGGAUUUAAAUCCCUUAAAUGUUGAACUGCAAUCAAUAUUUUAAAUUACAGUUUUUUAUUUAAGAUAUCAAAAAGAUGACAUGGAAAUAUAGUAAUACUAAAAUGCUGAGGUGUACAAAGUCAAAGGACUUUGAUAAAAAAAUAAAAAACAAUAAGAUUUCAAUCUAACAAUUGAAUUGACUAGGGAUCGGAACCAAAAUGACCCUAGAUUUUUAUUGAGUUUAAUCUUAAUAAAAAAAAGACUUCUUGUAUCACAAAAAAUACAAGAACCAUUAUUUGAAUGAAAUAAAAGCUAUGGGAUGGAGAUAUAAAUGGAUCCUUUAUUUCACAAUUGGAUUAUAUUUAUUUGAUACACUGUUGUCAAUAUGAAUGCUGAGAAAAGACUACAAAAGAAAAAAACAAUUUAUAAAUAUAACUAACAAUUCCAAUUUCAAUCAAUUAGACAAUUAGAAUUAUAAGAAGAAAAAAAAAAGAAAUUUCAGUUUUCAGUUUAAAAAAAAUGAAAAAAAAAUGGUUAUCAAAGCCGUCCAAAUAAUACAAGUUUGUUUCCACUCUUUGUUUAAGCAUAGAUGCCAAUUUUUGUUUAUCAUUUUUUUAACCUUUAUUUUUUGUUACAGUAGAAGCCCUGGAAGGAAAUCGAGCACUGGACUUACCAAACUCUUAACUUAUUUCUACACACCAAGAGCUUGAUUUCGGUUCUUAUUUAUACUAUUUAAGCUAUAAGCCGUGACAAGAAUUAGAGAACUAUCAUUUGUUGUGAGCUUCAAUUGGUUAGCACUUUGUAUGUUUUCAUUAGAAUAUAUAUUUCACUUAGACUUUCUUAUUAAAAAAGGGAUCAGCUGGUGACUUUACCACGACAAUCCAAUUUUAUGGGGGUCAUGAAUACUCACAAAGGCAUUUCAGCCUCCCCCUAUAUCUACCGUCGCGUGAUUCACCAUUGUCAGAAAUCGAACCCAAGACGUGUUGUAUAGAAUACGGGCCUAAAAUUCAUUUCUAACCACUGAGUCACCCCGCGUUUGAUUAUAUUUCACUUAGACUUAUCUUGCGGUAUAGCAUGUCAUCCCCGCCCAAGUUUUUCCCUUCGCGUUGACUUUGGGAUACCAAAACUUGCCAAACAAAGUAGAUUGAUUAGUAAGCGAAGCUAAUUAUUCGACUAAACAUUGUUUAGAAUUUUAAUUAAAAGAACCAAUAUGAAUCUGUUUUUUUUUUUUUUGACAAACUAUAACGUUAAGGAGUUAAAUUGUUAGUUGUUAAGAGUACGGGGAUAGGUGAGGAUCGAACCUCCACCAUAGUGCAUAGACAUUAUUGGUUCUACAACUGCUGUAAAUCACAUAAAACAAAACGUAAUACUUUGAGGAUGGAAGACACUUCGUGGAUAGCGGGCAAUCAACACUAUCAGUUGCUAUCCAAAACUUGGAAUUAUGUUUAUUGUCCGAAGGAUUUUUCUUCCAUUAAAUUGCUAAGGAAGAUGAGGAUGGGUAGAGUGUCUAAAUGUCAAGGUUGAUAAGAACGUGUAUGGUGUUCAGCUUGCGAUUGAGAUUUGUUGAGUGGCACAACAAACCACAUAAAAUUUUCUAAAUGAUAAGCUUGAGUAUAAUUUUUUACCACGUAUUUAUCUUUAAAAUCAUUAUAAUUAGAUUUUCUCUUAAUUAAUAUAGACCGUUAGAUUCAUCUAAUGACCCAAGUUUUUUUCCUCUUUUCUUUCUACUCUUUUUUUCUUCUCUGAUUUUCCAUUCACCGUGUAGCAGUCGUUCUUCCCCAACUAAGUUUCUUAUUUUUCUUCACAAAAAAAUUGUAGAAAAUAUUAAGAAAAGAAAAGUCAUCAAUAUCAGACUCGACCAGGUAAUCGUUCCAACCUUCCCAGCAACUCUCAGUCUUAACAAGGCACCAAAUUUUCUCCGCCACCUAACUCGUCAUUCAUUUAUGGGUGUUUCAAGCUUGGUGAAAAUUGAUAGAGUUCCAUGUGUGUACACGGAUGUGAACAUAUUGGCCACUCUCUAAUGUGUUGGUUUAUCACAAAGAACCCAGAUACAAAAUUUUAAAAAGCAAACAAUUACAACUUCUCAAAUAUUAUCUAACAAACUUUCAAUGAAAUGUUGCUCAUAAUUGAAAAAAGGUUGACGAAGGACGGAGUUGGAGUUAUUUUAGAUGGGGAAGAGUUAAAAGAAGGAAGCACCAUUUAAUUAAUAAAAGCGAUUGGAGAAAUAGUAAUUCAAUGGUGGGCGUUUUUAAGGUGUGGACCUUGUAUCACACCCCGAUUCCAACAUACAUUGAGGAUCAACACGUGACAUGGGGACAUAGGGGACAUAAAUCUUAUGUAAGAUACAAAAUGAAAUACUAUAAAUAAUAUCCCAAAAUGAAUAUGAUAGUGGGUUCACCCCUAUAAAAUAUAUACGAGUUUGUACAUUCACAAAAAAAAAAAAAAAAAAAAAAAAAAAACACAUACACACACACAAAACUCUCGCUAGGCCAAGACUUGCCCAUGGUGCUCAAAGGAAAGUCCCAAAAGAAAGAGUACAAUGAAGGAUAAAGGGGUAACCUAAACACUCCAAGUCUCUGAUCUCUGCACUGCUACCCUCACCGGCUCCUCGUAAUCUACUCAGACCUAUCACAUGUACAAACAGUGCCUACAUUGUGGGAAUGGUGCAUCGGGCAAACAAAAACCCGGAUAAGCUGCAAAACUCGUGUGAGUGACAAUAAUGCAACAUAUGUGAUAAUCAAGAAAAACAUACCAUCGAUCGCAGUUUAUAAACCUCAAAUAUAACUUCAUACUUAUGAAAUCAUAAUCAAGUCACUGAAAACUUCGAAUGAGUCACCCAGACAUCCAACGACUUUUUAAAAUCAAAUCUCAGAGAUUCCAAAACUAUCAUUCACAAAUACACUAAAAACUAGGGCUAGAGUGACACAGUUCGGCCAAAGACUACAUAAGUAACCAAACAAGAAGUGGCCCCCCAUAGCGGAUUAACCAAGCAGAGCCACUCCUGAAAAAGUAACCAAGUAGGUAGUGACCCCCAUCACGGAUUAACCAAGCAAAGUCACUCCUACGAAACUGUUAGGUAGUGAUCACCCAUCGCGGAUUAACCAAGCAUGAUCACCCCUAAGUACGUAUGGCCAUACCUAAGAAAUAAGGAUCGCCCACCGCAGAUUAACCAAGCACGAUCCAAAAAUAUUAUGGGUCCCCUAUCACGGAUUAACCAAGCAUGACCAUCCAUGUACCACUACUACAUGGUGUAAAUUCGGUGUCACCUAACCUCGUGACACUAGGGUAACGGUCCUUUACUAGCCCUCACGUUUUUCAAACAUUUCAAAUAUAUAAUUUAAAACACAAUUCAUAAACAUUUCGAAUAAGGAAGUCACAUAGUGUUUAAUAAUGUAGGUCAAUGGAAAACUUUAAAAACAAUUAUUUAGCAUAAAACAUAUUUUAGAAAUCCAUGUUGUAUCCACAAAGUAUACUAGCAUGGGAGAUUUUCAGGGUAAUAACUCUAUCAUAUAUAUUAAAGUCACUCACCUGGAGUCCACACUAACGCACCCUAACACGAAUAUCAAGACGUCACGUACUAUCAUCUGUAACAUCCCACAUCAACCAACGGAGAGAGGGUGAUGUGCCUUAUAUGUACAUGCCCACCUCCAUAGCAUGAGACCUUUUGGGAGCUCACUGGCUUCAUAUUCCAUCGGAACUCCAAAGUUAAGCGAGUUUGGGCGAGAGUAGUCCCAGGAAGAGUGACCCACUGGAAAGUUCUCGUGUGAGUUCCUAGAAACAAAAUCGUGAAGGCGUGGCCGGGGGGGGGGGUUAAAGCGGACAAUAUUGUGCUACGACGAAAUUGAGACUGAGAUGUGACAGAAUGGUAUCAAAGCCACUCUGCCGUGUGGUGCGAGUGUGCCGACGAGGAUGUCGGGCCCCUAAGGGGGGUGGAUUGUAACAUCCCACAUCGACCAACGGAGAGGAGGUGAUGUGCCUUAUAUGUACAUGCCCACCUCCAUUUAGCACGAGGUCUUUUGGGAGCUCACUGGCUUCGGAUUCCAUAAGAACUCCGAAGUUAAGCGAGUUCGAGCGAGAGCAUUCCCAGGAUGAGUAACCUACUGGGAAGUUCUCGUGUGAGUUCCCAGAAACAAAAUUGUGAGGGCGUGGCCAAGGCCCAAAGCGGACAAUAUCGUGCUAUGGCGGAGCCGAGAUUGGGAUGUAACAUCGUCACCUAAGACAAAGUACAAGUCCACAUUUAAAGUUCUUCGUGUAUUCACAUAAUAAAAAAUUUCCAUAUGCCCCCUACAACUAAUGAAGAGAAAUCGAGACACGUUGACAAAAAGUCAACUGUUGAUCAACGGUAGGGUCCAUAACCCUACGUAACUCGAUCUGCAAGAUCCAGCCACUGUAUUUGUGAUUCAUAAGUUCCUAAGGUCCUUAAAUCUUACGUACAAUAACAUACUAAACUUUGGUGACGAUCUAAUUGUCGAAUCAUCAUUUGCUAUAAUGUUCAAAUGACGCAAAUUCAUCAAUCAGAUGUUAAAUAUGGAAUCGGUCAUCGAAUUUAGCUUAGGAAGGUCAAGUGGUGUCUCGAGCCACGUGCUGCCGUGCGCAGCAGCUGGCAACCCAAAUUCGUCGGAAAAAUCACCUAAUUCCAAAAUGAAUGUCGUUAGACGUGGAGUAAAUUGUAUACCUGUGAAGAAGCCCAAUUUGGUCGGGAAGUGGCCUGAAAUCACUUUAGACCGUCGGAAACCCUAAAAUAGGUGAAUCUCGAUUCGUCAUCUCCGGUAUUCCACCGUCCUCAAACUUGUUUAGGGUUUGCUCCUGGUCUCAAAAGAAUGCUAAUGAUGGUGGUGAUUGAAGGAGAAUGUUUCAGAAAUAAUGAAUCGUCGACGAGGGUUUCACGAAACCGACAUGGGUGUUCCUUGUGGAACUAAGACCAAAUCUCAACGGUUUUGGCUAGAAAUGGAUGCUGGGAUGUCGUGGUGAGGUUUGGUAGUGAUGGGAGGUCGAAGAAAGCCAAAAAAAUCGACGAAAAAACAGUCGUCGGAGUCGCAGGAAACGGGUUAGAAAAACGAGUCGCCAGGUCUGAAACGGGUCGAAGGCUUUUGGGACAGCUACUUACUCUCUCUUCUUUGAUUAGUCACUCCACUCACUCUCUCAUUUGAUUAGUCCAGCCUUCCCACAUGGUGGGAGUUCCCUCAUAUAGUAACCCAAAAUUUACUAUUUAAAUCUGGUAUCGAACGUUCGUAACUUUUUCGUUAUAGUUUCGAUUCGCAAACAGCUUUCGCCUACGCGCUCGUAUGAUCGAAUUAUACUCGAAAACAUUAAUUGUGACCUCGAAAAGGUCUACGAGUUUUAAAAGAUUAAUUACAAAAAUUCACACCUUGUAACUAUACGAUCCAAAUUCUAAAAUUAACGGAAUUAAAAUAAACUAAAAAUAAUGUAAACACGAAAUACAGACUUUAAUAAUGAAAUACGUAAUUAAUAGUAGUAUUCCGGGAACGGGAUUUCACACCUUGCGUCCGGACCUUGAGUGCGGAUCAGAAUCCAAAGGUCGUGAUCUGACAAGCUCAUGCAUAGAACGGAGUCGUUGUGACCCAAUGCAAUUCAAAACUUUUAUGUUUUUUAUUUGCUGGGUACGUUUUUGUAGGAGGAAAAGGGGAAGUCGAGGGAUUCUUUGCGCAUUAAAGAGGGAAAGAGAGAAAGGGGGAGCUAAGAGGUUCUUCGCGCGUUAAAUUUUUGCUUCUAAUUUUGCAACCUAGAAAUAAAGUAUUUUCUUUAUGGUUUAUGGUUCAAGAAUAUAAUGGAUGCAACCUAAAAAUGUUUCUUUUUUUAUUUUUUACUUUUUUUCUUCUUAUGUUGGCUUUUGGUUUAUUUUUAUAACGCACUAUAUAUUAACUAAAUUUAUAAACAUUUUGUAUCUUUGUUGCAGUCAAAUUAAUCAUAUGGGUCGGCAUGACUAAGUUCGACUGAGACAUACAGAUGUUUUGCAAUCUUAAGUCUAACCUGACACACCUCGACCUCAAUAUCCAGUGAACACCAAAAUUAAGGUGUGCUGGCCAUCAUCCGGAUGGGUGACGAAACCAUAAUAUGCAUGAAAACAUAACUAAAUUAUCAACCAAUAAAAUCUAUUGAAAAAUUUGGCAGAACAUCCCUUAAAAUAGGGAUAUGCCCAAAUUAAAAACACUUGCACAUGAUCACAAUUAUUCAAACACAUCCCGAAGGGCCACACUUAAUGGGACUUCGACCAUCUAUUACAUGCAUGAGAAUAUGUUCAGAGAAUAAUUACCCAAAUACGUCUUAUUAAAAUAUUGAGUAAAUACCAUACAAGAUAGAAUACGUCAGAGCUGUUGCAAAAUACCUCAACGUCGGAUGUAAUCACUGAUAGAAUUACUGAAUCAUGUAUAAAUGGAAAGCUGAUAAAUACAUGUAAUUUGAGUGGAUACUUACCAACAGCAUGGAUACAAUAUCAUCCACCAGUCGUAACUAGUGAAAACUGGAUAAUAUAAUCAUGUCAUUGCCGAGUAAUCUCAAGGCAAUGACAAGAUGAGAAUGUAACUGAGUAAUCAUAUCAUUACUAAAUAAUUUCAAAGCAAUGACAAGCUGAGAGUAUAACCGUAUAAUCAUGUCAUUACCGCGUAAUCUCAAAAUAAUGACAAGCUGAGAGUAUAACUGUAGUACCUCUUAUUAGUGCAAUGCAUGAUAUGAAUUCCAUCUCACAUAUAUAUGCAAGCCAUAAUCAAACCAAUAAACAUCCAACAAAAGCCACAAUCCUUUUAACAUUCGACCACAAGAUCAAUUUUCAUAUUUCCCAAACCUAGGUUCCGAAGCAUUGUUUCGAAUUAUUAAUACAAGAAACCACCACCACCUCAAUCAAUUCCUAUUCAUAAGUGUAAGCAAUUACUAAAUGCAUCACUUUCGACUCUAGUCUUAAUUAGAUUACUUGGGAUACUCAUUCACACCAUCAGAUCCACGUACAAUUUUGAUAAACUUUAAAUAGCAUGGUUAAAAUAAAUGAAACAUUUGAAUGAAACACUUUUAGAAAAUAAGUGAAGAUGUUGUUUACAAAUAUAGAUGCAUCUGUAUAUAAAAGCUUUGGCGGUUGAUUCGUAUACUUCCAGAGAUAUAAGCAAGUUCAUUGGAAUAUGCAUACAUGGUUAAUGUAUUACGGUAUAAUUAAUAAGAAAACAAUUGCAUCCCCUUCAGAUUAUAUAUAUAUAUAUAUAGACACACACACAUACACAUACAUACACACAGGCCCUUUAUGCAAAGGAAUUUCCAUUUUUUUUCAAAAAAUGGGGAUUAGUUGUGGGGCCCACGCUGCAUUGAACUUUAACGAUCCGAACAAUCUAUUUUGUAAGUCUCGAUUCAUAGAUCAUCCUUGCAAAAAUUCAAUUCAAUCCGAACCCUUUUGCCUAUUUAAUUAUCAAGAUAAAAUUUCAUUGUUUCUUAUAUAACAAAGUAUUCGUUAAUUUCUUUGAACUCAAUUAGAUAUCUUAAACAUUUCCGAUUUGGCUAAUAUUUUGCAAAGAUGAUCUAUGUGGUGCAACUUGAAAAAUAGACGAUUUCGAUUGUUAAAGUUCGAUGUGGUGUGAACCCUACAAUUAAUCUUCAUUUUUAUAAAAGAAUGGGAACCCCUCCCCUUAAAGGUUUCCUAUGUAUAUAUUUGUUCUUCAGACAUAUGCAAAAGGUAAUGUAAAACCAAUGAGAACUUAAAUAGAUAUUCCAUACAUAGGACAAUUCCAUAUAUGCUUUUUCAACAUUUAUAUCGAAAAGCCAAAUUGUUUUGAGGAAAUUAAUUGUAGUAAUGGUCCCUUAACUUUUAUCUUAUUGGAGCAAUGGUCUCUCAACUAAAAAUUCAUGACCAUUGGUUCCUUAACUCCACAAAACGUGUAGUUAUGGUCAUUUUCAUUAACUCCGUCAGAACUUUUGUUAAAACAAGUAAUGUUAGAAGAAUCAUUGCUACAAUCAGGUUAAAGUUGGGGACCAUUGCUCUAAUUGAAUUAAAGUUGAGGGAUCAUUACUCCAAAUUGCUUAAAGUUCAAGGACCAUUUCUACAAUUUUCUCAUCUAGUUUCCCAUAUUUACCCCAUGAUUCAGCUUCACAUGCAUUGCACAUGACUCAUUUUGACAAAAGUUUUAACGAAAUUGACGAAAAUGACCAUAAAUGCACGUUUUGAAGAGUAAGAGACCAAUGGUCGCAGAUUUUAGUUGAGGGAUCAUUGCUCCAAUUUGGUUAAAGUUGAGGGACCAUUGCUACAAUUUGCUCAAAUGUUUCGUAUGCGAAAAUAGGCAUUUGUAAAGUUUGGCUUGUUCAUGGCAUUAUUACUUUAGUCUAAAGUAAGGCUGGAAAUGGCACUGUAGAAAUGAAUAGUGUUCCAAUCCGAAUUUCAGUUUAAUUACAACAAUGCCAUUGCUCUUUGUGUUGCCUUUAGGUGAGCAACCCAACUUCCAGCCAGGCCCAAAUGUAUUGGUUUUAGCUGAGAAGCCCGACCUUUGGUCAGGCCCAAAACUUUAAAUUACAGUUUUGCCCAUACAAAAUAACAAUUUGAUUGUAUCGGGAAGGACAAUUUUGUCCUUUUAGUUUUGGGCGAGAUAGGGGGUAACCGGGUAGAUUUCAUUUGCUGUCGUUGAAUGAAGGUUUCGGGGAUGAAGGUUGUGUGUGUGUGUGAGGGAGAUGACGAUGGAAGGAGAGCGAAGGGGAGGGGAAGGGUUCUCGGCACUGUUGCUGCAUGUGGAUUUCACAAGUGGGUGAAUGGGUAUGGUUAGAGAAUACCAUAUAGGUUGUCGGGAUUUCAGGAAACGGGGUAGGGGUCAUGAAUGAACCCUGCUGAGAGUGGGUGCCGGAUCUUGCGCUGCAUGCCUCAAAUCAAAGAUAAGUUCAUUUUUUUAUUGUAUUCUUUAAUGGUAGCUUAGCUUUUGGAAUUGUUUAGUAUGUUAGGUCCAGUUUUGGGGGAUUUAUCUUUUAGAGAGAGAGAUGGACAGGGAGAUAAAGAUAGACAGAGAGAGAGAGAGGAGGAGGAGGCGGAGGAAGUAUGGCUGUGUGCUAUUUUUGGUGUUAAUUAAUGGGUUGGUGCGCAGGGUGAGUGACAGAGUGACAGAGUGACGGAGGGAUGUGUGGGAGGGUAUGGGUUUUUAGUUCUUUCUUUUGAUUCAAUAGGUUAUACACUGUUUGAAAAACCUUUUUUUUAUUUUUUUGUUCUCGUUUGCUUUGUUAAAACCAUCAUUUGAAUUUUUGGGUUUCACUGUGCUCAUUUCUCUGUUUCUUCAUAAUUUGUUGGUGUUUGCUUCUCAUCCCUCUGUUGGUAGAUCUUUUUCUCAUUUCUUGGUUCCUUAUGUAUUCUUUGGUACAAAUCUGUUUACUUUUUGGUUGUGUGAUAAUCUUAGCAGGUGAACUAUAUGAACGUUUUUUUGAAACGAGCACAGUGAAGCAAGCGUAGAUUGGGAGGCAACCCAAUAUUUCUAUUCAUUGCCUUUUUCUGUCAUUUUCAAUUUUCUUGCAUGCUAAACUGAAUUAUUUCUUUUCUUUGUAUUUGGGUUAUGUCCACCCUUGGAGUUGAUUGCGGAAUUAUAGUUUGGGGGUCAUCAUUUGAUUUCACUGCAAAUUGGGGAAGUUUUUAGUCCAAAUGCCGGAUCACUUCAAGUAUCACCUUCCAUUCGAAGUUCACUUCCAUGCCAUGGAACCUAUGGGAGUGUGACUGGAGGCAUCGUCCGGCUGCAAGACGUUAAAGAAAGCGCUUCUUGGGAGGCAACCCAAGCUUUCUAUCUUUCAUCUUUAUUUUGAAUAAUUUUAAAUGUUCUUGUUCUGUUUUUCUCUUAUUUUCUGGUUUUUGUAUUUAAGUCCUACUUUUGUUCCUUUAUGCAGGUAAUGAUUUUGCAAUCUCUACCACAACUUCUUGCAAGGUAGUUUUACAUUCAUAAAAACGAAAGGAACAUUAAGCAUAUAAAUACAAGAGGGAGCCUUCACAAAGGCUGCUUAGGAGAAGUUUCAGCAGUCGGCGGAGUCCCAGAAGGAGGAGGCAUCAGAGGUUGAUCAUUUGGAGCUUCAUUACGUGGUACAACCCCAGAAGACGAAGGCAAAUGCAAAUAAGGAAGAUCUAUGAAUCGCUUCACAAUCGAAAAGGAACAUAUGGUAGAAAAAUUCAAAGAUGAGCAUACAAACAAGAAGGAGUCUUCAUUGGUCAGGAGGUGUCGCAGCAGUCGAAGGAACAUCAGAAAGACGAAGUGUCAGAGCUUGAUUGUCCGGAGCACUUGGUGAAGCACCAGAUGAUGAAGGCAGAAGUUGCCUCAGGAGUAAAGCCAUAAACCUUUGAUGAUCACUCCGAGCCCGAACUUCAGCCUCUUGCAGCUGGUCCAACUUCCUCUUUAUGCUUGUUGAGUAGUUAGUUGCGAGCAUGUGCAACUCUUUAUCUUCAUGCCUCAGCGCUCUGACCUCUUGCCAAAGGCUAGCCACUUCAGCCAUCAACGACUCCACUUGACGAGUUCGAGCAAGAAGGCGUUGGCCCAUGUUUGAUACUGAGCCUGCACUUUGGACGCUGAAAGCCAAAGAAUCCUGAACAGCCUGCUCGUCAGACCGCUUAGAUAGCAUCCUACUGUCUCUUGGAGUAUGAAGAUUUCUAGCAACCACUGCAGCUGUUGCAUCAUUUCUCAUCACAGUGUCCCCAACUGUAAGAGGACCGUUGGAGGAUAUGAAAGAUGGCUGCCAAAUGUUACCUGGAGACGAGAGGUCAAUAUCUUCUUCGAUAUUCAGGUCAAAACGACGGUCGGAUGGGCUAGACAUUUUCAUAGGUGUUAAAGAAAGAAGAGGUCAGACAAGUCAAGAUAGUAGAAAUGCAAGAAGGGAGUAUUCACAGGCAGAAAUUCAUGUGUGCUUUGAACAUCCUGCGAACCUCUAUAAAAAAUAGCACACAAUGAGAUUUCAGGGAUCGAAUAGGCGAGUUCAGAGAUCGAUGAAGCGCCUGCUUUCUCCAAAGCUAGGCCUACUCAGGAAUCACAGGCUGAUCUCAGGUAGUGAAGACGCGCCUGUCUCUCUCAGCCCCGUCAGCACUUGUCACAUGCAGAGAAAACUUUGAGGAAAUCACGGGCAGUUUGUCGAAGCGCCGAUUCCAACCAUCUGUCUUUCUCAGCCUCGUCAGCUUUGAGGAAAUCACGGGCAGUUUGUCGAAGCGCCGAGUCCAACCGCCUGUCUCUCUCAGCCUCGUCGGCACUCGCUUUCUCAAAAGCUGGGCUUGAAAUCACAGGCCAAUCUUCAGUUUCUAAAUUUGUUCGCACUUGUCACAUGCAACCUCUGCACUCAACGAAGCUCAGAACUCGAAGCGCCAAUUCCGGAUAUUAAAGAAGCCUUUGCUUUAUCAGACGUGUCAGCAUCUGUCAAUUGCACAUCUGCGUUGCGUAAAUCACGCGCAAUCUGUCGAAGAUUUCUGGAGAAACGGAAUGCACGUGAAGUUUACUGUUAAAUUACCCCAGGCUUGCUGACACGAGUACUAGAACAAUGCCUUCCCAGCCAUUAAGAAAAAUUCUACAAAUGUUAAAGGCAACCUCACUCAACUUUCAGCCUCACUCAACCUUUCUUCCUCUCUGAGAAUGUAUUCCCGAAGAAGCCUCCCGAGUCACUCUGUGUUUCUCAUCCCUUGGGAUACCCCUGCAAACAACCCACCCAGAGCAAAAGUAUUUCAUAUCAUAACGGUUGAGAGCAAGAGUAUCUCAUAUCAUGCUUUCUCCCUGUCCUUUGUCUCGCCAGCACUUGGUAUCAAUCUUCCGAGCGGGGACCGACUGCCUGGAACCCAUUCCUGAUUGCUUACCUAACCUUGCUCUCGAGUACUCAUCCUUCUUAUGUUUCCUCUUCGUCUACCACAUAGGGGAAGUGAUAAUGAUACCUCGAAGCAUGUGGAUACAACGUGCUGAUUCAUCCUCAACUAAGGACAAGGGAGAAAGCAAGCAAGAUGUGGGCACUUGGAAAGAUUGAACAAAGAAACAGACUAACACCUCUACCUCGUGCCUGCCUACCGAGCAGAAGAAACAAGCAGAGAAGAAUGCAGACUGCACAAUCAAACAACCCAGGAACUCUGAUAUUCCUCGCUCAGGAUUCCAAACCAGUUUGAGAUUCGCCUACACAAAUUGGUGUGUUCUUUCCUUUUCUUUAUGUGUCUUUAUUUCAUUUUAUAUUUCUUUCCUUCCAUUUUCAUGUCUUAUUGUUCAAAAAUUCCUUUCAUUAUCAUUGGGGACAAUGCUAUAAUUAAGUUUGGGGGUAUUUGGAAAUAUAUUUCGUUAGUUUAUUUCUCUAUUAAAAAAAAAAAAAAAUUUUGCAUUUUUAUUGUUGUUUGUAGCUACUUCUCAAUUCAAUGAUGAGAUUUGAUUUUAAUUUCCUUCUUACUUUCAAGAAAGUCUAAGUUCUUUUCGUUGUCUUUGUGUUAACUGUGAUUUCCAGAAAUCAACUUGAAAAAAGAAAUGUGCCUAGUCUUGUCAAUGUGAAACUUGAGCAUGAUUUAGCGUUUCAUAUGUGAAUCAUGUGAGAUUAUGUAAACCUUGUGAGUUUUUUAGCCUAUACAUGAUUGAACCAUUAUGCAUCAAUCUCAUUCCUUCUUGUGCGUAUGAUCUCACUGUACAUGUAUCUCUAGAACUUGCUUUAUACUACUCGAUUCAUUAAUCAAUUCAUGUAAUAACUUGGAAGUGAUAUAGGCCAUCUUUGGAUCGUUUGAGCCUUUCAUGCCUACCUUAUAUGCUAUGUUUAUCCUUAGUAGCCCUUUGAGCCUUUAACUAAGCCAUUUCUUUGUUAACCACAUCUCUUUACCUUGCUCCAAUAUUGGAGUUGAGCCCAUACACAAAAAUCGAUUCCUUAUUGUUUUGAGAAAGUAUUACAUGGGUUGUGCUUUUGGGGGUUUCAUUUAUAUAGAAAGAUGGAUGGAGUAUGUGUAUACAAUGAAAUGUGAAUUUGAUGGGUGAUGUAGAUUUUGAAAAUUAUUUCAAAAGAAAAAAAAAACGAAAAAAAACGAAAAAAAUGAAAAUUGGAGAGUGUUGAUUUGUUGAAAAUGUGUCGGUAGAGUAUAAAUUUCCUUUUAAAGUUAAAUUUGGGGAGUAACAGGUGCUCGAGGUUUUAUUAUUUUGCUUUCAAUUUGAGGUGGUGUGAUAUUGAGGUGUUGGAAAACUACCAAAGUGUACUUUCUCAAAAUUUUUGAUUUCCAUAUCCUUUCUUUCAUUAGCCUAUCACCUUUAGCCCCAUUACAACCGUAAUAAAGUCCUAUUGAUCCAAGGUAUUACUUAAAUAUUGAUAAGCGAGUUAGGUGGACAAGCAAGCACAUGGCGGCAUGUACAAUGAGAUUACUUGAGUGAAACACAUUAACAAAAAAUUAUGAGUGAAUGAGCGUAUGUCUUGUGAGAAACUCACAUGUUUGCAUAUGAUGAUUUAAAGGAGCUUGGAAUUGCAUUGACAUAGCUAGCUCACACAUGGCAUUUCAACGUUUUGUUUGAAGGAAAUUUGGUUAACUAUUGGAUGAUGUUUUGAGCUCUUGCUUACUUCUUGGCAGUGUAUCUCAUGACUAGCACUUAUCUCUGAAAUCGAAAUUGAGAAGUUGGCUACUAAGUUGUUGAAUCUAGUCUUAGUUGAGUGGUUUUGUUUUGCUAGAGGACUAGCAAAAAUGUAAGUUUGGGGGUAUUUGAUCACUCAUAUAUUUCAUGCAUUUAUACCAUCCAUUUCUAAAGUCUUUGUGAUGUUUUUGUGUUAAAGUUGUGGCAUUUUACCUUACCUUGUGUUAAUGUACAGUUAAUUUUAUUUUAGGAUCAAUUUCAAAGAAAAUGGGCUGAAAAGAAAAUAAAAGAAAAGAAAUAAAUGGGACGGAAAGGAAGACACUGACAGAAUAAAAGAAUGAAGAAAGAGGUAGAACGGCAGAUAGAGAAGUGGGAAGAAAGUGGAGUGCGCAUGGGAUGGAAGUGGAACAAAAAGCAGGAGAGGGAGUGAGGAGUGCGGGAUAAAAGCAAAGAAAAAUAGAAGAAUAAGAAAGAAGUGGGAGGACACGGACUGAGUGGAAGAAUUAAAGAGAGAAGCAGGGUGCAGGCACGGACAGAAAGGAGAACUGAAGAAUAAAAGAGAAGACAGAGAAGCAGAAAAAAGAAGAGAAACUGACGUGAAAGCCAGUGCGCAGAGGGCGCAGAGAGAUAGGAGAGAUUGUGCGGGAGCAGAAGCACAGAAGCAGAGGGAACAAAAUCACAGACUGACAGCAGACGCAAGAGGCACGGCAGAGAGCAAAGCUUCACUCUAUUUUUCUUGGUUUUAUCUUCUCAAACCCAUGUUUUACUUUUGGUUUAAUUUGUGAAUUAUGUGUAACUAAAUUUUAAGUAGUUAGGGGCUGUUUUGAAGCCCCGAAUAUGAUUGUAAGUUUGUUGUGAUAUUUUGUUUGAAUGACUUUUAUGAAAGGAUGAAAAUUGUUUCACUACUUAUGUGAUUGAUAAAUUCUUUAUGUGUUUCUAUGGAUGCAUACAUAGUGAGCAUAUCUAGGAUUUUAAUGCUAUGAAUAUAUGUUUACCUGCCCUUGUUGAAUGAGGACCUACAUAUGUUCUAGAGUAGCACUUGUUAAUUGUGGUUAACAUGUGAACCGAUUUCUAGGAUAAGUAAGACAAUGCCAGUACUUAUCAUGCCUUGUGAUGACUCAAACUCUUUUCGUUCUUAAUGAUUUCUACUUGUUAAAUCUAUGAACACGACAUUCUAGAUUACAUGCUAGGGACUACGUUAAGUUGAAAACGCUAUUCUCUUAACAUACUACGUAAGAAAAAGUAAUAGGUUGUGUUCUAACAUUGAGCCAACUUGAGCAUCUUCAUCCGGAAAUAAAAGGAAUUUGAAUGAAACAUAACAUGUUUGCAUGAUUAUUUGGUGGUGGAUAGCAUUUCCCCUAAUUCGUUUUCUUAACUUGUGAAUUAAAAUCUAUUGGUAUUAUUUAAAACUGGUUGAGGUCCUGUUUUGUCCGAUUUAAUUUAAAUAGCUAAUCAACUUCAAAAAUCCCAAACAUUUGUGUGAGCAUAGCUUGGUGUGUCUAGUUUAUGUGUAUAAAAUUUCGUUGCAUUUGGAUAAGUGUAAGUUAGUCUAAUAAUUAUUGUUCGGUGGCUGGUCAGUGGAGACAACCAUCCUGUUUUUGUGACAUUUUAAGUGUUUGGAUAAAACAAUUUUCUGCGGAAAAGACCCUUAUUUUCAUAUGCUACAAUCGACAAAAUUUUAGUGUUAAUAAGGAAAAUCAAUAGGAUUAUUGUGGGCUACUUUGUGGUGCGUUAUAAUUACUACCAUGCUGUCAGUGGGUGUUAAUAUCAGGUACCCAUGUUCAGUUUUUCGUUUUGAUUUGAAGGAAUUUCUUGCGGAGAGGAGCAAGGGUUUCUUGGUGAGUUCUUCGGGUUGUGCAUAUGGGUAAUUUUCUUUUCGGUUUAACCCUCUGCUUCUGCUGCUCUCUCUCUUUCUCUCAUCCCUGCCUGCUCCUCUCCAAUUGUUUGCUGUUCUUAAAUAUUGUGUUCAUUGCCUGAUACAAGGGGCUGCAGCAAUCUGUUUUAUCCUACACGGGACAACGAGGCAAUGGCGUGACAACAGGUGAGCUUGGAUAUCCAAAGAAAAAGAACAGUUGGUUCAUCUGCUGGAGUCUGAGCUUAGAGAAGUGGAGGAAAAUUGCAGGUGUGCGAGAAAUUUUAUUUUGCUGAUAGGACUCCUUAUUUACUGAUGCAUUUUGAAAUAAUUGAAAAGUUGGAUUUGAGUUAACAGCUAUAAAAAUGUAGACAUGAUUGCUGAGAUUAUGCUAUGAAAGUGGAAUAAAAAAAUGGUAGUUUAUAAUAUUGCGUACCAAUUGUUUUCUCUCUUUUUUACCAAAUGAUAAGGGUGGUGGCUCAGGCCGCCCCCCUAAGCGUCCCCACUCUUCGACAAGUUGAAAUCGUGGUGAUAGUUUAUGGGCUGUGGUCUUGGGAUUCUGCAAAUAGAAUGAAAAACAGACACUUAACUAUCUUGUUAUUAAGCAUUUCUGCAUCAUUCAGUUGCUCUUGAUUUUCGUCUUUUAAGCGAUCUUAUUUCUGCGAUCUGACUUGAGGAGGGUUUUUAGACCUAUGGUUGUGGGUGUUUUCUCUGACCCCAUUAUCCGAGAUUUGUAGACUUGCGAUCGGCGGUCAAACAUUUUGUGAUUCUUGUUUUCUCUGCCUUUCGGUCGUUAAGCGCCGGCAGUCUUUAGAUCUUUGGCAAAUCAAUUUAAUACAACCGAGGUAUGUUUUAUAACUGCUGUCUUUCAAUUUUUGUUCUGUAUUUUUGUUAAUUUGGAUGAAGCUCUAAUAAUUUUGUUUUGGAUCAGUUGUGGUCCUCUGUUAGGAUUUUCCUGGCUAAGAGGGUAUUUGCGUUUUUGUUGCUUGGUUGGUCGAUCACAGAUUUACGAACAGCUGUGGUGGUCCUGUUAUUUUUUGGUAUGUUUUUUCUCCUUUUUGGUUUUUUUCCCGGUUUGAGCACCCAUUCUUGAAGAAUUAAAAUGUGUUUUAUAGUUUUUUCAGGAGAGAUUAGAAAAGUGAUUUCAAUUUGGGAAAAUUUAAUGUUGGUUAAAAUUUGUUUAUAAUUUUUGGGAAGGAAUGAGAGGACCCAUUGAAGUAUGUGUUGUGAUUAUUUUUUAUUCAUAUUUUUAACAAAUUGGGCAUGAAUUGGUAGGUUAACUGUGUGUGUUUAUUAUUUGAAUCGGCCAUGUUUGUCUUUCUAUGGUUCUAAAAAAUUUGUAAAGGCUGUUAACUUGGAAGAAAAUGGGAUCGAGGGUGAGGGGAAAACGGCAGAGAAAGCAUGGAAGAGAGAUUUGGGAUUAGGGGUAGGAAAACAGAUGAAAAGAAUAUGAUAGAGGAAUGGGUUCAGUUCAUUUUCACUAUUUUUUUUUAACUGAUUUGGAUUUUGUUUGGGUUUAACUCCGCCUAUGUCUUACAUGGCCGGUCCCAAGCCCGGAUAAAGGAGGAGGGGGAGGGCGUCAGGUAGUCGACAGCCGGCACUCCAUGAUCAUGUCGAAUCCUUAUGAAAAUGAAUCCAGAACAAAAUCGCGCUAAAGCUAGGACGUCACCCGUAAGUGGCGCGCUGUAUGGCCCGAGCACAGUGAUAAGUGAGCAAGGGUCGCUGUAUCUCCAUCGGCACCCGGAUGCAGUGUUAAAUGAGCAAGGGGGCCAUAGAAACUUCUUUUCGAACGACUCCACUCAAAGUUGUUUGAGAGCAUAUGCUCCUAUCAACUUUACCCGGGACACACAAAAGAAGUACUUUGAUCCUAUUAGACGGGGGAGGGUGAAGAAGCUAGGACAGAAGGGUAGAGUUCAAGAGAGCAAAAUGCGUUUAGGAACGUGGAAUAUAGGAACCUUAACGGGAAAAUCUAUGGAAGUAGUGGAAGUUAUGGUGAGGAGAAGGAUAAAUAUUAUGUGCCUACAAGAAACUAAGUGGGUUGGUAGUAAGGCAAAGGAUCUAGAAAACUCAGGGUUUAAACUUUGGUAUUCGGGCACAAAUAGAACGAGAAACGGUGUUGGCAUCAUCGUGGACAAGACCUUGGUACAAGAUGUUGUAGAUGUCAAGAGGGUAGGAGAUAGAAUCAUGGCAAUCAAGAUUGUAAUAGGACAAGAACUUAUCAAUGUGAUUAGUGCGUACGCACCUCAAGUAGGGUUGGAUACGAGUUCGAAGGAGAAAUUUUGGGAAGAUCUUGGAGACUUGGUGCAAGGAAUUGCUCAGACGGAGAAGUUAUUUAUAGGAGGAGAUUUAAAUGGACACGUGGGCAGGGAGACAGGCAACUAUGGAGGUUUUCAUGGUGGCCAUGGUUUUGGGGAGAGAAACGAGGAUGGGGAAGCUAUCUUGGAUUUUGCAAUGGCAUAUGAUCUCUUCUUAGCCAACACCUUCUUUAAGAAGAGAGAAGAACAUGUGAUCACCUACAAGAGUGGGUCGUCAAAAACACAAAUAGAUUUUCUUCUAAUGAGGAAAGGGGAUCGUAUAACUUGUAAGGAUUGCAAAGUUAUACCAGGAGAGAGCGUGGCUAAUCAACAUCGCUUGUUGGUGAUGGAUGUACAUAUCAAAAGAGUAAGACAAAAGAACAAGACUUGGAAGUGCCCAAGGACUAGAUGGUGGAAUCUAAAAGAAGAAAAACAAGCCAUUUUCAAAGAGAAGGUAAUCACCCAAUGUGUGUGGGAUAGAGAGGGGGAAGCUAGCCAAAUGUGGGAUUCCAUGGCUAGUUGUAUCCGAAAAGUAGCAAAAGAGGUAUUAGGAGAGUCCAAGGGCUUUGCCCCACACCAAAAGGAAUCUUGGUGGUGGAAUGAGGAGGUACAAACAAAGGUGAAGGCUAAGAAGGAAUGUUGUAAAGCCUUAUACAAGGAGAGGACCGAUGAAAAUGGUGAAAGGUAUAGAAAAGCGAAGCAAGAGGCGAAGAAAGCUGUCAGAGAAGCUAAGUUAGCGGCUUACGACGAUAUGUAUAAACGACUAGAUACCAAAGAAGGAGAGUUGGAUAUCUAUAAACUAUCUAGAGCAAGGGAAAAGAAGACAAGGGACCUAAACCAAGUGAGGUGCAUCAAGGAUGAGGAUGGAAAGGUUCUUGCUACAGAGAACGCGGUUAAAGACAGAUGGAGAGGUUAUUUUCAUAAUCUUUUCAAUGAAGGACAUGAAAUGAGUGCUUCUUUAGGGGAGUUGAGUAACUCAGAAGAGUGUAGAAACUACUCUUUUUAUCGUCGAAUCCGGAAGGAAGAAGUGGUUGUAGCUUUGAAGAAGAUGAAGCAUAAAAAAAGCAAUAGGCCCAGACGAUAUACCAAUCGAAGUGUGGAAACUUUUGGGAGAGACAGGUAUAACAUGGCUCACUGACCUUUUCAAUAGGAUUUUGAAAACGAAGAAGAUGCCAAAUGAGUGGCGAACGAGCACUUUGGUGCCUAUCUACAAGAAUAAGGGCGACGUACAAAAUUGCAUGAACUAUAGGGGUAUUAAGCUAAUGAGUCAUACAAUGAAGCUCUGGGAGAGAGUCAUUGAGCAUAGAUGAGGCAAGAGACACGGGUUUCGGACAACCAAUUCGGGUUCAUGCCAGGGCGCUCAACCAUGGAGGCAAUCUAUCUCUUACGAAGAUUGAUGGAAAGAUAUAGAGAUGGGAAAAAGGAUUUACACAUGGUCUUUAUAGAUUUGGAAAAAGCGUAUGAUAGGGUCCCAAGAGACAUUCUUUGGAGGAUUUUAGAGAAGAAAGGAGUACGAGUAGCAUAUAUCCAAGCUAUAAAGGAUAUGUAUGAAGGAGCAAAGACUGCCGUAAGAACUCAUGAAGGACAAACCGAAAGCUUUCCCAUAACUGUAGGAUUACAUCAAGGCUCAUCCUUAAGUCCUUACCUUUUUGCGUUGGUAAUGGAUGAGUUAACAGGACAUAUUCAAGAUGAUAUUCCUUGGUGUAUGCUUUUCGCAGACGAUAUAGUGUUGAUAGAUGAAACUCAGGAAGGGGUAAAUGCAAAGCUUAACCUUUGGAGAGAAGUGUUGGAAUCUAAAGGUCUUCGCCUAAGCCGAUCAAAGACAGAAUAUAUGGAGUGCAAGUUCAGUGCAAAUGGAGGCCAAAACGAGUUAGGGGUGAGGAUCGGAGAUCAAGAAAUACCAAAGAGCGACCGUUUUCGUUACCUAGGAUCUAUCUUGCAAAAGAACGGAGAAUUAGAUGGAGAUCUCAACCAUAGAAUACAAGCUGGAUGGAUGAAGUGGAAGAGUGCAUCCGGCGUGUUGUGUGACCGCCGUAUGCCACUGAAGCUCAAGGGAAAAUUUUAUAGGACGGCAAUAAGGCCGGCGAUGCUGUAUGGCACAGAAUGUUGGGCGGUGAAACAUCAACACGUACACAAAAUGGGUGUAGCGGAGAUGAGGAUGCUUCGUUGGAUGUGUGGGCACACGAGAAAGGAUAAGAUUAGGAAUGAGGAUAUCCGGGGUAAAGUAGGAGUAGCCGAAAUUGAAGGAAAGAUGAGAGAAAAUCGGUUACGGUGGUUUGGACAUGUGCAAAGAAGGCCUACUGACGCUCCGAUUAGAAGAUGCGACUAUGGGACAGAGGUUCAGGGCCGAAGGGGUAGAGGAAGACCUAGGAAAACUUUGGAAAGAGACUCUAAGAAAAGACUUAGAGUACUUGGAUCUAACGAAGGACAUGACACAGGAUCGAGCACAAUGGCGUUCUAAGAUUCAUAUAGCCGAUCCCACUCAGUGACUUGGAUUUUCCAAGUCUCCAACCGAGAAGUUUUCCUCACUCGGAAAAUUAAGGGAACACUACCCCAACCUACAUGCUCCACUCAGAAAGCUUCAACAUACAAGCUUCAACAAAAGAAAAUUCAAAGAACUUAGCGAAGAAGGCUUUGGUGUAUUUAACACAAUACGUUGAAAUGAAGGAAAGCUUAUUUAUUGAUAUCCCCGAUAAGCUACAAAUAUGUACAUAUACAUGAGUCAAAAUAAACACACAAGAGGGAGCCUUCACAAAGGUUGCUUAGGAGAAGUCUCAGCAGUCGGUAGAGCCCCAGAAAGAGAAGGCACCGGAGGGGGAUCAUUUGGAGCCUCAGUACUGGACAGAACCCUAGAAGGAGGAGGCAUCAGAGGUUGAUCAUUUGGAGCUUCAUUACGCGGUACAGCCCCAGAAGACGAAGGCAAUAAAUGCCUUUGGAACAAACCCACAAAUCUCUGAUGAUCAAGUAAAACCUGACCAUCAGUUUCCUUCAUCUGGUCAAGCUUCCUCUUCAUGUUUGUAGCAUAGUCAUGUGCGAGCCGGUGCAACUGUUUAUUCUCAUGCUUGAGCCCUCUAAUCUCCUGUUUGAGACUCAUCACUUCAGCCGCCAAUGAUUCAACUUGGCGGGUUCGAGCAAAUAGGCGUUGGGCCAUAUUAGACACAGAACCUGCACACUGAACACUGAGAGCCAGCGAAUCCUUAACAGCUAACUCAUCAGACCGUUUGGAAAGUAGUCUGUUAUCUUUGGGAGUGAGAAGGUUCCUGGCCACCACCGCAGCGGUCAUAUCAUUCUUCAUCACGGAAUCCCCAACGGUAAGAGGACCAGUAGGGGAGACGAAGGAUGGGCGCCAUAUGUUGUCUGGAGAAGGCGGGGCUGCCUCUUCAACAAGGUUCAAGUCAAAACGACGGUCGGAGGGGCCAGACAUUUUCAAAUGUGUUGAAGAGAGAAGAGGUCGGACAAAUCAAGAUCUUAGAAGUGCAAGAAUGAAGCUUCUACUGGUGGAGAUUCAAGUGUGCUUUGGAACUUAAUGCCAGCCCCUAUAAAAAUCUGCACUCGACGGAGCUUCAGAAAUCGAAGAGGCGCCUGCUCAGAAAUCGAAGAGGCGUUUGCUUUCUCAAAAGCUGGGCUGCUUAGAGAUCACGAGGGUUGAUCUCAGAAAUCGAAGAGGCGUUUGCUUUCUCAAAAGUUGGGCUGCUCAAAGACCUCGAAGGCUGAUCUCAGAAAUCGAAGAGGCGCUCGCUUUCUCAAAAGCUGGGCUCCCUAGAGACCACGAGGGCCGAUCUCAGAAAUCGAAGAGGCACCUACUUUUCCAGCCUUGUCAGCACCUGUCACACGCGCACACUCAGCUUUGCGGAAAUUAUGGGCAUUCUGUCGAAGACUUCUGGGGAAGUAGAAAAAACACAUGAAUCUUACUGUUCAAUCACCCACUUCCCACACGCAACAAUAGCUCAUGGGUACCACAGAUAACUUUGCCAAAGUUCUCUGCCAAAGUUGAGCACGUGAAGCUUGCAGCUCCCACUACAUCGCUCUGACCAAGAAGGGUAAAAGAAUAGCAAAGAAACACAGCACUAACAAAGUUUAGACCCAUAAAUUUUGAAGGUCUAGCUACCAUAUUAUUACCACACACAGGGUAAAGGAACAGUACCACUGCUGGAUAAUUGGAAAGUCCCUGUUUGUCAACCUCUGUGCUUCGUGGCAAGGUAGACUAGCAAACAUGCCCAACCUUUACUCACAUUCGAGAAAACACUCCCAAUAAGAUUGCUUGCUCCAAAAUCGAAGAGGCACCGUCCUCCGAAUCUCGAGAGCCAGACUCCCAACAUGACUACUUUCUUAAAAAUCGAAGAGAGGGUAAAGGAACAGUACCAUUGCUGGAUAAUUGGAAAGUCCCUGUGUGUCAACCUCUGUGCUUCGUGGCAAGGUAGACUAGCAAACAUGCCCAACCUUUACUCACAUUCGAGAAAACACUCCCAACAAGAUUGCUUGCUCCAAAAUCGAAGAGGCACCGCCCUCCGAAUCUCGAGAGCCAGACUCCAAACAUGAUUACUUUCUCAAAAAAUCGAAGAGACACUGCUCCCCGAAUCUUCGAGAGCCAGACCCCCAGCAUGAUUGCUUUCUCAAAAAUCGAUGAGGCAUCGUUCUCCGAAUCAAUCGAAGAGGCGCUCGCUUUCUCAAAAGCUGGGCUGCUCAGAGACCACGAGGGCCGAUCUCAGAAAUCGAAGAGGCACCUACUUUUCUAGCCUUGUCAGCACCUGUCACACGCACACUCAGCUUUGCAGAAAUUAUGGGCAUUCUGUCGAAGACUUCUGGUGAAGUAGAAAGCACAUGAAUCUUACUGUUCAAUCACCCACUUCCCACACGCAACAAUAGCUCAUGGGUACCACAGAUAACUUUGCCAAAGUUCUCUGCCAAAGUUGAGCACGUGAAGCUUGCAGCUCCCACUACAUCGCUCUGACCAAGAAGGGUAAAAGAAUAGCAAAGAAACAGCACUAACAAAGUUUAGACACAUAAAUUUUGAAGGUCUAGCUACCAUAUUAUUACCCACAAGGGUAAAGGAACAGUACCACUGCUGGAUAAUUGGAAAGUCCCUGUGUGUCAACCUCUGUGCUUCGUGGCAAGGUAGACUAGCAAACAUGCCCAACCUUUACUCACAUUCGAGAAAACACUCCCAACAAGAUUGCUUGCUCCAAAAUCGAAGAGGCACCGUCCUCCGAAUCUCGAGAGCCAGACUCCCAACAUGACUACUUUCUCAAAAUCGAAGAGAGGGUAAAGGAACAGUACCAUUGCUGGAUAAUUGGAAAGUCCCUGUGUGUCAACCUCUUUGCUUCGUGGCAAGGUAGACUAGCAAACAUGCCCAACCUUUACUCACAUUCGAGACAACAGUCCCAACAAGAUUGCUUGCUCCAAAAUCGAAGAGGCACCGCCCUCCGAAUCUCGAGAGCCAGACUCCCAACAUGAUUACUUUCUCAAAAAUCGAAGAGACACUGCUCUCCGAAUCUCGAGAGCCAGACCCCCAGCAUGAUUGCUUUCUCAAAAAUCGAAGUGGCAUCGUUAUCCGAAUCUCGAGAGCCAGACUCCCAACAUGAUUACUUUCUCAAAAAUCGAAGAGACACUGCUCUCCGAAUCUCGAAAGCCAGACCCCCAGCAUGAUUGCUUUCUCAAAAAUCGAAGAGGCAUCGUUCUCCGAAUCUCGAGAGCCAGAUACCACAUACCACUUUUUCAAAGUGCUCUGACAGAGUUAAAACAUGUGAAACUGGCAGCUCCCACUACCGUGCUAUGACCAAGCAGGGUAAAGGAAUAACAUUACUACUUGUUAGGGAGACUCCUAUAUAUGUUGACCUCCAUCCCCAACAGACAGGCAGACCUGCAAAAAUGCUCAACCCUUCAUCAUAUCUGAGAGGGCACUCCCAACGAAGCCUUUCGAAAUAUUCAGCUUUCUUUCCCCCCGAUAAUACCUCUGCAAACAAGCUAUACUAGAGCAAGAAUAUCUCAUAUCAUCAGGGUUAAAAGCAAGAGUAUCCCAUAUCAUGCUUUUUCCCUGUCUUUUCCUUUGGCCUUGUUUUUACCUGCAAGACAAGGAGAAAGAGAGCAAUCAGUCAGCACUUGGAAUCAAGCUUCCAGCUAGGAACUGACUGCCUGGAACCCCUUACCUGAUUACUUACCUGGCAUUGCUCUCGAGUACUCAUCUUCAACAUCUUAUGUUUCCAGGGAAGAUUCCGCAUCUGCUUGAGGAACAGAUAGGGCAAGUGCGAAAGAUACAAGGAAGCAUGUGGAGACAAGCGUAACAGCACACGUGCCGAUACAUCCAUUACUCUGUCAAAAGCAAAAGUAUCCCAUAUCAGCAGGGUGGAAAGUACUCUAGAUUUGAUGGACUUGUUUUGACCCUCAAAUUCUUCAGUCGACCUUAUACUCUGGAGGAAACCAGAAAACCCUCCAGCUCAGUUCAAGAAUAAGCCUGUGGAAAGUUACUUCUUCAAAAGCAAAAGUAUCUCAUAUCAUCUCUUCUCAUUUUUCUUCUCUUUAUCCUUCAUGCUGCUGCAAGAUGGGGAGAAGGUGAACAAUCAGUCGGAGCUCUGAUUGCUUACCUUGUCUGUCACCUCUUUCAGCAGACCCCUAGCUCGGCGACUUGGGGGACUCCUACUACAUGGUUUGUAUCGCGCUUGACCAAGCCUGAAACUACAAGUAAGCUUCAAGUGAAAUUGAUACAUUACCUUGUGCAUCUCCACCAGUUAAAGAUACCACCCCUGGAUGGAGGAAGAGUACUUCCAGAAAAGAUGCCACAUCUACCUAUGAGACAGAUAAGGCAAGUCAAGACGACACCACACUCCGAUACUUAGAAGUUUCGUGAUUACGAGAUCAUUCUCCCACAAUAUUUCCUAAUGUCAUUUGUACUAAAUCAUUCACUUGUACUCACUAAAGGAGAGCUUGAACCUAUGUACUUGUGUAAACCCUUCACAAUUAAUGAGAACUCUUCUAUUCCGUGGACGUAGCCAAUCUGGGUGAACCACGUACAUCUUGUGUUUGCUUUCCUAUCUCUAUCCAUUUAUAUACCUAUCCACACUAAUGACCGGAGCAAUCUAGCGAAGAUCACAAAAAGCGACCGUUUUCGCUACCUAGGAUCUUAUCUUGCAAGAGAACGGAGAAUUAGAUGGAGAUCUCAACCAUAGAAUACGAGCUGGAUGGAUGAAGUGUAAGAAUGCAUCCGGCGUGUUGUGUGACUGUCGUAGGCCACUAAAGCUCAAGGGAAAAUUUUAUAGGACGGCAAUAAGGCCAACGAUGUUGUAUGGCAUAGAAUGUUAGGCGGUGAAGCAUCAACACGUACACAAAAUGGGUGUAGCGGAGAUGAGGAUGCUUCGUGGGAUGUGUGGGCACACGAGAAAGGAUAAGAUUGGGAAUGAGGAUAUCCGAGGUAAAGUAGGAGUAGCCGAAAUUGUAGGAAAGAUGAGAGAAAAUCGGCUCCGGUGAUUUGGACAUGUGCAAAGAAGGCCGAAUGACACUCCGAUGUGACUACGGGACAGAGGUUCAGGGCCGAAGGGGUAGAGGAAGAUCUAGGAAAACUUUGGAAGAGACUCUAAGAAAAGACUUAGAGUACUUGGAUCUAACGGAGGACAUGAUACAAAACCGAGCGCAAUGGCGUUCUAGGAUUCAUAUAGCCGACCCCACUUAGUGGGAAAAGGCUUUGUUGUUCUGUUGUUGUUGUUGGAUUUUGUUUGGGUUUGAGGCCAUCAUUGGCGUUAAGACGUUUAUUAUCAGAUCGUGUGUUUUUUGCUAACUUUUAUUGGUAAUUUUAAUGUUGUUCUUAUGAUUUUGUGUGGUAGGGUUUCUGAUUUUUAUCGUUAUUCAUUUGGUUUUUUGUGUGUGUUGGUUUGUUUAUUUUGCAGGUUGUGUUUGUGCUGGGACAACAUUUUCCACCUUCUGUUUGCACUGGGAUGAUUGCGUUUUAAAACUGUUGGGGUGAGAUUUACAUAUGGAAUCAUUCCAUUUUUUUUCUUCCAAAUAUGUGCAUUUAGUUCUCUUUUAUUUUAAAUUUUAAAAAUUAAAUCGUUAUUUGAGUAAAAUGUUUUAUCAGUUUAUGUUAUGUGUUGUGACCAGGAAUUCUGUUGGAUUUGCGAAUUUUGGUUUGAUGAGAGAAAUGAGGAGUUUUUUUUGUUUGAAUUUUUUAUUGGACCGAUUUUCAAUUGGAUUGCAUUCUGCCUUUUUGCACCAUUCGUAUGCAAGCAAUUCAUUGUUUUAAAUACAAUUUGAAGAGAGCUGGGUUGCGGGUUGGAUAUAAAAUGUUAAGGUGAGAUAAAAUCGAGAUACCAAGGGUGGAAGAAUGAUUCAGAAUUGGGGGAGGAAAACAGAGGGAAGAUAGAAGAGUAUAAGAGAAGGAUAGGGUUGACCUCAUUUAGAGUUUUUAUUUACUUAUUUUUUUUUAUAAAUUGAUUCAGGACUUGCAUAUCAUUUCUAAAUUUCUAACAUUUUUGUUUAAUUUGACUCCAGUUGAUGGAAAACAGAGCUCUUACUCCUAUCAAUCAGUUGGUCCCGUACAUAAAUGCAGAAAAAUCAAGGUUCGAGUUUGCAGAGUAUGCAGACCAAGGUUUCCCGAAACUACUGGUGCAUAUUCAGGCUUGCAUUGUAUAUUACUUACCUAUUAAAAAUUUGUUUGGAAUUUGCUUUUCCCACAGAGGAGAAGAGCUGACAGUUACGCUGUGGGCAGAUGUUGCUCGAAGUAUUGCUUCUUUAUCCAUUGAAUCAUUGUCUCUGCCGAUCAUUGUGGUUUUCACAAGUUUAAAGGUCAAGCUGUACCUAGGUAUUUGACUUAGUUAAAAACUAAUCUAUUUACUAUUAAUUUUUCUAUUAUAUUCAAACGUUAUUUAAUAUAUACUCUACUAAUAUUUUCUUAACAUGUCACACAAACAUAUUCACUUCUUUUGAUCAAUUUUUUACAGCGUUUCAUAUAAAAGCUAACAUUUAGUUGAAAUUGAUUAGCAACUCUUUUCUUGCAUGUAUACAUACGAAUUAAACAAUAGUAUUAAACUAUUUGUUAUCAUUCUCAGUUUUUGUUUUAGAAUUAGAUUAAUAUAUUUAACCUGUUUUAGAAUUAGAAUUAUUUGGUAUCACUCUCAGUAUUUGUUUUAGAAUUAGAAUUAGAUUAAUAUACUGAGAUUAUUUAGACAAAUCUAGCAUUUUCUCAAAAUAUUUGACUUUUAAACUUAGAUUAAUAUAUUUAGCAGUUUUUUAACAUGCAAUUUUUCAUUAAUUUUUCAACACACAGACAAGAUAGUCUUGAACACCAUUGGUUCAUCACUUUUCUUCAUUGAUCUAGAUAUUCUGGAAGUAAAUUCAUACAAAUCAGUGUAAGUGUGUUUACUUUGUUUAAAAAAAUAUUAUAUGCUCUCACAAUAAAAGAAGGGCUAUUCUCACAAAAUUUAUGAACUAAUGUUCUGUUUUAACCUCUACAGCUUUUCCAAAUGCACAGAACCUCUAAAAAUACUGCCACCUUUUACAAAACAGGCCCGUGAAGCUCAAAUCUUGCAGACAGCGAAGGUCACAAUUGCAGACGCUGAAAUUUUCAUGCCAAAAUAUGAUGUGGAGGAUGAGAAAUUGUUUGCUGUUGUUCUCUUUUCAGUUUUGCAGGCGAUGAUCUUUUACCAAAUGUCGAGGAGCUUCCAUGGGACAUGCUCUAUGCUCUCGCUUCCCAGUUGCCUCUGUUGGGGUUGGAAAAGCUACAGAUCACAAUGUAAGUCAAAAACAGUAAAGUUCCCAAGAUGUUCUGUGCUGGAGCAGAUUUAAAGGUACGAAUUUUUAAUUUUUUUGUGAAGUCGAUGUUUUGUUUUAAAAGGAGUUAUAAUGGAUUGAUUGGACAAGUACAGAGUGUUUGUUUGUUUGGUUGAAUGUAAAAAGGAAUUGGAAGAAUGAUGAAAGUACUUGCAUUUGGUUGUAGUUGGUCAGGCACUGAAGGACCGGUCAAUACGAAGUGCAUCUGUGGGACAAUAGUUGAAAGAAGGCCAGAGCAGGAAGAGAAGGCAAGGUUUGUGAAGAAAAACAGUAAAAGGUCGUACCCAGUGCACAAGGCUCCCGCUUUACGCAAGGUCUGGGAGAGGUGAAUGUCGGCUAGCCUUACCCCCAUUCUGCUUUUGUUUAAUUAGAAGAAAUGUGCAUUUUUUUUUCCCAGUCAAAUUCUGCUUUUGUUCUGACUAUUUUCCUUACUGUAUGCUGAUUUUAUUAUUUAAUUUUUGGUUUUUCCUUGAUUGGCUUGGGAAUUACAAUCAAAUGAUGAAUCUUCAGUUUACUUGGGUAAGCAUUUUUUAACAUAUAAUUUAGCUGACCAUUUUAACUGUCAGACCAUGUUGUUUUUGGUUAUCUAAUCAUUCCAAGAUGGCAAGUUAGGAUUGGAAGGGUUGCUAGAAAUAAGGAUUAUAUCUUGGGACAUUCGGUGAGUGAUUUUUCAAACUUUCAGUUUUACAAGACAAAAUAUCUAUUUUUGUGUGUAUUCUUCAAGCAUGUUAUCAUUAUUUAGGUUGUAGGAAAAAAAGAGAGUGACUUGAGGUGUUUUUAGAUAUUUUUGUGUGUAUUCUUCACAAUGUAUUAAAAGCGCGAGGCGUGGGCGAGGCGUCCGAGGGAUAGCCCACGCCUCACGCCUUACGGGACCUAAAUUUUUUAAUAUAUACACUGAGCGUACACAUAUAUUAUAUUAAAAAAAAUUAUUAAUCAAUAAUCACCCUGAGCACACAUAUAUAUUAUAAAUACAUAUAUACACAUAUAUAUACAUAUAUAUACAUAUAUUAUGUUAUAUAUAUAUAUAUAAAAUAGAGGAUGAAAAGCACAAUGAGCACACAUAUAACAAUGCAUGCAGACAGCACACAAUAUAGUGCAAGGAAUAGGUAUGAGGUAGUUAAAACCCUACCCAAAAUCUGGGUUUGGGAGUAAAAAUAAAAAAAAAAAAAAAAAUUGCAUGAGGCGCGCCUAGACGGCUCCGACAACGCCUUCCGGCGCCUUCCGCCCACUCCCUCAAAACAAAGGCGGCAACCCUCAAGUCCAGCCUCACAGGGUGCCUAGGCGCACCCUGAGGUGAGCCUUUUAAAACAUUGAUUCUUCAAGCAUGCUAUCAUAAUAUUUGUAACUAUAAAAAAUAAUAUACUAUUAUACCUCUGUUUCUCUUUUCUUUGUUUUCAUGAGAAAUUAAUUGCCAUUGGCAGCACUAUAGAAAGCCAUCUUUCUCCAUUAUUCUCCGCUUCAUGCAUAAUUACAUAAUUCUACUAUCACAGUUGUCAGUCCUGAACAAUAAUGCAAGUCUAGUGGCAAAAACCACCUCAAUGAACAACUCACACACACACACAGACACUGAUCAUACAUCUCUAACUCUCUUUUUCAAAUAACACACUCUGAUCCAAAACAGGGUAAAUAAAAUGCACAUCCUUAUACAUUUCUAACUUUGUUUUUCGAAAUCCAAAAUAGGGUAUUCUAACUCUCUUUUUCAUUCAUUUCUUACAAACCAAUCAUACAUUUAAAAUAGGCUUUGAAUAAAAAUAGGGUAUAUAAUUAUAUACCUCAAAAUGCCUAGGAACCAACUUCCCCCUCCAACGAUUCAAAUUCUUGAAAUUGCCAACACAGUAAAUCCAUUAGUACUAUAUAAAUGAAAACACAAUUGAAACCCAUCAAACAAAACAAUCCCACAAUUUAAAUGAUUCAAUCCUACUACAAUUGAAAUUCACAGAAAGAAUGAAAAACCAGAACAAAACUGCAGCACCUAAAAAGUUGUCAUACAAAAAAAAACAUGGAAUGUAAAAAUAUGUUAAGAAAUCUAGUUCGUUAAUUUCCAGCUGCUAAGUGGCAUUAUGUAACUUUAGUAGUAUAACUAAUUAACUACUUAUCUGGUGGGUUGCACUUUUAUCCAAUUGGUAAGGAAAGGAAAAUAAAAAUCAACCCCUUGGUCUUAGUUGUGGCUGCAAAGUGCAGGCCACCACCAAGUCUCAGUGUUUGUGUUUUAGCAAAACACUUAAAUAAAUUAAAUUCUGAAACGUAAAUUAUAUUCCUAUAACUUUAAGAUGCACAUAUAGUAUUGUUGAAGUCGAACUGAAAGCACUGACAAUUCCAAGCAACAAAGCAGCAAUUAUUAAGAGCCAAAACUCAUUCCUAGUCUCCUCAUCCUGGUACUCAACUCCGUAAUCUUCUGUCAGCAUCAUUGACUGAAAUUAGGAGAGAAAAAGAAAAGGAAUUUCAGAAAUUGUCUAUGAAGCAAAGGAUACUGCAGUUACUUCAAGACAUGUAAAUUGCAUAUGUAUAAAGUAAUUUUCUACAUAAAGUAAUGAGGCAUAACUUUCUCUCUCCUCUUCAAACCCUAAACAGAGCAAAGCAAACUUUACAGAGAUUAGAAUGAGAACUGGAACUAAUCGAACAAUGACUGAAAAGUAACAUACUUGAGGAGUGAAUGAUUUAGUGUUUCCAUCAUCGGAAGCCGGAGUAAGUCGCUAAGAGAGGUCGCAAACAGCCCAAAGGGACAAACCCAGAUCCCCGGCCCCGAUCCAUACCCUUCCCCCUCAAAUCCCGACGGCCCCCAUACUUUUCUCUGACUGUACCCCCUCUCCCACUCAUGAAAUCGAGGAUCUGUCGCAAUGGUACUGAGAUCCCCACUCCUCCCUCUCCCUUUCUCUCUGUCGCUCUGUCUCCCUCUCCCUCUGUCUGUCUAUCUUUAUCCCAGAGCGGCAUGGCCUCCCAUCCCUGAAACCCUCACCGAAAGUUGGCAAUUUUGUAAAUAACUUGAAAUCCACCAACAGCAGGGGUAGAGAAUUGAAACAAACAUUUAGGCUCGUUCGAUAACCAUUUAGGCCAAAACUGAGCACACCUAAACCAUUCCUACUCGUGCCAAAUGUUAGUGGGGAAGCAAGAUGAUGACUUUAUUAUUCAAAACCAAAAGAAAAAAAGAGAGAAAACAAAAUAACAAAUGUAAUGGUUGUAGUGUAAAAGCUGAGAACGUAAAUAAACAUGCAGGGAAAAAAAUUGAAGAUACAAAGUAGCUGCAUCAUGAACACUUACUCCAAUUAGACGCAAAAAGUGAUGGUGAUGAGAAGAGAGAGAAAAUGCAGUCGUUUUGAUUUUUCUGGCUUUUAAAGGGAGCAGCUUUCUUCGACCACCAAAAAAAGGAAGCUGCUUUUCGUGUGGUUGUGAUUUCCUGAGUGUAUGUGAGCGGGUCUAUGGCACUUGCACUGUUUGUGUCGGUUACGGUAACCGGGCGAGCUGGACACGGCAGCGUGGGACUGAAUUCGGAGAGGUGAGAAAAAUUAAAAACACAAAAAGAAGGUGUUCAUUUUGUCACAUUUUUAUUACGAAAAAUUCAAUAAAGUACAUUCAUUAGUAUGGUAACUUAACUAUUUAAUUCCAUCUCAUUAAACUAAAAAAAACAAUUACAAAAAAAUAAGGAAAACCUUGUCCAGAGAGACCUGAGAGAAAGUGACGACUUCUCCUCUCAUUCAACUCCAUACUUGAUCUCUAAAGUCCAUUUGGCAUGUAAUUGAUGUUCACUUUCAAAUUUAGUGGUAGCAAUUAGCAAAGCUAAUGAAAGAAUCAAAUAAAAUGAAAGAAAAAGCAUCAUGAAAUAAAUCAAGAUGAAGAAUGAAAUUUUGGCAACUCGCCAUUCUCUUCUUUUAUAUAAAAGAUACAUCCUAUUUGUAGUGAAAACAGAUCCCGACAAACCCAGUUAUCCUCAAGAAGUAUUUUGUAUGACUUUAAAAACAUAAUCCGUGAAAUUAUCUCUUGGCUGAGAACAACAACAAAUCUUCAUGCAUAGCUUGUAGAGAAAGACAUCAGGCAUACAAAAGAACACGCAAGCAUAAAAUAAACGAAGCAGGGAAAACCAAAAAUACAAUUGAAUACGCUGUCAAAAGAACAUGAAUAAAUGAAAAUACCAAACAAAGCAGUGAUGAGAAACCAAAGUACCCAUUUCAUAAUCUAAUUGCUUUUUAGUUUGCUUGCCAUUUUUAGUUCUUCAAUUUAGAGAGACACCAUAAUUCAGCACAUGAAUAAAGUGAAAACGUAAAAGAUAUGUGGGAUAGGCUGACAGCCAUCCCUGAGUAAUGCAUUCACUUCUGAACCCCAAACACACUGAAACAAAAAUUCACACACAUGAACUACAGCUCCGCUUUGUAACAAGAAUUAAAAGCAUCUCAAAACAAAAUGGCAAACUAUAAGAGCAUUGUAAAAGUAAAAUUGCAAGAAAUCUAAUACUUGGAGGGCAAGUACUCAUCAGACGAAAAUGAAAGAUUGAACUACCUCGCGUGGAACUGUGCCUUGGUUUUUUCCCAUGCUUACAGGAAGCUUUGCACUGAGCUCUUAUAGUCCAAAUUUUCUCUGAAGGAAAAAAACACAAUUUUGAAAUAAGAUUUUCGUAUUAUACCUUAAAGAGAAGAAUUAGACAACAAAAUAGAGAACAAUGAGUACUAUUCAUCAUAUAUUGUUAGAGUAUGUGGCCCUCUGGUCCAAUGGUCCCGCAGCCAUAUUUCCUUUAUAACUCUUUCUUUUAAUCUAAAAAACAUCUUGAAUCUCAAAUUAGUAUGAAUACGGAUUCAUACUUUAUAACUAAAGAUCUUACUGCUCUUGAUAAGAUGAACAAUACGCCAUUUCUCGCAUGCAUUGCAUUACAAUCACAAUGCAACAUCUCAUUAGAAAUCCCCACACAAAUUUUUUUUAUUGCUACUUUGAUUUUAGUUUAUAUUUUUUCUGAAGCAUGAGGGAGCUAAUUUUUUUUUUUAAAUUUUUUAUUCCAAUAAUGUUAUAGGGAGGGUUGCAAGGAUAUUAUCAAUUGUAUUUGAUUGGUGGAACUUCUACAUCUAUAUUUUAGGUUUUCAAUUUUAGCACUGGGAGAGUCAUUCAUAAAAUGUUUGACAGUGAGAUUACCUCCAUGGACUAUGCUCACAAUGGACAGCUCAUUUUCCGCGGUGAUGGGACAAUAUAUUUCAGUCAUUCGCCAUUCAAUCAAUUCAAACUGAGGAACAUGCAACAUCAAGAAGAGGAUCUACCAUGUCAGGAUCACUAUCGUCCAAUUAAUACAAAAAAAUCUAGAUAAAAACGAUCAAUUUACAUAAAAGCCCUUCAUUUUCUCAGCAACCAAGCAAAAGAAAAUACCUAUCCGUUAAACACUCGAUUUGGGAGUAAAUGUUGCUGAAACUGGACUUCAAUCCCCUCAACCGCAACAACCGAAUCGAGGUGUGCAAGUCAUUGAAAAACUCACCCAAGAUUUCAAAAUCUGCAUAGAGAAAUAAAUAAGCACAUAAAUUAGCCCAACCCAUAAAUCAAAGAAAUCAAAAUCCACCCAGAAUCAAAGAAAUCAAAAUCCAUCCAGAACCAAAGAAAUCAAAAUCACACACAGAUAUGCAAGACAACGCAAAUUUGAAGCCUUACUUUUCGGGUAGCUUGGCGGCUGACAUGAGUCUUCUUCAGAGUUUCAUCCAUCCAUGGAUCCAUUUGGUCCGCCCGUCGCUUCUGGGUCGUACAAUCUUAAAAUCUGCAAAAUGAAUUUAAAGAAUCAAUUUUUACGAUUGAAAAGCCAAAAGUGCUACAAACUCCAAAUUGCUGAGAACCAAAGUGGAGUAACAGUUACAGGUCACGAGAUGAGAUGAGGACAUUGUCGGAUUUCAGGGCGAACCUGACUCUGGAAAUUGCAUCUCGGAUCGGGCUUUCGAACUUCAAAGGAGCUCCGCUCAUUGUGGUCCUUGCAGACCGAACUGGCCUAACAAUCAGCGAGAGAAAGGAGACGGCGGCAAGAUGAGGGAUACAAUGGAUGCGAGAUCGUCUGUAUCGUUCUCGCGGGGGGUUUGCAAGACGGACGAGGAAAGUAGGGUUUGAUGAGGCAUUGUCUUCGCGCGGGGUAUGUGUCCUUCCCAUUCCAUGAUUAUCAACACGUGUGCAUCAACAGAAGCGGCAGAGAGAGGCAUUAUUGUAAAUAAAGUGAAAUCGAAGGGCAAUGGCCCUUUUUUUUUUAAGGUAAUGGCAUGGCCAUAAAUAGAAUGAAAUCCAGAUCAAAACACUGUCAUUUGUACAGUACAAUUUCUCCAUCUUCUUUAGACUAAAGUAAUGUAUAUGUUAUACGCACCAACACAAGUCCUUCUUAGAUAAAUCCAAGCCAAACAAUUACAGACGAUAGUUAUUCACAAAAUCACUUUAAAGUAAGAAUUUAAUUAAUAAUACAUUACUGCACUUUCUUAACAAUUUGACUAUCACCUAGCUGACAAUGAACAUGUUAGCUAUGCGUUAGAACAUAUUGGGUUCAAUCCAUUGUCUUGAAUAUUACCCCCAGUCACAGCCGUCUCUUGGGGGCAUACAGAAGGCCUGAGAGGCAUUUGCAGACAUUCAACAUCUCCUCCAAGCAUUUCGACAACUUUGGACAUCGAAGGGCGAUCACUUGGUUUCAUUUGAAUACACCACAAGGCGGUUAUAACCACCUUUCUUAUCACUUUCUUUUCCUUCUCUGUAACAUUGUCUAUUUCCAAGUCAUUUCCCACAAAAUACUGAUCGUAUACCUACAGCGGGAAGUAGAUUUGGCUUGGAUGCUCUACCGUUGCAUUCAAAUUCUUCCUUAUGCUUGCCAUUUCCAUCAACAACAUUCCAAAACUAUAGACAUCGGCCUUGUAUGAGACACCUCCAAUAUUUUUGUAGAACAACUCAGGAGCAAUAUAUCUCAUUGUACCCCGUGCUGUCGUCAAAGAGACAAUGCUAUUAUCUACUGGAUACAAUUUUGCAAGCCCAAAGUCAGAAACCUUUGCUUUAAAGUUCUCAUCAAGAGGGAUGUUAUGAGGCUUGAUGUCAAAAUGUAGAAUUUUCAUUUUACAACCUUGAUCUAGAUAUUCGAUCCCAUGACUCCAAGAGAAAUCUUGUACAUAGUCUUGAUAGUUAAGGGAAGACUUCCUUCUUUGGAAUAAAUGUAUUUAUCAAAAGAGCCAUUAGGCAUAAAGUCAUAUAUUAGAGCGCGCUUUGAUCCCUCGACACAAUCACAAUCACAAUCACAAUCACAAUCACAAUCACAUUCCAACAUGGAAUCCUCAGACGACAUGCCUACUGCAGAACAAGUUUCAUCCUUACUUAACUUCUAUUUAGUCCACUUCCUGUUUAGAUUGUAAUCCUAGUUCUGCGUGUGUUUGUAUAGUACUCCUAUAAAUAUCAAUGAAAACCGCUCACUCUAAUUAGGAGUUGAGAUUCUGCAAAUCAUAUUUACUAUCUUUCAUGGUAUCACGAGCCAAGGUCUAACGACAACGGUUCCUGUUAUAAUUUUUUUCUCUUUUGUAGAUCCUAAACUAUGGCAUCUUCUUCCUCCUCCGAUGCUCCCUCCGUCACAAAUUUUCUUACGAUCAAGCUCGACCUCAACAACUACCCUCUCUGGCGUGCUCAAUUUCUUCCCUUGCUGCGCAGCCGCAACUUACUCUCUUAUGUUACUGGCGAAACUCAAUGCCCAUCUGCCUUUGUUCUUGAUGACAAUGGUAAAUUCACAGACAAAGUCAAUCCAUUAUAUAAUGAAUGGAUCCAGACUGACUAGAUGAUCCUAUCUUGGAUUACGAGUUCUCUUACUCCCAAGGUUCUUGCUACGAUCGUCAACAAAAUUGAUUCGACCUCUGCUUGGUUGUCAAACCCGAAUUAAUCUGAUUAUGGGGGUUUUAUUUUAUAUCAAUAUAUUGCAGCAGAAGUCGCACUUUGAAGAGUUCAUGCUGCACAGAAAGAUUCUUAAAUGCUACCUGUUGAGUCUAUCAUUGCUCCAUUGGAGACAGAGCUGAAGCUUGCUGCAGGAGUUAUACAUUUGUUAUGCAAUAUGACCCCUUUAAUUUUAUUUUAAAACUGAUACAAAAAUUUAUGUAGUAUUUUUGUAUCAGUUUUGAGUGUCUAUUUUGGCUUCCAUAUUUCGUCUGUACAUGUGAGAGGUAUAGCGUUCAAUAUGUAUUUGGUUUCUAUAUUGUUAAUGGAUCUUUUUUUUUUUAAGAUAACCAAGUUGCAGGAUGACAGCAGAACACUUGAUCUGUAGGUAAACCUUCAAUUUCCAUAUGAAGUUUGCAUGUUCGUUGUUUCUGGAAUUUGAGUUUUUAUUAUUUCUCAAUUCUAUCACAUAGAUUACGAUUUCACAUAUGGGAUUAUUAAUGGCAAUUAGAUGAUGGAAGAAUUGGGAUUGGAAGAAGAUAUUGAGUUGUUUAUUUAUGGGGAUUAGAAAAUUUUUAUCAUAAGUGUGGAUGCAAAUUUCUUCCUCCUUGAUCUUGGACAAAAUUGCACCUACAAAACAAUUAACACCUUAGGUCAAGGCCAAGAGCCUCACGCGCUCACGAUGAAGGGGGGGGCUUUGGUCGAAGAACCUCCGAUGCCAAAGUUAGAAUUUAGAGAGAAAAAGUGUUUGAGAAUUCUAGAGAAUUUUAGCAAGAGUUGCAACUAGGUUUUGGUGAGAAAUGUGGGGCUUUCUAUAGAGGAGUGGCCGGCCUCUUAGGGUGAGAAAGGACCGGUCACAUAGCCUAGUUUGUGGGUUUUGUUCAUGAUUUAAGAUGAUUUUGGGAGUUAUGUGAUUAAUUGACUAAUUAAUUAGGAAAACUAAUAAAAAGGGCUUGAAAACUUUGAGUUUUAAUGAUAAGGACAAAAUAAAGGGUAAAGUGAAUAGUACCAGGAUUGACUUUUUAGUGUAAAAAUGUGGUUUUUCGUUAAAAUGAACAGUACCGGGUGCUUUUCGUUAAAGUUCCCUAAUUAAUUUGGCGAAAUAAAAUUAUUACCAAAUGAAUUAGCUAAUUAAUGGGAUGAAAUGGGCAAAUAUCAAGAGAUAAACAAAACAUGACCAAUUCCUUUUCUAACAAUAGGUGGCCGGCCCUUCACUUGUUUUUGGGGUUGCAUGGAUGUUUUAAUUGACAAUUAAGGAAUUGAUUAGGCAAUUAAUCCCUUAAUUAGUCAAUUAUUAUGAUUUUAAAGGAAGAUUUUAGGAAAUAUGAAAGGAAUAUAUUAUUUAGCUAAUUGAUUAGCUAAAUGGAAUAAAUUAGGUUUUGGGAAUUACCUUAAAUGAGGAUGGAUGAGAUAAUUUGGAAUUGGUUACCUUUUUGGAGCAUUUUUGACUUGGUUAAGGAUGAUUGCCCGCUACUUGCGCAUAGGAAUCCCGUUAUACCUCAAGGGUAUUUUUGUCAUCUUUUACCCAAAAAACCACGUGUCACCUUGUGAUUAUUUUUGGCUCCACAAUACGAGUGAUAUUUAUUUUUGUGUGGAUUGUUAAUAUAUAAAACUAUAAGCUUUUGAGAUUGGGAGACAAAACCCACAAAUUCAAUUCAGACAAAAUAAAUAAAAAAUUUAACUGACUUAAAGAUCAAACUCCAAAAGGGUAUUAAAAACAAGGCUUAUUUGAUCCAUUGAGUGUGAAAGUUUUGAGCUUUGAAGAAGCAGAGGAGGAGAGUUGUUAACCAAGCUGCAUUAUCUAUGUAUUAGGAUGUUGAGGGUAGGCAGGAAAAAUACUUUUUGACGCCAAAUCCAGAGGAGCAUAACGACAGGCCUGCAUUUUUGCAGCAAGGACCAAAACAAGUAUAAGUGAAGGCUUGACUGUUUGGGUAUUAAUCCUAAACCUAAUUAUUCUUAUUUAGGUUUAGGAUAAAUGAUUGAGUGUGUCUCGAUGAUUGUAUUACUAUGUUUGAUGAAUGAUUUGAGGAGUUGGAAAUGGUUUAUUGCUUAUGUUUUUCUUAGGUGUGUACUUUGGUUAUUUCCGAGCUUUUCACGACUUUUGAUACCUAAUAAAGAAUAUGGAAACCCCAACUUCAAUUUUAUGAAUUGAUUUUGGUGCCUAAAAUGAAAUCUAGCAUAGUGAAAUCUUGCAUAAUGAAAUUAUGACAAAUUUCCCUUCAUCUUUAUAUUUUCAUUUAAUUCAAUUGGUAUGCAAUUUAGGGUUAUUCAAUUCAUGAGUGAUCAAAUUAUGUUUUUAAUUCCUUCUUUUGAUUUACAGUUCAACAUUGUCGUACAAAAUGAAAAAGGCGCCAGUAACAGAGUUAUGGAUUUGGAUGCCUUUAGUGGAAUAAAACUGAAUUUUUUAACUUUGUAUAGUUGUAAACAUAAAAUACUCCAUGAGGUAGACUCAUAGCUUUUGAAAACAAUCCUUGAGGAUGGCAUAACAACAUCUCCAACUUUUGUCAUGUAAUGUAUGAAUGUAAAUAGCACUUCGUAAACAUAUGGAUGUAAUAUAUGUAUAUAAACACUCUUUAGCAUGUAUAUUUUUCAAAACUUUCUACAUCUUCAACAAUGUUUCAAUGAUUUCUUGAUGUAAACAAUGAUAAUUUGAAGAACCAUUUAAAGUAUUUUGGUAAUCAUCAUACUUAAGCUUAAAUGUGAUAUAUCCGUUUAUUAUUUUUUAUACAGUGAUAAUACUCAAGUAUAAUUUACAUCAUAUAUCUUUUGAAGUACAUGAAACUAUGAAGAAAAAACCCUAAUUAAUCUGAUUAUGGGGGUUUUGUUUUAUAUCAAAAUAUUGCAGCAGAAGUCACACUUUGAAGAGUUCACGCUGCAUAGAAAGACGAUGAAAUGCUAUCUGUUGAGUCCAUCAUUGAUCCAUUGGAGACAGAGCUGAAGCUUGAUGCAGGUGGUAUACUUUUGUUAUGCAAUAUGAUCCCUUUAAUUUUAUUUUAAGACAUAUAGGGUUGAAAAAAAUUUAUGUAGUAUUUUUGUAUCAGUUUUGAGUGUCUAUUUUGGCUUCCAUAUUUGGUCUAUACAUGUGAGGUAUAGAGUGUUCAAUAUGAAUUUGGUUUCUAUAUUGUAAAUGGAUCUAUUUUUUUUUUAGGUAACCAAGUUGCAGGAUGAAAACCGAACACUUGAUCUGCAGGUAAACCUUCAAUUUCCAUAUGAAGUUUGCAUUUUCGUUGUUUCUGGAAUUUGAGUUUUUGCAGGAUGAAAACAGAACACUUGAUUGGUUAUUUCCGAGCUUUUCAUGACUUUCGAUACCCAAUAGAGAAUAUGGAAACCCCAACUUUAAUUUUAUGAAUUGGUUUUGGUGCCUAAAAUGAAAUCUAGCACAGUGAAAUCUUGCAUAAUGAAAUUAUGACAAAGUUCCCUUCAUCUUUAAAUUUUCAUUUAGUUCAAUUCGUAUGCAGUUUAGGGUUAUUCAAUUCAUGAGUGAUCAAAUUAGGUUUUUAAUUCCUUCUUUUGAUUUUCAGUUCAGCAUUGUCGUAUUUUGGAUGCCUUUAGUGGAAUAAAACUGAAUUUUUUUAACUUUGUAUAGUUGUAAACAUAAAAUACUCCAUGAGAUAGACUCAUAGCUUUUGAAAACAAUCUUUGAGGAUGGCAUAACAACAUCUCCAACUUUUGUCAUGUAAUGUAUGAAUGUAAAUAACACUUUGUAAACAUAUGGAUGUAAUAUAUGUAUAUAAACACCACUCUUUAGCAUAUAUAUUUUUCAAAACUUUCUACAUCUUCAACAAUGUUUCAAACCCCGCAGCAACGGGCGGGUACACUUGCUAGUAUACAUCUAAAAUUAUAAGACUAAAUCCUUUAGUUCUUGGAUUCAUCUAAGAACUACUUAUUCAAGCAGAUGCUAUGCUUGCACUACUAGAAUUUAUGGCUUGCCCUGUCAACUAUUGCGCGACAGAAGAUUUCGUCGGUUUCACCUUUUUUAACCGACAAAAUAUAAGUUUAGUAAGGCAAAAUCAGUCAACAAACUUGGUUUACUGAAUAGAUUUACAGGAUGUUUAGAGUUCGUAGGUUAAGACAUCAGUCGUUGGGCAAACAUUUGGAGCGAAGAUGUGAGUGUUUUAACUGACGAAUAAGCUGGUCGUCAUGUAGAUCUUCUUUCCCGACUGACGGUUCAACGGGUAGCUCUUUGGAUAACAAAUCAUCUUCAAGGGGAACAGGUUGCCCCUCAGAUGAAUGGUUAGAGGCAAUUGUGAGACUAUAAUUUUCUAGGGCCGGAAAAUCUGUAACCAUCCACCAAAUACCCCUUCUUCCCUUUCUAUUUCUCUCUCAGUAAUUUCCCCUGACCUAAUCACACAAUCCAACCAACUCUUUUUAAGCCUCCCUCAUUGAUUCCAUGGAUUUCAUGGACUUAUCCCACCCUCUCUCCUUCCCUCUAUAUAUAGCAAGUCCCCUUGCCUCAGUGUCCCUGGCAACAGAAUUUAUGGUGUGUCUUCGUUCUUUCAAUUAUUUGAAAGCUUUCCUGCCCUGCAGUCUUGUACAAAGGCGUAUGGUGUUUCAUCAGUUCCAUUUGGUGGUUGGGUGGGAAAUGAAAUUAAAACAUUGAUUUCAAAUGGUCUAAACCAAAUUGAAUCAAAUGUGAAGCAAAGGGCAAAAGGUGUAGAUUGAAGAACAAUGGCACCAAGAGCGAAAUUGAACUUGUUGACAGGAGGAAACCAAGUAACGAUAACGCGUCUAAAUCUUAUUUCGAAUCCAUUCAGCUUAUGAUGUUUUUAAUGAUGAUGAUCUGUAUACUUUGCUACAUGCUGUGAUUUUUUCGCUUUCAUGUAAUUAACGGCUUAUAUUUAUGGUAAAGAUAUUGAUUAAUUUUGAGAAAUGACAGUCUAAUUUUUGCAACUGUCUUUUGCAGGCAAAACAAAGACGUUUGCAAGGGUGAGUUUUGUAGGACCGGUGUUUAGCUUUGUUUCAUGUCCAAAGGACACUUGAGAAUAAAUGUUUACUCAUGGAUAAUAUCUAUCUAUUUGCAUGAGCAACCCUGGGUUCAUUUGUUCUGUUACUGCUGGUCAUUGCGGCAUAUCACGCCUACAGCACUGACAAAGUAAAAAGAAAAUCGAAUGAAAUUUGGUAAGAUUUUAGCGGACUACAAAGAUCUUAAGCCAAUCAUAUAUUCCCAUGCAGAUAUUAAGAGGUUUACAAAUCAAUUCAAGUACAAGUUGGGCCAAGGAGCAUACAUAACUGUUUUUAAAGGAAAGCUUUUUUCUGAAUGCUUUGUUGCCAUGAAAGUACUUAACAUUUCCAAGGGUGACGGGGAAGAGCUUGUAAAUGAAGUGGGGAACAAUGGGCCAUAUUCACCAUGUCAAUGUGGUUCACUUGGUUGGUUUUUGUGCUGAUGGAUUUAGAUGAGCUCUGGUUUAUGAGUUCUUUCCCUUUGGUUCACUUCAGGAUUAUAUGUCAUCAGUAGAUAGAUUUCUUUCCUUGGUUGGCAUAAGUUGCAAGAUAUUGCUAUCAACAUAGCCAAAGGAACCAGGGAUGUGAUCUACAAAUCCUCCAUUUCGAUAUCAAACCCCAUAAUGCUUUGCUCGACCAAAAAAUCACGCCAAAAAUCUCUGAUUUUGGUCUGGCCAAGUUAUGUUCCAAGGAUCAAUCAGUGUGACUAAAGCAAGGGGGACCAUGUGACUAAAGCACCUGAAGUGUUUUCCAGGAAUUUCGGAAAUGUGUCUUACAAGGUAGAUGUCUUGAAUGUUGCUGCUUGAAAUGGUAGGAGAAAAGAAGAAUAUUGGUUCAACCAGAGGACACGACAAAUGAAAUCUACUAUCCAAAAUGGAUUUAUAAUCUUCUAGAGGAAGGAAUGACCAACAGAUCCAUAUUGAGGAAGAAUGUUAUGGUAAGAUUCCAAAGCAACUUGCAAGUUUAGGGCUCUGGUGCAGCCAGUGGCACUUGGUGGAUCGGCGGUCCAUGAAAACGGUGGUUCGGAUGUUAGGAGGAUGAGAAAACUUGAUGAUGCAAGCAACCCUAAAAGCCUCAUACAAUUAAAAGUAAUUGCUGAAUUAGAGUAACAUAUGUAUAUGUAUACGCACCAACACAAGUCGUUCUUAGAUGAAUCCAAGCCAAACAAUUACAAACAACAGUUAUUCACUAAAUCACUUUAAGGCAAGAAUUUAAUUAAUAAUACAUUACUGCACUUUCUUAACCAUUUGACUAUCACCUAGCUGACAAUGAACACGUUAGCUCCGCGUUAGAACAUCUUGGGUUCACUUCAUUGUCUUGAAUAUCACCCACUGUCACAGGCGUCUCUAGGGGGCAUAGAGAAGGCCUGAGAGGCAUUUGCAGACAUUCAACAUCUCCUCCAAGCAUUUUGACAACUUUGGACAUCGAAGGGCGAUCACUUGGUUUCAUUUGAAUACACCACAAGGCGGUUAUAACCAUCUUUCUUAUUACUUUCUUUUCCUCCUCUGUAACAUUGUCCAUUUCCAAGUCAUUUCCCACAAUAUACUGAUCGUAUACCCAUAUUGGGAAGUAGAUUUGGCUUGAAUGCUCUACCGUUGGAUUCAAAUUCUUCCUUCUGCUUGCCAUCUCCAUCAACAACAUUCCAAAACUAUAGACAUCUGACUUGUAUGAGACACCUCCAAUAUUUUUGUAGAACAACUCAGGAGCAAUGUAUCCCAGUGUACCCCGUGCUGCCGUCAAAGAGACAAUGCUAUUAUCUACAGGAUACAAUUUUGCAAGCCCAAAGUCAGAAACCUUUGCUUUAAAGUUCUCAUCAAGAAGGAUGUUAUGAGGCUUGAUGUCGAAAUGUAGAAUUUGCAUUUCGCAACCUUGGUGUAGAUAUUCGAUCCCUUGAGCCACUCCAAGAGAAAUCUCGUACAUGUUCUUGAUAGUUAAGGGAACACUUCCUUCUUUGGAAUAAAUGUAUUUAUCAAGAGAACCAUUAGGCAUGAAGUCAUAUACUAGAGCUCGUUUUGAUCCCUCAACACAGUAUCCAACAAGUUGCACCACAUUGGCAUGGUGAAUCCUUCCGAUUGUAGCUAUUUCGCUAAUGAAAUCUUGGCCAUCAGCUUUGGGCUUGCCCAAAACUUUAACUGCUACAAAUCGACCACUGCGUAGCUUUCCCUUAAAUACAGAGCCAAAGCCACCUUCGCCCAACUUGUCCUUAAACGUGCGAGUCAUUUUCUUGACGUCCGAGUAAGAGUACCUUAUAGGCAUGAAGUUGUUAUUGCAUUGCAGAAAAUCUUCUAUUGUGUUAUACAUUGAUAAAUGUCUUCUGCGCCAUGUGUAGAUUAGAAAUGCAGUCACAACUGGAACUCCAAAAACAAAUCUGGCUAGGAAAAAUAACCCUGCAUGCAUGGACAUUAAUAUGUUAGAUCCACUGCGUACUACUUUUUCUUCCCUUUCUUUCCAAAUUACUUUGUCUUUGAUGUAAUUAAAGAGAGAGAAUGAGAAAUCUACAUAUGUUGAUAAUACAAUCUCAUCUUAGUCCUUACCGAUGCAUAUGAGUAUAAACCAUCCACGUACUGCAACAAAAUCAAUCGACUAUGAGUUUGAAAAGUGCAUAAAGUGAAAAAUAAAUAAUAAAUAAAAUCAAAGGGUGCCUUUAUUGACACCCAAAUUUUAGUUAGUUUUACUCAACUAAAAAAUUUUUGUCAUCAAACUUUUUAAUUUGCCGUUGAAAUUGAGUUCACCCAACCCACAAAGCAGCAACUACCACUCACCAAAAAAACCAACAACACACACCCACCACUCACCAAUAGAAAGAGAAUGAACACACAGACCCACAAAGAGCUGGCAUCGACGCUGUCGAUGAGGGAGGGACCAGAGGAUGGUGUAGUUUUGUCUAGCGCGCGGUAGUGGUUUUGUCUGUUCAUUUUCUCUUUCUUUUGGUAGGUGGAGGCUGGUGUGGAUUUGGGCGAACUUAAAAAUGAGGGGAAACUAUGAAGUUUGACAAAAUGUUUUAGUUAGGGGAACUUAACUAAAAUUUGGGUGCCGAUAAAGAUACCCAAUAUCAAAAAUACUUGAGCGUAUAGACUAAUUAAAUGAAGUUGAUCAAGUUUGUCUCGAUCGAAAACUUGUAAAUAAAACAAAAAGAGGACCCCUUACCGAUUUGUUGCCAUAUAUAUUGAAAGAAACCUACAAAAACAAAGAAAGAACAAGACUACAUGCAUUAGCAUAACAAGAGUGAGGUGUAUAAGCCGUUAGAAAAUAAAUUUAAAAUUCUAGUGCUGUCAAUACAUUGAUAAUAUAUAUAUAUAUAUAUAUAUAUAUGUAUUAUUUUUUCUGAAAAUUUAACUUUUUCCCUCCAAACUCAUUUUUCUAGUCUCUAGCCCAUCAUAUAAUAUUUAUCCGAAUAAAACCAAAUGAUUAGGAUCCAACUAAGAAACUUACCAAAUUAAGUUUGUGUGUCCAUUUUUAUAUUUUUUGGAUCCCUAAUAUACCCCAUCUAAGUCAGUAUGGAAAGUUCUUGUAAUUUUGCUUUAAGUGAUCACGUGCAUUGAAUUUGGCAAUGUCUUGUAGCCAUGAAAUAUGGUUGUAGAUGGAGGAAUUAAUUUGGAAUUUUUUUUAAUUUCAACAACAAAUUUAGUGUUAUUUUCAACAAUAUCUAUUGUUUAAUUUUAUGAAAAUAAUUUACCUAAUAUGAAAAUUAAUUUUAUGAAAACAAUAUCUAUUGUUUUAUUUUAUACCUACAGGAUAAUUACAUGAAAAUAGUUUACCUACUAUGAAAAUUAAUUUUUUGAAAGCAAUAUCUAUUGUUUAAUUUUAUGAAGAUAAUUUACCUACUAUAAUUACAUGAAAAUAGUUUACCUACUAUGAAAAUUAAUUUUUUGAAAGCAAUAUCUAUUGUUUAAUUUUAUGAAGAUAAUUUACCUACUAUAAUUACAUGAAAAAAUUUACCUACUAUGAAAAUUAAUUUUUUGAAAACAAUAUUAUUGUUUAAUUUUAUGAAAAUAAUUUACCUACUGUAUAAUUACAUAAAAAUUAAUGUGCCUACUUUUUAAAUUUGUAACAAAAUUAAUUUACCUACUUUUUAUGGUAUUAGUAUACAUAAAUGUAGAAUAUAUGUCCGUAUAUAUUUGAUCUAAUUAGGUUUUGGAUUGGAGGAGUUGACACAAAAUUAUAAAUAUGUUAAACAAAUUUAUCAAUUCUAAAGUUGGAGGGGAAUUGGUCUGUACAUUGCUACAGUAAACAAAUGCUACUCAAUUUCACGUUAUUUACAACAAAGCUAUCAGAUUUGGGUUGGGUUGGAGGGUAAUUUGUUAAAAGUUAGGAGGGUAAUUUGUUAAAAGUUAGGAGGGUAAUUUUGUGCAUAGGGUUUAGGUGCCCUCCUAUACAUGACCCUUGAUUUUACUUUAUUUACACCACUGCCAUCAUAUAUGUGGCUGAAUUGGGGGGGGUAUUAUUAAAAGUUAAGAGGGUAGUUUUGUUCAAGGAAGAAAAUAUCGGUAAUAUCGGAAAUAUCGGUAGUCCGAAAACACGGAAAUAUCGAUGGAAAUAUCGGGAUAAUAUCGAUAUCGAUAAAAAUUACAUGGAAACCACGGAAAUUGUAAGAAAAACUUGGAAAUUUUUAUUGAAAUUUUGCAGGAUGUUUAUUUAGUCAAUUAUCUAUUAGUUUAUCACAAAAAAUUGGAAGGAAAUGCAUUGCAUGAUGGAUUUAACUUAUUUAAGUUGAUUAUAUAGCGAGCUGACAAACAUUGUGAGUGUAGAAAAUAUGUAGUAAUUAAUGAAAGAAGUUUAAACUUUAUAUAUAAUGACUUAGUACAAUAUUUUACACUUUAUACAUUGCAUGGUAAGAUACAUGAGUUACACAAACAACGGGAAAUUAAUGAGAAAACCCUUCCCAAAACGUCAGCACCCGCUUUUUUAAAUAACUUAUAUAAUGAACCUGUCUGGAUCACUUGUUCUAAUAUAUAAACACAAAACAAUACUAUUUGUAUCACAUUUUCUGACAAUCUCAUUGACCGCUUUUAAUUAAUAAAUUGGUCUCAAGUCUAGUUUCCUAAGAAUUUGUUUGUUUGGGCUCAUCUUUGUUGUAAUAACUUAAUUGGGCUUAGAGUUUUAUUGGGUUUACCUAGCCCGUGCGAGCUCAUCUUUGUAUUUAUUUGACGGAUACCCCGAUUUGUUAUGGCAAAAGCAACCACGCAGUCGACGCCCGAAAACCCUUCCCUCUCUCAUUUGGUCUUCGUCUGUUUUCCCGCAUCAUCCAACAGGUGGACUCGGCGCUUCUCUCUCUCUCCCCCCUCUUCGCCCUCUCCACCAAACCCUAACCCCCCAAAUUCCAACCUUCCACCAUUCAAUCCAACCAAAAUCCCCCCAAUCGGACCCCUACCCGACCCAGUUCAUCUCCGAUUGCCUCCAAUUCCACUCCGCCCCGACCCAUUUCUUCAAAAUUCCAAUUCCACUCCGCCCCGACCCAGUUCCUUCAAUUUCUCAGGUAGGUAAGCUUCGGGUUUUUCUUUUUAUAUUCUAGAUCGAAGCGUAGAUGUGAAAUUGAAGUUAUAUGUCGUGUUUUUGCAAGGUUUUUGGGAUGAAAUCGACUCGGGAAUAAGUACACCCAUCUCCGGCGAGGCUAGGGGGUAGUUUUACAGUCGACCGGAGCUGUAGAAGCUCCAGCGUUCGUCUCCGACGUGCACAGUUCCGAAAUUUCGCGAUAAUAUCGAUAAUAUCGCGAUAUUAUCGAUAUUAUCGCGAUAUUAUAACGAAAACACCUUGGAUACCAUUUAAAAUAUCGGUUCGGGAAAAAACCGAUAAUAUCGGCGAUAUAUCGCCGAUAUUAUCGAUAUUUUCUUCUAUGGUUUUGUUCAAGGGGUGGGGGCGACAUUCGCAGACAGGGCGAUUGGAGCCAUGCCCAUGCCCAUUGCACAGAGAGAAAGGGAGUGAUGGGGGAAAUUACAGACAGAAAGGGAAGGGAUGGGAGGAUUUGAUGGAUGGUCACAGAGAAAGAUUCGGUGAGGGAUGUGAGGGGAGAUUACAGAGAGAUAAAUUAAAGGGGGAUCGGGGGAUUUGAGGGAUGGUCAGAGAGAGAAAUAGUGACGAAGGGAGGGAUGGGGGGGCUAAUUUUCGGUUCCUCCUUCAGAUUUGUUCCGUAAAACUUGUUGGGUACAAUUCAAUUUCCUCCCCCUUUCCCCUGAACGAAAAAUUCGAAACCUACAAUUCAAUUUCCUCCCUUCUUGGCUUUCCGCUUUACUCAUCUCCCGGUGGUUCUUUCUCUCCAUACGAUUCGAUUUCGGUGAGUUCUUCGUUGCCCUCAUGAUUUCCCAGUUUGAUUUUUUGAGCGUCCUUAGUCGUCGUUUUUAUCUGGGUUUAUUGCAUGGUUGCUUUUAGUUUAUGGAUUUUUAUUUUUUCCGCGGUUUGAUGAAUCGUGGUUAAUAAUUUCACACCAUGGGAUUUUUGCACUUCUGAUGGAAUUGAGCGCAGGGAUUCGGGGUGGGGUUUUACUGAUAGUUUGUCUUCAUUCAAAUGAAUGGUUAAAAUUUCUGAAGUGAGUGUGCAGGUGGGCCCGUUCACUAACUAAGCUUUCAAGGGAACCCAUCAACGGUUUGCUUGCUGGGGAACUCGGAGACUACUAUGAUUUAGUUAUCAUUUAUUUUUUUACUUAAUUUUAUCCAUAUAUAAUAUGUGGGUAAAUUUACACUAAACAAUUGUGAUAAGCCAAUAUGCCAAACGACUUUGAAAGCAUUGAUUUUGUGUAUAGUUUGCAUUUUUGCAUUGUGAAUGUUGAAUUUUGUGUUUAAUUUGGAUUUUUGUGUUUGAAUUUGUAGCAUGAUCUUCCGCUGCAGCAUCCAAAUUUUGUAUUUGUAAAUUGUCAAAGAAAAACGAACAACAACAACAACAACAACAAAGCCUUUUCCCACUAAAUGGGGUCGGCUAUAUGAAUCCUAGAACGCCAUUGCGCUCGGUUUUGUGUCAUGUCCUCCGUUAGAUCCAAGUACUCAAGUCUUUUCUUAGGGUCUCUUCCAAAGUUUUCCUAGGUCUUCCUCUACCCCUUCGGCCCUGAACCUCUGUCCCGUAGUCACAUUUUCGAACUGGAGCGUCAGUAGGCCUUCUUUGCACAUGUCCAAACCACCGGAAUCGAUUUUCUCUCAUAUUUCCUUCAAUUUUGGCUACUCCUACUUUACCUCGGAUAUCCUCAUUCCUAAUCUUAUCCUUUAUCGUGUGCCCAUACAUCCCACGAAGCAUCCUCAUCUCCGUUACACCCAUUUUGUGUACAUGUUGAUGCUUCACCACCCAACAUUUUGUGCCAUACAACAUUGCUGGCCUUAUUGCCGUCCUAUAAUAUUUUCCCUUGAGCUUCAGUGGCCUACGACGGUCACACAACACCCCGGAUGCACCCUUACACUUCAUCCAUCCAGCUUGUAUUCUAUGGUUGAGAUCUCCAUCUAAUUUUCCGUUCUCUUGCACGAUAGAUCCUAGGUAGCGAAAACGGUCACUUUUUGUGAUCUUCGCUAGAUUGCUCCGGUCAUUAGUGUGGAUAAGUAUAUAAAUGGAUAGAAUUAGGAAAGCAAACACAAGAUGUACGUGGUUCACCCAGAUUGGCUACGUCCACGGAAUAGAGGAGUUCUCAUUAAUUAUGAAGGGUUUACACAAGUACAUAGGUUCAAGCUCUCCUUUAGUGAGUACAAGUGAAUGAUUUAGUACAAAUGACAUUAGGAAAUAUUGUGGGAGAAUGAUCUCGUAACCACGAAACUUCUAAGUACCGGAGUGUGGUAUCGUUUUGACUUGCCUUAUCUGUCUCAUAGGUAGAUGUGGCAUCUUCUCUGGAAGUACUCUUCCUCCAUCCAGGGGUGGUAUCUGUAACUGGUGGAGAUGCACAAGGUAAUGUAUCAAUUUCACUUGAAGCUUACUUGUAGUUUCAGGCUUGGUCAAGCGCGAUACAAACCAUGUAGUAGAAGUCCCCCAAGUCGCCGGGCUAAGGGAUCUGCUGAAAGAGGUGACAGACAAGGUAAGCAAUCAGAGCUCCAGCUGAUUGUUCACAUUCUCCCUAUCUUGCAGGCAGCAUGAAGGAUAAAGAGAAGAAAAAUGAGAAGAGAUGAUAUGGGAUACUUUUGCUUUUAAAGAAGUAACUUUCCACAGGCUUAUUCUUGAACCGGGCUGUAGGGUUUUCUGGUUUCCUCUAGAGUAUAAGGCCGAUUGAAGAAUUUGAGGGUCAAAACAAGUCCAUCAAAUCUAGAGUACGUUCGACCCUGCUGAUAUGGGAUACUUUUGCUUUUGACAGAGUAGUGGAUGUAUCGGCACGUGUGCUGUUACGCUUGUCUCCACAUGCUUCCUUGUAUCCUUCUCACUUGCCCUAUCUGUUCCUCAGGCAAAUGCGGUAUCUUCCCUGGAAGCAUAAGAUGUUGAAGAUGAGUACUCCAGAGCAAUGACAGGUAAGUAAUCAGGUAAGGGGUUCCAGGCAGUCAGUUCCUGGCUCGAAGCUUGAUUCCAAGUGCUGACUGAUUGCUCUCGUUCUCCUUGUCUUGUAGGUAAGAACAAGGCCAAAGGAAAAGACAGGGAAAAAGCAUGAUAUGGGAUACUAUUGCUUUUAACCCUGAUGAUAUGAGAUAGUCUUGCUCUAGUAUAGCUUGUUUACAGAGGUAUUAUCGGGGGGAAAGAAAGCUGAAUAUUUCGAAAGGCUUCGUUGGGAGUGCCCUAUUAGAUAAGAGAAAGGGUUGAGUAUUUUUGCAGGUCUGCCUGUCCGUUAGGGAUGGAGGUCGACAUAUAUAGGAGUCUCCCUAACAUAAAGUAAUAAUGUUAUUCCUUUACCCUGCUUGGUCAUAACACGGUAGUGGGAGCUACCAGCCUCACAUGUUUUAACUCUGUCAGAGCACUUUGAAAAGGUGGUCUGUGGUAUCUGGAAAGAUGAUGUUGCGUGUGAAGAUUACAGACAAGCUUUAUCCAAGGAGAUCCAGCUCUUGAAGUUGGGAAAGUGGUGCCUCUUCGGUUUUCGAACAAGCAAUCCUGUCGGGGAUCUGGCUCUCGAGAUUCGGAGAACGAUGCCUCUUCAAUUUUUGAGAAAGCGAUCAUGCUGGGGGUCUGGCUCUCGAGAUUCGGAGAGCAGUGUCUCUUCGAUUUUUGAGAAAGUAAUCAUGUUGGGAGUCUGGCUCUCGAGAUUCGGAGGGCGGUGCCUCUUCGAUUUUGGAGCAAGCAAUCUUGUUAUGAGUGUUUUCUCGAAUGUGAGUAAAGGUUGGGCAUGUUUGCUAGUCUACCUUGCCACGAAGCACAGAGGUUGACACACAGGGACUUUCCAAUUAUCCAGCAGUGGUACUGUUCAUUUACCCUCUCUUCGAUUUUUGAGAAAGUAAUCAUGUUGGGAGUCUGGCUCUCGAGAUUCGGAGGGCGGUGCCUCUUCGAUUUUGGAGCAAGCAAUCUUGUUGGGAAUGUUUUCUCGAAUGUGAGUAAAGGUUGGGCAUGUUUGCUAGUCUACCUUGCCACGAAGCAUAAAGGUUGACACACAGGGACUUUCCAUUUAUCCAGCAGUGGUACUGUUCCUUUACCCUCUUUUCGAUUUUUGAGAAAGUAAUCAUGUUGGGAGUCUGGCUCUCGAGAUUCGGAGGGCGGUGCCUCUUCGAUUUUGGAGCAAGCAAUCCUGUUGGGAGUGUUUUCUUGAAUGUGAGUAAAGGUUGGCAUGUUUGCUAGUCUACCUUGCCACGAAGCACAGAGGUUGACACACCGGGACUUUCCAAUUAUCCAGCAGUGGUACUGUUCCUUUACCCUUGUGGGUAAUAAUAUGGUAGCUAGACCUUCAAAAUUUAUAUGUCUAAACUUUGUUAGUGUUGUUUCUUUGCAAUUCUUUUACCCUUCUUGGUCAGAGCGAUGUAGCGGGAGCUGCAAGCUUCACGUGUCUCAACUGUCAGAGAACUUUGGCAAAGUUAUCUGUGGUACCCAUGAGUUACUGUUGCGUAUGGGAAGUGGGUGAUUGAACAAUACGAUUCAUGUGCUUUCUACUUCGCCAGAAAUCUUCGACAGAAUGCCCAUAAUUUCCGCAAAGCUGAGUGUGCGUGUGACAGGUGCUGACAAGGCUGGAAAAGUAGGUGCCUCUUCGAUUUCUGAGAUCGGCCUUUGUGGUUUCUUAGCAGCCCAGCUUUUGAGAAAGCAAGCCUCUUCGAUUUCUGAUAUCGGCCUUCGUGGUCUUUGAGCAGCCCAGCUUUUGAGAAAGCAAACGCCUCUUCGAUUUCUGAGAUCGACCCUCGUGGUCUCUGAGCAGCCCAGCUUUUGAGAAAGUAAACGCCGCUUCGAUUUCUGAGCAGGCGCCUCUUCGAUUUCUGAAGCUUCGUCGAGUGCAGAUUUUUAUAGGGGCUGACAUUAAGUUCCAAAGCACACUUGAAUAUCCACCAGUAGAAGCUCCAUUCUUGUACUUCUAAGAUCUUGAUUUGUCCGACCUCUUCUCUCUUCAACACCUUUGAAAAUGUCUGGCCCCUCCGACCGUCGUUUUGACUUGAACCUUGUUGAAGAGGCAGCCCCGCCUUCUCCAGACAACAUAUGGCGCCCAUCAUUCGUCUCCCCUACUGGUCCUCUUACCGUUGGGGAUUCCGUGAUGAAGAAUGAUAUGACCGCUGCGGUAGUGGCCAGAAACCUUCUCACUCCCAAAGAUAACAGACUACUUUCCAAACGGUCUGAUGAGUUGGCUGUUAAGGAUUCUUUGGCUCUCAGUGUUCAGUGUGCAGGUUCUGUGUCUAAUAUGGCCCAACGCCUAUUUGCUCGAACCCGCCAAGUUGAAUCAUUGGCGGCUGAAGUGAUGAGUCUCAAACAGGAGAUUAGAGGGCUCAAGCAUGAGAAUAAACAGUUGCACCGGCUCGCACAUGACUAUGCUACAAACAUGAAGAGGAAGCUUGACCAGAUGAAGGAAUCUGAUGGUCAGGUUUUACUUGAUCAUCAGAGAUUUGUGGGUGGGUUUGUUCCAAAGGCAUUUAUUGCCUUCGUCUUCUGGGGCUGUACCGCGUAAUGAAGCUCCAAAUGAUCAACCUCUGAUGCCUCCUCCUUCUAGGGUUUUGUCCAGUACUGAGGCUCCGAAUGAUCCCCCUCUGGUGCCUUCUCUUUCUGGGGCUCUACCGACUACUGAGACUUCUCCUAAGCAACCUUUGUGAAGGCUCCCUCUUGUUUGUUUAUUUUGACUCAAGUAUAUGUACAUAUUUGUAACUUAUCGGGGAUAUCAAUAAAUAAGCUUUCCUUUAUUUCAACGUAUUGUGUUAAAUACACCAAAGCCUUCUUCGCUAAGUUCUUUGAAUUUUCUUUUGUUGAAGCUUGUAUGUUGAAGCUUUGUGAGUGAAGCAUGCAGGUUGAGGUAGUGUUCCCUUAAUUUCCCGAGUGAGGAAAACUUCUCGGUUGGAGACUUGGAAAAUCCAAGUCACUGAGUGGGAUCGGCUAUAUGAAUCUUAGAACGCCAUUGUGUUUUGUCCUGUGUCAUAUCCUCCGUUAGAUCCAAGUACUCUAAGUCUUUUCUUAGGGUAUCUUCCAAAGUUUUCCUAGGUCUUCCUCUACCCCUUCGGCCCUGAACCUCUGUCAUAUAGUCGCAUCUUCUAAUCGGAGCGUCAGUAGGCCUUCUUUGCACAUGUCCAAACCACCGUAACCGAUUUUCUCUCAUCUUUCCUUCAAUUUCGGCUACUCCUACUUUACACCGGAUAUCCUCAUUCCUAAUCUUAUCCUUUCUCGUGUGCCCACACAUCCAACGAAGCAUCCUUAUCUCCGCUACACCCAUUUUGUGUACGUGUUGAUGCUUCACCGCCCAACAUUCUGUGCCAUACAGCAUCGCCGGCCUUAUUGCCGUCCUAUAAAUUUUUCCCUUGAGCUUCAGUGGCAUACGGCGGUCACACAACACGCCGGAUGCACUCUUCCACUUCAUCCAUCCAGCUUGUAUUCUAUGGUUGAGAUCUCCAUCUAAUUCUCCGUUCUUUUGCAAGAUAGAUCCUAAGUAACGAAAACGGUCGCUCUUUGGUAUUUCUUGAUCUCCGAUCCUCACCCCUAACUCGUUUUGGCCUCCAUUUGCACUGAACUUGCACUCCAUAUAUUCUGUCUUUGAUCGGCUUAGGCGAAGACCUUUAGAUUCCAACACUUCUCUCCAAUGGUUAAGCUUUGCAUUUACCCCUUCCUGAGUUUCAUCUAUCAACACUAUAUCGUCUGCGAAAAGCAUACACCAAGGAAUAUCAUCUUGAAUAUGUCCUGUUAACUCAUCCAUUACCAACGUAAAAAGGUAAGGACUUAAGGAUGAGUCUUGAUGUAAUCCUACAGUUAUGGGAAAGCUUUCGGUUUGUCCUUCAUGAGUUCUUACGGCAGUAUUUGCUCCUUCAUACAUAUCCUGUAUAGCUUGGAUAUAUAUGCUACUCGUACUCCUUUCUCUCUCUAAAAUCCUCCAAAAGAUGUCUCUCUUGGGUCUCCCCCUAUCAUACGCUUUUUCCAAAUCUAUAAAGACCAUGUGUAAAUCUGUUUUCCCAUCUCUAUAUCUUUCCAUCAAUCUUCGUAAGAGAUAGAUUGCCUCCAUGGUUGAGCGCCCUGGCAUGAACCCGAAUUGGUUGUCCGAAACCCGUGUCUCUUGCCUCAAUCUAUGCUCAAUGACUCUCUCCCAAAGCUUCAUUGUAUGACUCAUUAGCUUAAUACCCCUAUAGUUCAUGCAAUUUUGUACAUCGCCCUUAUUCUUGUAGAUAGGCACCAAAGUGCUCAUUCGCCACUCAUUUGGCAUCUUCUUCAUUUUCAAAAUCCUAUUGAAAAGGUCAAUGAGCCAUGUUAUACCUGUCUCUCCCAAAACUUUCCACACUUCGAUUGGUAUAUCGUCUAGGCCUACUGUUUUUCUAUGCUUCAUCUUCUUCAAAGCUACAACCACUUCUUCCUUCCGGAUUCUACGAUAAAAAGAGUAGUUUCGACAUUCUUCUGAGUUACUCAACUCCCCUAAAGAAGCACUCAUUUCAUGUCCUUCAUUGAAAAGAUUAUGAAAAUAACCUUUCCAUCUGUCUUUAACCGCGUUCUCUGUAGCAAGAACAUUUCCAUCCUCAUCCUUGAUGCACCUCACUUGGUUUAGGUCCCUUGUCUUCUUUUCCCUUGCUCUAGCUAGUUUAUAGAUAUCCAACUCUCCUUCUUUGGUAUCUAGUCGCUUAUACAUAUCGUCAUAAGCCGCUAACUUAGCUUCUCUCACAGCUUUCUUCGCCUCUUGCUUCAUUUUUCUAUACCUUUCACCAUUUUCAUCGGUCUUAUCCUUGUAUAAGGCUUUACAACAUUCCUUCUUAGCCUUCACCUUUGUUUGUACCUCCUCAUUCCACCACCAAGAUUCCUUUUGGUGUGGGGCAAAGCCCUUGGACUCUCCUAAUACCUCUUUUGCUACUUUUCGGAUACAACUAGCCAUGGAAUCCCACAUUUGGUUAGCUUCCCCCUCUCUAUCCCACACACACUGGGUGAUUACUUUCUCUUUGAAAAUGGCUUGUUUUUCUUCUUUUAGAUUCCACCAUCUAGUCCUUGGGCACUUCCAAGUCUUGUUCUUUUUUCUCACUCUUUUAAUAUGUACAUCCAUCACCAACAAGCGAUGUUGAUUAGCCACUCUCUCUCCUGGUAUAACUUUGCAAUCCUUACAAGUUAUACGAUCCCCUUUCCUCAUUAGAAGAAAAUCUAUUUGUGUUUUUGACGACCCACUCUUGUAGGUGAUCACAUGUUCUUCUCCCUUCUUAAAGAAGGUGUUGGCUAAGAAGAGAUCAUAUGCCAUUGCAAAAUCCAAGAUAGCUUCCCCAUCCUCGUUUCUCUCCCCAAAACCAUGGCCACCAUGAAAACCUCCAUAGUUGCCUGUCUCCCUGCCCACGUGUCCAUUUAAAUCUCCUCCUAUAAAUAACUUCUCCGUCUGAGCAAUUCCUUGCACCAAGUCUCCAAGGUCUUCCCAAAAUUUCUCCUUCAAACUCGUAUCCAACCCUACUUGAGGUGCGUACGCACUAAUCACAUUGAUAAGUUCUUGUCCUAUUACAAUCUUGAUUGCCAUGAUUCUAUCUCCUACCCUCUUGACAUCUACAACAUCUUGUGUCAAGGUCUUGUCCACGAUGAUGCCAACACCGUUUCUCGUUCUAUUUGUGCCCGAAUACCAUAGUUUAAACCCUGAGUUUUCUAGAUCCUUUGCCUUACGUCCAACCCACUUAGUUUCUUGUAGGCACAUAAUAUUUAUCCUUCUCCUCACCAUAACUUCUACUACUUCCAUAGAUUUUCCCGUCAAGGUUCCUAUAUUCCACGUUCCUAAACGCAUUUUGCUCUCUUGAACUCUACCCUUCUGUCCUAGCUUCUUCACCCUUCCCCGUCUAAUAGGAUCAAAGUACUUCUUUUGUGUGUACCGUGUAAAGUUGAUAGGAGCAUAUGAGCCUAAACAACUUUGAGUGGAGUCGUUCGAAAAGAAGUUUCUAUAGCCCCCUUGCUCAUUUAACACUGCAUCCGGGUGCCGAUGGAGAUACAGCGACCCUUGCUCACUUAUCACUGUGCUCAGGCCACACAGCGCGCCACUUACGGGUGACGCCCUAGCUUUAGCGCGAUUUCGUUCUGGAUUCAUUUUCAUAAGGAUUCGACGUGAUCAUGGAGUGCCGGCUGUCGACUACCUGACGCCCUCCCCCUCAUCCUUUAUCCGGGCUUGGGACCGGCAAUGUAAGAUAAACUUACACGGCGGAGUUAAAGAAAAACGAAUGAGGAAAUUAUAGGAGAUUGUGUCGGCUUUGGCCAUGAAGGGUAUCAGCAGCUUUUUCCUCCCAUACAGGUGAUUAAUUGUUUUUCAGUCUGUGUUCAGUUUUAUUUAUUGGAUUUGGUUAGCAGCCAGUUUUAUGUAUUGGAUUUUUUAUUUGGAUUUAUAGCACUAAGGGUAUAGGUGAACGGUGAAGCGGUUUGUAUGGGCUCAUGUGUGUUUUAGAUAAUCUCAAGGACUAUGUAGAUACUAUGAUUUGGGGUUGCUUUUUUAAACCAUGAUAAAGCAUUCCAAGUAAUUUUAACAUAGAUAUCAUUUUUUAUGUAAGCAUGAGUAUAUGAAAUGUUAAGACGAUAAUAUAUCAUGUGAUUUAAAAUUCAAAGAGAGACAAUGAACCGUGUUUGAUAUUUUGUUUGUCUUGGUUCGUUUAAAUUUGGGCCUUUUUCAGUUGGAUUCAUGGGUUUUGUUUAAGAUAUCAUUUUUGGUUUAUGAAUGGUUUUAAACAUCCACAACAUCGCGCAGGCACACUUUCACUAGUAUUUUACUAAACUAGUGCACUUGAAUGUCCGUAGCUAAAUAUAUUAUAAUGAAUUAGUGGAACAUAAGAAAAUAUGGAAAAACGUAAGUGUACCAAAAAGUCCGUACCUAAACAUGGUAUACUAAAUUAGUGUAACAUUAUGUCUGUACCUAAAUAUAUUAUACUAAACUAGUAUACCGAAAUAUUCAUACCUAAACAUAUUAUAUUAAACUAGUGUACUGAGAUGUCUGUACCUAAAUACAUUGUAAUAAAUUAAUGGCACAUAAGAAAAUAUGCAAAACAUAGGUGUGCCGAAAAGCCUCUACCAAAAUAUUUUCUUAUAUAAGAUACUUACAAUAAAUUGGUGAUGCAAAAUGUCAACAAAUAAAAGCUAAUUCAUUUGAAUUCAAAUGAGUAUUAAAAUUUAAUUCAUAUCAGCAUAAAAUUAUAAAUAGGAAAAAAAAAUAAAGACAUUGAAUGCAUAUGCUGCCAUUAAAUAGAGUCUAGGAACUAAAAUAAAUUUUUAAUCUUGUGUGAGACAUUUUUCUAAAUUUUAUUUUAUUUAAGGAUUAAAAUCUAGUUUUCUAUUACUUAUAUUUCUGACUACAUAUGGUUAUUAGUUACUUUAGUCGAGAGUUGACGCACCUGGAAUGGUACGUGGAAAACAUGUUAGCACUUGAUUCCCAGUCAAAGCCACACACGAGAGCAUUGUGUAUGUCUUUAUAAGUAAUAAAAACUAAUAACCUGAAAUGCUCUCGUAUUUCUAAAGGCCCGACUCCAAGUUCAAAGCCAUACACGAGAGCAUUGUGUAUGUCUUUAUAAGAGACGUUGCUGUAGUCCUUGACGGAGUAGUCAAAGUGACCCAAAUUCAUCCAAGCCUUCCCCUCUGCACUGCAACCCUCAUCCAAAUCCCAUCCUAUCAUGGCCCCGACCUUGACGUAGCUAUACGUUUUUGGUUGGCUCGAAGAACUUGUAUUAUUCAAGCAUGGAGCAGUGUCCACGUACAGAGAAGAAUUCAACGGAUUCAAACAUUUCAAGUAAUAUAUAGAUGUUGAAUACAGUGAUGAAUAUCGUACGUAUGGAUGAGUAAUGAGCGGAAAAUUUCGAGGCCUGGAAGAGCAAUUGGUGUUCACAAGGCCAGGAUCUAGAAGUCGGAUUGUUGUGUCAGUGUAGUUGAUUGCCUGGACGUAGUAUUUUCCGGAAGGUAGGUAUAGUACUGUAAUGUUGCUCUCACAGGACAGGGUAUACCUUACGUCGCCACAAUAUUUUGGAUCAUGGUUCAGUCGAAAAGGAUAGCUUAUGUUGUGGAUAUGGCAGCAGGAUGAAGUACAGGACUUGGCACUAGUGUCGACCUUAGCGUUACAAGUUUCACUGCAGAAGCCAAGAAGAAGAAAGGCUAAACUUAAGGUGAAGGACCUGCUUCCACUAAUUUCCAUUGGGGAGAGAGAGAGAGAGAGAGAGAGAGAGAGAGGUGUACUAGUCCACACCAAGUAGUUAUAUAAUAUAGGAGGGGUCAAGCACCUUCCGUGAAAUUGCUGUUGAAAUAUCCUAGAGAAAAAUCGUCGUCAAUGGUGUCCUAGAGAAAAGUCGGGCGAUGGUGUUUGACAGUCAGUCAACGGCAAAGAUAUUUCUCUUUCAUUAAGGAAGGAUACUGCGUAAUUACUACGCAUAUAUCUCUGCUUAAUCACACAAAACAAAAAUUUCCAGCUAUAGUAUCAUUUGUGAUUCAUUUAUUAAUAAGAUAUUAUACAGGGAACUGUUAUUAGUACUCUAAAAAUCUCAUUCUACACAAGUUUAUUUUUCUUUUUAAUUAUAGAAAGUUUGGAGUGCAAAAUGAGAUUUUUGGAGUGCCAAUAACAAUUUCCUAUUAUAUAUAGCUCUACUUGGAAGGUGACUAUAUGUCUUCAUCGUGUUAAAUUGUAUAUGGCUCUUGAUGUCGGCUGAAUUGAAUCUAAAUGAAAACCAAGCUGUUGAUCUUACCAGCCCAUAUCACUUAUCUCUUGCUUAUUUAAAUUAUGUGAAGAUGCGUAUGUUGAUUGGUGAUUUUGUUGGAUUCACUCAGUUCAAAUAUAUGUUAUCUGAAUCGUUACAUUUGAGAAUGUGAUUAUGUUCCUACCACCAUUUUGCCUACUUUCUGUGGAAAUUAUUCAUGCCUAUUGUGAAUAAUACAUUCACCUCCUGCAGCGAAGCGCGAGCACAUUUUCUAAUUUAAGUUGAAUCGCAAUGGGUCAUCAAAAAUUACGAACUCGUCAUUUAUACAAGUCAAACAUGAGACCACCUACCUACUAGUUUAGUGGAAUACCACAAGUGACAUGUUGAUACCUUUAAAUCUCAUUUUCCAUAUAAUGGAUUGCAAAAUUAGGAUAUACCUAAACUAAUUUAGUCAGUGCCCGAACAAUUAAGCAGGGCUUUAUUCUUGCUUGAAUGUUUGUUAUAUGUUAAUAGUUUGACAAGGCAAUUAUAUUUCCGACUACAAAAGUUAUUAAUUUGGUCGAGAUUUGACGCACCUGAAAUGGUGUGAGGAAAACAUGUAGACACAUAAUCCGCAGUCCACUGUCCUGGGCAUCUAUCUUCAGGAGGUAUGAAUCCAAGCUCAAAGCCAUACACGAGAGCAUUGUGUAUGUCUUUAUAAGAGACGUUGCUGUAGCUGUAGCUAAAGCCAACGGAGUCGUAAAAGGAAUCCAAGGGCAUCCACUCUACACUGCAACCCUCAUCCAAAUCCCAUCCUAUCAUGGCCCCGACCUUGACGUAGCUAUACGUUUUUGGUUGGCUCGAAGAAGAACUUGUAUUAUUCAAGCAUGGAGCAGCAGUGUCCACGUACAGAGAAGAAUUCAAUGGAUUCAAACAUUUCAAGUAAUAUACAGAUGCAGAUCUUGGAUACCGUGAAUAUCGUACAUAUGGAUGAGUAAUGAGCGGAAAAUUUCGAGGCCUGGAAGAGCAAUUGGUGUUCACAAGGCCAGGAUCUAGAAGUCGGAUUGUUGUGUCAGUGUAGUUAAUUGCCUGAACGUAGUAUUUUCCGGAAGAAGGUAGGUCUAAUACUGUAAUGUUGCUCUCACAGGACAGUGUAUACAUUACAUUGCCGCAGUGCUUCGGAUCAUGGUUCAGUCGAAAAGGAUAGCUUAUGUUGUGGAUAUGGCCGCAGGAUGAAGUACAGGACUUGGCACUAGUGUCGACCUUAGCGUUACAAGUUUCACUGCAGAAGCCAAGAAGAAGAAAGGCUAAACUUAAGGUGAAGGACCUGCUUCCACUAAUUUCCAUUGCAGAGAGAGAGAGAGAGAGAGAGAGAGAGAGAGGUGUACUGGUACUCACCAAGUAGUUGUAUAAUAUAGGAGGGGUCAAGCACUUUCCGUGAAAUUGCAGUUGAAAUAUCCUAGAGAAAAAUCGUCGUCAAUGGUGUCCUAGAGAAAAGUCGGGCGAUGGUGUUUAACACAGUCAGUCAACGGCAAAGUUAUCUCUUUCAUUAAGGGAGGACACUGCGUAAUUACUACGCAUAUAUCUCUGCUUAAUCACACAAAACAAAAAUUUCCAUUUUUUCCCUAAAAAUUAAUUUUCUUUCACCUCCAACCCAUCAUGUAUAUUCUAUAAGAUAAGAAUAAUCCAUUGACUAGCUCCAAUUAAGCAAGUUUCAUAACUUGCUUGAUGACUCUGAUCAUGUGUAAUUUUGGGGAAUUGGAUGCUAUUUUAUCCCUACUUUGUUAGGCUUUUGUAAAUGGUUCUUUCACAUUUUUCAAAUGGUUUACAAUCUCUCUCAUUUUCUCUAUUUAUUUUUAAUCUUGUUUGUAUUUUCAAUCUUUCGUUCUUCCAAUUGCUGGAGCUCUACCAGAUUGGCUUUUCAUUGUUCUGAGUCUAUAUUAGACCCUUUUUCAGGUUUUGAUUUGUUAUGUCUCAUUUUUUUUAUUUACUCGGUUAAUUUGCUUCAAUUCUUUCAAUUCUUUCUUGUUAUUUUGAUGAUUUAUAUUAGUAUUAUAUAAAAUAGGAAGAACUUAUACAUUAAUCCGUUUAUCAAAUAUAUGAAAAAAUAAUUUACCCAACGAAUGUGUUAUGUCGUGUGUAAGAAUGUUUUUCCUUUUGUGUUUUAAUUCUGCACUUAUUUUUAUUUUUUCCACAUAAAUAUAACGAGCCUACAUUAUUUUUUCUAUGAAUUAUUUACCUACUUUAAUUAUUUUAUAUACCUACGUUAUUUAUUCUUGAAUCUUUUCACACAUGGCCAAACUUCUCUUGGAAGUUUAAUUAGAUGAAACAAUAUGAAUCUUGAACAAACCAAAGCAAAGCAAAACGUACUCAACACUUACAGGAAAUCAGUCCAAGAAUGAAAACUUUCUUAUCACUUUCUAUCCAAAAUUUUGGAAUUAUGUGUGUUGCAACGGUUGUCCGAAGGAUUAUUCUUCUUUUAUUAAAUUUCUAAGGAAAAUUAGCAUAUGGGGCGUAAAUGUUGAAUGGAUGAAUUUUCAUUGACUUGGAAAGGGAUUGUGACUUUAACACGCUAUUUUUCUUCAUCUUAUGCACUCAUGUUUAUCAAAAGACAAAUAAAUAUGACUUUACAUAAGGAGAGAGAAAGAGUAUUUUCCUUUGUAAAAAUCAACUAUUCAUUUUCGAAGUGGUAGUCAUUGACACGAUACUUGAUUAGAAGAAAAGUCAUAGUAAUUUGUUUUUAUGGGAACGAGAGUGCAAGUUCUUAAUUGGAAUAUGAGAUGAAGUUUCUACAUAACUAUCUGUGGCAAAGAAAGAAGUCUAAGUUUCUAAGUGGUAAGGGCUCCAAUUGAUGCGCGUUUGUUGAGAAAUGAAGAUGAAGAUGAAUAUUGAUAUUGAUGUGAGUUAGUGAACAAGUUGCUUCGAUCUCCUUUGGCCCUCUAAGAUGAUUAUUGAUUGGUGGACUAAGACGUACCAUACAAUUUUUUAUAACCAGCGAAGAUGAACAGUGUCGUGACAAAAUUUAUCCAAGUAGACCCAAGGGCAAGACUUAGGAACUUCAUAUACAGUGGGAUAAAAUGUUGGGCUAAUUUCCUAUUUUAUCUUAUAGUCAUUAAGUAAAAUGUAUUGCACAUUUCUGGAUGCAUACACAUUAAUGUACAUAAUAUUAGUUGAAUAUCAGAGUACGCAACUUUUACAAACAAAUUAACUGAAUAUAAAACGUUUAUAAAAUUUUAUUAAACGGAAUUGCCAAGAAGGCUACAUGAAUCCAAGAGACCACAUCUUGAUUGACUUGUUAUCUCUCAAUAACAAAGCUCUCUAUUUAUAAUAAACUAACCCUAGUCCCUAAUAAGCAAGGAAAUGAAAACCUAAUUUUAAUGGGCUAAGCCCAAAUCCAAACACUAAAUAAAUAACUAUUUUCCAACACCCCCGUCAAACUUGUGGCGGUACACGUCAUGAGUUUGCCAACAAGCAGAUGUGGAUGCAAGCUCCGUUAGGCGGACACGACAAGACAAGCUUCGUUAGGCGGACACGACAAGACAAGCUCUGUUAGGCAGACACGACAAGACAAGCUCUGUUAGGCGGACACGACAAGACAAGUCUCUAUCCCUCGCACAUCAAUCAAAAGACUCCUUUUUGGUGUGAAAACUGAAAACUUUUAUUCAUUUUAUUUCUUUCAUUUUUCUCAUCGGCUUCAUCUUCUUUCCUUUCCACUUCUUCUUUCUUUUUCUUUCCGUUUUCCUUCUGUACAUUCUCCCUUUUUUCUUGUUUCCUCUUCUUCUGUUUUGCGUUGUAAGUUCCUCUUCUUCGAUGGAUUUCAGAGAGAGGGAGUCACAACAGCUAAGAAGGUGGUGGUGCAUAGAGAGAGGGAGUCAAAGCGGUGGAAUUUCUUCUCAGGAAACCUCCACUCCGCCUACACCACCACCUAGACAGUCGCCUAGAUCGUCGCCUAGACCGCCCAAGCUGCCUAAGAGCGCCUAGGCGAGCGCCUAACAGCUCCAUGAUUUUUCUUAACGAUUCAGACCUAAUCGCAUCGGCACCACCACGCCCAGCUCCUAGGUUGCCGCUUAGGUCAUUUUUUAGAACACUGGUAAUACUCGUGUGGUGCAAUUCUAAUCUCUUAUAUAUAACUUUUUUGUGAUCCAUUUCUCCAUCACCAUGCCUAAAUCCCUUUAGAAUUUGCAAUUUCCUCACCCCAACAAACCCCAACAUUCUGUUGGAUAUGGUAAAAAAAAAAAACUCAGAAUUUCAUUUAAACUUGAAAAUUUAGGGAUGGGAAAGCAAUUUUCUCUUGUUUGGCAACUUGUAGCGAGAGAACAGGAAAAUUCCACAGGAAAAAAGUGGAAAUUGGGGAUGAAGAUUCUUGAGUUUAAUUUUGUCUAAAUAAGUGUAAUUUCACAAUUCCAACUACGACAAGAUUCACAAAUUCAUAUAUGGGGAAGUUUUGCGAGCACCAAACUUUACUAUUAGGGCACCAAAUUUCAUGAUAAAACCUGAUAAGGGUUUAGGGCUGCAUCGUUCACUCUGUUAAGUCUCCAAUCUUCGACGAGAUUUUUAGCUCGUGCAUCAUCUUCUCACUUUGUUGUAGGGUUACAUCUCUUCGUUCUUGAAUUAUUUUUAGCUUUUCGGGUAUACUUUUUCUGCUCAUUGUGAAUUUUGAAAUGGGGCAGGAAGAACAUACAAAAAAAAGAUAAGAGCUGGAGCCCAUCCCAGACAUAAUACGACAGUGUUGGAACCCCAGUGUUGUCCCACAUCGGCUAGAGGGCUCAAGUGAAAGUGCUUUAAAUAGAAAUACCCCUCUCUAACUAACAUCGAGGCCUUUUGUGAUAAAACCCCACACCUGAGGAUUGUGCAGGUGGUUAAGUGGGGACAGUAUCGAUGUUGUUGGAGUGGGCCCUCGGCCCGUCGACCUGAAAAUUUCCACAUGGUAUCAGAGCCAGGAGGCGGGCCCGUACUGCCACGUGAUUGGGUGGGUCCCCUUUGGCCCCGCGCGAUGUCCACGUAGGCCAAAGAUGCCACGUGUUUGGGUGGGUCCCCAAUGGCCCCGCAUGAUGGGUGAGUCCCCAAUGGCUCCACGUGGUUGUCGAUGUGGAUUUUCACGUGUGACCCAUAAAUGGGGUCUCACGUGCGGGGGAGUGUUGGAACCCCAGUGUUGUCCCACAUCGGCUAGAGGGCUCAAGUGAAAGUGCUUUAAAUAGAAAUACCCCUCUCUAACUAACAUCGAGGCCUUUUGUGAUAAAACCCCACACCUGAGGAUUGUGCAGGUGGUUAAGUGGGGACAGUAUCGAUGUUGUUGGAGUGGGCCCUCGGCCCGUCGACCUGAAAAUUUCCACAGACAGUUUUCCAUCCUUAAUCCGAUCAAUGCACUAAGACAAGUGGAGAGCAAAAGAGUUUCCAUGGGUUUAGUACCUAGUACCAAAAUAAGGUGGUACUUCGGCUAUUGCGAUGGGAAUCUUUAUGAACACUAAAUUUGGAAUGUAAUGUUUUUUCGAAUCAACACCAGGGGGCUUCGAGCUAUGUGUUCUGCCCUAUUAUUCAUUACUUCAAAGUUAACGUACUUUGGAAAGAUUGUUGGAUUAAAUCAUAUUCUAAAAUGUUAAAGCAAAGGAUGGAAUGUCCCAAGCACUUAGUCACUUGGGUAAGAGCUAUUUAGACACAGGCAUAAAUGAUCCAAAAGACCAUGCAUUCACAAGUAAAUUGCACCAAAAUAAGAUAUCCCCAAGUACCAUCACUAGGGAAAAGAUGUUGAAGUUAUGGAAAGGACAAGCCCUCAUCCUAGCAAACAACAAAUUAAUGCAAAACAUUGUCAACAACCCUAUUUGGCAACAACUUCCCUUUUGGAAGAAGUUGAAGGAUCUACGAAAAUACUGGCUGAUGGAUCACCAUUGGAAGUAGAUCCUCUUCUUCGGAUGCCUCAAAGUCAGAAAUUUUGCUCAGUAAGUCUUUAAGAGCAGCGAAAUCGGCAUCCCAUAUUUUUUUCAGAAUCUGGUAGGUGUCUCAACCUCCAAAAUGAUCUUACUGCGCGUAGCCAAAUAUAUACCCAAAGUUGUACCCCUCUGCAUAUUUUUCUUCGGACGCCUUCUUGUGAGAUGCACGCACGCCCAUUAUUUCUGACUCAUGCUCAUCCUUGAGUUGUUUAAGAUUUGCAAAGCGAACUUUGUCUUUCUAUUCGAUCUAACGGCGAAGUCUUUCCACCUCUAACGGCGAACAUUGUGAGAUGCACGCACGCCCAUUGUAAGCAUUCCGCUUCGAAGACAACGUUCGAUUGAUUAAGCUUCAAGACGCAACAAAGUUUGUUCCACCUCAACUUUGGCUUUGCAUUCUAGCUCCAACUUUUCCUGCAGUUCAGCAAGAGUUGCCUUGUAUUCAUUUGCUUUAAUAUAUUCAAGAGUGGCUUCAUUUAUGCAUUUCUUUACCUCUACAUUAUGGGCUACUCUCAUAAUUUGUUGCUCUACCUAUACCCUCUUGAGCUUCGCCAAUUGAGCUUGCACUUGUUGCUUGAGCUGUAUUUGGCCUCUGAUUCAUGCAAGGAAAACCGCUUAAGAUGACAAAUUCACUUCGCUUGGCCAAAAAGAGUCGCCUCUGUCCAGACAUGAGUCUGACCAAUGCAAGUAAAGGAAAGGAAAAACAAAAUUACCAAAGUUAUUUUGUAAGAAAAGAAUGAAGGAUUACCUCAUAUCGACUUUCGUGACAUCGCAUCAUGGCGUCUUCAAAGGACGUGCGAGCUUCCUAGUAGUCCGCAUGGGUAAUUGCAGCGCUAAGAAAAGCUCGGGUAAAAUUUAUGUUUCGAGUCUUAACGACAAGCAAGGGCAGCGCGCCCCCUUCAAUUCUGGUUAAAGUCGCCAGCAAGGGAAUGUUAGGUUCGAGAGGCACCUCGACAGGUUCAGGUAAACUCCUUGUCACUAGAGGAAUCAGAACUGGGAUAUAAAGGGGUUUAAGGACUCGAACAUCAUUCGGAAGUGGUGGCAAAGCUGUCUGCUAUUGCGCAGGUAGAGAUUCAAGCUUGGAUUCAUGUGGUUGUUGUUGCGUCAGUUCUUAAAAUGGAAGGAAAAGAGGUUGAGAUUCUCUUAUGAGAUGAUGCGGAGCAGGAGUAUCUGGAGUUGUAUUUAUCGAAACAACCAGACGUCUUUUUCUCCUCAUAGUGGAAUUUCUUCCUCCUCUUUGGGAUUCUUGGGUACCACCUCUAUUAUUGGUAGACUUAUUUGAAAAGGUGUAGCUAACGACGUUGAGGAAGUUUUACCAGACCGUUUUAGCUUUUUUUUGCUGGAGUGGGAUAAAUUUUGGGUUUGAGAUGAUGGACCCCCUAAUAAACCUAUUUCACUUUGAUCCAAUUAGGAUCCAGAAUGGGGAACUUAGAACAAUGAUUGAUGAUUGUAUUAUUCCCCCAAUCCAAAAAUCGAACUGAGGAAGUCAGCCAGUUCCAAUUACGGUGCUUAGUAAGGAUUUGCGUUGCCUGAGUGAUCAACUCUGGUCAACACGUGCCAAUAUUCUUCAGGUCAUUGUUCAGACAAAGGUUGCAAUAAGUGAUGUGAUAGCAGCAUAUUUAUGCGACUUAGUUAGCUUGUUUUUCUUGCAUUUAUGUUGUGAGUUCUUACUUAUUAUAGUGUUUUAAGCUAUUUUCGUGUGUUUGUAGGUCCAAUUGACAAAGUUGGCAAGAAAAUGCAAUUUGGAGCAUUUUGGAGCAGUUUUGGGCAUCAAAUGGAUAGCUUAUGAAUGGAGUAAGAUGGAUGGACGAAUUUGAAGUUCAAGAGGCUAGGAAUGUGUUGAAAAGAUGAAGAAAAUAAAUUCAAGAGAAAGAAGAUAAGGAAUUAGCUCAAAAGAAGGAACAUUAUCCAAAACCUUAUCCAACCUUAUCUUAUCCAAACAAACCUUAUCUUAUCUUAUCCUUGCCUAAUCUAGCUUUAUCCUAUCUUAUCUAAAUCAGUUUGUGCCUUAAAUCCAGCUGCAAGAGGACCUAAAUAUCUGAUUUCUAGAAGGCCUAUCAUUUCCUUACACUUAUGCCGCACCUUUAUCCUUCUAGAACCCCUAAAUUUGUGCCGCAUCUCAGCCCUAUAAAUAUACAUCUUUGAUGCACAAAUAAAUGACCCACGCACCCACAUAUAUUCAGAUACAAUUGAGAGAUUUCAGAGAAUUCAAAAGGUGUACCUGCGUGGAGGAAGGAGAAGGAGAAGCUUGUGUCGUGGCUUGCAAUCCAAGGGGGAGUUUGAAAUCUGCCAUUGGAGUUGCUAGGGCGUUCUUGGUUCUUUCUAUCCUUAGAUUUGUUUCAAUGUUGCUUUUAAUUUGGUUUUAUGUUUUCAAAGACAUGAGGAACUAAUCUCUUUUUAGUUGGAGGUGAAUUUGAAGCCAUGAUUAUAUGUUUUGAUAUGAAUUGAUUACAUCCAGUUAUUGUUUCUUGAGUCUUGAAUGUGAUUUGCUUAUCUGAGUUAUCAAAACUUGUUUAUGUAUGUUGAUUGAGGGUCGACACUUAAUUUGCAUGCAUGAAUUUGAUGCUAGAGUAUAAGGGAGUUUCACCUAAUCAUUAUGAACUUAUAUUCACAAGUAGUAAAGGUUGCUAGUCACAAUCGUGUUAAGUAAAUCCUUGGCAGGAGUAUCAUGCUUUUCAUAGUUACGAAUGCCUCGUCAAUGCUUAUGAUUUUCAAAGAACUUAAUGACCUUUGAUAUGUUUUCUAUCAUGCUUUUCAUAGUUAGGGAACUUGAGAAGGAUAAUUUGGUUGUGAUGUGUAUCCCGUCCAAUUCAAUGAAAUAAGGGAAAUCUGAUGGUUAAUUUGUGCUGUCACGGUUAACUUGGGGUGUUGUCAUUCAUGGUUUAAGGGAACAAUACUGGAAAUUGGUUUAUAUGCAUAUGUCAUGUGUGGAGAAAGAUCCUCUGGCUAAGUUUUCAUCAUUCAAAUCACCUAAUUUACUUUGUUUUGCAAUCUGUUUUGUUUAGUUAAUUUUCGUCCAAAUCAAUCCCCCUUCUAAUUAAGUGUCUUAGAUUAGUUAAAAAAGUGUUUCAAUCUGUCCAACUUAGUGUUUUAAGUCCCACUAGUGUUAAAUUCGUCCAAAUAGUUCUUAGAACCUGUUUUGAGUCUUUUUAACUUAGUUUUGCUGUUUUGAGUGUUUUAUGUCAAUUUUGAGUUUGUAGUGUUUAGUUGUGUGUUUUUUAGUCUAUUUGAGUGUUUCUAAGUCUAAUUUGGUAUUUCUGAGUCAUAUUUGUGUAGAUUAACAUCCCUAGUUAAUCCCCGGUUUAGAACGAUCCUUACUUACAUCUUUACUACAAUUAUCAUUCAUAGGGUUUAAUUUGUGUGUCAAGUUAAUUUUCACAUCAAAUUUGGCGCCGUUGCUGGGGAUUAGCAAACUUGCUAAUCUCUUUUGUUUGAGUAGUGUGUCUUUAUUGUUAUGGCAGAUGAGUCUACAAAAUUUGUGAAAACAUUAGAUAUAAAGAAAUGUGAGAAAUAAGAACCAAAUAACAGUGAAAUGAAUGAUAUAAGACUCAUCUGUCAGAACAACAAGGCAUUCGAUUUUCAAAAGUACACUCAACGAUCACUGGAGGAUGAUCUUAGAGUUGUAGUUGGAAUCAUCUUCCAGUGAUUUGAUAUAAAAACAGAUUUGAUGGGAUUUAGAAGCAAAUGUUGGGUUUGAAGAGAUUUAGGUAAUGGUUGGGGACGGGGAGUGAGUUGAUGGGAUUCAGUAGCAAAUGUUGGAUUGUAGAAUCUAAAAACAGAUUUGAGAGGCUAAAAUGUAAUUCGGAUAUUAGUACUACGGUCUAAUAACGUAUUUGUAAGUGAAAAAUUUUAGGUUUGUAUUUCAAGAAUAAGGAGUUCAUAACCAAUUUAUUCCAUAUAUCAUUGUGCAUAUAAAAUAAUGUAAUUCGAAAAUUAAUUUAGUGACGAUGCUACAAUUAAUUAUAUCAUCAAUUUUGGAAUCCCAUUCUUGGCUUAUGUCAAAAUCCAAACAAAUUUAAACCCUCAUUUUUUUCAGAUUUUGGAAAGAAUGGCAUCAUUGAAUUCAAUAUCGUGAUAUGGGAGACUGAGUAAGCUAAAUUUGGAGUAUUUUAAUGUCACAGUAUAAAUAUGGCACCAACAAUAGACGUAAGCCAAAGUCAUAGGUUUAAUGCAGACAAUAGUAAAUACUGAAUACUGAAUAUUGGAUACUGAAUGGAGGGCGGCUUUAACGCUUUCAGUGUACCAAAUUUUGAUACUAAUUGACUUGAUCUCUUCACAUGGUACAUAGGUAGUCUAGCUCGAAUGUUAUGCAGCCAUAAAAUUAAAUAAAUUAAUAUUGUAUCAUGUCCCGGAGUUCAGCACGUGACAUUAUUGUGAGGUCUAGGUACAGUCCUUAGAGUGAUAAAAACAAGGCUCCUCCAGGGAGGGCUAGUCGGAGGUGUGAAUGGACAUUUACUUCACACUCAUAGGAAAUCAGUCCAAGAAGUGGACAUGGAUGCUGGGUACUCAACACUCAUAGGAAAUCAGUCCAAGAACGAAAGCUUUCUUUUUAGUUGCUAUCCAAAAUUUUGGAAUUAUGUGUGUUGUCCAAAUGAUUAUUCUUCUUUUAUUAAAUUUCUCAGGAAAAUGAGCAUGAGGCGUAAAAGUUGAACGAAUGAAAUUUCAAUGAUCUGGAAAGGGAUUGUGAGUUUGCCACACCAUUUUUCUUUCUUUUAUGCCUUCAUGUUUAUUAGAAGAUAAAAAUAAAGAAGGAAAACUAAUGAAAAGUCCAAUUUUUUUUUAGUUUUAAUGAAAAAUGACAAAUAAAUGUGUAGUGAAUAGUACCAGAGAAAGGUAAAAAUGUGGCUUUUCGUUAGAAGUGAACAGUCCUGGGAGUGUUUCGUUAAAACUUCCAAAUAAAUAUGACUUUAUUUGGAGAAAAAAAAGUAUUUCCUUUGAAAAAAAAUCAACUAUUUAUUUAAGAGGAUGUGAAUGAUUGAUGGUGAAUACAAAGAACCACCUUAGAGGGAGACGAGACAUUUAUUAGAAGCCAAAAAAAAAGUUACAAUGAUUUAGUAAAAAAACAAGAAAACCUCAUUUUCUAAGUGGCAGUCAUUGACACGCUAUUUGACUAGAAGAAAAGUCAUAGUAUUGUAUUUACUUUCAAGCCUCUAGGGGGAACGAGAGUGCAAGUUUCCAAAUGGAAUAUGGGAUGAAAUUUCUACAUAACUCUAUCUGACAAAGAAAGAAGUCUAAGUUUCUAAGUGGUAGGGCUUCCAAUUGAUGUGAGUUUAUUGAGAAAUGAAGAUGAACAUGAAUAUUGAUAUUGAUGUGAGUUAGUGAACAAGUUGCUUCGAUCUCCUUUGGCCCUCUAAUAAGAUAAUACCGGAAAACAAGUUGUUACUAAUACAUGUAUCGGAUUGGUAGACUAAGACGUACGGUACAAUUUUUUAUAACUAGAGAAGAUGAACACUGUCACUGUCGUGACAAAAUUUAUCCAAAUAGAUCCAAAGACUUGGGAAGCUUCAUAUGCAGAUCUAAAGCUAAUUUCCUUUUUAAUCUUAUAGUCAUUACGUAAAAUGUAUAUGCAUAUUUCUAGAUGGAUACACACCAAUCUUGAAAUAGGGGAUGAAGAUUCCCGAUUUUAAUUUCGUCUAAAUAGGUGUAAUUUCACAAUUCCAACUAUAACGAGAAUCACAAAUUUAUAAGCGGAAAAAUCUUGCCAGCGUCAAACUUUCUUGAAUAAGGGUUUAGGGCGCCAAAUUUCAUGAUAAAACCUGAUAAGGGUCUAGGGCUGCAUCUUUCACUCGAUUAACUCUCCCAUCUUCGAAGGGAUUUUCGGCUCUUGCAUCAUCUCUUGCUUUUGUUCUAGGUCAACGCCUCUACUCUCUUCUUUCUUGAAUUAUAUUUUUAACUUUUCGGGUAUACUCUUUAUGCCAAUUGUGAAUUUUGCUAGUUAUUUUUAUUUUCUGAUAGUCAUAUGUUUGUGUGCUUUUUUUCUUCCGAUUGAAUUGUGUAUUGGUUGGAUCUGUUACACAAUUUUUUAGUUUUUUUAUGGAUUUUGAUGUUAGUUCCUUGUUAUAGAUAUUGUGUUUUUGAAGGUUUAACAAUAGGCAAGACUGAAUAUGAUGAUUUCGGUGUUAAUUACUUUCUCAUGGUACUAUACUAGAUUGUUCUCUCUUUGCAUUUACAUGUAACCAACUGUUCAUUGUAGAAAUGUAGUAUUUGGAAGACCUUUUUUUUUUUCUUUCUGAUUUAGUGUAUGUUUUUUGGACAAAAGAAACAUGUAGAAGAGAAAACAUGAUUGAUAACAUUGUGCAUCUUUUUUUUUUUUUUUUGACAGAAAGCGAUAGAGUGUUCCAUGGCCAAUUUGUUUUAUCUAGAGAUAGUUUGCACAAGAUGCAAACAUUUUGUAAACCCUAUACGGCUACCAUAAUAGACAACCACAAACAAGGGUCCCGAUAAAAUUGUCACAAAGACGACAAACGCGGCAAUCCUCACACUGGUACCUUGACAUAAAACCAUCGACAAUAAGACCAAAUAAAUCGCAUAAGAAAUACAAACAAAUCACCACAGUAACACAAAAUCUACUACCCUAACCUGCUCAAGGUCCUACAAACAAAAACUUAAACCUAAAGUCGAUGACAUGUCCACAUGCAUGUCCAAAGGGAAGAGACGUGGCAGGAGGCAUGGGUUGCACGACCAUGUGGGUGUGUCGGUGGCAAGGACAACAAAGGCUUGGGGCUUGGGUGGCAGAGGAGAUACCACGACACGCCAGAGCCACUGUCACAUUGUCAUCGCCGCCGCCACGAGCCCAUAGUAACCUGCAUAAAAUCGUUAGUGCUAAAAGCCGCCAAGGGUUUCCGCCGACUGGGAAAAAGAUAAGAUUUGUGAAGACGGAGGUCACAUGGAUGGCAUCAUAGCAAAAUUGAAAUCUUUUAAUCAUCCUCAGCAUUAUUCCGACAGCUAUCCACAAACUGAAGCAACGAAUUGGGCAAGUGUGCAACAAAUUUUCAAUGUGCGUCCAUUGUGAAUGAUUUACAAGGAGUGGGUUUAAUGACGUUUGUAGUUAAAGUGGGAUGCAACUUAGAGCACCAUCACUUGACUAUGUUCCUCUCAUUUUAUCUGUUCAUUUUUGCCUCAUUUGUUUUUUGGUUGCACCGCCUCAAAAACCUUGUGCGUCUACAUGUAUAUAGAACUUUUGGUUAAAACAGAGUCACAUAUCUUAUAACUAUUUAAAUUUUGUUGCAUAUCACAAUAUAUAUUUGUUCAUACAUUCAAACAUGUAUGGCAAAUACUGAGGAGGAACAUAGAAAAAAAAAUGAAAAUUAUUGUUAGUACAAUUGUAUAUGUUAUUGACAUGGUCAUGCAUUGGUAUAGUAAGAGUUUUCUCGUCGUAGAACUUUCAAAUGAUUGGAAUCAAGGAAGACAAUCUUUUCCCCAAUUAAUUAUUCUCGCCAUAUUUUUCCUUAGCGCCGUUAAGUUUCACUUAAAAAGCAAAAGAAGAAGGCUAAAAUUAAGGUGAAGAACCUGCCUCCACUAAUUUCCAUGAAGUUGCAGUAAGGACAUAAAUCACCUUCCGUGAAGUUUCAGUAAGGACUUCAAAUAUCCCAGAGAAAAGUCAGUCAAUGGUGUUUUGACAGAGUCAGUCAACGGCAAAAGACAGAAUUGUGUAUCAUAAUGCUCUCUCCCUCUCUCUCUCUCGUCAAUGGAUGACACCGUAUAAUUACUACGUAUAUAUCUCUGCUCAAUUACACAAAAGAAAAAUCCUUGCGCAUUAUUUUUGUUAUUAUUAGCUCAGAAAUGCAGAAAUUGAUCAUCUCUUACUUUUGCAUAUUGUUACUGGUUUUCUUCAAACUAGUUGGAGCAAGCCAUGCGUGCCUGGAAUCCAAGUGUGGCGAUGAUCAAGGCGCAGCUAUCCAUUUCCCAUUGCGCAUCAGCCGCAAACAUCAUUGUGGAAAUCCUGGGCUUGAAUGCAAUGUAAGAUAUGAGCAGCAAAUACUAGUAAAAUUAUUUGUCAAACACAUAGAUUACAAGAGUCAGGAAAUCCAAGUGUAUCCCCCAAGUAGCUGCCUGCUGCUAAAGUCUGUUGAAAUCCCAAACAUGCCACCCUCUCCCUUCAACGUGUCAGUCGAUGACAUGAGUAACUUGACCUUAUUCAGUUGUACUACUUCUGUUGCAAGCGAUCCAUAUCCGUAUCAAUUCCCCUGCCUCGGCGACCCUGGCCGCAUAAUUUAUGCCGUUGAUUCCAGUUCUACAUAUCUAUUGGAAGAUCUCUUCCAGAAAGUACAAUCUUGUUCAAAGAUGUAUGAUGUUUUAUCAGUUCCAUUCGGUUCUUGGGUAGGCGGUUAUAAUGUUCGUUUCAAAUGGUCUGAACCAAAUUGCACAGUAUGUGAAGCACAGGGAAAGAGGUGUAGGUGGAAGAACGAUGGCACAAAUAGUGAAAUUAAAUGUCUUGACUGGAAGAAACCAAGUAAGGAUAACAUAUAUAUUCAUUGCUAGUUUUAAACAUCUUUACAUUUACGUCUUAGUAAUUAUUAUUUAAAAUAUGUUGUCCAAUCCAUUUUUACUAGGAAUAUUACCUGACAGUCUCGUUUAAAUUUGCAAUGAUCUUCUACAGGCAACACAUGGAAAAAAGUGGUUACAGGUGGAAUCCUGGGUGCUUUGCUUCUUGUUCUACUGAUGAUUGCAGCAUAUCGGGUACAUAGCGCUGAUAGAAAGGAGAAAGAGAGUCGAUUAAGAAUUGAAAGAUUCUUGGAGGAUUACAAAGCACUCAAACCAACCAGGUAUUCGUACGCAGAUAUUAAGAGGAUUACAAAUCAAUUCAAGGACAAGUUGGGCGAAGGAGCCUAUGGAACUGUCUUCAAAGGAAUGCUCUCUUCCGAAUUCUUUAUUGCUGUCAAAGUCCUCAACAGUUCCAAGGGAGAUGGGGAAGAGUUCGUAAAUGAAGUGCGAACGAUGGGUCAUAUCCACCACGUCAACGUGGCUCGCUUGGUUGGAUUUUGUGCUGAUGGAUUUGCACGAGCUCUUGUUUACGAGUUCUUCCCCAAUGGUUCCCUGCAGGAUUUCAUUUCAUCUGCAGAUAGUAAGAAUUCAUUUCUUGGUUGGGAUAAGUUGCAAGAUAUUGCCCUAGGCAUAGCCAAAGGAAUUGAAUAUCUUCACCAGGGAUGCGAUCUACGAAUCCUGCAUUUCGACAUCAAACCCCAUAAUGUUUUGCUAGACCAAAACUUCACUCCAAAAAUUUCUGAUUUUGGUAUGGCCAAGUUAUGUUCCAAGGAUCAAAGCUUGGUGUCCAUGACUACAGCUAGGGGGACCAUGGGCUACAUUGCACCUGAAGUGUUUUCCAGGAAUUUCGGAAAUGUGUCUUACAAGGCAGAUGUCUAUAGCUUUGGAAUGCUGCUGCUUGAGAUGGUAGGAGGAAGGAAGAAUAUUGGUUCAAUCACGGAUAACACUACAAAUGAAAUUUACUAUCCACAGUGGAUUUAUAAUCUUCUAGAGGAAGGGGAUGACCUACAAAUCCACAUUGGGGAAGAAGGAGAUGGUAAAAUUCCAAAGAAACUUGCAAUUAUAGGGCUAUGGUGUAUCCAGUGGCACCCGUCGGAUCGUCCUUCCAUGAAAAUAGCGGUUCAGAUGUUAGAAGGAGGAGGAGAAAGCUUGAGUAUGCCGCCUAAUCCCUUUGUGCCUACUGGUCCUACAACUAGAAAUGCAAGACGCCUAGAGCUAGAAGCUAUUGCUGAAUUAGAGUAAAAUGUAUAUGCAGAUAUGUAGACGUAUAGAUAUAGUAAUAUUUACAUUGAAUAAGAGGCCGUUUGAUAACCAUUUCGUUUUCAGCUUUUAAUUUUUAUUUUGCACUUUUUUGAAAACUGAAAACUAAAAUCUUGUUUGGUAAAUACUUUUAGUUUAAGAAAAAAUGAAGACUGAGAACUAAAAAGUGAAAGCUCAAAGGAAGUAGAUUAAAAGUAGUUACCAAACAAACCGGAAUCUCAAUAAUAAAAAAUGAUUGAAUUGCACAACGCAAUCCAAACCAAUCAAAACAUUAAAAUAGCAAAAAAAAUUAAAAUUCUAGUUGAUUAGAUUAUGAACAUAGUAAAAAUGAACAGAUCCGAUGAAAAAACAAAAAAAAUUCUCAGAUAAAAAUAGGGAUAAAGUAAAAUAUUUAUAAAUAGCUCCUUGUCUCUUAUGUCAUCAAUUAUUUCUAUAGUAUAUACAAGUUUUUGGAAAAAUUAGGUUCCCAUCCCUUAUUUUCAUAUUACAUUGAUUGAAAUCUUAUUAUUUUUCUAUUUUAGAUCAAGGUCCCUUGACUUAUUCCAUGUCAUCAUUUUAGUAUUUAAAAUAUUACACGUCAUCAUAAACGAAAUCUCAUCCCCUUUCUGCAUUUAAGGCAAAAUAAACUAUAUGAGUAAGUUUAAAACAAGGAAAAUCCAUUUGAACUCCUCCAUUCUUCUUCUUCCCUUAUGCACAUCUGGAAUCUACAACACCCCAAACCCAAUUUUCUCCAUUUUUUCUCCAUUCCUGAAUUGAUCCAAUGCAUAUAUGUUGAAUAAACCUAUUGUGAUUAAAAUACAAAUUAGCAUCAAUGGUUUUAUCGGCUUGUGAGAUUUGUGUGGCAUAGGCAAGGCAAUGCAUGCAUCGCUUUCUCAAGGAAUCUGGUUGAUUCAAACAUGCAGAGACUGUAGAGUGAGCGGGCUAUGUAAAAACUGUACCAUUCUGAAGUCAUUUUCUUUUGUUCUUUAUAUUUUUUUUCUUUUUCUUUUAUUAUUAUAUAUUAGUCUUGAUUAUUCAAUGUCUGGUUGGCUACACUUAUGUCCAUGGGUACAUUUUUAAUCAACAUGGUUCGUUCUAAUAUAUCUAUUGCUAUAAUAUGUUUUGGUUGGUUCAAAUUUGUUUUACAUAAAUAUAUGGGUACAAAGUUUUUGGAGAAUAUUAUGUAAAAUGGUUUUUAAGGUUGCUGCAUUUUAUGUACCCACAUAUGCAUGUCUAUAAAUGACACACCCCGUCCCGAAGGAGGGCAUGCUGGCCGUCACGUGAGAGUGACGUAACCAUUUGCACAGUACGGAAGCUUUAAGAUACAAUUUAUAAGUUGAUACACCCGAAUGUGAGUCCUAAUUUUGUCCAAUCUGUCAGAACACCGUCAAAUUCCUCGUAGUCACCACACCUUUGUGAUUCCUGAACCUGGAGGGGCGCAAAACCAAAAUUGAGUGGGUCAGUAAAACAAUUCUUUUCCAAAUCCAAACAUUUCUCAAAACGUUGUAACCCCAAUCCGUAAAACUUGUAUAUUUUCCCAGAAAUGUAAAAUAUAAAUAUACAUAUAUAUUCUCAAUACUUCAAUUCAUUAACUCAACAUUUUUCAGUACAAUUAUGCCAUGCCAUGUCUAAUUCAACAGUUAAGUAUGGAUGCAUCAACAAUAAUCAUAUCAGGUGCAAGAAAGUAAUCAACCGGAGGCCCUCUAAUAGCCAUGUACGGUUGAACCUAGAGCUCAAAAUCUAUCACUCUCACUCUACCGGAGUCACCUCUGUGACCUGUCCGGCCUUCUGCACACAAGUUACGCUCUAGUGCUUUCUCAUCAAUCAUCUGUGCACAUAAUCUAAGGUCACCCACCAGUCGAAAUCUCACUAACACUCUUCGACUGGCCCGUCGCACCCACUCCGCGUGGACUGUGCGACCAGCAUCUACUUGGAUCCAAGGCGAGCGUGCGAUGCGGUGAAUACUAUAAGCACUAAACCAUGGUGCAGGAUUUGAGCUCAAUAUACAUCAACAUCAUCAUAAUAGUAAUUAAAUACUCACCUGAUACUCACCUGUGCGUCCGCCGCACCAAUUCAUAUAUAUGCAUCAUAUAUCAAUUCAUAUCAUUUCAUACAUGGCAAUUCAAUUCACGUUUUUCAUAUAGUUCUAUAUACUUUUCACAUAUUUCUAUUUAAAGCAUAAUUUCAUGCUUUUUCAAUUUCUGGGAAAACGGCAAGUAUAUAUAUAUACGGAAAACAAAACUGCCCACUCACCUGGAGUUCGCCCUACAACUCCCUAGCACAAUACGCCAAGGCGUCAUGACGAUCGGCGCCUAAAACAAUAAUCAAUUCCAACCUUAGAAUUCAUAUCGAUAGAAUAUAUAACUUAUAUAAAAUACGUCACUGCGUAGUUCGAUCCGGAAGAUCCACCACUCAGAUUUUAAAUCCAUAACUUCCAGAGGUCCACAAUAUAUCUCUAGGAUAACAUCCUAAAAUUUCAUUACCAUCCAACGGUCGGAUCUCCGUCAAUUUCCAAAACUAAGUGACGGUUAACAUUUUAUUUUAUGAACUUACAACUCCAAUUCCUGAAGAUCCGUAAAUCGGAUUCCCAAUCCGAAAGUUCCAAUAAUCCUCAAAUAUUACGUAUUACUACGUAUCAAAGUUUAGUGACGAUCUAACGGUCGGAUCGUCAAUUCACGUUUUCACCUAAAUGUGAAAACUAUAAAACGUUAUUCGAACAUCUAACCAACAAUCCUUAAUAACUUUCUCAUACGGUGCUCAAUUUGGGUAUAUGAAUAUACCACGGUGAUCUACUCGACGUCACGGACGUCGACAUAUUUUUAAAAUAAUUUUAUUUUAUUUUAUUUUUUUUACUGUAGCACCUUCUUCUUCCUUGGGUCGCCGGACUGGUUUUUCCAGCGGCCGUUUUCUGGGCAGUUUUUCAAAUUGCCAUAACUUUGUCAUUUCUCAACGAAAUCAAGUGAUUCAAAAACGAAAGUUGUAGCCCUUGAAGAGACAAAGAGAAUGGUACCUUACAAAACACCUAGUUCUCCGUGGUUUGGCCGGAAACUGCCUCGAAAGCCUCGGAGGUCGCCGGAAACUGGGUAUUUUUCAAAUGAGUAUAACUUCUUCAAUACUCAACGAAAUUGAGUGAAACAAAAAGGAAAGUUGUAGUAAUUGACGAGAUGAAGAGAUUGAUACCUACCUCGACUCCUAACUCGCCGGGGAUUCGCCGGAAAAAGCCUCGAAAGCUCCGGCCAAACUUUGAACUUGUCGAUCUCCGUGUUCUUACGUCCAAAAACUUCCAACGAAGCACUCCGAGCUUCCUUGGGACCUCACUAAGCUCACUAUGAGCUUGGAUUGUCCUAAAACAAAGUCAAUUCGAAAAUCAUGAACAGUGCACUUUCACGGGGAGUUUAGAAUCUAGGUUUUCCGAAGUAAAACUUACCUGAAAUUGGUGUCUACGUGAUCGUGGAGUCUCCAGGAGUUCGAUGGUGGUCUUAACUCCGUCGUUGGUGGAAGUUUAAGGUUGUUUUGCGGUUGGUUUGUUCGAACGGAGAAGAAGAGUGACAGAGAGAGAGAGAUUCGUGAGGGAGGAGAGAGAGAGACAGUAUGCAGAAAAUAGGGAGAGGAUUGAGGGGUGUGGGGAUCCCAUGUGGUCCUUUUCCAAUCCCCAACUCCAAACCACAAAAUUUUAACCUAAAAAUCUAAGUUCCAUCCUUAAUAAAUUCCAUUUUAUUUUCAAAACUUAGGAACCUAGAUAAUUAUCAACUUGAGCUUCACAUACUUAGUAUUUCUUAAGGGCAAUUUCGUCCAUUCACAGCCACGAAUGUAAUAUUUUUGGAACGGGCUGUGACAAUCUUCCCUCCUUAUAGAAUUUCGUCCCCGAAAUUCCAGCAACCAACUAAAUCAACCAUACUUCAACAAUAGCUUCGGGUAAAUCUCUCUCAUCCGAUUCUCUUUCUCCCACAUAAUUUUCUACUGAAUGAUUUCCUUCACAAAGCUUUUACCACUUACUCUGUCUUAAUUCUCAAGACUUUCUUUUUCCAAUCUAAAGUCGUCCUUGGUUCCUUAUCAAGUCGAAUCCAAUUUAAUUCUCAAUAGUUGCACCAGAAUCUCAUGUGACGAAUCUGCCACCUAGUGACAACGUAUCGAACCCAAAAUACAUUAAGUAUCUUAGCCAACUCUGAAGACAUCACCACAUGUAUGCAACUUUAUUGAUUCCUUUAGUGAUCAAAACGGACUGAUGUGUUCAAGACUUAUCUUGUCUUCCUUUCUGAAUCUUACUAUUUCUGUUCAUGGUGAAAUUUCCAAAAAUAUCAAACCAUUUACCUUACACACUCGAUUAGUGGCAUAUCCAUCUGUUAGUCUCUUUUGCCAUUCCUGGUUACUUCAGGUUAACUUAAUCACCUGAAUACUUUGAGGAGACUCAUCCAAAAUUUCGGGUCCACCAAAAUUCUUUUGUGAUCGAAUCUUUCUCUACCCAGAAGCAUUCCAUCCACAAUUCAGCAAAAAUCGACACACAUGACACGCUUCAUGGACAUUAUGGCGUUACUUUGAAAACUGGCGAAACCAACAUACUUAAGAAACUCAGCAGUCCCGUAACCCAAUUCUCUUUUCCAUAAAACAAAUAAGUACUGUUGCACUGUCUGGGAAAGGUUGUUACUCAACACUGGAGUAAAUAUACUAACUUGUUACGUUGCCCAACCAUCACUUCACAUUCAAUCGUAACCAUCUUGUAUACAAGGAAACUUGUACACAUAGUCCAAAGUAAUAUCUUUCCAUUUCUGUUUAGAAACAGAAAAUAGCUGUCUCAAUCCAAAGGUUUAUCUCUUUCCGCCUCAAUCUGCUGAUCAAAUAAACUGUCGAGUGGUAUGAUAAAUCUUAUUACUUUUGGAAUAUUGCAGAAGUUGAACAGUGAACUUUGUCCAAUAUUUGCUUGCUUCAAAUCCUCAGCAUUAGGCACAUACUUUUGGUUUUCUUGUAUCCACAUACCAUUUGAUUCACGAAUCAUGUAUUCAUUCUUUUUCCCUUCUUUCUCUACCUUGGUUAAUUCUUAAAUUUCCUCGUCAAACAUUUAAGUUUCGAGUACGACCUUACCAAACAGGCCUAACUUGAAAUUUAACAAGUAUAACUUCUUCUCGAUCUUUCAUUCUUAACUUUACUUUAGUUGGUUUCCAAUCCACAAGAAGAUAAUCAUGGCAAGCGUACCAGAUAUUAAUUAUUACUGCAGUCUUCUUAUCAAGUGCUUCAGUUACAACAAUUCACAAUCACCCUGAUCGUACAAUCAUAAUCACUAAGUAAUUCAAUCCACCUUUGUUGCCUCAUAUCACAAUCCUUCCAAGUAAACAAAUAUUGGAGACUCUUUUGAUUUGUAAAAUCUUGUAUUCUUAUCAACAUAUAAUGUCUCCAUAACUUCACAGCAAGGAUGAUAAUCGUGACUUCCAAAUCACCAGUAGGGUAAUUCAUCUUAUGAGGUUCCAUUUAUCGUGAAACGUAUGCAAUCACCCUAACAUUUGCAUCAACAUGCCUCCAAUACCAUUCAAGAAACAUCACUAAAAAUUUAUGAUUACCACUAUUCUCUGGGAAUACCAAAAUACGUGCAUGAGUGAGGAAAUACUUCAGUUGUUGAAUCCUUUGCUCACAAUUUCCUUCCCACUCAUACAUAACCUCUUUUCUCAACAGUCUCGUCAAUGACAAAGCAAUGACUAAAAACUCUUUCACAACCAUCCAAGAUAGUCUGGUAAGUUAAGAAUUUCCGAAUCUCAAUUAUGGCUUGUGGUUGUUCCAAUUUCUCAAUUCUGCUGCCUUUUAAGAAUUCAUUUGAAUACCUUAAGCAGAUAUAACCAAUCUCAUAAUGCCACUUGAUUCAUCCAACAUUCGCAUUUGCUAAACUUAGCAUACAACCAACGUUCUUUCAAUCUUUGCUUCAUCGACUUAAUACGUUUACAUGCUCUGCUCUGGCUCAGAAUGUACCAGAAUAUCGUCAAUGAAAAUGAUAUCAAUUAUCAAGGCAUUAUUGGAAUACUUCAUCCAUCAACUCAUAAAACCGCAUGAGUAUCCACAUAGCAUCACCAAACCUCAUAAGGACCAUAACAAGUCCAGAAAACCAUCUUAUGAUCAACGUCAUUCAUAAUCUUUAAUUGGUAAUAACCAGACUUCAAGUCAAUCUUUGAAAAUAUACAAGCACCUUUGAACUGAUCAAAUGAGCGUCAAUACACCACAAUGGAUAACGGUUCUCAUUCGUUACCCGACUCCAUUGUCUAUAAUCAAUGAACAGUCUCAAGAUCCAUUUUCUUCCUCACCAACAAACUGGGGCUCCUCAAAAGUGUUGUACUAGGUUGAAUAAAACUUUUAUCAACCAAUUCUUUCAACUAAAUUUCCAAUUCCCUUAACUCAUCAUGAACCAAUCUCCAAUAUAAAUUUAUACCUGGCAACAAAUCAAUAAUGAACCUCAUAUCUCUGCCUGAAGACAAUCCAGGUAUACUUUCAGGGGAGACAUCAAGAAAAGUCUAACCCUUUUGACAUUAUUCACACUACUCCAAACAACAUCAUUUAGCACCCCAUGAGCUAAGUAUUUUUAACAGCCUUUCGAAAACAAUCUCUUUGCUCUCACAGCAUUAAUAACGGCCUGACUCAAUCCACCUUGCAUACUUACAAAAGUAAUCUCUGGUCAUCCAGAUCGAUGGAAAGUACUGGUUUCCCGUAACAUUCCGUCUUGUCACAAUUAUAACCAACCGAUCUAAUGGAACAGAAUUAACUGAUACAAUAUAUAUUCUAUUAUUAUUAAGCAUUCUAAAUAAGUACAAUACUAACAUAAAAUAAUCUACCGGGUUGCUUGCUUAACGAAUCCACGAAUGAGUUAUUAAUAUUACGGUCUGCAGCCCGCAAUACUGAUAAAUCAUCGUUGUCUCGAUAAGUAGGCAACCACUCUCAAAGAUAUAACAUUACUAUUUUGUCACUCAAUGCAAAAUACAUACACUUGUCUCAACUACAUUUAUUUACUACUCUCUAGGUAAUAACAUACAUAAUAAGAAAUAUAUCAGUCGAAGUCAACUAGAAUGACCAAUACGGCUGAUUCAACUCUUAUCUCAAUAAUACGUCGGCCGGAUCCACUCCGCGUGGUCGGUACGGCCGAGCCUAUAACUCAUCCAACCUCUCUGUACUCACGGUCAAUCCGACCAAACUACUAAGUCCAUAACUCUGCUGAAUCGACACUAUGAUAUCAUGGAAAAUUAUUGAGUACAACUGAUUCUAGGGACGAUUCACAAUUCUGUGUCCCCUCUGUUCACAUAAACACAUUCAUUAAUUUCACACUUCCCAAAGUGUUAAUUUUGUACCUGCUGCACAAGGUACAUUUCCUUUACUCGAGACACCUUGUCUCAAAUAUCUGGGAUUACCAGUAUAUCCAUCACUUUUACUCUGACCAGCAACAUUAAAACCUCAGCUGGAAGAAUUAACUCUAGCUUCACUUCUUUCGAAGCUCUGAAUCUUUCUAUAUCUUUGAUAUGACGAAUCAUUAACUUUAUCGUCUUCUUUUAAUUCCCAUUCAUUUCUUAUUCUUCUUUAUUCUCGUUGCUCAUGUUCUCAGAGUCCUCAAGACUCAACAGCAUCUCGUAUAUUCCUGGUAAGAAGUACAAUGGAUAGUGGUCACCCAAAAUACCACUUCCCUUUUGCCACCCAGCUUAAAACAACAUAACACCUCCACCAAAUUAGCAGCAAUAUCCGAAUGGAAACGAGGCUAGUCUGAAAACUUUCUAUAAUAUUCAUUUAUCGUCAACUUCCUUGAUUCACAUUUGCAAAAUCUUGCUUACUACCAACGAUAAAUGCCGGAGGGAUAAACUUUUCCUUAAAUAAGUCCUUAAACAAUUUUAAAUCGGCUACUUCCUCUGAUGACAACAAUCAAUACUCCUGCUUCCAUCAGGAUACACGUUCAUAACUCAAACCAGGUAGUCGUCUCGACCCACCUGUCAGAAGGAAAUUUCCUUUGACUUGCAUAAUCUGAAACAUCUUUUCCAAUUGGUUAAUCCGUUACUUCGCUCCCUCAGGUUCAUCAUUCCAUAAGGUGAUUCAAAUUCGACUCAUAACCUGUCUUAAAAUGUCCCUUUUUAUAAUAGACUGAAUCACCAUAAUAAUAGUUUCCCCUAAACCGCUAUAUUAGGGAGACUAAAUUCCUCUAACUAAGUGGCUUGCUACGAGGCGGUGUAGUUCUGACAGAAUUCACUAGAACUUCUCAAAAUGUCCAAGAUUGCAACCAUGCUCUGAUACCAACUGACACACCCCGUCCCGAAGGAGGGCAUGCUGGCCGUCACGUGAGAGUGACGUAACCAUUUGCACAGUACGGAAGCUUUAAGAUACAAUUUAUAAGUUGAUACACCCGAAGGUGAGUCCUAAUUUUGUCCAAUCUGUCAGAACACCGUCAAAUUCCUCGUAGUCACCACACCUUUGUGAUUCCUGAACCUGGAGGGGCGCAAAACCAAAAUUGAGUGGGUCAGUAAAACAAUUCUUUUCCAAAUCCAAACAUUUCUCAAAACGUUGUAACAAUAAAAACCAGUCCGGCGACCCAAGGAAGAAGAAGGUGCUACAGUAAAAAAAAUAAAAUAAAAUAAAAUUAUUUUAAAAAUAUGUCGACGUCCGCGACGUCGAGUAGAUCACCGUGGUAUAUUCAUAUACCCAAAUUGAGCACCGUAUGAGAAAGUUAUUAAGGAUUGUUGGUUAGGUGUUCGAAUAACGUUUUAUAGUUUUCACAUUUAGGUGAAAAUGUGAAUUGACGAUCCGACCGUUAGAUCGUCACUAAACUUUGAUACGUAGUAAUACGUAAUAUUUGAGGAUUAUUGGAACUUUCGGAUUGGGAAUCCGAUUUACGGAUCUUCCGGAAUUGGAGUUGUAAGUCCAUAAAAUAAAAUGUUAACCGUCACUUAGUUUUGGAAAUUGACGGAGAUCCGACCGUUGGAUGGUAAUGAAAUUUUAGGAUGUUAUCCUAGAGAUAUAUUGUGGACCUCUGGAAGUUAUGGAUUUAAAAUCUGAGUGGUGGAUCUUCCGGAUCGAACUACGCAGUGACGUAUUUUAUAUAAGUUAUAUAUUUCUAUCGAUAUGAAUUCUAAGGUUGGAAUUGAUUAUUGUUUUAGGCGCCGAUCGUCAUGACGCCUUGGCGUAUUGUGCUAGGGAGUUGUAGGGCGAACUCCAGGUGAGUGGGCAGUUUUGUUUUCCGUAUAUAUAUAUACUUGCCGUUUUCCCAGAAAUUGAAAAAGCAUGAAAUUAUGCUUUAAAUAGAAAUAUAUGUGAAAAGUAUAUAGAACUAUAUGAAAAACGUGAAUUGAAUUGCCAUGUAUGAAAUGAUAUGAAUUGAUAUAUGAUGCAUAUAUAUGAAUUGGUGCGGCGGACGCACAGGUGAGUAUCAGGUGAGUAUUUAAUUACUAUUAUGAUGAUGUUGAUGUAUAUUGAGCUCAAAUCCUGCACCAUGGUUUAGUGCUUAUAGUAUUCACCGCAUCGCACGCUCGCCUUGGAUCCAAGUAGAUGCUGGUCGCACAGUCCACGCGGAGUGGGUGCGACGGGCCAGUCGAAGAGUGUUAGUGAGAUUUCGACUGGUGGGUGACCUUAGAUUAUGUGCACAGAUGAUUGAUGAGAAAGCACUAGAGCGUAACUUGUGUGCAGAAGGCCGGACAGGUCACAGAGGUGACUCCGGUACUAUUUUGACCAUUCUAUUUAACUUGUGUUUCAUUUAUUUUAACCAUUCUAUUUAAAGUUUAUCCCAAGUAAUCUAAUUAAGACUAGAGUCGAAAGUGAUGCAUUUAGUAAUUGCUUACACUUGUGAAUAUGAGUUGAUUGAGGUGGUGGUGGUUUCUUGUAUUAAUAAUUCUAUUUAAACUCAUACCCUCCCACACCAUCAGAUCCAAGUACUAUUUUGAUAAACUUUAAAUAGAAUGGUUAAAAUAAAUGAAACACUUUUAGAAAAUAAGUGAAGAUGUUGUUUACAAAUAUAGAUGCAUUUGUAUAUAAAAGCUUUGGCGGUUGAUCCGUAUACACUUCCAGAGAUAUAAGCAAGUUCAUUGGAUUAUACAUACAUAGUUAAUGUAUUACAGUAUAAUUAAUAAGAAAACAAUUGCAUCCCUUUCAGAUUAUAUAUAUAUAUAUAUAUAUAGACACACACACGCACACAUACAUACACACAGGCCCUUUAUGCAAAGGAAUUUUCAAUUUUUUUUUUAAAUGGGGAUUAGUUGUGGGGCCCACGCUGCAUUGAACUUUAACGAUCCGAACAGUCUAUUUUGUAAUUCUCGAUUCAUAGAUCAUCCUUGUAAAAAUUCAAUUCAAUCCGAACCUAUUUGCCUAUUUAAUUAUCAAGAUAAAAUUUUAUUGUUUCUUAUAUAACAAAGUAUUCGUUAAUUUCUUUGAACUCAAUUAGAUAUCUUAAACAUUUCCGAUUUGGUUAAUAUUGUGUAAGGAUGAUCUAUGUGGUGCAACUUGAAAAAUAGACGAUUACGAUCGUUAAAGUUCGAUGUGGUGAGAACCCUACAAUUAAUCUUCAUUUUUAUAAAAGAAUGGGAACCCCUUCCCUUAAAGGUUUCCUAUGUAUAUAUUUGUUCUCCAGACAUAUGCAAAAGGUAAUGUAAAACCAAUGAGAACUUAAAUAGAUAUUCCAUACAUAGGACAAUUCCAUAUAUGCUUUUUCAACAUUGAUAUCGAAAAGCCAAAUUGUUUUGAGGAAAUUAAUUGUAGCAAUGAUCCCUUAACUUUUAUCUUAUUGGAGCAAUGGUCUCUCAACUAAAAAUUCAUGACCAUUGGUUCCUUAACUCCACACAACGUGUAGUUAUGGUCAUUUUCAUUAACCCCGUCAGAACUUUUGUUAAAACAAGUAAUGUUAGAAGAAUCAUUGCUACAAUUAGGUUAAAGUUGGGGACCAUUGCUCUAAUUAAAUUAAAAUUGAGGGAUCAUUUCUCCAAAUUGCUUAAAGUUCAAUGACCAUUUCUACAAUUUUCUCAUCUAGUUUCCCAUAUUUACCCCAUGAUUCAGCUUCACAUGCAUUGCACAUGACUCAUUUUGACAAAAAUUUUAACGAAAUUGACGAAAAUGACCAUAAAUACACGUUUUGAAUAGUUAAGAGACCAAUGGUCGUGGAUUUUAGUUGAGGGAUCAUUGCUCCAAUUUGGUUAAAGUUGAGGGACCAUUGCUACUUUUUUCUCAAAUGUUUCGUAUGCGAAAAUAGGCAUUUGUAAAGUUUGGCUUGUUCAUGGCAUUAUUACUUUAGUCUAAAGUAAGGCUGGAAAUGGCACUGUAGAAAUGAAUAGUGUUCCAAUCUGAAUUUCAGUUUAAUUACAACAAUGCCAUUGCUCUUUGUGUUGCCUUUAGGUGAGCAGCCCAGCUUGCAGCCAGGCCCAAAUGUAUUGGUUUUAGCUGAGAAGCUCGGCCCUUGGUCAUGCCCAAAAUUUUAAAUUACAGUUUUGCCCAUACAAAAUAACAAUCCGAUUGUAUCGGGAAGGACAAUUUUGUCCUUUCAGUUUUGGGUGAGAUAGGGGGUAACAGGGUAAGUUUCAUUUGCUGUCGUUGAAUGAGGGUUUCGGGGAUGAGGGCUCUGUGUGUGUGUGGGUGAGAGAGAGAGAGAGAGAGAUGGCGAUGGAAGGAGAGUGAGGGGGAAGGGAAGGGUUCUCGGCACUAUUGUUGCAUGUGGAUUUCACAAGUGGGAGAGUGGGUAUGGUCAGAGAAGACCAUAUAGGUCGUUGGGAUUUCAGGGAAACGGGGUAGGGGUCAUGAAUGAACCCUGCUGAGAGUGGGUACCGGAUCUUGCGCUGCAUGCCUCAAAUCAAAGAUAAGUUCGUUUUUUUUAUUGUAUUUUUAUGGUAGCUUAGCUUUUGGAAUUGUUUAGUAUGUUAGGUCCGAUUUUGGGGGAUUUAUCUUUUUAGAGAGAGAGAUAGACAGGGAGAUAGAGAGAGAGGGAGAGGGAGAGAGAGAGAGAGAGAGAGGAGGAAGCAUGACUGUGUGCAAUUUUUGGUGUUAAUUAAUGGGUUGGUGCGCAGGGUGAGUGACAGAGUGACAGAGUGAAGGAGGGACGUGUGGGAGGGUAUGAGUUUUCAGUUCUUUCUUUUGAUUCAACAGGUUAUACACUGUUUGAAAAACUUUUUUUUUAUUAUUUUGUUCUCGUUUGCUUUGUUCAAACCAUCAUUUGAAUUUUUGGGUUUCACUGUGCUCAUUUCUCUGCUUCUUCAUAAUUUGCUGGUGUUUGCUUCUCAUCCCUCUGUUGGUAGAUCUUUUUCUCAUUUCUUGGUUCCUUAUGUAUUCUUUUGUACAAAUCUGUUUACUUUUUUGCUGUGUGAUAAUCUUAGCAGGUGAACUAUAUGAACGUUUUUUUUGAAACGAGUUAAGAAGAUCCAGCUGAAAAUAGCAUACAAGAUAGAGAACUGGUAUGCUGCUCGCCAGGGAAAGGCUGCUGGAGAGGCCGAGACAGAUGCCUCCUUCAGAAACCAGGUCAGUUUCCUGCUGCUCGGCGUCUUAAUGUAUCCAAAUUGUUUAUCUUUUGAUGAAAUUAGCUGGCUUUAUUUUCUAUUUUAUUUAUCUGCAUAUUAUUUUGGUUUGUUGAAAUUUUGACUAUAGUCAUUGUCACAUGGGCGCCCAGCCCAACCCAAAUUAGUUGAGGAUAUUUAAAUCUUCACCAUGGUAUUAUAGUACUCACUCACAGUUGUGAAUACUAAGGUGCAGGCAUGGCAUGAAGAAGUGGACCGUGCACGCCAAUGUCAGAGGGAUGCAGAGGGCAAGCUUUUUUCUUUGGAGGUAAGUAUCCUUUGUUUAUUGCCCAACAGUGUUGUUAUUAUCAAUUUGUAGCUUUGCGUUCUGAAUUUUUUGCUUUGUCAAACAACCUUCUUGAAAUGCUCGAUUUCAAGCCGAAGUCCAAAAAAUGAGAGUUGAGAUGGCUUCCAUGAAAAGGGAUGUAGAGCAUUACUCGCGCCAAGUGAAAUCUGCUUCCUCUCUUUUCGUAUAUCUUCAUAUGAAGAGUUUUACUAAGUUAUAUUGAGAACUAUGUUAUUUAUAGGUUAUAUUUUCCAUUUUGCAGGAACACAUGGAGCUAAGGAAGAGCUAUCGUGAACUCACUGAUCUACUGGUAAUGUCACUCAAACUGCUUUAUUUGUGCAUGCUGCUACUAUGCGCUUGAAUGCAUUUUAUUACUGGCGGGAUGCAAGAAAGCUAGAUAUAUGUGCUGGAUCGCUUGAUUAGUGUUAGGGUUUUAACAACUAAUUGUUAGCAGCUAGAAGCUCUGGUUAGAUGAAUGCUAAUUUGAUUUUCCUUACAGUACUUGAGUGCCAGUUUCAUAUUGUUUGUUCCCUGCUGGAUACCUGUUGUACAGUUUCAUUUCUGUUUCUUUAUAACUUUCUUGGCCCUGGGAUAUAUGCAUAUUGAGUACAAUGAAUAUCCAUUGUUCUCUAACUGUUGGGCUUUACUAUCUUUGUAGCAGCCUGCCUAACAUUUUUUAGGCUCUACACUCUACCAUCCAAUUUAUGAAAAAUUCAAAGAUUGAACGGUAUUGAUUGCAGAAAUGAAAAAAAUACUAUGAUAUUAGAAAGGUGAAUGUAAUUGUGUUAGAAGAAGCGUCUAGCAUGAUGGGUAAUAUUUUAAGUUUGUAUUUCUAAAAUUUUUUCGUUCUGGAGUAUGAUUUACCUCAAUUGUUUUGUACUUUAAUCUUUACUAAUUUUCAUUGUGGAGUAUGAUUUGCCUCAACUAACAACUUUUCAUUGUUUAACUUUUUCCUCCCUUAGAUAGUUGCAUAUGUUUGAUUUGUUAAUCUGCUUCUUACACAUGUUGUUUCCUAAUGGUGUAGGUGGGUUGCCGGAUGCAUGUGCAGAUUACUUGAAUAGACGAAGCUAAGAAUGACUUAGUAUUAAGUGAGAAAGAAGCUUGGGUCAGUUGGAUUUUGAUAUUUGAUUUAUUCAUGUUUUUUGUUGCUUGCAAUGUUCUCGCAUUGUUGUUCUGAGAUUCUGUGAUCUUAUUUUUCAUAGGAACUGACAUUGGUUUGCCAUAUAAUGUUUCAUGAACUAAUACAACAACUAAUCACCUUGCUUAGCUCUCAAGACACAUACUUAAUAGGUUAACAAACACUAACCUAUAAACUGAUCUGCUAAGCUGGACCAUUAACCUCUGUUUAUAUCCCUGCCACUCAUCUUUUGGCACUUAUCAAUAGCAAAAUUUAGAGUUACUGAAACCCCAAUUUUAAUGAAUAUUAUUUUUAGUUGAUAAUUAAAAUUAAUUGAUGAUUAAUCUAUUCCAUUGUGCAUUAUUUUAUCGCCAAAUACUUUGAAUAUUCAUUAGCAAAAGAUAUAGGGUUCACUAUUUAAUGAAUAGAAUUUUGAUGGUGGAUUGCAUUUCCUGAGUUAUAAAUGUGGUGAAUCCAUUAUUUACUAGCUGAAUAAUCAUAAUGUUUUGGCCACUUACCUUGAAUUUUGUUCAAAUUGAAGAAGUCACAUGUUUCUUUCUGUUGUUGAGGUAAUCUCUCUGUUGAAAGCUUCUAUUUCUUUUUUCUUUUUCUCUUUUUCAUUUGGGUAGAUUUUUUUUUUAUGGAUUUAUGUAUUUUUUUUCAGAGAAUUCGAAAUGAAAUAAGAAUAGCGGAUUGAGCAUAAACAAAUUGAUGAAAUUUUUAUUUGAGUGUUUGUGUUGGUCCUUUUUUGAUUUGUUGAGGUUUGGAAUUAUUUGAGUUUUUUUUGCUGUUAGUACUGUGAAGGAUGCUUGGCAAUCGCGAAAUGGGGGCUACCUCUUUGGAAAGAGAAGUCUCGCUAUCCAACCUCUCAUGAAUUACAAACAGGGUGCUUUCUUGCUGAAAAACCACUAAACCAGUAGAACUUUCCUCGGUUCUUCAAUUCGAUUCGAAUAAUUUUUUUACCCAGAAAGCCAGCGUUUCCUGGUGGGUUUUACAGCUUUCUCAAUGUUUUUGUGAUUUUGGAUUUGCAAAUUUGUUUUCUGUUCAAAUUUCCUUUUGUGAUUUUGGAGGUUUUGUUUAUCGAUUCUCUCACUCAUCUCUCAGCUCUCUCUCACUUUUGAGGUACAUGCCGUUGGAUUCCAUUUGCUGCUGCUGAUCUGCAGGUAAAGCUUCAAUUACCAUAUAAAGUUUACAUUUUUCAUGAUUUCUUGAAUUUGGGUUUUAAACAAAGGAAAUAUUGCUAGAUUCUUAUCUUAUGUGCAAAUUACUGGCUAUUUGGAUUGAUGCUUGAGAUUUAGAGAAUGCCUCGAAGCUUUAAUUUCUUUUUCCUUCAUUAUUACUGUUUUCAAAAUUUUUAUUGCUGGGUAUUGAUAAUUUGUAGUAUGUGAGGGCUUCAAUAUGUUGGAAUUUUGAAUGGUUAUUGCUUCAUCGGAAUUUGGGUGGUCCAAAUUUUGAAUUAGAAGAAACCCAUUUGAUUAAUAUUUUUGGUGGAUUGGUUCUCUGUGUUUUCCUUGCUAUUUCUCCCCCAGUUGGAAAUUGGAAGCCCCAACUUUGAGCUCAGAGCUUGAAUUUCUCAAUCGUUCGUUUCUCUGCACUCUCAUCAGUCACUCUUGAUCCUCUAUCUAAAGAACUGGGUAAUUUUCCAGCUCUAUCAAGUAAUACUCCAUUUAAUUGCUUAAUUGAGGUUUUUUGUUUCUCUUUUUCGCUCUUUCAUCAGUUCAUUGGCUUUGAUGUUGAGCUUAAGUAAAUGGGAGAUCAUUAAUUGGCAUUGUUCAAGAUAUAAUUCUGUGUUUUUGGAUUUGUGAAACGAUUUGCCUAAUGAUGAUAGUGGUUAAAAUAAAUUUUUCGUUAUGAAAGAGAACAUUGUUCUUCAUUUGCCUAUGGUUUUAAGUACAAAGUUAAACUACUAUGCUUUUGUUCAAUUGACUGCAACUCAUGCCGCAGUUUGCUUCACAAACCUCUACGGUUAGCUUCCAUAUAGUAUGUUGCAAGUUUGAGGAUAUCUUUACAUCUUAAUUUUUGCUCUCUCUGGUUGCUUCAAGUUUGUAAUUUUACGUGUUACAUUGCUACUUGAUUUGAUUAUAAAAAUGCAAAACAAAAUCCGUUUUGCUUUUAUUCAACUUAAAUGUAUCCUUUUGUUUGUUCAUAAUUGUGUUGAAUUUAUUCAACUUAAAUGUGUUUUAUUCAUCUGUUUACGCUUAAAACAACUGGUUUCCCUAGCAAUGCGCGGGCCUAAUUUCUAGUACAUAUACUAAAAGCCAGCAGAAAAUUACUGUUCAUCAUGGGAGAUAGAGCACUGUUCAUUAACCGUGAAAGGGCGAAAAUGCCCUCGGAUUCUUCUUUACUUCACGUACUGUUUACGAAUUGCUACAGUAUAAAGUCCGUUUUGUCCUUCCUGUCCACGCAUCUUUCAUCGUCCGUUUCUCUUGCUUCGACCACAUCUUUUUUGCUUUACCUUUCCUCUUCGUUUUUCGCAUUCGUUAGGCUACGAUUUUCGGAGGUGGAUUGUUUGCCCUCCCAUUUCCAUGGUCUCCCCAUGCCCUCCCAUUUCCAUGAUCUCCCCACGUCAAUAUUUUAUAAAAAUAAUAAAUAAAAGGUAAUAAGAAUAUAAAAUGUUGACGUGUCUUAACGUGACCACAUAGGCAUUGGGAGAGCAUGGAAAUGGGAGGGCACACAAUCCACCUCCGACUUUCUCCCUUUUCGCCAGCCCCUCUUUUGCUCUCAAAUCCUUGCUCUUUCUUUUGCAAAAUAGUCUCAGAAGAGAUCCUGGGUUUAUCGAAUCCUUUGUUGUUGGGCGUUUUGUUCUCAUCUUGCGAUCGUCGGGGCAGCAGCUUUAAGGUAAGUUUGUUUUUAAUGAUUUAUCCUCAUUUUACGAUGUCUGGGCUAACAAAUUUAAGAUCUUUAUUUUUCUUUUUGCUGCGGAUCUGCAGGUUUUGACAAGUUUUUUGUGAAAUUGGUGCUGUCAGUGGGUGUUAACAUCAGGUACCCAUGUUCAGUUUUUCGUUUUGAUUUGAAGGAAUUUCUUGCGCAGAAGAGCUAGGGUUUCUUGGUGAGUUCUUCGGGUUUUUCAUAUGGGUAAUUUUCUUUUCGGUUUAACCCUCUGCUUCUGCUGCUCUCUCUCUUUCUCUCAUCCCUGCCUGCUCCUCUCCAAUUGUUUGCUGUUCUUAAAUAUUGUGUUCAUUGCCUGAUACAACGAGGCAAUGGCGUGACAACAGGUGAGCUUGGAUAUCCAAAGAAAAAGAACAGUUGGUUCAUCUGCUGGAGUCUGAAGCUCAGAGAAGUGGAGGAAAAUUGCAGGUGUGCGAGAAAUUUUAUUUUGCUGAUAGGACUCCUUAUUUACGGAUGCAUUUUGAAAUAAUUGAAAAGUUGGAUUUGAGUUAACAGCUAUAAAAAUGUAGACAUGAUUGCUGAGAUUAUGCUAUGAAAGUGGAAUAAAAAAAUGGUAGUUUAUAAUAUUGCGUACCAAUUGUUUUCUCUCUUUUUUACCAAAUGAUAAGGGUGGUGGCUCAGGCCGCCCCCCUAAGCGUCCCCACUCUUCGACAAGUUGAAAUCGUGGUGAUAGUUUAUGGGCUGUGGUCUUGGGAUUCUGCAAAUAGAAUGAAAAACAGACACUUAACUAUCUUGUUAUUAAGCAUUUCUGCAUCAUUCAGUUGCUCUUGAUUUUCGUCUUUUAAGCGAUCUUAUUUCUGCGAUCUGACUUGAGGAGGGUUUUUAGACCUAUGGUUGUGGGUGUUUUCUCUGACCCCAUUAUCCGAGAUUUGUAGACUUGCGAUCGGCGGUCAAACAUUUUGUGAUUCUUGUUUUCUCUGCCUUUCGGUCGUUAAGCGCCGGCAGUCUUUAGAUCUUUGGCAAAUCAAUUUAAUACAACCGAGGUAUGUUUUAUAACUGCUGUCUUUCAAUUUUUGUUCUGUAUUUUUGUUAAUUUGGAUGAAGCUCUAAUAAUUUUGUUUUGGAUCAGUUGUGGUCCUCUGUUAGGAUUUUCCUGGCUAAGAGGGUAUUUGCGUUUUUGUUGCUUGGUUGGUCGAUCACAGAUUUACGAACAGCUGUGGUGGUCCUGUUAUUUUUUUGGUAUGUUUUUUCUCCUUUUUGGUUUUUUCCCGGUUUGAGCACCCAUUCAUGAAGAAUUAAAAUGUGUUUAUAGUUUUUCAGGAGAGAUUAGAAAAGUGAUUUCAAUUUGGGAAAAUUUAAUGUUGGUUAAAAUUUGUUUAUAAUUUUUGGGAAGGAAUGAGAGGACCCAUUGAAGUAUGUGUUGUGAUUAUUUUUUAUUCAUAUUUUUAACAAAUUGGGCAUGAAUUGGUAGGUUAACUGUGUGUGUUUAUUAUUUGAAUCGGCCAUGUUUGUCUUUCUAUGGUUCUAAAAAAUUUGUAAAGGCUGUUAACUUGGAAGAAAAUGGGAUCGAGGGUGAGGGGAAAACGGCAGAGAAAGCAUGGAAGAGAGAUUUGGGAUUAGGGGUAGGAAAACAGAUGAAAAGAAUAUGAUAGAGGAAUGGGUUCAGUUCAUUUUCACUAUUUUUUUUAACUGAUUUGGAUUUUGUUUGGGUUUGAGGCCAUCAUUGGCGUUAAGACGUUUAUUAUCAGAUCGUGUGUUUUUUGCUAACUUUUAUUGGUAAUUUUAAUGUUGUUCUUAUGAUUUUGUGUGGUAGGGUUUCUGAAUUUUAUCGUUAUUCAUUUGGUUUUGUGUGUGUGUUGGUUUGUUUAUUUUGCAGGUUGUGUUUGUGCUGGGACAACAUUUUCCACCUUCUGUUUGCACUGGGAUGAUUGCGUUUUAAAACUGUUGGGGUGAGAUUUACAUAUGGAAUCAUUCCAUUUUUUUUCUUCCAAAUAUGUGCAUUUAGUUCUCUUUUAUUUUAAAUUUUAAAAAUUAAAUCGUUAUUUGAGUAAAAUGUUUUAUCAGUUUAUGUUAUGUGUUGUGACCAGGAAUUCUGUUGGAUUUGCGAAUUUUGGUUUGAUGAGAGAAAUGAGGAGUUUUUUUUGUUUGAAUUUUUUAUUGGACCGAUUUUCAAUUGGAUUGCAUUCUGCCUUUUUGCACCAUUCUUAUGCAAGCAAUUCAUUGUUUUAAAUACAAUUUGAAGAGAGCUGGGUUGCGGGUUGGAUAUAAAAUGUUAAGGUGAGAUAAAAUCGAGAUACCAAGGGUGGAAGAAUGAUUCAGAAUUGGGGGAGGAAAACAGAGGGAAGAUAGAAGAAUAUAAGAGAAGGAUAGGGUUGACCUCAUUUAGAGUUUUUAUUUACUUAUUUUUUUUUAUAAAUUGAUUCAGGACUUGCAUAUCAUUUCUAAAUUUCUAACAUUUUUGUUUAAUUUGACUCCAGUUGAUGGAAAACAGAGCUCUUACUCCUAUCAAUCAGAUGGUCCCGUACAUAAAUGCAGAAAAAUCAAGGUUCGAGUUUGCAGAGUAUGCAGACCAAGGUUUCCCGAAACUACUGGUGCAUAUUCAGGCUUGCAUUGUAUAUUACUUACCUAUUAAAAAUUUGUUUGGAAUUUGCUUUUCCCACAGAGGAGAAGAGCUGACAGUUACGCUGUGGGCAGAUGUUGCUCGAAGUAUUGCUUCUUUAUCCAUUGAAUCAUUGUCUCUGCCGAUCAUUGUGGUUUUCACAAGUUUAAAGGUCAAGCUGUACCUAGGUAUUUGACUUAGUUAAAAACUAAUCUAUUUACUAUUAAUUUUUCUAUUAUAUUCAAACGUUAUUUAAUAUAUACUCUACUAAUAUUUUCUUAACAUGUCACACAAACAUAUUCACUUCUUUUGAUCAAUUUUUUUACAGCAUUUCAUAUAAAAGCUAACAUUUAGUUGAAAUUGAUUAGCAACUCUUUUCUUGCAUGUAUACAUACGAAUUAAACAAUAGUAUUAAACUAUUUGUUAUCAUUCUCAGUAUUUGUUUUAGAAUUAGAUUAAUAUAUUUAACCUGUUUUAGAAUUAGAAUUAUUUGGUAUCACUCUCAGUAUUUGUUUUAGAAUUAGAAUUAGAUUAAUAUACUGAGAUUAUUUAGACAAAUCUAGCAUUUUCUCAAAAUAUUUGACUUUUAAACUUAGAUUAAUAUAUUUAGCAGUUUUUUAACAUGCAAUUUUUCAUUAAUUUUUCAACACACAGACAAGAUAGUCUUGAACACCAUUGGUUCAUCACUUUUCUUCAUUGAUCUAGAUAUUCUGGAAGUAAAUUCAUACAAAUCAGUGUAAGUGUGUUUACUUUGUUUAAAAAAAUAUUAUAUGCUCUCACAAUAAAAGAAGGGCUAUUCUCACAAAAUUUAUGAACUAAUGUUCUGUUUUAACCUCUACAGCUUUUCCAAAUGCACAGAACCUCUAAAAAUACUGCCACCUUUUACAAAACAGGCCCGUGAAGCUCAAAUCUUGCAGACAGCGAAGGUCACAAUUGCAGACGCUGAAAUUUUCAUGCCAAAAUAUGAUGUGGAGGAUGAGAAAUUGUUUGCUGUUGUUCUCUUUUCAGUUUUGCAGGCGAUGAUCUUUUACCAAAUGUCGAGGAGCUUCCAUGGGACAUGCUCUAUGCUCUCGCUUCCCAGUUGCCUCUGUUGGGGUUGGAAAAGCUACAGAUCACAAUGUAAGUCAAAAACAGUAAAGUUCCCAAGAUGUUCUGUGCUGGAGCAGAUUUAAAGGUACGAAUUUUUAAUUUUUUUGUGAAGUCGAUGUUUUGUUUUAAAAGGAGUUUAUAAUGGAUUGAUUGGACAAGUACAGCGUGUUUUGCAGAUAAAGGGCCCUAGCCAAUUUUCUAUGACCUAUAAAGCAUUAACCAAAUUGGGUUUUGUUUGUUUGGUAACAGGGGUUGUUCAGGUUAGGUUGGAGAGGUUGGAGGUGAGAAAUGCAAUUGGGAAAGAUACGCUGAGAGUUUUACAGAACACCUUUGAAGCUGUCAGUGAGGAUUCUUCUGCUAAUGUUUUGUUGAUCAGCAGUAAAGUUCCCAAGAUGUACUGUGCUGUAGCAGAUUUAAAGGUAGGAAUUUUUAAUUUUUUCGUGAAAUCAAUGUUUUGUUUUAAAAGGAGUUUAUAAUGGAUUGCAUGGACAAGUACAGAGUGUUUGUUUGUUUGGUUGAAUGUAAAAAGGAAUUGGAAGAAUGAUGAAAGUACUUGCAUUUGGUUGUAGUUGGUCAGGCACUGAAGGACCGGUCAAUACGAAGUGCAUCUGUGGGACAAUAGUUGAAAGAAGGCCAGAGCAGGAAGAGAAGGCAAGGUUUGUGAAGAAAAACAGUGAUGUGUUUAAUUAGAAGAAAUGUGCAUUUUUUUUUCCCAGUCAAAUUCUGCUUUUGUUCUGACUAUUUUCCUUACUGUAUGCUGAUUUUAUUAUUUAAUUUUUGGUUUUUCCUUGAUUGGCUUGGGAAUUACAAUCAAAUGAUGAAUCUUCAGUUUACUUGGGUAAGCAUUUUUUAACAUAUAAUUUAGCUGACCAUUUUAACUGUCAGACCAUGUUGUUUUUGGUUAUCUAAUCAUUCCAAGAUGGCAAGUUAGGAUUGGAAGGGUUGCUAGAAAUAAGGAUUAUAUCUUGGGACAUUCGGUGAGUGAUUUUUCAAACUUUCAGUUUUACAAGACAAAAUAUCUAUUUUUGUGUGUAUUCUUCAAGCAUGUUAUCAUUAUUUAGGUUGUAGGAAAAAAAGAGAGUGACUUGAGGUGUUUUUAGAUAUUUUUGUGUGUAUUCUUCACAAUGUAUUAAAAGCGCGAGGCGUGGGCGAGGCGUCUGAGGGAUAGCCCACGCCUCACGCCUUACGGGACCUAAAUUUUUUAAUAUAUACACUGAGCGUACACAUAUAUUAUAUUAAAAAAAAAUUAUUAAUCAAUAAUUACCCUGAGCGCACAUAUAUAUUAUAAAUACAUAUAUACACAUAUAUAUACAUAUAUUAUGUUAUAUAUAUAUAAAAUAGAGGAUGAAAAGCACAAUGAGCACACAUAUAACAAUGCAUGCAGACGGCACACAAUAUAGUGCAAGGAAUAGGUAUGAGGUAGUUAAAACCCUACCCAAAAUCUGGGUUUGGGAGUAAAAAUAAAAAAUAAAAAAAAAAUUGCUUGAGGCGCGUCUAGGCGGCUCCGACAACGCCUUCCGGCGCCUUCCGCCCACUCCCUCAAAACAAAGGCGGCAACCCUCAAGUCCAGCCUCACAGGGUGCCUAGGCGCACCCUGAGGUGAGCCUUUUAAAACAUUGAUUCUUCAAGCAUGCUAUCAUAAUAUUUGUAACUAUAAAAAAUAAUAUACUAUUAUACCUCUGUUUCUCUUUUCUUUGUUUUCAUGAGAAAUUAAUUGCCAUUGGCAGCACUAUAGAAAGCCAUCUUUCUCCAUUAUUCUCCGCUUCAUGCAUAAUUACAUAAUUCUACUAUCACAGUUGUCAGUCCUGAACAAUCAUGCAAGUCUAGUGGCAAAAACCACCUCAAUGAACAACUCUCACACACACACAGACACUGAUCAUACAUCUCUAACUCUCUUUUUCAAAUAACACACACUCUGAUCCAAAACAGGGUAAAUAAAAUGCACAUCCUUAUACAUUUCUAACUUUGUUUUUCGAAAUCCAAAAUAGGGUAUUCUAACUCUCUUUUUCAUUCAUUUCUUACAAACCAAUCAUACAUUUAAAAUAGGCUUUGAAUAAAAAUAGGGUAUAUAAUUAUAUACCUCAAAAUGCCUAGGAACCAACUUCCCCCUCCAACGAUUCAAAUUCUUGAAAUUGCCAACACAGUAAAUCCAUUAGUACUAUAUAAAUGAAAACACAAUUGAAACCCAUCAAACAAAACAAUCCCACAAUUUAAAUGAUUCAAUCCUACUACAAUUGAAAUUCACAGAAAGAAUGAAAAACCAGAACAAAACUGCAGCACCUAAAAAGUUGUCAUACAAAAAAACAUGGAAUGUAAAAAUAUGUUAAGAAAUCUAGUUCGUUAAUUUCCAGCUGCUAAGUGGCAUUAUGUAACUUUAGUAGUAUACUAAUUAACUACUUAUCUGGUGGGUUGCACUUUUAUCCAAUUGGUAAGGAAAGGAAAAUAAAAAUCAACCCCUUGGUCUUAGUUGUGGCUGCAAAGUGCAGGCCACCACCAAGUCUCAGUGUUUGUGUUUUAGCAAAACACUUAAAUAAAUUAAAUUCUGAAAUGUAAAUUAUAUUCCUAUAACUUUAAGAUGCACAUAUAGUAUUGUUGAAGUCGAACUGAAAGCACUGACAAUUCCAAGCAACAGAGCAGCAAUUAUUAAGAGCCAAAACUCAUUCCUAGUCUCCUCAUCCUGGUACUCAACUCCGUAAUCUUUGGUCAGCAUCAUUGACUGAAAUUAGGAGAGAAAAAGAAAAGGAAUUUCAGAAAUUGUCUAUGAAGCAAAGGAUACUGCAGUUACUUCAAGACAUGUAAAUUGCAUAUGUAUAAAGUAAUUUUCUACAUAAAGUAAUGAGGCAUAACUUUCUCUCUCCUCUUCAAACCCUAAACAGAGCAAAGCAACAAACUUUACAGAGAUUAGAAUGAGAACUGGAACUAAUCGAACAAUGACUGAAAAGUAACAUACUUGAGGAGUGAAUGAUUUAGUGUUUCCAUCAUCGGAAGCCGGAGUAAGUCGCUAAGAGAGGUCGCAAACAGCCCAAAGGGACAAACCCAGAUCCCCGGCCCCGAUCCAUACCCUUCCCCCUCAAAUCCCGACGGCCCCCAUACUUUUCUCUGACUGUACCCCCUCUCCCACUCAUGAAAUCGAGGAUCUGUAGCAAUGGUACUGAGAUCCCCACUCCUCCCUCUCCCUUUCUCUCUGUCGCUCUGUCUCCCUCUCCCUCUGUCUGUCUAUCUUUAUCCCAGAGCGGCAUGGCCUCCCAUCCCUGAAACCCUCACCGAAAGGUGGCAAUUUUGUAAAUAACUUGAAAUCCACCAACAACAGGGGCAGAGAAUUGAAACAAACAUUUAGGCUCGUUCGAUAACCAUUUAGGCCAAAACUGAGCACACCUAAACCAUUCCUACCCGUGCCAAAUGUUAGUGGGGAAGCAAGAUGAAGACUUAUUUUUCAAAACCAAAAGAAAAAAAAAAGAGAAAACAAAAUAACAAAUCUAAUGGUUGUAGUGUAAAAGCUGAGAACGUAAAUAAGAGCAGUUCCAGCCUUGUAAAUAGGCCGGGGGACAGGGGAGAAGAAAAGGCCUGAGGGCCUGUCAAGUUGCUCCAGCUAUGAGGAGCCCGAGCUCGUGGAGAAGGCCCGAGCAGGGGGUCUGUCAAUUUGUGACAGCCUCGGAGCCCGAGCUCCAAGCCCAUUUUUUAUUUUUUUCUGUCAGGCGCGUGCACCCCACUCGCGCGUGGGGGCGCGUCGCCCGACAACUUUUCAGAAAAACAGACAACUUUUCAGCCUUUCACAGUUACCGUUGGGAAGCCACGUGGCUUCCCACGGUCUGUUCGAUCUCAACGGCUCCUUCAUUUGGACCGUUGGAUCUCAAUGGUAAAAAAAAUAAAAAAAAUCUGAUUUAAUAUCAACCGUUCGAUCCGAGAUCAACGGUCGAUAUUAAUAUGCUUUAUAAAUAAAGAAAAAAUAGUUUUAAAAUUAAGAAAAGUUACCGUUGUGACACGUGGCACAAUCUGGAGUGUUGGAAUUCAAAAUUUUUUAAAUCCAACGGCAGAAAUUAAUUAUUGGAAUUUUUUUUUAAAAAUGGAAAAAAUCCGAAAAAAUUGUAAAAAAUCUGAAAUUUUUUUUGUAAAAAUUUGUUUUUACUUUUCUAUAAAUACCACUUCUUCUCUAUCUACCUUACACCACAAUUUCAUAUUUUCUCAACUACUUUCAAUCAAAUUCCUAUCUUUCUCUUAAAGUUUCAAUCCAAUUUUUUUCCACAAAAUGGCUACUGAUGCAGGUUCGAAUUGGUCGCUUCUUGAAGAUGUUGCGUUGUGCACUAGCUGGGUUCAAGUUACUCAUAAUUCCGUUACGGGUAAUGAGAUGCAGUUGCGAGAAAUGUGGAGUUUAAUUCAUACCAAAUUUGUUGAGCAAAUGAGUGGGAAAAGAACCAAAGAAUCGAUAUCGAGUCGUUGGAAAAUACUUAGCCAUUCCUUUAGUACGUGGAGAGAUGCCUUGACACAAGCUAGUAAUAAUGUUCGAAGUGGGGCAAAUUAUGCGGAUGAGGUAAGAAUAUAUUAUAAUUAUUUGUUUGUAUUAUUAUUUUGUUACCUAAUUUGAUUAUAAUUAUUUGUUUGUUUCAUUUAUUUGUUACCUAAUUUCAUUAUUAUUAUUUGUUUGCAAUAUUUAUUUGUGACCUAAUUUCAUUAUUAUUAUUUGUUUGUAUUAUUUAUUUGUUACCCAAUAAUUUCAUUAUUAUUAUUUGUUUGUAUUAUUUAUUUGUUACCUAAUAAUUUCAUUAUUAUUAUUUGUUUGUAUUAUUUAUUUGUUACCCAAUAAUUUCAUAAUUAUUAUUUGUUUGUAUUAUUUAUUUGUUACCCAAUAAUUUCAUUAUUAUUAUUUGUUUGUAUUAUUUAUUUGGUACCUAAUAAUUUCAUUAUUAUUAUUUCUUUGUAUUAUUUAUUUGUUACCUAAUAAUUUCAUUAUUAUUCAUUUGUAGCAACUUCAAGCACAAGCAUGGUAUGCUGCCAAAAUCAAAUCAAGAAACAAAUCAUUCCACCGAUGGGAAUGUUGGAAUAUUGUUAAAGAUUGUCCUAAAUUCAAAGUUGUGCCUGUUGGUCCAGAAGUAUGCAUGAACAGCAUCCCUCUACACAGCACCUUUGUAUACAGCAACCCUCCACACUCUACACCUGAUGAUGGCACUCAGGUUGAUGAAGAAGAUGUAGAUUUAUUUAAUUUCGUAAUAUAUUUAUCCUAAUAAUAGAAUCUUUAUUCAUCAAAUUGUUCACGUAUAAUGAAAUAAUGAAACACACCAAAUAAAACUAAAAAACUCACCAAUUGGAAUUACAUAAACAUACCAAAUAAAAUUACACAAACAUACCAAAUAAUAAAAAACUCACUACAAAAAACACACCAAAUUAAAUUACAUAAACACACCAAAUACAAACAAAUAUAGUAAAUAAACUUAAGUAUCUUCAGCUUGUUUCAAUGCCCACUGGUGCUCUAUCAAGUCAAUUUGCCGAUCAUUGUGUAUAGAUGACCUUUGAAGUGCAGUAUAUUGUUGAAUAACCCUUUCAUUGUAACGUCCAUCCCUUUCUAAUGGCUCGUGUUGCACGGGUUCUUCGGUGGCAUCAUGCGCACAAUAUAUCCGUGUUCUUGAAUUGUUCAUCGUGUCUGGCUCUGGCUCAUAUUCAUCAACCGCAUCAUAAUCGAACUCAUCUUCCACAAUCAUGUUGUGAAGAAUGACGCACGUCAUCAUGAUGGAUCGAAGUGACUCUACAUCGAACAUUCUGGCAGCACCCCUGACAAUCGCCCAACGAGCUUGAAGGAUACCAAAACAACGCUCCACAUCCUUCCUGCAUCCCUCUUGACAGCUUGCAAAGUGUUUUUCCUUUGCACUUCUCGGACGUGGCACUGUUUUGACAAAUGUUUCCCACUGUGGGUAAAUGCCGUCAGCUAGGUAGUAUGCCCCGUCGUACCUACGUCCGUUGACGACAUACGUGACUUGUGAUGCCUUUCCUUGGAGGACGUCGUUGAACACUAGGGAUUGGGUAAGGACGUUGAGAUCAUUUUGAGCCCGGGAACCCCGAAAAAGGCGUGCCAUAUCCAUGUAUCAAAAGAUGCCACUGCCUCCAAAAUGAUAGAUUUUGCUCAUUUUCUGUCCCCAUAUGCGCCUUGCCAUGCACUUGGACAGUUUUUCCACGUCCAGUGCAUACAAUCGAUGCUUCCUAUCAUCCCAGGAAAACCUCGCAUCUCGCCCUUCUUCAGAAGCCUUUGCAAGUCCAUGUGAGUAGGUCUUCGGAGGUACUCUGCCGUGUACAAAGAUUCGACUGCUCCGCAAAACCUCAUCAGGGCCUCAAGAAUGGUUGAUUUCCCCAUCCUCGUUAUCUCAUCCACUUGGUCUGCAGAUGCUCCAUACGCAAGCAUCCGCAACGCAGCAGUGAUUUUUUGCUCUGGCAGAAGAUCCAUAACACCACAAGCAUCCUUCUUUUGCACGAAGUAAGAAUCAUGGUUGCAAACAUCAGUCAUGAUUCUGUUGAACAAAUGUCGUUCCAUUCUAAAACGGCGUCUGAAGUACGUAUCAGGAAAUGCACUGUUAUGGACGAAGUAAUCGUCCAACAGCUCUUCACCCCGUCGUUGCCUGCUUCUAUCAAGGUUUUUUGAACGGCUGGGCCUGCAUAUCUGAGCAACAGUCUGGAUGACUCGACGAGAAUGUGAGGCUCUGGCCAUUCUUGUUUCGUCAUCUCUCUUUCUACGCUCCUCAUCUUCUUCCAUCUCAUUUCUGCCUAUAUGAAGGUUGAACAUUCCUUCAGAUUGGUUAAACAAUUCUUUCUCUUGCUGAUUGAUUUCCCACAUCAUCCUUGAUGAAGAAGAAGACAUUGUAGGAUGGAUGGUGAAGAAGAAGCAAAAUCUAUGAAUAAUGAGAUUGAGAUGUUGAGAAAAUUGGUGUGAGAUUUGUGAGGAUGGAUGGUGGAUUAUAUGGACGAUUCAGAAAGGAUCGGAUUGUAGAUAAGGCCACGUGGCAUGCCGUCAUUCGUUAAAAAUCUGAUCGAAAUCUGUCCUGAAAGAUUCUGAAAAGAUAAUGACACGUGGCACGAUCGUAUUGGAUAAAAAUCUUAUCGAAAUCCAUCUCCAAUAAUUAUCAUUUUGGAUAAUGACACGUGGCGCAAUUUUGAACGAGUUAAAAUCUGAUUGAAAUCUGUCUUGAAAGAUUCUGAAAAGAUAAUGACACGUGGCACGAUCGUAUUGGAUAAAAAUCUUAUCAAAAUCCAUCUCCAAUAAUUAUCUUUUCGGAUAAUGACACGUGGCGCAAUUUUGAACGAGUUAAAAUCUGAUCAAAAUCUAUCGUCAAAGAUUCUCAAACGAUAACGACACGUGGCACGAUGACAUUUGAUAAAAAUCUUAUCGAAAUCCAUCGUUAAAUAAUUGUUUUUUUUUAUAAAAUGAUACGUGGCGCAACGAUAACGAUUUAAAAAAUCUUAUCCGAAAUUACAAAUAAUUUUAUUUUGUAUUAUUUAAACAAACAAAAAAAACUAAUAUUUUAUUGCCUAUUGCCAGGGGGAGGGCUCCAAGGGUGGAGAUGCAAAUGGCAAUUACUGUUCAUUAAUGUCAGUUACUAUUCAUUCAAGGCAGUUACUGUUCAAUAGGGUGGAUUCAAUAGUGGAUUGCCAGGGGGAAGGUCUUCAUGGGUGGAGUUGCUCUAAACAUGCAGGGAAAAAAAUGAAGAUACAAAGUAGCUGCAUCAUGAAACACAUACUCCAAUUAGACGCAAAAAGUGAUGGUGAUGAGAAGAGAGAAAAUGUUGUCGUUUUGAUUUUUCUGGCUUUUAAAGGGAGCAGCUUUCUUCGACCACCAAAAAAAGGAAGUUGCUUUUCGUGUGGUUGUGAUUUCCUGAGUGUAUGUGAGCGGGUCUAUGGCACUUGCACUGUUUGUGUCGGUUAUGGUAACCGGGCGAGCUGGACACAGUAGCGUGGGACUGAAUUCGGAGAGGUGAGAAAAAUUAAAAACACAAAAAGAAGGUGUUCAUUUUGUCACAUUUUUAUUACUAAAAAUUCAAUAAAGUACAUUCAUUAGUAUGGUAACUUAACUAUUUAAUUCCAUCUCAUUAAACUAAAAAAAACAAUUACAAAAAAAUAAGGAAAACCUUGUCCAGAGAGACCUGAGAGAAAGUGACGACUUCUCCUCUCAUUCCACUCCAUACUUGAUCUCUAAAGUCCAUUUGGCAUGUAAUUGAUGUUCAAUUUCAAAUAAAGUGGUGGCAAUUAGCAAAGCUAAUGAAAGAAUCAAAUAAAAUGAAAGAAAAAGCAUCAUGAAAUAAAUCAAGAUGAAGAAUGAAAUUUUGGCAACUCGCCAUUCUCUUCUUUUAUAUAAAAGAUACAUCCUAUUUGUAGUGAAAACAGGUCCCGACAAACCCAGUUAUCCUCAAGAAGUAUUUUGUAUGACUUUAAAAACAUAAUCCGUGAAAUUAUCUCUUGGCAGAGAACAACAACAAAUCUUCAUGCAUAGCUUGUAGAGAAAGACAUCAGGCAUACAAAAGAACAGGCAAGCAUAAAAUAAACGAUGCAUGGAAAACCAAAAAUACAAUUGAAUAUGCUGUCAAAAGAACAUGAAUAAAUGAAAAUUACAAAACAAAGAAGUGAUGGGAAACCAAAGUAUUCAUAAUCUAAUUGCUUUUUAGUUUGCUUGCCAUUUUUAGUUCUUCAAUUUAGAGAGAAACCAUAAUUCAGCACAUGAAUAAAGUGAAAACGUAAAAGAUACGUGGGAUAAGCUGACAGCCAUCCCUGAGUAAUGCAUUCACUUUUGAACCCCAAACACACCGAAACAAAAAUUCACACACAUGAACUACAGCUCCGCUAUGUAACAAGAAUUAAAAGCAUCUCAAAACAAAAUGGCAAACUAUAAGAGCAUUGUAAAAGUAAAAUUGCAUCUAAUACUUGGAGGGCAAGUACUAAUCAGACGAAAAUGAAAGAUUGAACUACCUCACGUGGAACUGUGCCUUGGUUUUUUCCCAUGCUUACAAGAAGCUUUGCACUGAGCUCUUAUAGCCCAAAUUUUCUCUGAAGGAAAAAAAACACAAUUUUGGAAUAAGAUUUUCAUAUUAUACCUUAAAGAGAAGAAUUAGACAACAAAAAAGAGAACAAUGAGUACUAUUCAUCAUAUAUUGUUAAGAGUAUGUGGUCUUCUAGUCCAAUGGUCCUGCAGUCAUAUUUACUUUAUAACUCUUUCUUUUAGUCUAAAAAAACAUCUUGGAUCUCAAAUUAUUAUGAAUACGGAUUCAUACUUUAUAACUAAAGAUCUUACUGCUCUUGAUAAGAUGAACAAUACGCCAUUUAUCGCAUGCAUUGCAUUACAAUCACAAUGCAACAUCUCAUUAGAAAUCCCCACACAAAGCAGCUCCACUCAUUGUGGUCCUUGCAAACCGAAUUGGCCCAACGAUCAGCGAGAGAAAGGAGACGGCGGCGAGAUGAGGGAUAUGAUGGAUGCGAGAUCGUCUGUAUCGUUAUCGCGGGGGGUCUGCAAGACGGACGAGGAAAGUAGGGUUUGAGAAGGCAUUGUCUUCUCGCGGGGUAUGUGUCCUUCCUAUUCCACGAUUAUCAACACGUGUGCAUCAGGAGGAGCGGCAGAGAGAGGCAUUGUUGUAAAUAAAGUGAAAUCGAAGGGUAAGGGCCCAUUCUUUAAGGUAAUGGCAUGGCCAUAAAUAGAAUGAAAUCCAGAUCAAAACACUGUCAUUUGUACAGUACAAUUUCUCCAUCUUCUUCAGACUAAAGUAAUGUAUAUGUUAUACGCACCAACACAAGUCCUUCUUAGAUAAAUCCAAGCCAAACAAUUACAAACGACAGUUAUUCACAAGAAAAUCACUUUAAAGCAAGAAUUUAAUUAAUAAUACAUUACUACACUUUCUUAACAAUUUGACGGUCACCUAGCUAACAAUGAACACGUUAGCUAUGCGUUAGAACAUAUUGGGUUCAAUCCAUAGUCUUGAAUAUCACCCCGAGUCACAACUGUCUCUUGGGGCAUACAGAAGGCCUGAGAGGCAUUUGCAGACAUUCAAUCUCUCCUCCAAGCAUUUCGACAACUUUGGAAAUCGAAAGGCGAUCACUUGGUUUCAUUUGAAUACACCACAAGGCGGUUAUAACCAUCUUUCUUAUCACUUUCUUUUCCUCCUCUGUAACAUUGUCUAUUUCCAAGUCAUUUCCCACAAUAUACUGAUCAUAUACCCACAUCGGGAAGUAGAUUUGGCUUGGAUGCUCUACCGUUGCAUUCAAAUUCUUCCUUCUGCUUGCCAUUUCCAUCAACAACAUUCCAAAACUAUAGACAUCGGCCUUGUAUGAGACACCUCCAAUAUUUUUGUAGAACAACUUAGGAGCAAUAUAUCCCAUUGUACCCGUGUUGCCGUCAAAGAGACAAUGAGAAAACUCUUGAGUUCUUCAGAAACCACGAGAAACUUAAAACUGAGAAAGCUUCGUGAUCUCCCUUCCAUCUCUGCUACGCAAUCUCUGCUUCCUCCGUGAUUUCUUCCUUCCUGAUCGACAUCUAUUCGAAUUGAAAACCUUCUGGAGCUCACUACCCCCUUUGUCAGCAGUAAUUAGGGGUGGGUUCAAAAAACCGAAAACCGAAAAAAAUCGACAACCGAACCGAACCGAGGCCGAAAAAAACCGAACCGAAAAAAAACCGAACCGAAACUGUCAAACCGAACCGAACCGAAUCUGACCGGUUCGGUUUCGGUUUUUGAGGUUCAAAAACUGAACCGAACCGAACCGAACCGAUAUAUAUAUAUUUAAUUUUUUUUUCAAUAUUAUAAAUAGUUUAGGCAUACAAUCAUAACAAAACAGAACUUGUUGCCAAGUUGGUUUAAGCGAAAUUUUUCACACUGGUGGCAAUGGGUUCGAACCCUCAUGCCUUUAGGAUUUAUGAGAUUGUUUUUUAAUUUUGUUGAGAAAUCAACAAAAUCCUUUAACCCUAACUUUUUUAUUUUUCAUUCCCCUCUUCUCUCUCUUGUUCCCUGCCUCCAGUCCAAACUCCCUCCAUGAACCCUAACCCAGUAACCCUCUCGCGCCGCCUGAGCUUCCUGUCUCUCUCGCUCGGUCUUCAAUCGCUCUGUCUCUCUCAAUCUCUCAGGCAACCCGCGACAGUGCGACCCUUCUCACUCUCAAUCUCUCACACCUCGCCCUCUCCAUCAGUCUCUCAUCUCGCCGUUUCGAGUCUCGAUAGCAAAAGGUUAGCCUCCUCUCUCUCUCUCUCGGUCUUCAACUUCAAUCACUCUCUGUCUCUCUCAAACUCUCUGUCUCUCUCGGUCUUGAAUCUCAGGCGACCCACGACGGGGCGACCCAUCUCACUCUCAAUCUCUCACACCUCGCCCUCGCCGUCAGUCCUUCAUCUCGCCGUGAGCUUCUUCUUGCCGUUUCGAGUCUCGACUGCAAAAGGUUAGUCUCGCCGUGAGCUUCUUCUUGUUCGUUCGCAGACGGAAGCUCUCUACUCCAAACUCUACGAAAAGUACACAAAAAUCAAGGUGUUCUGUGUUCUUUCCCACUUCUUUACAAUUUUUUUUGCUCAUUCAUUUUUUUUUGCUUAAUCAGUUAAUUGUAUGUUAAAUUUGCUCAGGGGAGAAAUUUGAGGUUAGGGAAAUAGAAAGUAAUUGUCUUUUUUUGUACUUUUGAAUUUUUUUUGCUCAUUCAUUUUUAAUUGCAUGCUAAAUUUGAGUUGGGAACUUUUGCUUACUUGUUACCCAGUUGGAUUUUUUUGAGCUACUUUUGCAGUUUCUUUCUUCGUCUUAAUUUGGGAACAAUUUGAUCAUGUUUGACUUAUCAUUUUGUUAUUGGAGGAAAUCAGCAGCUUUAUGGUUUGGCAAGGUGUAGUGACGAUAGAUAGCCUACUUUUAUGUAUAAUUUGAAAGAGGAUGGAGAUAAGUAUAUUUCUCUGGGAAUCAGAGCUUCCAUGAUAUGUGAUUACCUGUUAUCUUUGAAUUUCUCUUCCGACUCUUGUAUUUCCUUAAGUGAAACUAUGGCCCUGCAAAUUUGACAUGUUGUUGAAGGUUGUAAAUCAUAUGUUGUUCUUUUAGUGGUAAAAAUCUUGUUAAACAUGUAUUUUCAUUUAGGUUAUGGACUCUUGGACAUGCUAAGUCAUGAUGGAAAAGACCAAAGAUUCAUUGGUAACGUGUUCUGAAAAGUAGCAUAGGCAUUGCAAUUCUCUGAGUAGCGUUUUAUUAUGGAUAACGUUUUUGGUGCUGAAGGAAGAUUUCCAUCAAACCUAGCAUCAAUAGAGCAUAUUGUUUCUUGACUACAUUAUGUAUGAGUAUUAGAGUUUAAAUUGUAAACGGAUCUGGACAAUAUAUGAAGUUGGUAUUGAUUUCUCUCAGAGAACAAAUAGAAUUGAACAUCCAGGCUUGUUCUUGUUGACAUGAUUUAUAUAAGAUAUACUUAUAUCACUUUAGAGAAAACUGGUUAUAUGCAUCUGUAUUGUCUCAAAUUAAUUUUAGGCUUCCCUUCAAAGCGUUCUUUUUGUCCAUCCAUCUGGGUGGUGUUCAAUUUUAGAUUAUCCUUUGAAUACUAGACGUCCAGAUAAUGGCUUUGUGGUCCUUCAAAUAAAUUACUGAUAAUGUUCAUGCAGUUGAUGGUGAAACAGGUAUGGUAAUUAAACGACUUCAUGUUUAGGAAUGAUAGGCUUGUACUUUGUAUUUUAAAGAUGUGUGCAUUUUUCAUAUAAAUUUUGUUCAUUGUGUUAGAAUGCUUAUAUUAUAAUUGUGUUGGAGAUGUUAAAAUUUUAGAUUUCAAUUUUGUUUUCAUUUUUCCCAAAAAAAAAAAAAACCGAAAAAAACCGAAACCGAAAAAAACCGAAAAAAAAAAUGGACCGAACCGAACCGAACCGUUUUGAACCGAACCCAGCUCUAGCAGUAAUAAUUUGUUUUUGCAGCUUUAUGUGUCUCUGUCUCCAAAUAUGAUGAUCUCUUAAUUUGCUUCUAUAGCUUUUGUAAUAUGAUGAUCUCUUAAUUUGCUUUUGCAUAUCUUCUUUGCUUCUUCUGCUAGCUCUAUAUGAGAUUCCAUCUCCAAAUAAUUGUUCCCUAUUUCCUAUUUUUACAGGAAGCAAAUCAUUGAAUACACAUGGAAAAUUAAAAUGGUUUCAGUUUUUGGUUAGUUUAAAUUUUUUGUUGGUUAUUGCUUGUAUUGUGAAAUCUCGUUCCCGGAUUUCACUGUUAUAAUGUACGUGUUUGUAUUCUCGAGAAUUUAUAUUAAGUUAUUUGAAGUUAUACUUUAAUUAAACUAGUUACGAAGGUUAGAGUUUGGAAAUUAAUUAUUUAAAAUUCGUAAACCGUCCGAGGUCACAAUUUAUAUCUGUGGAUAGAGCUAGGGGUGGGCAAACGGGUCUAGGAACCGCGGGGCGGGUCGGGUCUAGCCGGUUCGGGGCGGGUACAAGUUUUGUAAACUCAAAACGGGGCGGGUCGAGGCGGGUCCAUGUAAUUGGCGGGGCGGGGCGGGUCUAAAUUUCUGAAAAACCGGGUACCCAGGCCCGGACCGUUUCCACCGUCCAUAUACGAAGAUUAAAUCUCUACCAUUCAUUACUACCACUCUUUCUCUUAGUCGCUGACUCUCGCCUCCUCUCUCGACUUUUCCAGGAUCCAUCCUCUCUCAAGAUGGACUCAGCGCCUACUCCACCGCUCACUCCUCCUCUCGUUGAAGCCACGGCGGUCUUCAUCGGUGCUACCCCUGCCCCAUAUUCUCUCAGAUCAGAGUCGUCACUCCCCUCUCCCACUCGAGUCGAGGCCUCUUGUGAACACCACCACCGCCGUCGAAACCUCCUCCAUGAAAGACACCUUCUCCAAAUAUUCUGAUUACCUCAACAAUCUCGUAAUCCCUAAUUUAAUCUUCACCAAUUUGCAGCUCUGUGAGCGACUCGAAGGUUUGUAGAAUGACAAGCGGGAAAGGGUUGUAAAAGCAAGUCGCGAUAUCACCAUUAAUAGCAAAAAGGUCAUCUUUAAGGUUCACAGGUAAGAAAGCUGCGACCUUUUGCUUCAAAUUUUGUUUCUGUUUUUUGGGUUUUUGAUUUUGGAUUUUGGUUUUUUUUUUUAUAAUAAUUUUAUUUAUAUCAUCAUUGAAAUGAUGUUGCUGUGGAAUUUGAACUUGAACAGAAUCAAUAAACACAACAAAGAGGAAGUUCUGCAGAAAGCUGAAAAGGAUUUAGUAGCUGUGAGUCUGCGACAGAUCAGUACAUUUCCCAGCUUGUUAGAGAGAUGCAGGCUAAGUUUUUUUCUUUUAUUACUGUUACUCUGGGAUUCUUUGAGAAAACUUGAAGCUUGAAUUGUUUUUGUUUUCUGGGUGAUUUGGAAAAUGGGCGAAAAAAAAAACAAGGACCCGUGUACCCGGCCCAAACCGGCCCGUUUGAAAAGGGUCGGGUUAGGUCCGGUUUCUAUUUUAAAAUUUGUUGCACCCGGCCCGCUCCGGCCCGUUUCUUUUACACCCGGGUCCGGUCCGGUCCCUUCAAAAUUGGGCCCGGCCCGGCCCGUGCCCAGCCCUAGAUAGAGCUCGAUCUCACGAACGCGUAGGCGCAAAUCGUUCAUGAAACAGAUCUAUAACGAAGAAGUUAUAGACGUUUUAGUUGUUGGAAAAUAAAUAAUUAAAUGUUUAGAAGCUGCCAAGUGGCAGCAAGGGAGAGGGGAGAAAGGAGAGAGUGCGGGAGAGAAAAGAGGGGGACACCCAAUAAGAAAGGAGAAAGGAGGGAAAUGAGAGAAAAGAAAAAAAAAAAGGGAAGAAAAGGGAGAAACGGGUUCGUACGACCCGUGGGUAUUGCCGGCCACCCAUCUCCAUUUGCCGACGAUUUUCCGACGAAUUUCUUCAAACAACCACUUGGAAACACUCCCUUGUCCUUCCCUCUACAUGUUUCACCCUAAAAAUAAAAGGUUUUGGACUUGAAUAGGGAGAAACCGCACUAAGGGUGUAGCGGGUGUGUGUGUCAAAUCUCCCAAAUCCAAAAUGUUUACACCCAACGACCACCAUCAAAAGACUUUCCUUAAGCCCCUGAACAAAGCCCAGGCAGUGGUGGAGACGUCGGAGCAAGUUUAGAGGUCGAAUUGGAGCACACCCAAUUCUAGGGUUCUUACGGGUUUUAGAGAAAUUGGAAUACUUCUUGAUCAAAUUAGCCUUGGUCACAGGUAUAAAGUUUACUCUACUCAUUGAGAUCUUUAUUUCUGUAAUUUUUGGUAAUUUUUAAAAAUAGUUGAAUUUUUCCGGCAAAUCGGGGCGGCCGACCGCCACCCGCUGCGGCGCGUGCGGCGGCGGCCUGGCCAGCGAGCCAACGAUGUCCUUUUAAGUUCAAUUAGAUGCCCUGAUUUCAUAACUGACAUCCUUAUGUUAUGGUUUGAUUGUUUAAACCUAAUUUCAUUACGAUAUGUGGGUAGGUCAAAAUGUGAUUCGACGAUCCGACCGUUGGAUCGUCACCAAACUUUAAUGCGUCAUAGAAUGUAAUAUUUGAGGAUGGUUGGAACUAACGGAUUGGGAAUCUGAUGUAUGGAACUUCCUGAUUUGGAUUUCUAAGUUUGUAAAUCAAACAUUGGUCACCACUUGAAAUUGUAAAAUCAAACAUUGCAUAUAAGCAUGCUAGAGCCUUUAAUUGUUAAUUACAUGUAUAUGUGUUGCUAAAAUGAACUUAGUUUAUCAAAUUUUUAUUUCAAUAUCAACUUCUAUGGCAUGCGUGGUGUCUCAUGUCAAUCACACAAAUGUUAUGUAAAAAGAAUAUACACGUUGUGUUGCAUGAUUGACAAUUAACGACACAUAGUGUUAUAACCGUGUCAAUGUUAUGAAGGUUUUUAUGCAAAGUCACUUGAUAUGCCGCAACAAUUAGUAAACAAUAUUAGAAAGACCUAGAGGAACCCACAAUUAAUUCCGAUUCAAUAAGUAGGUCAUGUGCAAGCAAGGCAUGGGCUUCCCAUGGGUAGGAGCUGGAAUUUACCCAUAUUUGGUAGUUAUGUACCAUAUGUUUACCCGCAUGACGCUGAGUGUAAUCCUUCUUAAGGUUCAACAAUAUUGUUUCUAUUAACAAAUAUAAAUAAAAAAUAAGCAAAAUACUAGAGAGAUUACACGUUUAUAUUACAUUGUUGUACCAUAUUGUGAUAUGGCUGUGUACAUACCAUGUCUUGUAAUGAGUUUAUCUCAUUAGAUGUUAGACUGUUAAUUAUAUGUAUCACUUGUCAUAUCAUACAAUACAUCAAUAUGAUAUAAAUAUGCCAUCUCUCAAACAUUACUCUUAUCAGAAACCCCAAAAAAUAGGAAAUGCUCUAUACUAAAGCGGAAUGAGAAAAACAUUGUUCAUAGGCAACAGUAUUUUUACUUUUUUGCCCUCAUUUUUAAUGUUUCUGUGUUCCUACUUUUAUGCCUCUAUACGGUGAAAUCGCCAAUUGACCUAUGGGCAUGGGUGUGUAUAAAAAUUGUUUUGCACACGUGGCGUGCUAGGGAGAUUUCUCUGCAGCACUGCUUCAUUAACUGUUUCAUUUCUCUGCACCGUUUCCUUCUAGCUCCACUCCGAAUUGAUACCGAAUACUGGUCAACCAAAUUUUCUCAUCAUUUCGUUCCGUCCUUCUCCACAUCUUCAUUCUUGCUCCACCAUGAAUCGAAACAAAAAAUUGCUCAUCCAAAUUGUUUGGUAUCAGCCGCUCCAAGGAGACAAAUUGCUGAGAAAAGUAAAGAAUUCAGAUAAAAAGUGAAAUUGUUCAUUCAUAACCUUUAGGGAAAUACAGAUGGGUUCUUUAUACCCCAUUUCAGCUACUACAGACAAAAGGUUAGGUAACCCCAAGUGCUGAGUCACCAUAUUCUAAUAUUCCAUUACAAUGCAAAGGAAAUAACUUAAGGGAAUGAGCUAAAGCAUAUCAAGGUCCUAACACAAGUCAAUUUCAGUUAACUCAAAUCCCUAAAACCCAAUUUUCUCCAGAUCGUUGGAUUUAGUUUGCUGUUGUUGUUGCUAAUCUACAGGUAAAGCUUAAAUUUACAUACAAUUUUUUAUUUUUCUUGAUUGGAAUUUGGAAAGAAUUAGUUGUUCUUGGAAAGAAUUACAGAAAAUUGGAAAAGGGAAAUGGGAAAGCGAGGAAAUGCAAGAAAAUGUGUUUGGAAAAUGGAAAAUGACUUUUCUUUGGCAUUCGCUUUGACUUUCAUCCUUUCUGCGUUUGCUUUUCCUCAUUUUUUUUCUCAAGAACCAAACAUAAAAUAAAUAAAUAAACCUAUAAAAAAAAGAAAAGGAAAAUCACAAGAUUAAGAACCUGGGAAUGCAACAAUCGAGCUUCUGUGCCGAAAUAUCAAUUGGGUCCCGUUGGAUCUUCGGUGCUUCUUCUGCAUUCAAAAAGUUGGGGUAUUUCUGCAUCAUUUUUGUGUGUAUUUUUAAAUUCCAGAAGAAAGUGGAUAGAGAGAGAGGAAUAUGCUUUGGGUCGAAAUGGGAACACAAUUCCAAAUUCGCCCUCAAUCCCAAAGUUCAGUAAUUUAUGCAAUUUUUGUCGAAAUUGAUAUUCUUUAUUGCUGAUAUUUGUUAAAAAAGAGGGGGAUAAGAGCAGUAAAAAGAAUCUACAGAAAAUAUUUGUUUUGGAAGAGUAUGUCUUGAUUGGAUAAAACUCGCACCAGAGGGCGAGCGCAUCUGCUAGUAUGCAUUUAAACUUAUAAGGCUAAAUCCUUUAGGGGCGUUUGUUUGCCCUCCUUAACUCUCAUUGGACUGGACUAGAUUAAGGGUUAGUCCAAUCCCGUGUUUGGUACCCGCUAAAACUAACUUUAAUGAGACUAAAGGGGAUUCGCUCCGACUAUCUCCCUCGCUAGGAGGUCUUAGCGAGAGCGCCCUGUGACUAUGGGACUGCUAAGCCCUUCGGCUGGUAUGUCCUCAUCUCCUCUCAUCCACUCUUCUUUCUCUGUUUUCUUGAGCACCGACAGCCACCAUCACACCACCACUCCCAACUUCAGCGAGAUACACUGCUAGCCCAACACCACUCUCUCGAGAUCCAAGGAAAGCAAGCAUCAUUUGGCAAUUUUUGGUAGAAUUGCAGGGGAAGAAGAAACGAAAUGAAAAGGCUUGAAUUUGUUACAGGCCAUUGAUGGACAAGAUUUUUUUUUUGGGAAAUCGAUGAUCAGGGAUUUUUUUUUGGAGAAAUCUGGAGAUCAUGCAGCUUAUGGAACUCUCUAGAUAGAUUAAAACUCACAUAACCAAUAUGGGCAAUAAUUCAUACCUGAGAUAGAGUUUGAGAGAGCUUAAGCUCUCUGCGUUAAUGGCAGAGCGCCCGAUGGUGCAUCGAUGAUACGUACAACGCCGUAGGUGGAUUCCCCAUGUCCCAAGGGUUCGAGGUUUAGAUUUUUUAGGGUUGAUUUGGUCAGCAUCAAGAGAAAUGGUGGGGGUUCCUUCUCGGAGAUUAGAGAGAGAAAGGUUGUAGAUUAUUGUUGAGGAGAGAGAGAGAGAGAGAGAGAGAGAAAAGUGCAGAGAAAGAAAGAGAGAAUGAAAGAGGGGUCACGGGGUGAGGGACCGUAAGAGCAAGUCCACCCAUGCCAAUCGGCCGGGGGACGGGCUACAGCAAAGGGCCCGAGGGCCAGUCAAUUCAUCUCCAGCCAUGGAGGGCCCGAGUGAGGGUGGGAGCCCGAGGGCCGGGGGGGUGGGUAAUUGACAGGCCUGUGGCCCGAGGCCCGUGACGUCAGGCCUGGGUCCAGGCUAUUUUUUUAUAUUUUUUUUGUGUCAGGCGCGUGCCCCUCACUCGCGAGUGGGGGCGCGUCGCCCGACAAGAAAUCAGACAAGUGGGGUUUUCGGCCAGUUACCGUUGGGAAGCCACGUGGCUUCCCACGGUCCGUUCGAUCCCAACGGCUCUUUAAUACGAGCCGUCCGAUUUGCAACGGUAAUAAAAAAAAAACUGAUUUUAUAUCAACCGUUCGAUCUAAGAUCAACGGUUGAUAUUAAUCUGCUUUAUAAAUUAAAAAAAAAUAGUUUUAAAAUUAAGAAAAGUUACCGUUGUGACACGUGGCACAAUCUGGAGUGUUGGAAUUCAAAUUUUUUUAAAUCCAACGGUAGAAAUUAAUUAUUGGAAAAAAAAAUUUAAAAAAAAUGGAAAAAAUCCAAAAAAAUUGUAAAAAAUCUGAAAAAAAAAAUUGUAAAAAAUUGUUUUUACUUUUCUAUAAAUACCACUUCUUCUCUAUCUAUCUUACACCACAAUUUCAUAUUUUCUCAACUACUUUCAAUCAAAUUCCUAUCUUUCUCUCAAAGUUUCAAUCCAAUUUUUUUCCACAAAAUGGCUACUGAUGCAGGUUCGAAUUGGUCGCUUCUUGAAGAUGUUGCGUUGUGCACUAGCUGGGUUGAAGUUACUCAUAAUUCCGUUACGGGUAAUGAGAUGCAGUUGCGAGAAAUGUGGAGUUUAAUUCAUACCAAAUUUGUUGAGCAAAUUGGUGGGAAAAGAACCAAAGAAUCGAUAUCGAGUCGUUGGAAAAUACUUAGCCAUUCCUUUAGUACGUGGAGAGAUGCCUUGACACAAGCUAGUAAUAAUGUUCGAAGUUGGGCAAAUUAUGCGGAUGAGGUAAGAAUAUAUUAUAAUUAUUUGUUUGUAUUAUUAUUUUGUUACCUAAUUUGAUUAUAAUUAUUUGUUUGUUUCAUUUAUUUGUUACCUAAUUUCAUUAUUAUUAUUUGUUUGCAAUAUUUAUUUGUGACCUAAUUUCAUUAUUAUUAUUUGUUUGUAUUAUUUAUUUGUUACCCAAUAAUUUCAUUAUUAUUAUUUGUUUGUAUUAUUUAUUUGUUACCUAAUAUAAUUUCAUUAUUAUUAUUAUUUGUUUGUAUUAUUUAUUGUUACCCCAAUAAUUUCAUUAUUAUUAUUUGUUUGUAUUAUUUAUUUGUUACCUAAUAAUUUCAUUAUUAUUAUUUGUGGUAGAUUAUUUGUUAUAUAAUAUUUAUUUGUUAUUAUAAUUUCAUUAUUAUUAUUUCUUUCUAUUAUUCAUUUAUUAUUAUUAAUUUUUAUUAUAUUUAUUUUUCCUUACAUAAUUUCUUAAUUUAUUAUUUUGUUAUUUCUUUAUUAUUGUUAUUCCAUAUUAUUUCAUAAUUAAUUUCAUUCAUAUUAUUUAUCUUCCUAGAUAAAUUCAAUAUUUGUCUUUUGUAUAAAUUUCAAAGAGAAUUAUGUUGCAUGAAGUAUGGCCAUGCAUGUUAGUGUCCCAAAAUUCAAGCAAUGGCAUGUUGGAAGUCAUGCCAUUGAAAGCCCGUUACACCCAGGUUGCAUUGAACAGCACCCUCCCAGCACAUUUUGUACACAGCAACCCUCUCCACACUCUACACCCUGAUGGACCUGAUGAAGAAGAUGUAAAGAAGUGCCUGAAACACCCAUUCCUGAACAAGCGUCAAGCGUCGGGGUCGACCGUUUCAUUAAUUAGGCUCAAGGUAAGAAGGCUUCAAAGAGGAAAGGGAGUGCUUCCAUGAAUUAUUUACAUGAAUUUUGAUCAUUGGCUAUUUGACGUUGAAUAAUGACGGCGGGAUUUAUAGAGAUUUGAGCAAAAGAAUUGAGGCAGAAGAAGGCAAGAAUUGCAAAUUUUGAGCAAACAGAACAGAACACAAGAUUGCUACUUAGAACAGGGAAAGGCAAGAGCUACUUAGAGAAGAAACCUUAGAAGAAGAAAAAGAUGAACAAGAGAUCGUCAAUUUGAACACGCGUUUAGGAAGGUGAAUUGACGUUGGCACGGGAUUUGGCGAAAUAUGAGGCUGAAAAGGCUAGAGAAGAGGCAAAAGCUGCAGCUACUGAACAAACAUUUCAAGUUGAACAGAGGGAAAGAGAGCUACUUAGGCAAGAAAGGGAGUUGCUUAGAGAAGAAAGAAAUGCACAACGAGAUCGUGACAUUAUGAACACGCGUUUAGAAGGGAUGUCUCCAAAUUCUAAAUAUUUUUGGAAGUCGGAGAAAGCGGAUGUGGUGCGAAGGAGGCGUGUAAGAGAAGCGAGAUCAAGACAAGAUGGUCCUAGCACAACAAGACAAGAUGAUCCUAGCACCACAAAUUGGUUAAGUGAUGAUGAAUAGGGUACUUUUUGUAAUCGGACCCCAUAGUUUUCCGAUCACUUUGGGUUGUAAUUUAUUAUUUAUGUUGUUUCCAAUUUAUUGAAGUUAGUACUUUAUUUAACGUGAGAGUACAUUUAUUUAAUUUCGUAAUAUAUUUAAAAUUAAACUACAGUCAAUGACGUGUCCAGAUGCGUGUCCAUAGGCAAGACACGAGUACAGACGUGGCAAGAGACGAGGGUUGUACAACCAUGAGCUUGUGUCCGUGGCAAGGACAACAAAGGCUUGGGGCUUAGGAUGGCAGAGGAAAUACCACGGCAAGCUAGAGCCACCGACACAUCGUCGUUGCCGCCAAACUUACGUAAAAUCGUUAGCACAAAAAGCCGCCAAGGGUUUCCGCUCACUGGGAAAAAGAUAAGAUUUGUGAACGCCAAGACCACAUGGGUCACAACAUAGCAAAAUUGAAAUCUUUGUCAUCCUCAGCAUUAUCCGACCGCUAUCCACAAAUUGAAGCAACGAAUUGGGCAAGUGUGCAACAAAUUUCCAAUGUGCUUCUAUUGUGAAUGAUUUACAGGGAUUGGGUUGAAUGAGGUUUGUAGUUAAAGUGGGAUGCAAUUUAGAACACCAACGUUUGAUUAUGUUUCUCUCAUUUUUUUCUGUUCACUUUUGCCUCAUUUGUUUUUUUUGUUGCAUCGUCUCAAAAACCUUGUGCGUCUACAUGUACAUGUAUAAGUAUAAAUUUUGGUUAAAACAAAAAGUCACAUAUUUCAUAAUUAACUAUUUAAAUUUGUUGCAAAUCACAGUAUAUCUUUGUUCAUACAUUCAAACAAGCAUGACAAAUACUGAGGAAGAAAAUGAAAAUUAUUGUCACUACAAUUGUAUAUAUUUUUUUCUUUUUGAACAAACGAUAUUAUCUACACUAAGGGGGUGAGGGAGUGGCCUAAGCCUAACAAUGAGCUAGCAAUAAUAUAGUUCAAUUUGCCUUUGAUGAGAAUCGAACAUAAGACAUUUCACUUACAAGUGAAGAGAAAUAUCCUAGACCCUAACUGGAUAUGUUAUUGUCAUGGUCAUGCAUUGGUAUAGUAACAAUAUGUUUGGAUAAGGACAAUAAACUUAUAAUUUUGCCAAAAGUCAGAAUUUUUAAAUUGACACAAUCAAUUCCUUUGUUUGGAUUCAUAAAUAUAGAAAUUUAGACUUUCCGCGUGAGAAAAAACUUGGAAUUUGGUACCUUCAAUUCUCAUGUUUAAAUUUCAUGUAAAUAUGUGUCAUUUAUAAAUUUCAGUAAGUGAGAGUUUAAAAAUAACAAACAUGUAUUCAAAUUUCAUUCAUCCUUUAGGUUAACCAAACAAGAAAAUUUAUAAAUUCUAGAAAAUAAAAUUUCGUUAUUUCAUUUCUGUUAUUUUAAAAUUUUUAGGGCAUGUUUGGUACUCUACUUGAAUCUAACUUUUUAAACUCAAAAACAAUUUUCAAGUUUUAGGCCUUAAAAACUUGUUUGGUAGAACUAUUUUAAAAAACUGAACUUAAAACUAACUAAAAAAUAUAAUCUAUUAUCUAAAAACACAAAAAAUGAGUUUUUAGAAUUUGUAAACUUAAACUCACUCCUUUCUUUUCUCUCCCUGCUCCCCUCUCACUCCAAAUCUCUCUCUCUCUUUUCUUCUUUCUCUCUCCCCCUUCUUUUUUUUUAACCUUUUUUUGUCUCUCAUCCAAUCCGCUCUCUUUAUUCUCUCGGUUCUUUCUCUCACUCCUCUUCCUCUCUAUCUCCUCCGAUUCUCUCUCUUCAUUCUUUUUCAACCAAUCAUUUCUUAUUUUCUUUCCUCCCCUCUCCUCUUUCUCCCUCGACCACCUCUUUUUGGAUCUCCUUGUUCAGUUUGAGCUAUAAGAUUUAAAAAUUUUAAAUCGCAUAUCAAACAAGUUUUUGAGUUUUAAAGAAAAUUGUUUUCAAGAAAUAUUUUGAGAAAUGAUAAAAAAUUUCAAAUAUGAUACCAAACAAGCCCUUAAUAAUCUUAAAUUUUCUCGUCCAAACAAAAAGUUUUCUUGUCAUAGAACUUUCAAUUGAAAUCAAGGAAGAUAAUCUUUUCACAACUAAUUAUUCUCACCAAAAGCAAUUUUUAUUUUAUAGCAGAUCAAUACCAAAUUGCAAAAGCAAAGUAGUAAGGCUAAAAUUCAGGUGAAGAACCUGCUUCCACUAAUUUCCUUAGGAGGGAGAGAGAGAGAGAGGGGAGAGAGAACCAAGCGACCGAGCAGAGAGAGAAAACACCAAGUAGUAUUCUAAUGUUGGUGGGGUUAAGUCACCUUCCGUGAAGUUGCAGUAAGGACUUCUAUCCCAAAGAAAAGUCAGUAAAUGAUGUUGACAUCCGUCAACGACAAGGACAGAAUUGUGUAACCAUAAUUCUCUCUCUAUCUCUUUUUUCAUUAACGGAGGACAGUGUAUAAUUACUACGUAUAUAUCUCUGCUCAAUUAUUGAAAAGAAAAAUCCAUGUGCAUUAUUUUUAUUAUUAUUAUCUCAGAAAUGCAGAAAUUGAUCAUCUCUUCCUUCUGCAUAUUGAUACUGGUUUUCUUCAAACUAGUUGAAGCAAGGCAAUAUGUGUGCGCGAAAUCCAACUGUAGCAAUGAUCAAGGCCCGGCUAUCUAUUUCCCAUUGAACACCAGGCACACACAUCAUUGUGGAAAUUCUGGGCUUGAAUGCAAUGGGAGAAAUGAGCAGCAAAUACUAAUAAAAUUAUUUGUCAAACACAUAGAUUACAAGCGUCAGGAAAUCCAAGUCUAUUCCCCAAGUAACUGCCUGCUGCUAAAGCCUGUUGAAAUCCCAAACAUGCCACCCUCUCCCUUCAUCGUGUCAGUCGGUUACCUGACGAACGUUACCUUAUUCAGUUGUCCUACUUCUGUUGCAAGUGAUCCAUAUUAUCCGUAUCAAGUCCCCUGCCUCGGCGACCGUGGCAAGAGAACUUAUGCCAUUGAUUCUGACUCUGGUUUUAGAACUCUUUUCCGGAAUCUACAAUCUUGUACAAAAAUGUAUGAUGUUUUAUCAGUUCCACUAACCUAUGAAGAUUAUGUACAUCGUUUCAAAUGGUCUAUACCAAAUUGCAGAAAAUGUGGAGAGGGAAAGAAGUGUGGAUGGCAGAACAAUGAAAUUAAAUGUAUUCAAUGGAGGAAACCAAGUAAGGAUAACAUAUGUAUUCAUUGCUAGUUUUAAACAUCUUUACAUUUAUGUCUCAGUAAUUAUUAUUUAAAACAUGUUGUCCAAUCCAUUUUUACUAUGAAUAUUAACUGACAGUCUCAUUUGAAUUUGCCUUUAUCUUUUACAGGCAACACAUGGAAAUUAGUGGUUACAGGUGGAAUCCUGGGUUCUUUGCUUCUUGUUCUACUGAUGAUUGCAGCAUAUCGGGUAUAUAGCGCUGAUAGAAAGGAAAAAGAGAGUCGAUUGCGAAUCGAAAGAUUCUUGGAGGAUUACAAAGCACUCAAACCAAGCAGGUAUUCGUACGCAGAUAUUAAGAGGAUUACAAAUCAAUUCAAGGACAAGUUGGGCGAAGGAGCCUAUGGAACUGUCUUUAAAGGAAUGCUCUCUUCUGAAUUCUUUAUUGCUGUCAAAGUCCUCAACAGUUCUAAGGGAGAUGGGGAAGAGUUCGUAAAUGAAGUGCGAACGAUGGGUCAUAUCCACCACGUCAACGUGGCUCGCUUGGUUGGAUUUUGUGCUGAUGGAUUUGUAAGAGCUCUUGUUUACGAGUUCUUCCCCAAUGGUUCCCUGCAGGAUUUCAUUUCAUCCGCAGAUAGUAAGAAUUCCUUUCUUGGUUGGGAUAAGCUGCAGGAUAUUGCCCUAGGCAUAGCCAAAGGAAUUGAAUAUCUUCACCAAGGAUGCGAUCUACGAAUCCUGCAUUUCGAUAUCAAACCCCAUAAUGUUUUGCUAGACCAAAACUUCACUCCAAAAAUUUCUGAUUUUGGUUUGGCCAAGUUAUGUUCCAAGGAUCAAAGCUUGGUGUCCAUGACUACAGCUAGGGGGACCAUGGGCUACAUUGCACCCGAAGUGUUCUCCAGGAAUUUUGGAAAUGUGUCUUACAAGGCAGAUGUCUAUAGCUUUGGAAUGCUGCUGCUUGAGAUGGUAGGAGGAAGGAAGAAUAUUGGUUCAAUCACGGAUAACACUACAAAUGAAAUUUACUAUCCACAGUGGAUUUAUAAUCUUCUAGAGGAAGGGGAUGAC
rnacentral:lncRNA from 1 species